UUGUUCUAUCAUUUUGCAAUCAGCUAUCAUCAUUCUUCCGAGAUUCACUAGAUUUUUAGAUGCUGAGAGCGUCAACACAUUUAUCAACUCGUGACACUUCGAUACUUUCAAAGCCUCAAGAUUUUCCAAAUGCCACGAAGGUGGUACUAAUUUUUGCAACUUACUACAUUCCGAUAUUUCCAGCCUUUCCAAGUUUGCAAACGCUUUGUUGGAUUCGUCAUUUUCCUUCCAGAGAUGCUGCACUUUGUGUAAUCCAGACAGUCUUAAAUUCCCCAAUUGAGGGAAAGCAACCUGAAAAUCAACAAAAUUAAGUUGUAAAUGAAAAUAUGUAUCCAAUCUCUGCAGUCUUCCCCUGCAUAUUUUAUGGACAAGAUUAAUCACGGCAUUUUAUAUUUUAUUUCCAAAUUAGUAUGCUUUGCACUAGGAUCCCAAAUAUAAGUAUCAAAUCGAUUACCCUUUGAAACACAUAAAUGAAAACUGAUACUAAAUCCAAUAUGAAUUGAUAAUCAAUACUAUAAAGUUACCAGUUCAUCACCUCAUGUUACCAGUCAUCAAAAUAAUUUAGGACUUUUUUAAUUUAUACUAUAAAGUUAGUUAAUAACUGCGGUUAUAUUGUUAAAUCAUAUAUAAAUUAAGACGACGUGCAAAAAGAUGUCAUUAAAUUUGAUUUGAUUAUAAUGAAAUUACAUAUGUGCGAACGAAAGUGAAGGGAAAAUAAUAAUAAUGAUUACCUUUUCAUCGAAGAGAUGUUGUAUUUGAUUAGCUACCAAGAGGUUCUCUUCUGAUUUUAAUUUUUGAGGUUCCUUAUUAUCUGCUGUCAUGUGCAGUACAAAUGUAGAAUUGGAUGUGAAUGUUUCCAUAUCAGGGCAAUUCUCAAUAAUUAGAUAUUCCAACUUAGGCAGUUCAAUUAUAUUCCCAGUGAAGUUGCAGAAUCUUUUGAGUUUUGGAAGAUCAAUGAGCUUUAGGCUUAAAAGCCUAGGAAACAGGGGGCCUAUAUGUUCUUCCUUAGCACUUAGCUCUUCCAAAUGAAGCACCUCUUCUAGUGAAUCACAAUUCCUCACUGCCAGCCAUUCCAAAUUGUUCAAGCACCGUAGCAGAUUGGCAGGAAUAGCACUCGACAUAUUCGUGCUGUCAUCCACCACCAGCUCCGCUAAAUUGUUGAAGAAUCUGACAGGCAGUGCUUGGCCAUGCCAUAUUUCUUGCAAGCGUGGAAAAUGCGAGAGUUGCAAACGGUUUAUAUCAAGGAAUCCAAUCUGCACAAACCAAAACAAUUGCACCAGAAAUAUACAAUUUUUUUUUUUGAAAGGCAUUAUAUAUAUACACAUUAAACUUACAUUUUUUGUGUUUUAACUUCUAAAAAUAUAUAUACAAGGGAGGUGUAUAUGCUUAAAUGUGCAAGUGAAGGGAGAUGCAUGAUGAACAAUUUGGGUGAAUUGAUUAACACAUACCUUUUCGUCAUAACACUUUUGUAUAGUGGAAUUAAGGUUAUUGCCUUCCCAAUGGUGUAGUUCACCCUCUUCCUUUUCAGUCACUUGCACUUUGCAUGGCUUUGGAAUGGAUAAUAUUCCCUGAGAAAAAGUCUUCAUGUUCGGACAACGUAUCAUAGAAACUCGUUCCAAUGAUGGGAAUUCAAGAGUGUAAUUCUCCAAACAAAAGCCGGUAAGUGUUGGUAAAUAAUCAAGUAUCAAAACUUUUAAUUUGCUAAAAGCAAUACGAUUCUCCUUCACUUCUUCUCCAACAUGUCUUAUGAUUUCUUCUAUCUUAUCACACCACGAUACAUUAAGAUUCACCAGACUACUAGGAAUUCCAACCUGAAAAUAAGCAGAGAGUGUGUGUGUGUGUACGUUAAAAAAGUAAAAAUGUAAGAAUAUCAUUCAACAAGGUUCAAAGUAUGUUUAAAUCAUACAAUUAUACAUUUUAUAAACAUAACAAACCAUGAAAUGUCUACUAGAUAAUUUUUUGUUAAACAAAAAAGGCAACAAGAUAAAUAAAUAAAUAAAAGCCAAAUAAACAAAAGAUAAUAAAAAUGAAUUUACACUAUUUAGUAUUAGGAACAUAGAAAGAAUUUAAUGCAAUUUCUAAAUAUUUUAGACUUAUUUUGCAUCUUGACGCCAGUUUUUAAACAAAAUUUGCAAAUUUCAACUAUUCCUUUUGGGAAAAAAAAAAUCAACCAAAAUGCCGCUUUUUCCCUUUUUCCUUGGUCCCUUUUUUUUUAUGUAUAUUUAAUUUUGGAAACAAAAUUAAAGUGGAUCUUUAUUAAGUACUUCUAGACUCGAGGAAAUUUCUUUACAAUCAAGGAUCAGUUGUAAAUAAUCAUGAAUUUGUGGUUAAUUAAUGGCAUAAUCAGUUCGUAACUAAACAAGAGAUAUUAAUUAAAUUUGAAGACUUUUCUUUUCUUUUUUUCUUUUUCCAAUCGAAAUGUGAAGAAUUAAGGACAAGAGAAAUAUAUAGAUGAAUUUGUGAACCUAUAAGAUGAGUGACUAUCCUUUAAUUUUUGAAAAUUGUACUUAUUAAGAUAUGAGCAUAAACAAUUAAAUUGAAUUAUAUUAUGCUGUUGAAUCGUGAUUAAAAAAAUUACAUUGUUGAUUCUAAUGCUGGCGAACCUAAGAACUGGACUUAAAAUGUAGAUUUGAGAGUGGUGGUUCGAAGUACAAUACUUGAAAUAAAUAAUCAGUGGCUGAAUAUCAUUUGUAAACCCAAAAAUGGUUAAAAUAUUGUUGGAUGUAAUUUGAAAAAAAAAAAAAAAGAUUCGAAAUGAAUACAGCAACCUUACCAAUGGAGGAAAAAUAUUCAUUAGGUUAUCACACCCAAUUAUCUCCAAAUUCUUCAAUUUGCUGAAAGACUCCGAAGCAAGUUGGUGGUGCCAUAUUCUUCUCAAAUUAUCGAUCGACCUAAUAUGUAAUACCUCCAACCUAGGAAGUCGUACCUGGCAGUUAAAGAUUAAAUAACUAAUUAAUCAAUUAAUGGCAUAAUCAAUUGAUAACUAAAUUAGAGGCGGAUAUUAACUAAAUUUGAAGACUUAAGGAAGAGACAAAUAAAAUAUUGUGACUAAAAUAAAUUUAAAAAAAAAAAAAACCUUUUCGUCAAAGAGAGGAGGUUGCAUUUCAAAAUGAAUGGUGUCUUCUGGUGAGCUCGUGGAGAUGAAUCUUAACAUAUUACUGCAACUCUGAAUCUCGAGCUUUAGCAAAGAAGGGAAUUCAACAACUAAAUCUGAAUGAAUAUGUCCCGUAUUGGCAAAGCUUGUUAGCUCUGGAAGCCAAUAGAGCCGCAGGAAGUGUAGUUUAGGAAAAACCUUUAAUUCAAUCAACUUUCCUUCAUCUCUUCCUAACCACCCCGUCGUGUCGACUACCCCUUCCAUUGACUUACAAUCCCAUAUUUGAAGACGUUGGAGUUGCAAAAGACUAUUAACCAUAGAAUACGAAAACAGAUACUUCAUACGAUCACAACCGAACACGUGCAGCUUUGUUAAAUUUUGACAACAGUACAUUCCUUGAUUAUGAUCGGCCCAUAAUUUUUUUAUGUUUCUUAAUCUCGUGAGAUUCAAUUUUUCUAAGCUCGGAAGAAUAACCUGCAAAGAAAACCCGUACAUUUUUGUUCCUUCAAGUACAACCGUCUAGUAUAAUAUUCUUUUCAUGAUCGAAGAUUAAUCGUGAUAAUAAAUUAAUCAAUUAAUUAUUGAACGGAAAAUUAUCACCUUUGGAGCAGGAUCAUCAUCAGCAAUGAUUUCGUUGAAUCCCAAAGAAGUUGUUGGUUUCUCCCUGUCGGGUCCUAUAAACAAACAAAAACAAUACACAUAAUUAAUCUUUGUCGGUUUUUUUUUUUCAAAAUAAUUGAGGCGAAGUCCAUAAAUCCACCAACACUUAAUUUCAACACUUACCAAAAAUCAUUUCCAGAUCAUCGCAAAGACUUAUUAAUACUUUUUGAAGCCGCAGUAGGUUUUUUGCCAUGGAGAAUGAGAAAAGAUGCUUCAAUUUGUGACAGGAUUGUACUCCUAUAAUCCUUAAGUUGCUGAAAGAUUGAUCUUCUGUGAGUUGGCUGUCACAUAUUGUCUCCAAAUUGUUCAAAUAGCUAAGAAACAAUGACUCCAGCAAGGGAAAGACUGUACAAUGAACCCGUCCAACUGAACCGACAAUAUGCAAAAUCUCAGAACAACUUUCUACACGAAGAUGCUUCAAUCGUGGAAAACCUUCCCCAUCAUCUAAUUCAUGAACAACAUUCUGAACACCCUUAAGUUCGUAUAGAUUGAUAUCUUCAGUUUCCUUCAGUAACAUUUUCAUCCCAUAAUUCUCCAAAAGACUGCUAACAUUUUCUAGCCCAUGGAGCUUCAUCAAUCUUGAUGUUUCAGAAUUAACGGGCCAGAUGUCCCACACUUCUCCUAUGCAUAUCCUGUAUCUUGACAAUUCCACAAAGACCAAAUCCUGCAGCAGAAUUUGGGCAUCCCGAACUUGUAUCUCCAAAGUAGUUAGCUUUGACAACCCCUUCAACUCAGCAAGACUGGCGUUACUUCCUCCUUCAACCUUAUCCCACUGCGAAAAGCUGUCACCCAUAUAUAGUUCUUCCAAUCGAGAAAAUUUUGAUAUGACAUUUGGUGCUAUCACCAUAAGGCUGCUACAAUUGCUCAAAUCUAGCAACAAUAACCUCGUCAAUUGUCCAAUUUCAAGGGGUAACUGCUUAAUGUCGGAAUCUCGAAGGCUGAGAAUCUCUAAUUUCUUUAGCUGUCCAACUAUUGCUAUAUCUUCUAGUCCGCAACUAUCUAAACACAAUGUUUGAAGGUUAAUGAGGCGACCAAGUGAUGAAGGUAAUGAAGAGAAAGGAAUUCUAGUAAGACUUAAAACUUUGAGUUCUUCUGUCCCUUCAAAAAAGAGGUCAGAAAUUUGCAUAGAGACGGGCGCCAUGCCCCUUGCUAUUAACAAAAAUAACUUGAGUUGGGGACAUUCCAACCUUUCGGGAAGCUCUUGAAUAUCUUCGUAAGGUAAAGAANNNNNNNNNNNNNNNNNNNNNNNNNNNNNNNNNNNNNNNNNNNNNNNNNNNNNNNNNNNNNNNNNNNNNNNNNNNNNNNNNNNNNNNNNNNNNNNNNNNNGCAUUGAUACAGCAACAUCAUGAAUGAUGUCAUGCAUUUUAACUUCAUCUUCAGUAUCGCCAUCUAACAAUAAGCAUGAAGCUUUGAGAUUGUCGAUCAAUGCAUCCACUCUAUUCCUUGCAUCUUCCAAUGUGUGAACAUUUUUAAACAAACCCAAACCCAUACCAUAUCUCAACAGGGAAACAACUUCUACAGGAUUACCUUCACCAAACAGAGUACAAAGAAGGAACAAAGAUUUUGCUUCAUCACUUUCCAAGAAAUCGUAACUCAAUUUUAUGGAAGAAUACACAUAUGCAUCCAUACCACGAAUUUCUCUUAGAUUGGAACUUCUUAGCUGAUUCAAUGCAUCCUUCCAAAUGUUAAGACUCUUAUUUUUCAGAGCACUUGCAACUGUUCUCAGUGCAACAGGCAAUCCCCCGCAUUUUUCAACGAUCUCAUCUGCAGUGGGUUGAAAAUCAUAUGUUUUUUUUGAAUCACCCACAAUCUUCUCAAAUAACUGCAAUGCUUCAUCUUUGGAUAAAGCAUCGAUCCAGAAAUUUUUCUGAGAAUUCAUAUCAUUGCACAAUAAAUCUCGACUUCGAGACGUCAAUAUUAUUGUGCGUCUACUCCGAUCGUCCUCUCUAUCAUAAGGAAUUCCAACUUUAUCGAACUCAAGUUUUGUCCAAAUAUUAUCCAGUAUAAUGAGGAGCAGCUUCUCUUGCUUCAACCUUUGACACAGUCGAGAAGCUCUUUGAAAUUCAUUCUCAUUCAAGUCAAAUUCCAUGCCUAAAUCAAAAGCAAGUUUGUCUUGAAUUUUAUGAUGAUCUGGUGUCUGUGUUACCUCAGCCAUAACGACCUUAUCGAACAACUUAUCUUCCAUCACUUGCUUUCUAACUUGCUUGACUAGCGUGGUUUUACCCACGCCGCCCAUCCCGUAGACCCCAAUUAUUUUGAAACUAUCAUCCUUCAACGCAUCCAAAACAUCUUGAAAUACUUUCGUUCUUGAAUCGAACUCCUCGUAAUCUUUCACUGGCAUAUAUUCUGUACUCUUUGGAGCAGGACGGUAGGAAACACUAGAGAAGUUGCCUUUUCCCACGAGACUAGCGGCAGCUUCUGCGGCCUUUGCUGCUUGUUUACUAAGCUGGUAACGAGAAAUCAAGUUGGGGAACAACCCUUUGAAGCAGGACUUCUUAGCUCUAUCUUCAUCAUCAAUGAUGGAUUUUGCAACCCCUUCACUGAUGAAUUCAUCAACUUUAUUUAGCCAGUCUAUGACACCCUCAUAAAUCUCAUCCCCUUGUAGUCUAGCAUGAUUAACAGGUUGUUGCACCGUUUCUCUUCUAUAUCCCAGCUGCUUCACUUGAUCUUUCAGGCCAUCUAUGUAGUUCUGGUGCUUGAACACAUAAGAUAUCUGCCGUAUAAUCGGUUUGAACAGUGACUUUGAACCUUCUGAUACAAUGCUGGAAAAAGCAGCCAGACCCACUUCUGCCAUUGCCUGCUGCUUAACAAAUCUAAUAAUAUGUCAAAGAAAGGGGAAAGGAAUAGAAAUAAAUUAAAAUAAACUAGAGAGUGACAAAAAAGGAAAAGACAGCAAACAGAAUCGCAAAAUUGAUCUUGAAUCAACUGAAACAUGAACAGAGCAUUUUUUCUUCUUUCUUAAGGAUCAGAGUUUUUGCUAUUAACAGAAACGUGCUUCAAGUGUCCCAAAAAAAAAAUGAUAAAUGAACAAGCCAUAGAAAUUUUAUCUUGGAAAGUGGAUGGAAAUUAAGAAAGAAAUGGUAUAGAGAUCAAGCAUCAGAGAUUAUAUUAUUAAAAGAAAUUAAUUGAAGGUUGUGGAAAACCUGUUUAAUUAUGGAAAGUUGAUGAGCUUCUGUAAUCGCCUUGAGUAUUUAAGUGCAAUUUUGAUGAGCAAAAAGUUACUGUUACCUGCAGAGGAAUGUAAUUAUAGAGAGCUUAUGAGAGUAAUGACAAUGAUUUGCAAAAGAAGAAGACUCAAUCAUGGAGCCCUUAAUAUUUCUUUUAUGAAUAAACUGCCAGCAGGAAAAAUAAAAAAAAGUGGUAAAUUUACCAAGUCUUAUUUUAUUUUUAAUUUCUUUUAUUUUCAUUCGCCGAAGAGGGAAUCUCUUUUUUUUUCGUAAGGGAAAUAUCCUUUCCUAAUAUGUCAUGAUUAAAGCAAUCUAUAAAUAAUACAAUAAUCAUAUAAUGUAAUAAUUAAAAAGACCCACAUAUUUAUAAUAUUAAUGAUGGGAUCCAUACGUUCCUACUGAUUAAAUUGGUGGACCAGAAUUUAUUUGACCUUACUUGUUUUAUAUUUAAUUAAAAAUUGAAACGACAGAGAAAAAUUGUCGUAAUGAUGGUUUCGAUUGUGGAGUUCAGCUGUGGAUAGCACUUGCAAUACUGAAAAAGAAGCUUUCGUCAACUUUCUCACAUGGACGCGCACCAUCACGCAUAAUUGCAUAUUGCAUUAUUUCUCUAGAAAAGCAAAAGCAAGAUUUAUUCUUUUAAUAAGCAAACGCGUAGGUGGGAAUCCAUUCAUUAAACAAGUGGAACAGCAAUAUAUUAAACCAAUGAUAAGCAUUCUUAAGUGGGAAACCAAUUAUGACGGAUAGUUCAAAAUCUGAAUCCGCCUGAUGGACGGGUUUGACCGCAGAGCUCAAGAUAAUCUGAACCAUUCUCCUUUCGUAACUUAUAGAUAAUUUGAAAACAGGGGAAUGAAAACAGAGGAGCCCUGUUUUUCCUUCCUUUUUUUUUUUUUUUUUUCUUACCCAACUCUUCUUCUUUUGUAUAUUUUCCUUGGAAUUUUAGGUAAACCAAAAAACUUUGAGAAUGAUUUCAAGAGAAUAGGUGGGUAAUAACUAAAAUAUUUAUCUAUAUAUUUAUAUAAAGUUGGGACUACAAGAGAUGAUGUGGCAUCACCAUUUCUAAUUUUUGUAUAUUCUCUAUUAUCUAACAAAUAGAGAAAUUUUCUUUCAGAUUUUAUUUUUCAUCUUUUCAUAAUUAAUUUGACUGUUAUUAUACAAUCAAUAUGUAACAGUUCAUCAAAAGACCCACUAUCUUCUUUAAUUGAAACCUUCUUGAUCAGGACUACAAGAAGUAAUGUGGCACUACCAUUUCUCAUCUUUGUAUAUUCUCUAUUAUCUAACAAAUAGAGAAAAUUUCUUUUAGAUUUGGCUUUUUAUCUUCUCACAAUUAAUUUGACUGUUAUCAUACAAUUAAUAUGUAACAGUUCAUAAAAAAACUCACUAUCUUCUCUAAUUGAAGCCUUCUUGAUCAUAAAUUAAGCAAUAAUUUAUAAAUAUUUUUAAUCACUCUUCUCCUCUGACUCACCUAAAUUUAUAAAUAACAACAAAAAAUAUGAUAUCUCAUGUAAAUAUAAAAGAAUAGAAAAUAGCAAUAGCUCUAAAACAUUUUUUUUUUCAUUUUGGCCCUCACUUGCCUGAUCAUGGCAAAUAUUACAAAUGCAACCAGUAGGAAUGAUUGCCUCAACAACAAUAUGAAACCAGGCUACAAUCUUGCAACAAGACUUGAAGUUAGUGGAGGCCAAAUGGAGUGUUGGAACGUGUUAAUGGAGCUGAAAUCAUGCUCAAAUGAGAUUGUUAUAUUCUUCAUUAAUAGUCAGGCUGAUAUUGGCCCUGACUGUUGUCGCACUGGCCUGCAAUGCUCACCUCUCUCGGAUUCACGGCUGAAGAAGGGAACAUACUGAGAGACUACUGUGAUGCAUCUUCUGCUCCUUCUCCAGGUGGCCUCGCGGUGAUAUAUCAGCUUCAGGUUUCCAAGGUUUUUUGGCUUAGACAGGGUGCAUCUAUGGUACUUCAUAAUUAAAAAAAGUCUUUUUGGUUUUAUCUUUUCUUUAUUUUUUUAUUUUUUUUUUGGAAGUCUUGCCUCUUAAUCGAAUAGAAUAAAUUGUUAAAAUUAGAAUAAGAAAAAAAGGAUAAUAUUAUUUUUUUUCAAAGCCGCGCAAAGGGCGGUUCUAUUUCCUAGUUUUUAUAUAUUUGAUAAGCACGCUCACUAUUAAUAAAACCCAUUAAAUGCUAUAACUUAAAUAACUUCUUGUAGUUGAUUGAGAGUAUGUUUGGAAUUUCUUUUACUUCCCAAUAAUUAAUUUUUACCUUGAUUAUCAGAAAAUUAAUUUUAUGAAUAAUUUAGCCGGGUGUUUGGUAAAUGAUGAUUAUUUGACAAUCAGUUUUUAAAUAAUCUAUUAUAUAAAUAUAGUAAGUGAAAAUUAGAAGUAUAAUGUUCAUGUAGAAAUGACAAAAAUGUACUCAUUUACUUAUUUGUAAUUUAUUUAGAAUAUUAUUAUUUAAAUAAUUUUUCUUAUUCAUUGGAUUUUUUAAGAGCAUAUUCUAUUUUCUUGAUUACACAUUUAAAUAACUUUUUAUUAACUAUUUUAAUCUGCAAUAAAAAUUAACUAUAUUAUAUUUAACUAAAAAAUUUGUUAUGUAGUCCGUAAUAUACACAAAUACUUGAAUUUAUUAAUAAACUUAACUGCAAAAAAGAAAAUGCAUUACAUAUAUCUAAUUUCUUAUUUUCAACGAUUGAAAGAUGUUAUUUAGGAAACUUGUACGAGAUAAUUUAAUUUUGGACUAUUGACAUUAUAUUUACUUAGAAGUGGAAAUAGUGGGUGGAUAAAUUUAAUUUUUCAUUAAUUGCUCAAGAAGCAAGAGGAUUAGUGAUGGAUGGAGAGUUAGUGUAGAAUUGUGAGGCCAUUUGAUUACUGCAAGCAUUAUAAAUUUCUUGUUGCUGAGAUUAAUCUAAUUGAAUUAAUGACUCCAUGAUAGACUUAACAAAGGAUUCUUGUGGCAAGAUUUCUAUUUAUGAGGCCAUUUGAUUACUGUAAGCAUUAUAAAUUUCUUGUGGCAAGAUUUCUAUUUAUGACUCCAUGAUAGACUUAAGUUUUAGUGAGACAAUUGCUGCCUGUUGCAGACAUGAUACCUCUAGUACUUCAGAAGAUAGCAUAUCACGAAACACAUCCAGACUAUACUGAGGUUACAUCGAAAAUUCCUUGGCCCAUCGUGCGAGUGUGUGACAUCCCGCAACAAAAAUUAGGGUAUGUACUAUAUAUAUAAUGUGUUUUGAACAUAAUAAUAAGAAUGCUGAUUUUUAACAAUUAAUUUAUUUUACUUUUUUUAGUGGUGAUUGUGGAGAAUUUUUGUUGCGGUACUUGGAGGUCCUAACCCAUGGACUUGAUGUCAAUUCAUAUUGCAAACAAGAUCAUGUUAUACAAUUUCGAAAAGCCUUGGUUGUCAAAUUAUUUGGGCAUAGGUCAUGGAAAAAAACUUUGUAGUGUACUACCCUUAAAAACUUUGUUGGUGUGUCAUUUUUGGACCAUGAGAUGUGAUAGUUAUAAUGAGGAUGUUGUUGAUAUUUGAUGUCAUUAAAGAUAACUUGACAUCAUUAAUAUGUUUUAUUUCUUUGUUAACUAUAUUAAUGAUAGUGAAGAUAGUUUGUACAAUCUAUGUAAUGUAACAGGAUUGCCAUAUAUGCUCAGGGAAUACUCUGUAAGAAAAUACACGACUGCUGUUAGCUAUUUGCACGGAUACAUGACUGCAGUCGAGUAUUUACAAAUAUACAUGACUAGCUCUCUGUAAGAAAAUACUCGACUGCAAUUGGGUAUUUACACAGAUACACGACUGCAGUCAAGUAUUUAUAAUUGUACAUAACCAGCUCUCUAUAAGAAAAUACUCGACUGCAUUCGGGUAUUUACACAGAUACACGACUGCAAUCGAGUAUUUAUAAUUAUAUUUGACCAGCUCUCUGUAAGAAAAUACUCGACUGUAGUCGGGUAUUUGCACAGAUACACGACUACAGCCGAGUAUUUACAAUUAAAUAUGACUAGCUCUCUAUAAGAAAAUACACGACUGCAGUCGGGUAUUUGCACAGAUACACGACUGCAGUCGAGUAUUUGUAAAUAAACAUGACCAGUUCUGUAACAGCCAAAAUACACGAUUGUACUCGGGUAUGUGGACACGGAAUAAAAAAUCAACUAAAACAUUCAUUAUAUUGAUGACACAAUCAAUAUAAACUUUAACAUAUUAAAUUUCAAAUAAAUGAAACUAACUGUAGUCUGGUUGCCUAUCAAACAACAUAAAUCCAAUACUUAUUCGAAUCGUAAAUAAGUCAUAAUACAAUAAAAGUUGUUUAACAAUCAUCAUAAUUUUUUUGCAUUUUCAACCCAAACACUCGGUCCAUAUUUUAUAAGCCUCUAGUAAUUUGGUUGCCUAUUAAAUAACCCGAGAUACUAUUUCUAUCAAUUGUGCAUACGUUGUAGAAUAGGGCACUAUGAUCCCUCUUGCCUUUGUACCAUUAAAUCUAUAAUGGCCGUUUUGCUCAAUCCAUUCACCACAAAACAUAAUUGGCACACGUACUGAAGUCAUUUCCUGUAAUAAUACAACGGUUGAUUAUACAACAAAUACAAAAAUAAAAAUCAAGCAAUGUAUAUAACGAAGUGUGGAUCUGUCUGCCUAUUUACAUGACUCACGUCGUGUAAUUGGUAGUUUACACGACAAUAGUUAUGUAACUUGCUAAAAUACACAACUAUAGUUCUAUAAACAGUCAGAUGAUAUAUUUAGUAAAAAAAGCUGUAAUCUUUGUACUAAUCGAAUGGUAGGUGUCAUAACAGCUACUAUAUCUUCCAAACUUGCACGAUUGUUGUCGUGUAAAUUCAUACAUACAUGACAAAAGUCGUGUAAGUUGCAAAAAUAUAUGACUCAAUAAAUAAUCAGAGGACAUAUUUCUUCUUAAAAAAAUAUUGGGAUCUGAUAACAAUUGGAACAUUUUACAUAUAUACACAAUUAUAGUAUGUAAGUUCAUACGUACACGAUAGUAGUCGUGUAACUUAUUAACACACACGACUAUAGUCCAGUAAUAGUAAAAGGAUAUAUAUAGUGAAAAAAAAAAUAUUUUUUGCACCAAUAGAAUGAUAAAGUGUCAUGAUAAUUGGAAUCUUUUGCACAUUUGCACGACUACAGUUAUGUAAAUCCAUACAUACAAGACUGAUGUCGUGUAUGUCGGGUGCAGAAAAAAAUUUUGGCAACAACUUCAGGUUUUAACGAAUGUAGUUAUAAAAUCCAUCAAAUAACAGUCAUAUGAUGCAAAUGUAAUGAAAUAUGAGUUGCUUUAGUGUUUAUCACAAACCAAACAAAACCCUAAAAAUAAUAUAAUGUCAAUUAAAUGAAUAAAUAACACAAAAUAAAAAAAAAUUUCAAAUACCUUAUUCAUGGGAUGAAUAAUGCACCCAGCUGCAAAUUAAAAUCUCAAUGCAUUAGCUGUUUGUGAGUGAUUUUGAGUAUGGAGUGAGUUUUCGUUGUGUGGAGUUAAAAAAAGUGAGAAGUAAAGAGUGUUAGAGACGAGUUGUGUGUGUUUUAUAUAUUUUUUUAAGGAUAUUUUAAACAAUGUAUCACAUAAAAAGGUAUAUCUAGAUAAUUUUCAAGCAUGUGAUAUAUUUAACUAAAUACCCUACUUUUAAGGUAUCUUUAAUUAAAAACCCUCUUAUAGUUGAUUGAGGGUAUGUUUGGAAUUUCUUUUACUUCCCAAUUAUUAAUUUUUACCUUGAUUAUCAGAAAAUUAAUUUUAUGAAUAAUUUAGCCGGGUGUUUGGUAAAUGAUGAUUAUUUGACAAUCAGUUUUUAAAUAAUCUACUAUAUAAAUCUGGUAAGUGAAAAUUAAAAGUAUAAUGUUCAUGUGCAAAUGACAAAAAUGUACUCAUUUACUUAUUUGUAAUUUAUUUAGAAUAUUAUUAUUAAAUAAUUUUUCUUAUUCAUUGGAUUUUUGAAGAGCAUAUUCUAUUUUCUUGAUUACAUAUUUAAAUAAUUUUUUAUUAACUAUUUUAAUUUGCAAUAAAAAUUAACUAUAAUAUAUUUAACUAAAAAAUUUGUUAUGUAGUCCGUAAUAUACACAAAUACUUGAAUUGAUUAAUAAGCUUAACUGCAAAAAAGAAAAUGCAAAAAUUUAAUCUCUAUAUAAACUUUUAUGUACACAAAACUAUUGUAAUAAAGUAAUUCAUAGAAAUAUAAUAUUAUAUACAUGUGUAAAGAAAUAUAUAACUAUAAUAUUAUCCACUUGUAGCACUAUUAUUUUUCAAUCUCUCCAUCUCUUGAUCUUCAAGAACGUUAGUACCAUGAUCUGCUUCUUGAGUUCGACCUCCAUUUCCACAGCAUCAACAAGGCAAUCAAUUUGCCGUGAAAGCCUUACAGCUCCUCCCACUUUCCUCCUUUUUGUAGCCACUCUUUUUCCCUUUCUUUAUUUAGUAGCUUCUAUGGAAAUGUUGUGAAAAUUUUAAUAUACUCGCAAGCGCACGAAUCUAGAAAUAGAAUAGUAGUAACGAGGUCGAUCCCACAGGGAUUGUUAUAAAUUAAAAAGUCUAAUUUAAAUCUAAAAUUAAUAUUAAUUCUAACCUAGUUGAGCAAAUUGAGUUUUUAAGAAAAUUAAACCAAUAAAACUAAGGAAGCAAUUAAAAUAAAGGAGAAUUCAAUAAGAUAAGAAUUACCAAGGUUUUAGAAUCCACCACUAUUCAACUAGUAAUUAUCUAAUUAUUAAUUAAUCCCCAAUUUUGGAGUGACAACUCGAAAUCAAUCUAUGUCAUCUCAUGGAUAUAACAAUUAAGCCCAAGUAAUUAAAUCUAAUGUAAGUUCUUUUUCUGCUUAAUAAUAUGACAUCUAAGAAUCUCAUGUAAACAUAUUGAAUAACAAAGAGUCAAAGUUUUCCUAAGCACUCUAUGUAAACAAUUUAAUGAAAGACAUAGAAUCAAAGAUAAUCAUGUAUAAACUUUAUAAAUUCAAGCAUAGAUUUAAUUGAAUAUUAAUCCUAACAAUCAAUAAUGCAUGACAGAAUUGAUGAAAAGAUUUUAUUAAUAUCUAAUUAAUCAUGUGAAAUAAAAACCAUAAUCAUCAAAGAACAUAUAUAGGGAAUUAAUUAAAUAAAAAGAUAAUUAUUUCAUUGAAUAGGGUUUCAUCCUUAACCUCAGUAUAAGAAAAUUAGUUAGACAUACUUGAAUUGAGAGCAACAAAAUAAAUAAAUUCAGCCAUGGGGAAGCCGAAUUGCUGCAGAUUUUCUUCUCUGUCUUGAAUCCUUGCGUCUCCAGUUCUCCCUUCUGACGGCUCUCUUGCCUUUAUAUAAUGUUACUAACUUGCUUAAUCCUUAUUGGAUUCUAAUUGCAUUAAUUCUUCUCCACCGACUUAUAAAGCCCACUCACCAAGGCCUUUUAAAAUUAUUUCCUUACUAAACUUUGAAAGCAAAGCACACGUUUGACCACAAAAGCAAAAGGCCAAUUAAUGAUUUCUUCUUUUAAUGCCCAGCACAUGCAUUCCAAAUUGCCAAAUCUUUGCUUUCCAAAUGCAUGCCCACCGUUCAUCCUUUGAAGAGAUUGACUUCCAAUUUUGGUCUUCUUGACUUCCAUUAAUUCUUGGUUGCAUUUUUGUCUUCCAAUUUAAUCUUUAUUCCUUCUCAAUUUGAAGUGUUUUCAUGCCCUUUUUAUCAACAAUCUCCAAUUAAUUCCCUAUUCAAUAAAACAAUUCAAUUAAUUAAAAAUAACAAAUAAAUAUAACUAGCAAUUAUAUUAUUAAGGGUAAAAUAUGUAUAUAAAUUAUGCUCAUCAGGAAACAAACUCAUCGAACUACCAGUACAUUUUUCAAUUAGAUAGGACUGAUAGUAGAUAUUCAGUACUCUCAGAUGGUGUGCAAACAUGAUCAUCAGUGAUUGUUGUCUUAAAAAGCAUUCUAUUUAAUUGUUCCUCUGACUCUGGCAUGCAAAAUUUCUUGAUUCACGAAUUUCCUACGUAUGUUGAUAUCAUAUUAAAAUGAAUUCAAUAUCACAUNNNNNNNNNNNNNNNNNNNNNNNNNNNNNNNNNNNNNNNNNNNNNNNNNNNNNNNNNNNNNNNNNNNNNNNNNNNNNNNNNNNNNNNNNNNNNNNNNNNNGCAUGUUGUGAGCUUAUUACCAAAAAUGAGACUAUAUAUUUAAGCCGAAUGGUAAAAAACUUCGGAUGGAGGAUGUGCCAUCUUUUUAUUUUAGAUGCUUUCGGAUGGAGGAUGUGCCAUUUUUUUAUUUUACAUGCUUUGUAAGACUUUUAAUGAUCGAGUGCAGUCAAUUAACAAAAGCUUACAUAUUAUUUGUUGAAAAUUGAUUUUAAAAAAAGAAGUCAAAAUGAUGGGUGGUUGAGCCUGUUGGGGAAAAAUCAGGUUUUUAAAUUUUUAUAAAACCUUUUGAAGAUCGCUCUCAUAUAAUAUAUAAGAAUUCGUAUUCUAGAAAUCGUACCUUGUAAAUCUGAGUUUGCUUUUUCCGCUGAAGUGAUUUAGGCUCCUAGAUCACGAUCCGCCACCACCACUCCUGUUAGAUCACGAUCCGUCACCACCACGCUUGUUAGAUCACGAACUGUCUCCAAUGAUCUUCCAGGUUAUGACUCAGGUUCGAUCUGCACUUGACGUGUGGGCGCCUUUAUCACUACCAAAGCAACUAGCACGAGAAAAUUUUUCUCUCAAAAAUGGAGAGAAAAAUCUUAUUCUCUGAUUUGUAUAAAGUGGCUUCUCCACUUUUUCUUUAGAGAAAAAUAAGCCUUUUAUAUCACUCUUUAGUGAAAACCCUAGGCUCCAAAUAAAAUAAAAUCAAAACCCACGUUAUUUACUUUUUCAAUAGGGGACCCACCUUGUAAAAUAACAUAAGGCCCGUUAUACAAAAGCUAAUUAAAUGGAGCCUCCCACUAAAUGAUAUAUUUAGGCUUUUGACCCAAAUUGCUAGUUAUCUUACUUAUUAGUCCAGUAGUGGUGCAAUCAAUUAAAUGAGCUAACCCGGGGAUCAUUUGGGAACAUACAAUAGUGGCUACAAUAAUUAGGCAUGUAAUUAAACUAGCCCAAUUAUUUAAUUCCAAAUCUACUCCACUAAAAGAUUGGAACUGACUUCCAUAAUUGUAUGCUCGAAUAAUAAUUCGUCCCAAGCCACAUUGAUUUCUUUACUGCACAAUCCUUUGUACCACAUCGUUAAUUAAAUUGAUAUCUCAACUGUCCAAUCAAUUUAAUAACAUCUUAUUCCUUGAUCCUUACUGGUUUUCUCUAAUGAUCAUUUUCAACAUACUAAAUAUGUUGACACACUCUGGCCAGAGAAUUCUAUGAUCAAGUACCGAAAACCUAUCAAGAGAUGUGUUGUACAAAUUCUAUAUUGUUAAUCCAUAACUCCAAUACUCAUAAUUGCUCCCACCAAGAUACCGGGUAAUCUUGACCACAAGGAUGUGUCGUGCCCAUUGGUAACUCAAAUGGAAUAACAAUCACAAUCAUGAAAUCAUAAUUAACUCAAGAUUAAGAUUACAGUAAAAUCAAUGCCUAUGAGAUUUAAUAAGUCUGACAGUUAUUACAAAGUUAAUUAAAUCUCAUAUGUGAUCCUGUUCAAUGUAGUCGUACUACAUCAAUAAAUUCAUACAUGAUUAAGACAAAUCAUUCAAUGAAUUUAUUACAGUCUAUACCUAAAUAAAGUGCCCAACUUUAUUUAUCAACUGCGAACUAAAUUUAUUUAAUCAUAAGAUAACUUGUAUUUAUGUCUUCUGUGAAUCCACAUGGUGAUCACAUAAAUACAUAUAAUAUGAUUAAAUGGACUUUAAUACAAAUAUUAAUGCAAUUAAGAUAUUUGAAUAAAAUACCUCAUUAAUUUUAUUAAUCAGAAAAAAUGUUUAUUACAAUUAAAUAAACACAUAUGCUUUUAAAGAGCAUAUUUUCCCAACAGAGCCAUCAUCUUUGAAUUCAAAGAUGGUGGGUGGCCAAGUUAGCCACCAUCAUUGAACAAGAAAAAAUGGGUGGGUGCCGCCCAUGCAAUGAAGAAAAGGGAGAAAAUGAAGCCAAAGUUUGGCUAUAAAUAGAGGGGUUCUCCCUCUCAUUUUUGUAUCCCAGAGAAGAAAUCCCAAAAUUUGAGAAGCAAGAAUAUGUAAGAGAAGCAUUGAGAGCUUCCAACAUGGGAGAGAAAUAUUCUUAAGCAUGUAUUUAUAUUGAAAGAGCAUUUGGCUCCUCAAUAUGGGUAUUACGGGUUUGAUUUGUUAAGGAAUAUUUCUCGCAAUUAUGUAUUUGGGGCUUGGGUGAGAGAAAAUUAUUUAUGAGAGUGUGGUUGUAAUAAUUUUCCACAUAGUGAAAUUUUUUUUUUCUGGUUGUCUCUUGACAACGGCUAUGGUUUUUCUCCGGAUUUGGAGUUUUCCACGUAAAUCUUGUGUUGUGUGAUUGUUGUAUUCUCCAUUUAAAUUUUUUGUUAAUUUGUUGCUUGACAAAUUGCUUGGAGUGAUCUUGGAAGGAAACUCAAUUUCCUAACAGUGGUAUCAGAGCCAUUGAUUGAAGUUUUGAUGUCGAGGUACUGUUCACGUAGACAUUACUAUUUCACGUAUACGAUAUUGUUCAUGUAUACGGUAUUGUUCAUGUGAAGCAGUGGGAGCCAAUCUAAAUUGUCCGUGGUGAAGAGUAUAGGGUCAUUAUAAAGCAAAUAUGUCAGUAGCUGGUAUUUUUCAAACUUGGUGGAGUUUGAUGUUGUUCAAAAAUUAAUGGGAGAAUGAUUUUUUGUUGGCUUGUGGAGAAUUCAAGUCAAAGGUGUAUCCAAUCUGGUAUGCACAAAGAUUUGAAGGUGUGGACAAUUUUGGCACCUCAAGAAAAUUGUCAAGAAGGUGGAGCGGGCUCGACAAAUUACUCCAGAAUCAGUAAAAGAAAUACUGAUAUUUCUCGCAGAUGGUGAAUUUGUUUUUGAUAAGAGAUUGGAUUAGUUCUUUUGGCAUGUAGAUCUCCAAGUUACCAUAAAAGAGAACAUGUUAUUAUCAGUGGGGUCCACAAGUUUGCACGAGGGCAUUGGCUUGGUAUAAAUGCAAGGUGUGUGGUGGAAAAGUUAUGUCAUGGCUGAAGAAUUCUCAGUGAAACCAAGCAUGAGAAUUGCACUAUAAAUUUCAGCAGGAUAUUUUGAUAUGUGCCGAGAAAAAUCUUAGAAUAGUUGAUUCUAAGUGGUAUACUCAUUAUGGUGUAGUGUGAUAAUUCUUUAUAUUGAGAAUUAUAACUAUUGGUGAAGACAAUGUUUUGUAGUAGUGACUAUGAAAUUCUUUUUUUUAAUCAUGGUAGAGAUUGUUGAAAAUUGAUUUUAAAAAAAGAAGUCAAAAGGAUGGGUGGUUGAGCCAUCAUCUUUGAAUUCAAAGAUGGUGGGUGGCCAAGUUAGCCACCAUCAUUGAACAAGAAAAAAUGGGUGGGUGCCGCCCAUGCAAAGAAGAAAAGGGAGAAAAUGAAGCCAAAGUUUGGCUAUAAAUAGAGGGGUUCUCCCUCUCAUUUUUGUAUCCCAUAGAAGAAAUCCCAAAAUUUGAGAAGCAAGAAUAUGUAAGAGAAGCAUUGAGAGCUUCCAACAUGGGAGAGAAAUAUUCUUAAGCAUGUAUUUAUAUUGAAGGAGCAUUUGGCUCCUCAAUAUGGGUAUUACGGGUUUGCUUUGUUAAGGAAUAUUUCUCGCAAUUAUGUAUUUGGGGCUUGGGUGAGAGAAAAUUAUUUAUGAGAGUGUGGUUGUAAUAAUUUUCCAAAUAGUGAAUAUUUUUUCUUUGGUUGUCUCUUGACAACGACUGUGGUUUUUCUCCGGAUUUAGAGUUUUCCAUGUAAAUCUUGUGUUGUGUGAUUGUUGUAUUCUCCAUUUAAAUUUUUUGUUAAUUUGUUGCUUGACAAAUUGCUUGAAGUGAUCUUGGGGUGAAACUUAAUUUCCUAACAUUAUUUAGGUGCUGAGAUGUCUGUUCUUGAUAAAGUAGAUUUAUUUACACCCAAGCCAACGUAACAAAAGCCUAAUAUACACAAUAAUUAUUUUUGUUAGACUGAUUUCUAGCUAAUGAGAUCUUUGAAAGCAUUCAAAGAAGCCACAGAACUCAUAGGAAAGCCCUGAUAAAAUAUACGGCGAAGCAUGUGAGCUCGUUUUUUAAUCUCUUGAUCACUCAUAAGCUUUUCUAUACCAAUGACUAUAUCAUUCUUUUGAAUCGAUUUUGAUUGAUCAUUAGAAAUCAUGUACCCCACCUUUAGAUGAUUGAUCACCAAUUUGGCAUUGUAAUGUUGAUCAUCUCUAAUUGGCCAUGCUAAAAUUGGAACCCCACACCAAUGGCUUCUACCAUUGAAUUCCAUCCACAAUGAGAUAAAAAUUCACCCAUUGAUUGAUGAUUCAAUAUCAAUAAUUGUGGCGCCCAUCCAUCUAUUAUCAAUCCCUUUUUACUGGCUUUACUACCCAAACCACUAUGAAAAUAAUUGCCUUCUGCUGGUCUGUCUAAACCAGUUAAAUGACACGGAGGAUCCAAUCUACCAGCACCAGUUUGAAUUACCCAAAUAAAUGGUUCAUUUGAUACUUCUAAAGCAUUGGCUAGUACUAAAUACUCAUCUAACUUGGACCCACUUCGAUACCAAAUGACACAUAUAACACAGAUCCUCAUGAUUUCAAAUCCAACCAUUGAAUGAUCUCAUCUUCGUUCAUGUUAGAACUCCACCGAUUGGUUCUCAUCUCACGAUCACGAAGCACUGAACCCGCCCCAUUUGUAAAAUUGUUCAAGUAAUAAUGGGCCUACUCCCCACAUUGGCUUUCCCAUUCGAUUGACUAAAUAAUGGGAGAUUGCCAAUUUUCCCCUACUAUAAUCAAUAUAUAUCAUUUAUUCAUUUACUAUUUUUAUAAUGGUCAAAAAUCCCCUUGACAGUAUAAGUUUAUAAUAUUACUUUUAUUUUUAAUUGCUCUUUUAUUUAUAUUUAUUAUAAAUAAAAUAAAUCACAUGAAUAAAAAAUAAAUAAAUAAUUAAGUAUUAAAAACAAGAAAUAUAUGUUUUAAUAUGAGCAAAAAAUUUAAUAAUAAAUUUUUCUUGUAAUUAUUUAUUUUGUGAAUAUUUUCUUAUAAUAAACAUUUAUAAUAUUUUAAAAUUAAAUGUAAAAAGAAUAGGCAAAAUAUUUUAUUAUUUAUCUUAUAAUAAAUUUUUAUUUGUCAUUCAAGUUUUCUUAUAAUAGUUUUUUAUCAUUUUAUAAUAAUUUUCUUAUAUAUUUAUUAUAAGAAAAUUUUCAAAAAAUAAAUAAGUACAAGAAAAAAUUACAUUAUUGAUUUUUUUGCUCAUAUCAAAACAUAUAUUUGUUAUUUUUAAUGCUUAAUUUUUUAUUUAAUUUAUAUUCAUGUGAUUUAUUUAAUUUAUAAUAAAUAUAAAUAAAAGAGUAGUUGAAAAUAAGGAUAAUAUUAUAAACUUAUGUUAUCAGGAAGAGUUUUUGGUCAUUAUAAAAACAGGAAGGAGGUAAAUGGUAUAUAUUGAUUACAAUAGGGGGAAAAUUGGUAAUCUCCCCUAAAUGAUUAAUAAAUGGUCCCUCAAGAUCAUCACAGGUGUUGAACAUCAAAGCCAUCCAUUCCUCCACUUCCUUCAUCCAGUGUGGUUGAUCACGGGGUUCGAUGGACUCAUUUUCUCUGAACCGGGCGCACCUCGCAAAGGUAGUGGACCACGAGGAAGGGGCCCGUGAGGCCCGUAUUUAAGCUACGAUUCGAAUAAAGCCAUAUCCUUGGGUAACCCAGGAAGUAAAUGGGCCUCUCCCGGUUUGACAUCUUGGAUGCGAGCCUGCUACAUGGCACACUCCACGCUGCUGAGCAAGCACCAGAAGUGAAGAACCCAACAAUGGGACCUUCAAAAUUCUUGAAAACAUCAGCCGUCCAGCCCAUCAUAACGUCGAUGACUGCACAAAUGGGUCGGGUUUCGGGUUCCCGGGUUGAAAGGGGUUUUGAAGGCCUUGAAGCAUUUGACUGUGCAUGACAACAUGGUGGUGGUGGUGGCAGUGGUGGAGAUGAGGAGAGUAUUUCAGUAAUUUCGAAUAGAGGGUAUUGGUGAAGAGGGGAAGGGAUGAUGCCGGUGCCGGAAAUGUGAGAGGGAACGAAUAUUUUAACAGGGACGGAGCCAGCGUGGGACGAGGUGGGGCACAGGCCCCAGCUGGCUUUUAAUUUUUUUUUAUAAUUAUACUAAAAUAUGUAUUUUAUUUGUUAUUUAUGAAAAAUGUCUCAGCUGAAUUGUAAAAUUUAAAAUUGACUCCAGUAAUUUUAAAAUAUUUCAUACUGUCCCUAAUUUAUAUUUUUAAUUAUAAAUUAUUUAAUUAGUUAUUAACAUUUCAUGAAACUUUAUUAAAGACACGAGAACAAAUAUUAAAAUAAAAAAUAAUCAUAACAAAAUGUUAGUAUAAUGGUUAAUGGACUAGUUUUUAAUCUUUUUAUUUUUUAUUCAAGUAAAAUUAAUUAUUUAGUCUUUCAACACUGACCAUAAGUUGUAAGUCUUCCUAAUUCUAAUUUAUAAUUUUCUAAUUAAUCUUUUAUCUAGUUUUAAAAUUUAUAAUUUUAUCAUGCAUUUCAUAUUUGUUCUGUGUGUUGCAAUAUUUGAAUAUUUUUGUUAUUAUUAAAAGAUUUUAAGAGCAAAUUAAGUAAUAACCUAGUCUUGUAUAUUGAAAAAUAUAUUUUUGCUUAUAUUGAUAAUUCAUUAUUUUCAACUCAUAAAAUCCCAUUGAGGAGAUUUCGCGGAGAACCAUUGUAAUAAGUAAAUUUAUUAUCAAUGAAUAUUAUAGUUGUAAUGCUAUUUAUUGAUAUCUAAAUUUUUAAAAAUGUAUUAUACUUUAAAUAUGCUUUCAAUUAGAUGCAUACAGACGCACUCUAUAAGAAGUACAAUUGUACAUGUAGCAAGCUCCCAUUUAGAGUUUAUAGGGCCCACAAUACAGUUUCUCAAAUGACGACUUAUCACACGAGCAAUCGUACAUUCGAGUCAUCUUUAAUUUUAAAUGUGCCCCAGCUCUAUCAAAAUCCUGGCUACGUCCCUGGGAACGAUGAGGGUAGAUUUGUAAUUACGUGAAGCGAUUUACUUGCAUAAUUCAAUGCAUGGAAAUAGAUGUCCCUGACCGAAGAAUGAGACAAUCCAAAUCUCAGCCUCAGCAGCAUUAACGACAGAGCUUGACAUAUUUUAUUAAUCAUUUGAUACUUAAUUAUUACUGACUGCUUUUGCCACCUUUCGUAAAACAUUCUUGGUUAUAUAUAAAAGAGAUGAUUUGAUGGCGAAGUGUGUGUUUUACUUUUACAGUUUUACUAGUCGGUGAGCUAUGAUUUUGAUAAUUUGAUUGUUAGUUUCAGUUGGUUAGUUAUGAGAAAGCAUCUUUCAAAAAAUUCAUUACAGUUUCAACUAAAAUUAACAAUACUAUUCAAAUUAAUUACUCGAUAAAUAAAUAGUCACAGAUAAAUCUAUCCCUAAUCACACAUUUAUAAAAUAAGGAUUGAAAUGAGUUUCUGUGGCUUCGAACCCACGCCCUCAAGCCCAGCGGCUGGAUCUUGACUACUUUGACAUAAUUAUUAUUAGUUUUUGUCCAUCUUUCACCAGGCAUCUUUUGUUAUAUAAUGAAGAAGAUAAGUUGACGGAGAAGAGUUCUACUUUUACUAGUAGAUGAGCAUUGAAGGUUAGUUUUAGUUAGUUAAAUAUCUACCAUCCAAACCAAAGUUCCUUAGACUAUUAUUCAAGUGAGAUGUUUGAGUAACAUAUGCUUGAGUUAGUCGGUGCCUAACAAUUCAUGUGAUACAUGAAACCAACCAAAUGAAGUUGGUAGGAUUAGAUUAAUUUAAAUGAAAAUAAAAAUUAGUUUAUGCUAUUUAUUUAUCUUAUAAUGUUGAAACUUGAAAGUUAACUCUUCAACCUGUCAAUUGGUUCAUGACAUGAUCAAAUAUUCAAGUAAAUAAAUUUAUCGGUUAAAAUUAAUUUUUCAUGUGGUAAAAGCAAUACUAAAUAUGGAGUGGAGAGAAUCAUUUGUAGGUUAUACCCCCACCUUUUAUUUCAUUUCAUUUAAAAAAAAAAACAACAACAACAACAAAGGCUUGGUCAACAUCCAAGUAAAAUUAACAAUUCCAUGAUAAAAUUGCCUGAGAAUAAAAAUUAAAAAAAAAAAAAAACAGCAACUCGAAAACGAGAUACAAAUACCGCACAGAAGUUUUUCGUCACGAGAUAUUUUUGGGUUGAGACAACGCUUGUAUAACAGAGCAUACAGCUUGGAUGACGGUGAGAAUAAGAAGGAAAACGGCACCGCAGACCGAAAUUCCAGCCCAUGGAGUAUUGAAGUAAUUUUGUUUCAAGUUUGCCCUCCAUUUGUAGCACGUUCUUUUGCAGUGAUCAUUCAAUCCUUUGCAUAGCCCAGAAAAAUAGAAGCUAUCAGACAGCAGAGUAGUACCUCUAGAAAGGUUAUUUAUAAGCGUUGACGCUGCCUCUUUAUCCGGCAACCAGUUCUCAAUGAUUCCGUUCUGAACAAGCAACUCGACGUCCUUCGCUGUGUUCACGAGAUUAUGAAUAAGGAACACGUAAUCAUUUAUGUAAUUCUCUGAGUAAUGCCGUUGUUCAAAGGCAAUGAGAUUACGAAAUAAGGAUUCCGUUUCCAGCUGUAGCUUCAGUUUCGGAAUAUGCAAUGUCCUGUUUUUGAAUUCUAUGGCGAACAAAUCAUUGCUCUUGCUCAAACUGAAGUGGACUCCAGCUUGGUGGAGAUCAGUCACACUUGGUGCGGUUUUACCUUUGUGGUAUUGCUGACCUUCUUGUUUUUCCUGAUUCCUUGAUGAUGGUAGAUGACAAAUCCUUAGAAAAUCAAGGAAAUGCUCUACCCUAGCCUCAGUGUAAGGAGGGAAUUUUUGCCGAUUACCUUGUACUGCCUCUAAACCCUUGAAAUACUCGUAUGUGACUGUGAUGAUGGUUGGAUUUUCAUGUUGGUCGGGGAUUUCAAUUGCCGCUAGAGCAAAAAGAUCCUCAAGAGUGAAGAAAGGAAGCUGAUUCUCAAGCAACCACAUAUCAUACCAUAUAUCCUCUAUUAAAUAGGGUUUUAUGAAAUAUAUGAUCAUCCUUUUUUUGAAGUUGACGGAAAUGAUACCUCAAUAAGAGUUCAAUGAUGAAGGCAGCAUCCAGCAGAAUCAUUUCAACAAAUUUAUCACUACUUAGUUCGACUUUUCUGCAUAAGAACCUCGUAAUUCUGCUUCUCUGAACUUUAUAAUUUGAACAAACUCGUCAAAGCUUAUUUUGGUCCGUUGAAGAAAGUAAUGCAGGUACCGCUGUUUAUGUUCUUCCAUUAACUGUAAGUUUGCUUUGCCAUGGUGAAGAGGGCCAAUUGAGACUACCUGAGGUGUGUAUACCUUUUCAUUUAUCUGACGUAAUCGCUCUGGAACUCUGUAGAUGCAGCAGUUUGAGGGCAAUGGUGAUAAUUUUUUCAACUUAACUUGCAAGCAUUCUUCCAUGUUAUAAACUGAAAACAUGGCGCGAAAUUUAAUCAAUUCAACGCUUAAUAAGGCAUAGUAAUUAAAAAAGAAUUAAAAAAAAAAAAUACAAGAGCAUUCUUACAAGUACAGAAGCACCUCAAUCCCUACUAUUUGCAGAGCUGUAGCCAGGAUUCAAUGAUAGACCGGACUGAACUAAAAGGAACAACUUUCUUAGGAAUAUGUUAUCGGCAUUUUCUCUGGCCUCAGGCCAUCAACAAAGCAGUUUCAGUGCUUCUUAUAUAAUUCCAUGGAUUAUUCCUUGCCUUUACAGAUGAUAUAAGUCACAAUUCAUAUAUUAAUUUCUCCAGAUUCCGUACAAGUGGACCAUAACUAUGGAAAAAUUCAAAGAAUGCAACAGCCAUUUGAUUGGUCCAUGUCAGAAGUUAAUCUGGGGAAAGAAGCUUGAUCUAGCUGUAAAAUUCUCUCCUUCAAUCAGUCAGUUUGGGGCAGCAACAAGAUCAAAGCCACCACGCAAACAUUUACUAAAGUUUAUAUAAUAUUCUUGAACCUCAUCUUAAGUAAAGCAACAAAAGCCUUCACUGUUUCUUAACAACUUUAUUGCUCUAACACAUAGCAUAACAUUUUUAAAUUUGCAUAAAGCACAAUAGUACUUCAGUUUGUAACAACAGCACGGAUAAUAAAUAGCAUUUUAUAGCUUUAACAAAAGCAUACAAAAUUCUUAAACCUUGUUUCAAGCAAUCCAUUAAUGCCACAAGGAUAUCUUUUUGCUUCCUACAGUUUUUAUUGAAAUUCAUAUAUUCUUCUUUAUCAAAUUAAGUAAUUUUCCUUUUUCAAAAAAUCAAGAAGGUUUCGACUGCAUGGAAAUACAGCACACAAUUACUACUAUUCCCGGAGUAAGAAAUUCAUAAAUGCAAUAUAAACAUACAUUUUCAUAAGACAUCAGAAUCAAAGAAUCAUCAAUGCAUCAAAUCUGUACACCCAAAAAAGUUGAAAGCAUCAAGAGAAAAUUAUACCGCAUGGACCCUUUACAACCCUUAUAACGAGUUCAGACAGCCUAAUCCAAUUUGAUAGAUUUGAGGACAGCUACAAUGUGCAAUACAAAAUUUCCCAAUACUAUUUAGAACAAAGUCUAGAAAACAAAACUUAUAUAUUGUACAAAAUCAUGAAAACCAGAAAUGACGAAAAACCUGCAAAUGUAAUUUUUGGGUUUCUUCAACAUAUCUUCCAUCCAAAUCAAACAAGAAUCGAUAAAUCAACAACAUUCAUCUUUAAACGACAUAUUACCACAAUAAAAUUGUCAACCAAGCCUCAUAUAAACCUUUUUUGUGUUUUUUGGUAAAUAUGUUUGUUUUUCUCUAAGAAUACUAGGGAAAAAAGAAACCCACUUUCUUAAUCAAGAAUCAAAUAAUAUAUAUGAAUCUAAGCUGAAGUAAGUCUUGGGUUUGAUGAAAUAGCUUGCAUUGCGAUUUAGAUUGGAAAGGAAGUUGAUUUUUACUGGUUGAGAGAGAGAGAUUUGAGACUUAAGAGAGUGUUGCUAAUCUUCAAUCGUGUAAACAAGGGUAACUGGGUCAUAGUUCAAAAUAAGGGUCCAAAAUUUACUAAAGCUAUUAAGGAGCCCAAAACUCAUAAUGGCUUCCCCAAAAUAAAUAAAAUUUUCUAGCAUUAAGUUUUUGUUUCUUCUUGAGAUUUCCUUGUCGUACUUACCCAUAUUUCGAUAUUGCCUCCAAGUAAACUUAUAUAUAUUGAUUAACAAUAUAAACAAGCACUAUGAAGUUUUAGGCCUGAAAGAACAUUAGGAUUGAAAUGAAAACCAUCUAUUUAAGUAACAAAUUCUUCUGAUAAUCUGAUGCUUAAUUUAGAGAAGAGAUGACAUAUCAAUCACGUUAUGAUGUGGAAGUUAUGAUUAUAUUCAUCUUAGAAUAAGAUCUUUCAGGCACUGGCAGAUUAGUAUAAAAAAUACUCAGCAUAAGACCUACAAACUAGAAAUCACGCACCAAUUAUUGAACUCAGCACAUAAGUUGAUCUUUUAUAAGCUAUAAAACAAAUCUGCUAUAACAUAAGAAAGUGGGAUUUAUCACCAGACAAGUAUUUUGGUGAAACUCAAGCUGACGGAAGGAUAUCCAAAGCAACCUCCUUAAGGGAAGGCAUCACUUCCUGCUGAUGCAAACAUAUAUAUUUAUUACUCACUUUCUUGAGGACCUUCUAGGAACCUGGGUAGCACCUAACAGAAAGUGGAAAAGAAUAAAAUGUAAAAUAUAAGUUAAACAGCAGGAAAACAGUGAGUGAUACUAGGCAAGCAUUAAUAUGUUGCCGCAAGAAAAGUGUCAGUAACUAGCUAGCAAACCUGAAAAGGGUUCCUCCAUUACGACCCUUAAAAUUGUGAAUGUAAUAUAUGGUCUCCAUCACAGGAAAAAGUGUUUUGGAUAGUGCAGCCAGCUUAGGGUAGAAGAAUGACGGAUAAUCUUAGCUCAUUUAAGGAAAUCCUCUCUGAUCCUUUCAUUGCACAUUCCAAAACAACUCUACUACAACCAAGUUACCAAUUCUUUUUGUUAAGUCAUUGUUAUUUGUUAAAAAAAAAAAAAAGUCUUCCUUGUAACAUUUUAUUGAAAGAUAUAACAUGAUCAUCCCUAUUAAUUCCCUUUUAGAUUUCUGUGAGUGAAUUUCAAAUUAUUGUAUUAAAAAAUAGAAGCAAAAGACCCACUUUACUUUCAAUUUCUGCAACAAGAUACCAAUUGAAGGACCAAAAAGUUGUAAACAAGCAAUUCAAUGAGUGGACAUCUAGAAACUGCUAUAUAGCAUCAAAAUCAUACUAAAUUUACAGAAAGCACGAUAAGAAUGAAAGAAUGGUGAAGGAUACACCCAGACCUUAUCCGGUCAAGUUCUCCAUUGAAUAUAAUCAGUUUCCGGGCAGUAUUGAAGACAGCUUCUUUGUAAAGCUCUUCAACGACAAGCAUUUCUACAAGACAAAAGAAAAGCAAAAUUAAUUACCUUAAGGAAUGAAUAUCAAUGAGAAGACAAGGUGUAAGACUACCAUUGACAUUAAAAUAUGGAUAGGCGACUAGAAACAAUUCAUCUUCCGGCUUCACACGGUCUGCCAUUUUAACCUUCUCAGUGAAUCCAAAAUCCUCAAAGAAUGAAGGUUUUGUUAGAUAGUCCAACUUAAAUGAUGAUCCUUCAAAGACCGAUUUUCUUGCAAAUUUGACUUCAUUUGCCUCUGGGAAAAACUAAAAACCAAAUGACAGACCAAGAUCACGAAACGAAUCAUGAACGUAGAUAUCAGAUAAUCAGAAAUGGGCAUUAAACAGACUACUAACAAGUAGGAAAUGCAUACAGAAAACAUUAUUCAUACACCUUAUGCACAUGAAAUAUAUAUGCAGAGGGAUCCUCUUGUGAAUUUAGUUUAUAUCCUAAUAUGAGACGAUGAACAAUUGGAUGCCAUCUAAGGGCUAACAUUUGUUUGAUUAUUAUAUGAAAAAAAAAAAAAACAGAGUUGAUUGAUGGCCUUUGAUGGAUUGCCUACACUCCUAAAGUGCAGAGAGCCUGAUUGAUUGCUUUACCUGCCCCCCACACACACUUGAUUUUAUUAUCUCUCUUUUCAAAUAUAUAAUCAUUGCCUGUCUUUCAUCCUGAUCCAGCUCUCCUUCCAGGCACCAGCUGUGUUUUCUUCAAUUCAGUGAAACAUUCACUUUCAGGUAAGAAUAAACUUGUCCUUCCUCAAAAACCAACUUCUCACCAUGAAGCUUUCUUUUUUAAAACAAUUACUAGUCUAGCAUAAUUGAAGACAACUCAGAAUUGAAAAAGCCAUACUUUAAUGUCUGCUGUUGGGACCUCAAGACCAGGAACAAAAAGCUUCUUUCUAACCGUUGGAUUAACAAGUAGAAAUAGCUUUUUUCUGAAGGACCCAACAUUGCAUUGAAAAAUUCAACAAAAUGACUGGCGUCAUAUUUAGUCCUGCUAGAAUUUUGUGCACUUAACACAAUGGCUAAUAAUUGGCCCAGCGGACACUUUGUCGAACUACUGGCAACCUUGACUGUGGAAAUGCAUAUUUCAAAUGUUGGCAGGCUCUAGCUUCUUGAUGUACUGUUGAUAGAAAUGCCUAUUUCAAAAGUUGGCAGGCUCAAACUGCCGAGACUUUGGUUUCUUACAUUUCAAACCCACAAAUAAAACUUUGGCAGAACCCCAGAAAGAGCUACACCUCCCAAAUUUGAUGACAUAUGAGGAGACCAUGCCUAGUGCUUGGUUCGGCAAAUGAGUAAGUUUGAAAGAAAUUGAGGGAAACCUUUCCCACAGAGAGUCAUAUUGAAGGUUACAAUUUGAAGACUUUGUCCCCUGUCGCCCGUAACCUUCUUUGAUCUCUUUUCUUAGUCAUAAAUAAUCAAACAUGUGUUAGUCGUUGGAUGCAAUCCACUCACUGACAUCUCAUGUCCACAAUCAAUCAACCAUAUUUUAAUAGAAAUGAAAACAUUUUAAUUAAAAAAAAUGAGAUAGGAACAAAAUCAAACUUGGCAGACAUGGUCUAUGAGAUUUUAAAGAUGCUUGGUGAAAGUUGUAUUCAAGAGUUCAACAGUCAGUUCUAUCACCUAUGGCAAAGUAACCACCGCAACUAAAGCAAUUACAAAACAUCAAGAAGCUUGAACUUGGCAAGAGGUCUCAUUAACAGUAUACCUCAGAAAUUAAGACAGACUUAAAGUGCAAGCUUUUGGAUUUAUUUAAACACUGAAAAUAAUAUGGGUAGAAGCUCCUAUGGUCACAGCAAACAAUUACAAAGCACAAAACCCAAAAAACAGAUAUGCAAAAAGCUGCAAAAGAACAUUAUUAGCAAUUGACAUCUGCUUUUGCUCAGACAAAGGUUCUCAUAACAAAGGACUUAGUGAUUAUCUGUCAUAUGUUUAUGUUAAGGGGAAAAAGGAAGUUUGUUUUAGUCAAUCUCACGUCUAAUGGCAUUUAUAAGGAGCCCAAAAAUAAAAGAAAAAAUAAAGAGUUAGUAGGUGUUUCUUGCAGCACAAAGAAAAUUUAUCAUUCAUGAAAAACUUAGUAUGGAAAAAGCUAACUCAUUUAUCUGCCAAUGGAGAAAAACUUGUUGUCCACCCACUAAGGACCCACCAUUGGCAGGUCUGAUGGAUCCCAUGGAUGGGAACCGCAAAUAUUUUAUUCUAAAUGACAUGUGUAUUGUACCCAUAUCAUUUAAUUUGUAGAUUCCACUGAUGGAACUCAUCAAACUUGCCAAAUGGCAGGUCCUCCGUGGGUAGGCGCAUCACUUCAGCAUCCUUCUCCACCGAUGACCAAAUUUGGACUCAUUUAAAAAGAAUACAAAGCAAAACUAACUGACAUAAAUUGCAUAGAGAUCUAGGAGCCAAAUCAAUGUUGUUAACUCAUCCAAUUAAUACAUUCUCUUAGAGGCAGGGACGGAGCCAGCGUGGGACGAGGUGGGGCACAGGCCCCAGCUGGCUUUUAAUUUUUUUUUAUAAUUAUACUAAAAUAUGUAUUUUAUUUGUUAUUUAUGAAAAAUGUCUCAGCUGAAUUGUAAAAUUUAAAAUUGACUCCAGUAAUUUUAAAAUAUUUCAUACUGUCCCUAAUUUAUAUUUUUAAUUAUAAAUUAUUUAAUUAGUUAUUAACAUUUCAUGAAACUUUAUUAAAGACACAAGAACAAAUAUUAAAAUAAAAAAUAAUCAUAACAAAAUGUUAGUAUAAUGGUUAAUGGACUAGUUUUUAAUCUUUUUAUUUUUUAUUCAAGUAAAAUUAAUUAUUUAGUCUUUCAACACUGACCAUAAGUUGUAAGUCUUCCUAAUUCUAAUUUAUAAUUUUCUAAUUAAUCUUUUAUCUAGUUUUAAAAUUUAUAAUUUUAUCAUGCAUUUCAUAUUUGUUCUGUGUGUUGCAAUAUAUGAAUAUUUUUGUUAUUAUUAAAAGAUUUUAAGAGCAAAUUAAGUAAUAACCUAGUCUUGUAUAUUGAAAAAUAUAUUUUUGCUUAUAUUGAUAAUUCAUUAUUUUCAACUCAUAAAAUCCCAUUGAGGAGAUUUCGCGGAGAACCAUUGUAAUAAGUAAAUUUAUUAUCAAUGAAUAUUAUAGUUGUAAUGCUAUUUAUUGAUAUCUAAAUUUUUAAAAAUGUAUUAUACUUUAAGUAUGCUUUCAAUUAGAUGCAUACAGACGCACUCUAUAAGAAGUACAAUUGUACAUGUAGCAAGCUCCCAUUUAGAGUUUAUAGGGCCCACAAUACAGUUUCUCAAAUGACGACUUAUCACACGAGCAAUCGUACAUUCGAGUCAUCUUUAAUUUUAAAUGUGCCCCGGCUCUAUCAAAAUCCUGGCUACGUCCCUGCUUAGAGGUCAUACCUUGGUAACUCAUUUGAAAAGAAAUUAAAAGAAAAACGACUGCACAAAUUGUACUGAGCUCAAGAAAACCUGUUCAAGGUGUUCACUUGUCCAACUAAUAAAAGUCAUCAAGGAUUGUAUCGGGGACUUGGGACCAAUCCUGCCUUAACGAGAGAAAGGGAAUUUAGGAGGAAGAAGAUAACCUCUUUUCCUAGAACCCUUGAGAAAAUUAUUGAAGAAAUAUGUAUCUCCUUUUCUUAUUUUUACAAUAGGGUUACACAAUACAUAUAUAUAUAUUCUAAACUACAUAAUGUGCUAGAGUAGGAAAGUAAACAACUAACUGCAGACCAAGAAACUAGGAAACAAACUCUAUCUAAAAAACUGAAAUUCUAUCCCUAUCUUUUUUCUUUUCUAUCCCUAUCUUUUUUCCUUAAAAACAGGAUAGAAAACAAGUGACUUUUCCACACUCCCCCUCAAGCUAGUUCGAAGAUAUCAAUCAUUCCCAGCUUGCUAGUUAGUGACUCAAAGCUUGAUUUAUGAAGUCCUUUAGUAAGAAUAUCAGCUAGCUGCUUUGUUGUUGGAACAAAGGUCAUGCAUAUCAAACCACUUUCUAUUUUCUCCUUGAUAAAAUGACGAUCCACUUUGUUGAGUGUUAGAAAAUGCAUAUUUAUAAAGGAGAAAACCAUCAUUUUACAUUUCAAGUCGUACUAACAACUCUUACUUUUAUGUAUUUAACCUUCUUGUGAUAUAAUUACGUGUGUUUUAUUUUAAUUAAGUAUUUUAUGUAUUUUAGGGGCAUUAUAGUCAUUUCACAAUAAAGGAGAGAUUAGACGGCAAAACGGACAUCACUUUUGAACUCAGGACGGUCGAAAACCUUAGGAGGAGCAUAAAAGGAAAAAUGGCACUAUUCAUAUGUACGGUACUAUUCGCGUGUACGGUAUUAACUACGUUACUGUUCACAACACUGUUCACAACACUGUUCACAUAGACGGAUCGAUGACGUGGCAUUGACCGAUGAUGUGGCAUUGACUGAUGAGGUGUCACGAUCCUGUUGGGCUAAAAUUCUUAUGUACUGUUGAUGGUGACGUGGCAGCAUAUCAGUGGAUGAAAAAUCUCGCGUACGGUACAUGCAUCACACAUGAUUAUUCUCAACCAAACCGUGUUACUGUUUAUCCGAGUCAAACCGUGUUACUGUUCAUCCACGUGGUCAAACCGUGGACUGUUGACUUAUGACGUGGCGCAAUCCUGAGCGUCCAAACUGUUUUUAAUCUGAUGGCCAUGAUUUACUCCAUGUAUCUAUAAAAAGGGGGCCUUCCCCCCCUAAUUUGAUAGCUCUGAAUCCAUUUUUGGGAUCCAUUUUCUGUAAUUCCUUCUCCAUCUUGUAUUUUCUUUGUAUUUUAAUAAAUUCCCAUUUUGCCCCUAGUUCAAUUAUGAGUGGCUAAUUUUCUUUCAAGCUUGGGUUGAAGGUGAAGUCUCAACAUGUGUCAUGGGCUUAAUUUGGUAAAUUUAUUUUCUCUUCCCCUCUAGUUUUUGUGGAUGUUUUGACUUCUCGUCGACAAAUAAUAAUAAUCUUGUCUAGAUACCGCCUUGGUUACACCGGCUCUCUAGUAUAAGGUUAUUAUUAUUUGGCACGAUAAGCCCUUAGCACCAUAUUGAUUAUAGCGUGGUUCAUGAGGUGUGGAUUCCCCCCUCAUGAUUUAAUUGGCAUUAAUAAAGAUUAUUUAGCCCAUGAUGCAUGUUGAUACGGAUCCAGAUACCCAAGUACGUCAUUUUAAUAGAAUUCUCUUCAAUUUAUUCUCGCCAUUUCAAUUCCAAUUUUAGAAUUUAUUCUCGCCAUUUUAAUUUAAGUUUUAGCAUAUCCCAAAUCAUUUCCACCACAAAUCCAAUCACCCAUUUACAAAAUUAAUUCUACACAAUUAAAAUCCACCUCCUCGUGGGAUCGACACUCGUCACCAUUAGUCUAUACUACAAUAGAUUCGUGCGCUUGCGAGUACAUUAAAAUUUGCACAACAAGUUUUUGGCGCCGUUGCCGGGGAGGUAAGUAAUUUUAAUUCAUAGAAUUAAUUUUUGUGAAUAAUUUCUUUUAUUUAUUUUCUUGUAUUUUUUUUUAUUAUUAAAAAAAAAAGUAAAUCUACAUUUAAAGGUUAGUAUUUCUUUUCUUUUUCUCUUCUUUAAAAUUCUGUAAUUUAAUUUUCAAUUUAUUUUUCUUUGUAAUUUUUUUUUGUUUAUUUUAUUAAUUUAUUUUUAGUUAAUUUAUUUCACGUAUUUAUUUUUGUGUAUUUUUAUAGUAAGGUUGUAAUAGCGCAAUAAGGUUAGUAUUGUAAUUUCUCUCUCUUCUUUAUUUUUAUUUGUUUUGUUCCAUCUUUAUUUUUAUUUUAUUUAUUUUGUAUGCAUGGUCGUAGGUCUUUAUUACCUAAUCUUGAACCUAUAGACCUUGAACUUGAGAAAACACUUCGCACACACAAGAACGUUAAAAAUAAAUUUGAAAUGGAUUUACAAGCACCACAGGAGAGGCCAUUUAAGGACUAUUUUAGUCCCUUAGCUAAUUUGAGCACAUCAUGCAUAAGAUACCCAAAUGUAGCUGCUAGGAGUUUUGAAUUAAAACCUAGUGUGCUAAAUUGUCUCCCCACAUUCUAUGGCCUAGAAAAUGAGGACCCAUAUAAUCAUCUGAAUGAUUUUCAUGCCAUUUGUCAAACUUUUAAAUAUGAAAAUUUUUCAGACGAUGAUGUUAAACUUAGAUUAUUCCCAUUUUCUUUAAAGGAUAGAGCUCGUUCAUGGUUAAAUACUUUGCCUGCUAAUAGCAUUGCAUCAUGGGAACAAAUGGUUACAAAAUUUCUAAAUAAAUAUUUCCCAGUGCAUAAAACCAAUUCUAUUCGCAGGGAAAUUUCAGAGUUUACACAAAGAGAGGACGAGCAGUUUUUCGAAACUUUGGGAGUGAUUCAAUGGGCUACUCUUGAAGUGUCCACAUCAUGGGUAUGAGAAAUGGCACCAAUGCCAAUACUUUUUGGAGGGAUUAUUGCCAAAUGUGCAAGAAUGGCUAAUGGCAACAAGUGGAGGAGAGCUAAUGUCAAAAAGCGCAACAGAGAUUUGGGAAUUCUUCCAGCGACAAGCGGAUAAUUCCCAACAACGGAGUCGAUCACUCAGGAAUACUAGAAGAAUUAAGGGAGUAAAUGAGGUUCAAAUUGGCGAGUCAACUUCGGGAAUCAAAGAAGUCAAGGAGAUAGUUGAAGGUCUUGCUCGACAAAUAGCAUCGUUGUCGACUGCUAAAUCAACAGAACCACAUGACCAUGACUCAUACUCCGAUCAAGCCAAUGCCAUAGGUGUAAUGAGAAAACCAUCGAAUUACAACCCAUACUCCAACACAUAUAACCCUGGAUAGAGAGACCACCCCAAUUUUUCAUGGUCUCAAGGAUUCCAACAGAAUGGACCAGCAGCUCCAGCUCCACAAAUUCCUCAAGUUCCUCAAGCCUCUCAGCCCCCAUUUAGACCAUUUAAUCAGAACCAGAACUACUCUCAACCCAGACCAUGGGAGGAUUCAUUCCAGAAUCUCAAGAAUCUUACUCACUCCACGAUUGAGCAGCAGAACCGCACCGUUGAUGGACUACGAAAUGAGUUGAGAGCAGGCUUCAACUCACAAGAUCAAUCAGUUUCAAACCUCGAGAAAAUGGUGGGACAACUUGCUUCUUCAGUUCAGACCUUGGCAAUGACUGUUGAGAAAGGAAAAUUUCCAAGUCAACCAGUGCCUAAUCCUAAAGGAGUGCAUGAAGCAAGUACCAGUUCACCACAGCAGCAUGGGGAGGUCAAAGCAGUCAUGACCUUGCGAAAAGGAAAGGAAGUCGACAACAAAGUGGAGAUGCCGGUGACAAAAGAAAAUCAAAUUGUACCUGUGAAUGUUGAGGACUCACCACCGGAGGAAAAAGAAGAAACCAACCCACGAGAAUAUGUUCCUAAAGCUCCAUUUCCUCAGAGGUUAGCGAAAGGAAAGAAGGGAAAUUCCACAGGUGAGAUUCUCGAAAUCUUCAAACAGGUAAGUGUUAACAUCCCUUUACUUGAUGCUAUAAAGCAAGUUCCAUCUUAUGCUAAGUUUCUUAAAGACCUUUGUACUAAAAAGAGAAAUAUGCAUGUUCAAAAGAAGGCAUUUUUAACAGAAAACGUUAGUUCUAUACUCCAACAUAAAAUUCCUUUAAAAUGCAAAGACCCAGGCUCCCCCACUAUCUCAUGUAGUAUAGGGAACCACACAAUUGAGAAUGCUUUGUUGGAUUUAGGAGCUAGUGUAAAUCUUUUGCCUUACUCUGUAUUCGUGAAACUUGGACUGGGAGAAUUACACCCAACUCCAGUGGUGUUACAGCUUGCAGAUCGGUCCACGAAAAUACCUCGUGGUAUUGUGGAGGACGUGCUUAUCCAGGUAGACAAGUUUUAUUUUCCUGUUGAUUUCAUUGUAAUUGACACUCAACCAAUACAGGAUUCAAGGAAGCACAUCCCCAUUAUUCUAGGCCAACCUUUCUUGGCAACUGCGGAUGCUCACAUUCAAUGCAGGACUGGAAAUAUGCAAUUGUCCCUCGGCAACAUGACUAUGGAGCUGAACAUCUUCAAUAUUGCCAAACAACCUCAUAAUGCAGAUGAUAGAAUUGUAGACGUGGAUUUAAUUGAAGCAUUAGUUGAUGAUACUUUUGUUUCAAACCUUAGUGAUGAUCCUUUACAAACAUGUUUAACUCACUUUGGUUUGGAUUUUGAUAUUGACAGAUCGGUCGAAGAGGUCAACGCCCUGCUUGACUCAGCACCAUACAUGGACACUAAUAAAUGGAAGUUAAGAGUUGAACAACUAGCACCAUCAGAGAAGAAACUCAUCCCAUCAUCAGAAUCACCACCGAAACUCGAGGUCAAACCAUUGCCCAACACAUUGGAAUAUGCAUUUUUGGGAGAAGAAAUUACUUUGCCGGUAAUCAUCUCAUCAUCCCUAAAUGACGAACAAAAAGGUAAGUUGUUGGAUGUUUUAAAAGAGCACAAAGGAGCAUUAUGAUGGACCAUAGCAGACAUAAAAGGUAUAAACCCAGUAGACUGCAUGCAUUACAUUCACCUUGAUGAAAAUGCUAAAUCUACUAGGAAAAUGCAACGUCGGUUAAAUCCUAAUAUGAAAGAAGUUGUUAGAACAGAAGUCCUUAAGCUAUUAGACGCAGGUAUCAUUUACCCAAUUUCUGAUAGUUCAUGGGUCAGUCCUGUACAAGUUGUCCCCAAAAAGUCAGGAGUCACAGUAGUUACGAAUGCUGAUAAUGAAUUGAUACCCACUAGAGUAACUACAGGAUGGCGUGUAUGCAUUGAUUAUAGAAAGUUGAAUUCUGUCACACGUAAAGACCAUUUUCCUUUACCAUUUAUUGAUCAAAUGCUUGAUAGAUUAGUAGGCCAUGAAUUUUAUUGCUUUCUAGAUGGCUACUCAGGAUAUAAUCAGAUUCCCAUAGCACCAAAAGAUCAGGAGAAAACUACUUUCACUUGCCCUUUUGGCACAUUUGCAUAUAGGAGAAUGCCAUUUGGAUUAUGUAAUGCACCUGCUACAUUUCAACGAUGCAUGUUGAGCAUUUUUUCUGAUAUGGUUGAACAAUUCCUUGAAGUCUUUAUGGAUGACUUUUCUGUUUUUGGUAACUCGUUUGAUCAAUGUUUACAUCAUCUAACGCUAGUUCUGCAGAGAUGUAUCGAGAAGAAUUUAGUCUUAAAUUGGGAGAAAUGCCAUUUUAUGGUAAAACAAGGUAUUGUUCUCGGUCACAUCAUUUCGAGCAAAGGUAUUGAGGUUGACAAAGCCAAGGUGGAUCUCAUUUCUAAUCUUCCUCCACCUAAAACAGUCAGAGAAGUACGAUCUUUCCUUGGACAUGCUGGUUUCUAUAGACGUUUCAUUAAAGAUUUUAGCAAAGUUUCUAGACCCUUAUGCAAUUUACUUGCUAAGGAUGUACCUUUUAUCUUUAAUGAUUCAUGUCUCAUGGCGUUUGAAAAAUUAAAGCAAUUGUUGACAUCAUCACCCAUCAUUCAGGCCCCAAACUGGAGCUUACCAUUCGAGCUCAUGUGUGAUGCAUCUGAUUAUGCAGUAGGAGCAGUAUUAGGACAAAGAGUUGAUCGAAUUCCCCAUGUUAUUUACUAUGCUAGUAUGACAUUCAAUGAUGCACAGUUGAAUUAUUCAACUACUGAAAAAGAAAUGCUAGCAGUAGUGUUUGCAUUAGAAAAAUUUCGAUCUUAUCUCAUUGGUUGUAAAAUAAUUAUAUUCACAGAUCAUGCUGCUCUUAAAUAUCUUCUCACAAAGAAAGAUGCAAAAGCUAGACUAAUUCGUUGGGUAUUACUUUUGCAGGAAUUUGACUUGGAAUUCAAAGAUAAGAAAGGCACAGAAAAUGUCGUGGCGGACCAUCUCUCUCGUCUCCAUUUUGACACAAUUACAGAGCCAUUAAUAUUAAAUGAGUCAUUUCCAGAUGAACAAUUAAUGAGUGUGGAAGUAUUACCUUGGUAUGCUGAUAUAGUUAAUUAUCUUGUUACAGGUAAACUUCCAGAGCAUUGGACCAAGCAAGACAAGGCUAAAUUCUUUGCGGAAAUAAAGAAUUUCUUUUGGGAUGACCCAUAUUUGUUCAAGUAUUGUGCAGACCAAAUUGUUAGACGAUGUGUCCCUGAAAAUGAAAUUCAGAAUAUUCUUUCAUUCUGCCAUGAACAAGCUUGUGGAGGCCAUUUCAGUGCUAAGAAAACAACGACUAAAGUUUUACAAUGUGGUUUCUAUUGGCCAACUAUAUUUCGAGACGCUUACACUUUCUGUUCUUCAUGUGAUAGGUGUCAACGAAUGGGGAGCAUUACACGAAGGAACAUGAUGCCACUAAAUCCAAUUUUAGUGGUUGAGAUUUUUGAUGUAUGGGGUAUCGACUUCAUGGGACCCUUUCCCUCUUCUUUUGGCCAUCAAUACAUAUUGGUUGGUGUUGACUACGUCUCAAAAUGGGUAGAAGCAAUUCCAUGUAGAACCAAUGAUCACAAAGUGGUGAUAGGAUUUUUGAAAAGCAACAUUGUCUCACGCUUUGGAUUCCCUCGAGCAAUAAUCAGUGAUGGUGGUGCCCACUUUUGUAACAAAGCAUUCAAAGCUCUUUUGACAAAGUAUUCAAUCACACACAAAGUGGCAACCCCUUAUCAUCCGCAAACCAGUGGCCAAGUUGAGAUCUCCAAUCGAGAAAUAAAGCAUAUAUUAGAAAAGACGGUGAGGCCAGACAGAAAAGAUUGGUCAUUAAGACUUGAUGAUGCAUUAUGGGCAUAUAGAACGGCUUUCAAGACCCCGAUUGGGAUGUCACCCUACAGGCUAGUGUAUGGAAAAGCUUGCCACCUACCUGUGGAACUCGAGCAUCGUGCAUAUUGGGCCAUCAAGAAAUUCAACUUUGACAUGCAGCAAGCCAGCUCAGAAAGAAGAUUACAACUGGCAGAACUUGAAGAAAUUCGCAAUGAUGCAUACGAAAAUGCCAAAAUUUACAAGCAACGAAUGAAAGUCUUUCAUGACAAGCACAUUAUGAGAAAAUCGUUCACUCCAGGUCAGAAAGUGCUUUUAUUCAAUUCUCGCUUGCACCUAUUCCCAGGUAAGUUACGCUCUCGAUGGUCUGGUCCAUUUAUUGUUCAUACUAUUUUUCCACAUGGGGCAAUUGAAAUUAAGGACCCAAAGAACGGUGUCACGUUUAAAGUUAAUGGUCAAAGAUUAAAGCCAUAUCUUGAGUACCAACCACAUGGAGAAGACACCGAAAUAAAUUUGAGUGACCCACCAGAUUUGAAUUGAUUUUUUUUCUUUUUGUUGAUUUGAUUUUUCUUUCUUUUUAUUAUUCUUUUGCUAAUUGAAAUUAUUUUUGCAUAAGUGUGUUUGUUUUACCAUUAAGUUUUCUUUUCUCUUAUCAUUGUUAAUCAUGAGUACCAUACUUAGACCGUUCCUCCUGAACAUUCUUAAACCACUUCAACGUGUCAAAACUCAUCUCAAAAAGCAGAUUCAAUUUUGUAAAACACAACGCAUUUGGGCUCUACAACCACCAGAGUUAGUAGCCUAUGUUGAGGGUUUAGAAUGCCAACUCAGAGACAUUGAGAGAAGUGUUUACGACAUCCAGUUAGAGCUUGAGGUAAAUUCAAUAAGAGGACGAUUUUAAUUUUCUUUGUGUGUUUUAAUUUGUUUUUCUGUUUGUGUGUUUUAGUUUGUUACCCCGGUGAAAUGGCGGAUAACGGUACUCCGUGACAAUCAAGUCGGUUACUUCAGUUUCCCAUAAUAACUGACAUUCUGAGGCGAAAGUAUGGACAGAAAAGAGAUUCUAGCAAAGCUUCACAAGCGAUUCCCUUCACUUCCUCAGAAUGCCCUCCUUACGAUCUAUAAAGCUCGGUCCGAACGCAUGCGAUUACUCAUGAAGAAUAACAUACCUGCUGACAUCCGUUGGUUAAUCGAGGCUAAAGUACGAUCGGCAGGUGAGUUUCCUCCAAAAUUUAUUGCAUACAUGCCUGGUUGUGGUAAAGGAAAUUAUGCAAGAAAACGACGAGCUCGAAGAAUUUCUGUUGCUUGUCAUAAGUGUGCUAGAAUGAGUUGCGAUAGAAACCCAUGUUCUUUAGGAAUGGUGUCUGAUAACAGGGAAGAUAAGAUUUAAUUCAUUAGGGAUGGCUUGAAUAAGGAGUCAUUGGAUGAUAUCCUUUUGUCUCUUGAAACGCAUCCUAGUGGAUAUGUGCAAGGAGCGAUUCUCCAGUUAUGGCCAUUAUUCCAGAAAGAGCAUGCACGAUAUAGUCUCGGGAAUCUGACUAUAAACGACCCUGUUUGCCAGUUUAUAAGAAAACUGGAUAGGAAGCCUAUCCUCGACCCAUAGAGGGCGUUCAAGCCGUUUCUGGACGUAAAACCAGAGGAAGAUGUGAGCCACAGUCGCAACUACGUGUAAAUAUCCUUUUACUUUACUGUUAUUUUAUUUCAUUUCACUGUUGUUUUAUUGUUUGCAUUAUUGUCUUUAAUAAUUUUGUUACUGUUUGCUUUUUCCUUUUUACUGUUUCCUUUUUGACUCACGAGCCACGUGCUUAACGCGUUAUUUGACACUGACAUGCCACCCCAUACACAGUUGUGACCCACUGUCACCAAGAUUCUUAAAUAUGACUUUUUGUUAAGCACUCACAAAUUGUUUCUGAGAAAUAUUCCAAUGGCAGCUACUCCUAAUAGACAAUUCAAGAACAUUUGUGUGCUUUCUGGAUUUACCUAUGGCAAACAUAAAGAGUUCGUGGAGGCAGCCAUAGAUCUUGGUCGAAGCAUAGCAGCGAGAAAAUUACACUUGGUGUAUGGAGGAGGUAACCGAGGGUUAUCAAAAAUGGUCUCAGAAGCAGCUUUUAUCAGAGGAAGUCAAGUGUUAGGCAUCAUCCCAAGAGUCCUAAAACCAUUGGGCAGUUCGUCUGACUCAUCAACUGGAGAAGAGUUAGUCGUCUCAGGUAUGCAAGAAAGAAUAACUGAAAUGCUUAAUCAUGCUGAUGCUUUUAUUUUCCUUCCAGGAGAUCUUGCAACACUAGAGGCACUUAUGACACUAGCAUCUUGAGCCCAUCUACACAUUCACCAGAAACCCAUCGGUUUGUUAAAUGUCAAUAACUUUUAUGAUGGCUUUAUCGCAUUUCUUAACCAUGCAAUAAAAAACUAUUUCAUUCCUUCUAAUGUGAAAAAACUCUUUAUUUGUGCUCACACUGCUAAUGAGCUACUUGAUAUGUUACAAGCUUAUAAACCGGAGCCAGACCCCUGGACCUUUGUGUUGGAGCGACCAAAUAAUGAUGGUAACAGUAGCCGCAGUAAGAAGUACAAAUUAGAUUUAACUCUCCGCCUGUAAAUAUUUUCUUCUGUGUUGCACCACCCAGGUGAUGUCUUCUAAACUCUACUUCUUUCAUUUCAAACAUUGAGGACAAUGUUUCGUUCUGGUUGGGGGGAGGGAAUAGUCGACAGUUGUGGAAUCUUGGUUAAAUUUUUACUGAUUUUUUGUUGUAGAAACUAACUGUUGCUAACUUUUUAUGUUGAAGAUGGCUGAAUAUGGAGUGUAGUGACUCUAGAAACGCAUUUUCAUCGUUUAAAAAAAAUUAAAAAAAAACUAAAAAAAAAUUUCAGACAGUUUCUUUUUUUUUUCUUUCUUUAUUCUGUUUUUAUGUUUAUUUUUCUUCUUUUUAAUUUCUCCUCUAUAAAUAUACAUUUUCCAACUUGUGAGUCGAAGAUGGCUGAAUAUGGAGUGUAGUGCCUCUAGAAACGCAUCUUCUUAAAAAAAAAAAAAAAAAAAACCCAUUUUCUUUUUCUAUCAUUUUACGUGUAACUUUUCUAAUUAGUUUUUAUGCAUCAUUUUCACAUUUCUGCAUGCAUAUUUUCCUUUCAUGUUUAGAAUAGGUUGGGGGGUAGAAUGUUGUUUAAAAAAAAAAAAAUUGUGUUAUUUGUUUUAACAUUGGAUGACAUGAUUAAUUUCAAAUUUUAGUAUUUGUAUUAUCUUUGGUCUUAAGUGAUGUUACGCUAUGUUUGCUACUUUACAUGUUGAUGUCGGAGACAAAUAUGAGUUGCUUGAAGGAAUGAACAUGUCAUAAAUAAGUGCCAAGUGAGUUGUUGAGCCUAUCAUUUUCUUGGAGAGUAACACUUUUGCCCAUUCUCUAUACAGCUUAGCAGUUUAUUAGUUUAUACACGAUCUCUAGAUUUCUUUUGAGUUAACCCUUUAAAAAAAAAUGUGUGUUGCUACAUUGGGAGACCCAUCUAACUAGUAGAUAUGGAUAAUUAUUUAGAGCCCUAAAAGACGAUGGAAAGGCCAUAUUUGAUCCGUUUGAGCCUUUCUAGCCAUCCCUUUUAUUAAAUAUCCAUAGUUACCCCUUUUGAGCCUUUUUUUAAAAAAAAAAGAGAACAAAAACAUUUUCUUUGUCAACUUAUCAUCUUGACCCACUCCGAUUUGGAGUAUUACCCAAUGUCUUUUAAGUUCCAUCACCUAUUUAUGUUUGAGAAAAUGUAAAUAAUGAUGUUGUUCAGUGAAGUUAUGCCAAAUAAAAGCAAAAAAAAAAAAAAAAAAACAAAAGUUGUUGUUUCAAAAGAAUAAAAAUAACAAUAAUAGGUGAAAUCCACCUUGCAACUUCAAAAAAAAAUAUAUAUAUUUCUGCAUUUUUCUCAAACAUACACUUUGUUUUCCUUAUUUCCUUUCUUUGUUAGCCAUAUCCCUAGCCUACGUUAUGUCCUAAUAAAAGUCCUUCUUGAUUUUAGGGAACUAUAGUUUGAAGUAGAAGCUAGUUAUAUGGGCUAAAAAGAUGUAGUGAUGCAUAAUAAAAAAAAAAAAGAUAAAUAAAGUGGGUUGACUAACAUUUUAUUUGACUUGAGAUCGUAUUAUUUCUAAGCUAAGGGCAUAUUUAUUUCAUCUUGGUGAGAGCAUGUGAUAUCACUUCUUCAUUAUUUUCUCUCAAUUACCAUUCAUUGGAGUGACUAUUUUUUUAGGUUUAAUUUCUUUGUGAGAGUGUCACUACUUCCAGUGAGAUUUUGGGUUUUGACAUGUCAUUCUUGAAAGUAGUUAUAACAAAGUCUACUGGCCGAUUCAUGUGGAUGGUUGAUGUGGGUGUGAUGUUGUUUUAGACUGGAGAUAAUACUUAUACUUUUAUUUGAUUGCUAUCAUUAAUCUGAUUGAAUAAACACGAGUGUUUCUAAAAAAAAAAAAAAAAAUUAUUUUGAAUUUGAAUUUUGUUUUCGCUUUAUUUGCUAGGGACUAACAUUAAGCUGGUUGGGGGGUGUGUUGAGUGUUAGAAAAUGCAUAUUUAUAAAGGAGAAAACCAUCAUUUUACAUUUCAAGUCUUACUAACAACUCUUACUUUUAUGUAUUUAACCUUCUUGUAAUAUAAUUACGUGUGUUUUAUUUUAAUUAAGUAUUUUAUGUAUUUUAGGGGCAUUAUAGUCAUUUCACAAUAAAGGAGAGAUCAGGCGGCAAAACGGACAUCACUUUUGAACUCAGGACGGUCGAAAACCUUAGGAGGAGCAUAAAAGGAAAAAUGGCACUAUUCAUAUGUACGGUACUAUUCACGUGUACGGUAUUAACUACGUUACUGUUCACAACACUGUUCACAUAGACGGAUCGAUGACGUGGCAUUGACCGAUGAUGUGGCAUUGACUGAUGAGGUGUCACGAUCCUGUUGAGCUAAAAUUCUUAUGUACUGUUGAUGGUGACGUGGCAGUAUAUCAGUGGAUGAAAAAUCUCGCGUACGGUACAUGCAUCACACAGGAUUAUUUUCAACCAAACCGCGUUACUGUUCAUCCGAGUCAAACCGUGUUACUGUUUAUCCGAGUCAAACCGUGUUACUGUUCAUCCGCGUGGUCAAACCGUGGACUGUUGACUUAUGACGUGGCGCAAUCCUGAGCGUCCAAACUGUUUUUAAUCCGAUGGCCAUGAUUUACUCCAUGUAUCUAUAAAAAGGGGGCCUUCCCCCCCUAAUUUGAUAGCUCUGAAUCCAUUUUUGGGAUCCAUUUUCUGUAAUUCCUUCUCCAUCUUGUAUUUUCUUUGUAUUUUAAUAAAUUCCCAUUUUGCCCCUAGUUCAAUUAUGAGUGGCUAAUUUUCUUUCAAGCUUGGGUUGAAGGUGAAGUCUCAACAUGUGUCAUGGGCUUAAUUUGGUAAAUUUAUUUUCUCUUCCCCUCUAGUUUUUGUGGAUGUUUUGACUUCUCGUCGACAAAUAAUAAUAAUCUUGUCUAGAUACCGCCUUGGUUACACCGGCUCUCUAGUAUAAGGUUAUUAUUAUUUGGCACGAUAAGCCCUUAGCACCAUAUUGAUUAGAGCGUGGUUCAUGAGGUGUGGAUUCCCCCCUCAUGAUUUAAUUGGCAUUAAUAAAGAUUAUUUAGCCCAUGAUGCAUGUUGAUACGGAUCCAGAUACCCAAGUACGUCAUUUUAAUAGAAUUCUCUUCAAUUUAUUCUCGCCAUUUCAAUUCCAAUUUUAGAAUUUAUUCUCGCCAUUUUAAUUUAAGUUUUAGCAUAUCCCAAAUCAUUUCCACCACAAAUCCAAUCACCCAUUUACAAAAUUAAUUCUACACAAUUAAAAUCCACCUCCUCGUGGGAUCGACACUCGUCACCAUUAGUCUAUACUACAAUAGAUUCGUGCGCUUGCGAGUACAUUAAAAUUUGCACAACACACUUCAACAUGUUUAGUUCUGUCAUGAUGAAUAGGGUUAUGAGCAAUGUUUAUUGCUGCCUUGUUGUCACAAUACAACUUCAUAGGAACAUCAAUGAUAAUCUUCAAUUCUUCAAGUAGCUUCUUUAACCACAAAAGUUCACAAAUACCAUAUGCUACUGCUCUAAAUUCAGCUUCAGCACUGCUUCUUGCAACCACUGAUUGCUUCUUACUCCUCCAAGUUACCAAGUUUCCUCCCACAAAUGUGCAAUACCCUGAAGUUGACCUUCUAUCAAUAAUAGAUCCAGCCCAAUCUGCAUCAGUAUAUACUUCAACUUGCAUAUUGUUAUUUUUCUUGAAUAGCAGGCCUUUUCCUGGAGUUUUUUUCAGGUACUUGAGAACCUUGUAAACAGCUUCUAAGUGCUCUUUACAUGGAGAGUGCAUAAAUUGACUAAUAACACUUACUGCAAAGGCUAUGUCUGGCCUAGUAUGAGACAAGUAUAUCAACUUACCAACCAACCUUUGGUAACUUUCUCUAUCCACUGAUUUUCCUUCAAUUGCAUAUCCCAAUUUGUGAUAAGGAUCAAUAGGAGUGUCUCCAGGUUUGCAUCCCAACAUGCCAGUUUCCUUGAGUAAGUCUAAAGUAUAUUUCCUUUGAGAAACAAAAAUGCCUUUACUGGAUCUUGCAAUUUCCAUGCCCAAAAAAUAUCUUAAGGGGCCAAGGUCCUUCAUCUCAAAUUCUCUAGCAAGAACCUUCUUGAGAUUUUCCAUUUCUAUUACAUUGCUUCCAGUCAAGAUGAUAUCGUCUACAUAUACAAUGAGGAUCACAACACUACCAUCAGUGAAGUGUUUAAAAAACAUUGUAUGAUCUGCUUGACUCUGUAAAUAUCCAAAGCUAUGAACAGAUUUGGUAAAUCUGUCAAACCAAGCUCGAGGAGAUUGUUUUAAGCCGUAAAGUGAUCUCUUCAGCUUGCACACUUUUUCAAUACCAUAUUCAUUCUCAAAACCUGGUGGCAGAUCCAUAUAUACCUCUUCUUCAAGCUCUCCAUUAAGAAACGCAUUCUUAACAUCUAAUUGUUGUAGUUGCCAUCCUAAGCUUGCUGCAAGAGACAACAAAACCCGAAUGGAAUUCAUUUUUGCCACGGGAGCAAAUGUUUCUUGGUAGUCAAUGCUAUAUGUUUGUGUAAAACCUUUCGCGACAAGCCUAGCUUUGUACCUCUCAAGUGACCCAUCUGCUCUGUAUUUAACUGUAAAAAUCCACUUGCAACCCACUGGUUUUUUUCCUUCUGGUAAUUUAACUAGUUCCCAAGUUUUGCUUUUUUCUAGAGCUCUCAUCUCUGCAUACCCAGCAUCUCUCCAUUCUGGAAUAGAAAGAGCAUCUUGUACAGAUUUUGGAAUUGCUAUGACAGACAGGUUAGCUGCAAAAGCUCUAAAAGAUGGAGAUAAUCUAUGAUAUGACACAUACUUAGAAAUUGGAUGAAGAGUACAAGACCUAGUUCCUUUUCGUAGUGCAAUUGGAACAUCUAGAUCAUUUGUAGUUUCUAAAACAGAUUCUGAAAUAGGAUUAGAAUGAAUGUUACCUGCAAGUUCCAAGUUGCCUGUGUUUGGAUCCGAGUCUUGGCAGUGAGGAGAGGAAUGAUGAUUUGACCUUUUCGAAUUCCGUCGUGUGUAGACUUGAAGCUAUGGUUCUGGAACUCUCUCUAAUGAUUUUUCAUUAUUCAUAAUUGAUGGCAUUGUAGAAGGAACAUGAGGUACACAAGACAUAAUAGGCAUUGGAAGAGAUAAUUCCCAAAAAUGAUCUUCCGGAGUAUGAUUCUCCCCCUGAAGAGAAGUUUUGGGAAAGAAAGAUCUAUUUUCAAAAAAUGUGACAUCCAUUGUGAUGAAGAAUUUUUUAGACAAUGGAUCAUAACAUUUGUAGCCUUUUUGAGUAGGAGAAUAGCUAAGAAAUACACAUUUUAAAGCUCUAGGAUCAAGUUUGCUCAUGUUCUAUGUAUGAAUGUGAACAAAAGCAAUGCACCCAAAAAUCUUGGGUGGUAAAGAUGUGAAAAACUUAGCGGUAGGAUAGAAUUUUGUGAAAACAUUUAAUGGAGACUGAAAAUUAAAGAUUCGGGUAGGCAUGCGAUUUAUCAAGUAUGAUGCUGUGAGAAUGGCUUCACCCCAAAACUGUUUUGGCACCCUAUUUGUGAACAUAAGAGAGCGUGCAACUUCUAACAAGUGUUGAUUUUUCCGUUCAGCAAUACCAUUUUGCUGAGGAGUAUCUACACAAGAGGAUUGGUGCACAAUGCCAUUUUCCAUGAAAUAAUGACCAAGGGCAGUAGAAAAAUAUGCUCUCCCAUUGUCAGUUCUAAAGACUUGGAUUUUUGCUUGAAAUUGUGUUUGAAUCAUGGUAUGAAAGGUUUUAAAAACUGUUGCAGUUUCUGAUUUUUCUUUAAGCAAGUACACCCAACAAACACGAGUGUGGUCAUCAAUAAAAGUUAUGAACCAUUUAGCCCCCGAAAUGUUUGUAACAUGAGAGGGUCCCCAAAUAUCACUGUGUAUGAGAGAAAAAUGUUCAGAUUUUUUAUACGGCUGUGAAGGAAAAGAUACACGAUGAUGUUUGGACAAUACACAAAUUUCACACUGAAACAAAGAAGGAUUUUUAUUCUUGAACAACAAAGAAAACAAGUGUUGUAAAUAAGAAAAACUAGGAUGACCUAAUCGGAGAUGCCACAACAUUAUUUUAUCUUUAAUAGAGAAAGUUAGUUCAUUAUUUGUUGCCUGAGCUUCUCCACACAAACUAACAUCCUCCUCGAAGUAGUACAAACCAUCUACCUCUCUAGCACUGCCAAUUUUCUUCCCUGAACACAGGUCCUGAAAUUCACAAUAGGAAGGAGAGAAUUUAGCAAUGCAAUGAAGAUCCUUGGUAAUUUUGCUAACAGAUAAAAGAUUACAAGACAAAUUAGGAACAUGAAGAACAGAUGUUAACACCAAAUUUGUAGAGAUAGGAAUAGAUCCUUUUCCUGCUGCAGAAGAUAGUGAACCAUCAGCAAUUUUAAUUUUUUGACUACCAGGACAUGGAAUAUAUGAAUAAAAUAAUUUAGAAUGGCUAGUCAUAUGAUCGGUUGCUCCUGAAUCGAUGAUCCAUGGAUCUUUUUUCUCAUAAACAACUCCUAAAGCACUGAAAUCAUUACCUUUCUGGGCUAAAGAACUAGAAGAUGAAGGAUUUGGGAGAGAUUGUGACUGAUUAAGAAACUUGUACAGUUGCUCUAACUGUUCUUUAGUGAAGAGUUGAGAUUCGGAUUCUCCAGUGUUGAUUGUCGGCUGAUUCUCCCCAAAAACUUGAAAACCUCGACUAUGUUUACCAGAGAAUUUAUUGUUUUUCAAAUUUGGAGGUUUUCCAUGAAGCUUCCAACAUGCAUCUCUGGUAUGUCUUGGCUUGUGACAAUAAUCACACCAAACUCUGUCCUUCUCAUCACUCUUCUUCAGGUUUUUUGUUCCCCCAAUCAGUGGAGCUUCUGGUGUAACAGAGAUCAAGGCUGAGUUCUCUGCUGAAGAACCUCCCAUCAUCACAUUCUUUCUACUUUCCUCUCUUUUUACAUAAGAAAACACUUCCCUGGUAGAAGGAAGAGGUUCCUUGCCAAGUACUCGCCCACGGACUUCAUCAAGGUCUGAACUCAAACCUGCUAAGAAUUCAAAUACACGCUCUUUUUCUAACAUCUUCUUGUAUUUAGCACUAUCAGCAGCACAUUCCCACUCGCCAUCAUAGUACUGAUCUAACUCUUGCCAUAAGCCCUUCAAAAUAUUGUAGUAUUUAGUCACUCCUUGACUACCUUGUUUGGUUUCUCGAAUUCUGGUUUUCAGAUCAUAAAUCUGAGCAGAAUUUCCCAAAUCAGAAUAGGUCUCGGUGACAGCAUCCCACAAAUCCUUUGCUGUUGGCAGAAACAAGUAAGUUUGACCUAUCUCCGAUUCCAUUGAAUUCACUAACCAUGACAUGAUCAUUGAGUUGUCAGCAGCCCAAGUAUGAAACUUUGGGUCUUCUUCAGUUGGUUCUUUAAUUGAACCAGUAAGGUAACCAAUCUUCCCUUUACCUCUGAUAAACAUCUUCACAGAUUGGGACCACUGAAGAAAAUUUUGACCAUUCAAUUUAUGGAUUGUGAUCUAAAGUGAUGGACUAUCAUUAGAAACAUAACUUGAUAGUUGUAGAUGUCGUUGCAAUUGCUCUGAAGAUAACUCAGAAGUUUCUUGCUCGCUAUACUUUGAUAUUGGUAUUCAAAUAGAAUUGAAAACUAAAUCCAAGAAUCAAAGAGCGACUCUGAUACCAUGAGAAAAUUAUUGAAGAAAUAUGUAUCUCCUUUUCUUAUUUUUACAAUAGGGUUACACAAUACAUAUAUAUAUAUUCUAAACUACAUAAUGUGCUAGAGUAGGAAAGUAAACAACUAACUGCAGACCAAGAAACUAGGAAACAAACUCUAUCUAAAAAACUGAAAUUCUAUCCCUAUUUUUUUUCCUUUCUAUCCCUAUCUUUUUUCCUUAAAAAUAGGAUAGAAAACAAGUGACUUUUCCACAGCCCUUUUGGACAAAAAUGAUUUCCUGCUAAUUUUGAGAAUAAAACCAUAGACAUCUAACUUCUGAUAUCUAGUCAAUCUGGUAAAAUCUUGGCAGUUGCACUUGGGGCAUAAAUUAGUUCCACCUUGGUUUAAGGACAGAAAUUCGUCAUAUGCAUGUAUUUAUUUAUGUUUUAUACACACACACAUGCAUGUACACACAAACACUACCUUCACUUUGAAGAAAAGAUUAAAAUAACACUGCUCACAUACACAAUACUUACUAUUCUAGUUCGUGUAACUUUCUCCGGAGUCACAAACAGGUCACAGAAUUCACGUAUUAACCGCAUACUUCUAGUCAUUUCUAUUCCUCCUUCACCAUCACUUGUCCCACAAUUACAAAAAGUGAGAGGUAAUAACCAACAUAUUUGGGUUGCUCUUCGGUAAGGGGUGGGAGGUAAGGGUUAGUUGUGGAGGGCACCUAGUACAGAAUCAAGGCCAGCUGUUGGGAAUUUGAUCUCCUGUAACAUAUACUUGUUCAUCAUAAACUAUAUACUUAUUCUGCAGUCGAUGUGUGCAUAUAGCUCUUCAAUUAUCCAGUAAUAACUCACCAUCAACUUCCUGCCAUCUUUCACGGCUAAUUCAGCAGCCAUUUUUGCCUGCUUAAAGGUCAAAAGCCCAAACUAAGCAGAUGCUCCUACUCCGAUACUUAUUAUCUAACUACUACAGAACAGAUGAUACGCAUCAAGUUGUAUCAAGAGAGACACCAAGUUGUGUUUUCCAAGAGGUUCCAAAGAGGUUUUGUUUCUUUGUGUAAUUUUUAGACUGCUUUGACAACUCAUCUUAAAGGUGCCACUCAUCCAAUAUGAUGUGGUGACAGUAGUUUAGAGUUUUAAACUAAAUGCAGAGCUAAUAGUAUUUUGGAAUAUAAUCAUCCUAAGAUACUAUAACACAGGGAUUCUUACACAAAAACAACAACUUCGAUGUAGAGAGAAGAUGAUUUCACAAAAGCAGAUGUUUUGAUUUAAGUCUCCAAAACCCCCACCAAAGAAAUGUUCAACAGAUAUAGAAAUAUGAUCCACAUAUCUGUAACUUAAACUGUGAAAGUUGUUGAUGUUGUUCUAAAAUUGCCACAAUCUAUCUACCCCAUGAAUGUUUUUGGAUAAAACAACAAGCAGGACCCAAUGCCUGUUUUCUAAUAGCUUCAAAAAGGCCAAAUUGGUUUUGAAAUGUCUCCAGCUUUUCAUUUAAUAAGAGAGAGAGAGAGAGAGAAGAAUCGCUCCCCUUUCAAAUACCGUGCUCUUUUGUACCUGGGAAUUUAACUAAUUCUUGCGAAUAAAAAAAUUUAUAAAUUUGGUAAAUUAUUUAUUAAAAAAUAUUGAGAGGCUGUGCAUUAUUUUAUUAGUAAAGAUAUAGUUAUCAUCAAAUUAGUUAUAUUAAAAUAGUUUUUGACUCACGUAAUUUAUUUUUAUUAUUUUUAUAUAUAUAUUUAAUUAAUAAAUUUAUGUUAUAUUCAUUUGUAUAAAAAUGUACAGUUCUAUCCUCACUCUUAUUUUAUUUUUAUUAUUUUUUCAGAAAAUGGUAUGCGUUAUUAAGGUUAAGGGUGACAACUGGGAUCAAUAUACGGUUUAUUCGAGUGCUUAAAACCUAAUAAAUAUCCACUAACUCAUAUUUAAUUAAAAUAUAAUUAUUUUUAAAUAAAAAAAUUUAAUAUAAACUAAACAAAUUGAUUGGAUUUUGUUUCUAAAGGUACAUCAUUAGAACGUUACCUUUAAUUGAACAAAAGCACACAUAACUAGCACAUUCGCCACAAAAGCCUCAGCUUAGUGGUCGGCUUAUUAAUUAUCUUAAUAAAAUCAUGGUCAUAAAUUUGAGUCCCCGUAGGAAUUAUUAGGUUAGGUAGCUUUUUUAGACUACAAAAGCUUUUUUAGACUACUCAUUCAUUUAAUUUUCCGUUAUAUAUAUUCAUCUUUUUUAGAGGCCAAGAAGUCUUCGACAGAAAUGUGAUCUUUUUCUAGUUGCCUCCCGGUGAUGAGCUUCUCCCAAGUUUCAAUUAAUUCGCUUUGAGUGAGGAUAUUUUCUGGUGGCCUCAAAUACAAUGUCUUGUUCAGCACUCAAGGGUCAUCUAUUGUCUUAAUAGUAUAUGUGGCAACAUCAUCAAGAUGCACUAUAGAAAAAAAGAUAAUCAUUUUGUUUAAUAUGAACAUAAAUUCUUACAGUCUAACUCAUAUUAUAGUGAACGAUGCUGUUAUGUGGUGCGUGCAUGCACUAUCUAUAGUUUUAAUAUUAUUAAUAAAGAGUUAAAAGUCUUGAUUUAAUUUUAAAUUGUCAUUCCUCUAACUUCACCGUCUUCAUAGAUGCAGACUUUAUCUUUUGAAGGGUGAGGGUAGCUAUAUUUGAGAGAGGUGUCUAGGGAACCAACCAGCAAAAAACAGCUAGCAGAAACAUAAAUGACAGGGAUUUGAGCAGCCUUGAUUGCCCUUCUCACACAUGCGCUCUGCGUUCUCCCUCCCGCUCUCACUCACUCACGCCCAAAUCUCACCUCACUCACGCAUCUCUCCUUCUGACCGGUGGUUUUCUCUCUCUCGCCGUGGGUCUCAAGGCUGGCAGGGAUUUCUCGACUUGACUACUAAAACAUAAUCCAAAAACUACUAAGAGAUGUAUAUAUUACUCUGAUAUACACAAUAUGAAGAAACUGCAGUUAUAUUUCAAAUAUUAUAUGAAGGAAGAGGCUGUAUGGAUUAUCUAAAGGUGCUGAAAUUAAGAGACCUAUUGAAAAGUCAUGCAUGUGGUAAUUUUUCAAAGAGCUACCAAACAUUUGAAGAAAAAAUGGAAAGUUGGCAAAUUUGUCAAAUUUGCCAAAUGGACACCAUUGACUAUUGGCUUAGGUUAGGUGGAAUGGUAAAGGGGUUGGUGCAAUAGUGCCAUUAUUUUUCCUAUAAAUAGAUGGCACUUUUUCCAUUCUUUUGCAUCCCAAAAUUGUUAAGCUUAUAAGUUUCUAAGCUUUUGAGAGAAGUGAGAGAAGUGUGUCUGGGGAAUUUAUCUUUCCUGCAGAGUGUGAGAGUACUGGGUAUAUUUUGGGUUUCUGGGAAGUGAGAUUCGUUACUCAAAUAUUGUACUCUAUUAAUUGUUAAAUAAACAAUUAUUCUUUCUUGCCUCCGUGGAUGUAGGUUUAAUUACCGAACCACAUAAUUCUUGUGUCCUUUAUUUUUUCUAUAAUUAUUUGGUGCGCUUGAUUCCGCAUUCCAAGCACAACAAGUGGUAUCAGAGCCGAAGGUUCGUACUUGGGGGGAUACGGUACUGUUCACGUAUACGGUACUAUUCCCAUAUACGGUACUGUUCACGAAUACGGUGGAGACGGCCAUUUGUACUUGGGAGACAGUCUAUUGUAAGUAGUGUGUAUUUUUGCAUGUUUAGGAAAGUUCUGUCAACAAAGGCGAUAAGAGUCUAAGGAUUCUGGUUUUUAAUUGGGACCGAGUUCCCGUCCAGUUUCUUGGGAACUUUCCUGGUGCAUUUAUUCAUGCGAAAUUAACAUCAUAGAGACUGUUUUUCAAGUGGAAAUAGUUCGUUGAGAAAAUGGUAGAAGGUGAAACUUCCAGAAUUGGGGAGAGAUCUACCGAGACUAUUUCAGGAGACACUUCAGGUGGGAGACGAGAUUUGUCAAAUCGCUAUUCAGCACCUGUUAUAGGAGGUCAGAAGAUCGAUGUUGAAAAGUUUGAUGGGAAAAUCAACUUCGGCAUGUGGUGGCGCGAAGUUAUGGAUGCCCUUAUUCAAAUCGAUCUCGAUGUUGUUCUGAAAAAUAAAAGACACUUGUAUGAUGAAGAAAUUUGGGAUCGUAUGAAUGAAAAAGCUUGUGGUUAGAUCAGAUCUUGUUUGACCAAGGAGGUGAAAUACUUGGUGAAAGAUGAGGAGUGUGCGGUAACUUUGUGGCGUACAUUAGAGGAAAAGUACUUGGUGAAAAGUCCUGAAAAUCGCCUUCAUGCAAUGAGCCAAGUAUAUGGUUUUCGAAUGAAGCCUGGGGUGUCAAUGCACGAUCAUGUUUCAAGAUUUGAAAAGUUACUUGCUGAUUUGAAGAAUCUUGAUGAAGAUAUUAAGGAUGAAGUCAAGGCUAUGAUUCUGUUACACUCACUACCAGAGGAAUAUAGCCAUUUUGUGACUACUUUGAUAUAUGGGAAGAGUGUGAUCGUCUUCAAAGAUGUUUGCACAACAUUGACUAGCUUAGAGAUUCGGAAUAAUGAUAAAAAUUCUGAACGAGCAUCGUCUGAAGCUUUAGUGAGCAGAGAUUGGGCGAUGGAGAAACAGAAGAAGCGUGGUGGAAAGAACUCUCGAUCCAAAUCGAGAAGCAGAAAUAUAGCUCGAGAUGAGUGUGCCUUUUGUCAUGAAAAGGGCCAUUAGAAGAAAGAUUAUCCAAAUGCUCAAAAGAGAGAUGGGAAGAAACCAGCAGCAGCAAACAUGGCACGGAAAGAUGAGGGAUCUGAUUAUUCACUAAGUAUUACUCCUGCAGCAUACGUGGCUAGUUCGAGCGAGUGGAUACUUGAUACUGGAGCAACCUAUCAUUUGUGUCCCAUUAAGGAAUGGUUUACGGAUUUCAACGUAUUGGAAUCUGGUGCAGUUGUGAUGGGGAAUGAUCAACCUUGUCGCACAAUGGGGAUAGUAACAAUUCGGCUCAAAAUGUUUGAUGGAAUGGUCAGAGAACUCAAAAAGGUUAGAUUUGUUUCAGCUUUAAAGAAAAAUCUAAUUUCUGUGGGUGCUUUAGAAGCUAAAGGCUACAAGGUUACCAUUGAAGAUGGUAUAAUGAAGUUUACACAUGGGGCUAUGGUGAUUCUGCAAGGGGUUCGGCGUCACAAUCUGUACUAUUUGAAGAGAGGUACAACUGAUGAAGCAAAUGUUGUUGAGGCACACAGUGACACCACCAAGCUAUGGCAUGUACGACUAGGACAUGCUAGAGAGAAGUCUUUGCAAACUCUGAUAAGGCAUGGACUCUUAAAAGGUACCAAAACCUGUAAAUUAAAUUUUUGUGAGCAUUGUGUAGUAGGCAAGAAAACAAGGGUUAAGUUUGGUACAGCUAAUCACGAUACUCGUGAGAUCCUUGAAUAUGUUCAUAGUGAUGUAUGGGGACCAACCAAGACUGCAUCAAUUGGUGGAAGCCAUUAUUUUGUUACAUUUGUUGAUGAUUUCUCUAGAAGUGUGUGGGUGUACACCAUGCGAGCAAAUGAUGAGGUUCUAGAGAUUUUCGUGAAAUGGAAGAAAUUGGUGGAGACUCAAACUGGAAGAAAGAUCAAAGUAUUACGAUAUGAUAAUGGGGGUGAAUAUACUUCUGAUCCAUUCUUGCAAGUAUGCCAGAACGAGGGUAUUAAAAGACAUUUCACAGUGAGACAUACUCCGCAACAGAACGGUGUGGCUGAGCGUAUGAAUCGUACUUUACUGGAGAAGGUAUGGUGUAUGUUAUCUAAUGCUGGUUUAGAUAAAAAGUUUUGGGCUGAAGUUGUGAGCUACGCAAGUCACUUGGUAAACCGGUUGCCUUCUGCUGCAAUUGGAGGUAAAACUCCUAUGGAAAUGUGGUCUGGAAAGCAUGCACAAGACUAUGAUUCCCUUCGUAUAUUCGGGUGUCCAGCUUAUUAUCAUGUCAAAGAUGGUAAACUAGAUCCUCGUGCUAGAAAAGCUAUCUUUGUGGGAUUCAAAGGUGGAGUAAAGGACUUCAAGCUUUGGGAUCUCGAAGAUAAAAAGUUUGUGUGUAGCAGAAAUGUCACAUUUGAUGAAGCUUCAAUGAUGAAAGCUUCAAGUUCUCAGCAGGUGGAGAACAAGACCAAAGAGGUAUUGCUGCGGGUGGAGUUUGAUGCAACUCCAUAUGUACCAGUUAGUUCUACAUCAAAGAAGAGUUCAACUAUAGAGGUGACACCUAGAGUUGAAGAAGAGGUUGUUUCUUCUGAUGUCCCACAAAAUGAAGAAACAAUUGAUAAUGUAGAUAAUGAUGAUUUUAUAGCAACAAGGAGGCUAAGAAGAGAGAUAAAGAAACCCGGAUGGCUUACUAAAGAUAUGGUGGUAGCCUAUGCACUUCCAGUUAUUGAUGAUGACAUCCCCAACACUUUCGGUGAAGCAUUACGCAGCAGUGAAAGUGAUCAGUGGAAGUUAGCCAUGGAGGAAGAGAUGAAAUCUCUCCAUCAAAACCAGACUUGGGAACUUGUAAAGUUACCAAAAGGGAAAAAGGCUAUUGGCAAUAAAUGGGUCUACACCAAAAAGCAAGGAUCUCCGAAUAAAAUAACUCCUCGAUACAAGGCAAGGCUCGUGGCAAAAGGUUUUGCUCAAAAGGAAGGUAUUGACUACAAUUAAGUUUUCUCUCCAGUUGUAAAACAUACUUCCAUUCGUAUCCUACUUGCCUUAGUUGCAGAAUAUGAGUUAGAGUUGGCUCAAUUGGAUGUUAAGACCGCGUUCAUACAUGGAGAUUUGGAGGAGGAAAUCUAUAUGAUUCAGCCUUGUGGUUUCAAAGUUGCUGGAAAAGAGAAUCAUGUGUGUAGGUUGAUUAAAUUUUUGUACGGACUGAAGCAAUCGCCAAGGCAGUGGUAUAAAAGAUUUGAUCAAUUUAUACAAGGGCAGAAAUUCACCAGAAGUGAACACGAUCAUUGUGUUUACUUUAGAAGACUACCAGAUAGAGCUUUCAUCUAUUUGUUACUCUAUGUCGAUGAUAUGCUUAUAGCUUCGAAGAAUAGAGAUGAGAUCGAAAGAUUAAAAAAGCAACUGGCUUCUGAGUUUAAGAUGAAAGACUUGGGUGAUGCACAGAGAAUACUUGGGAUGGAGAUUCGUAGAGACAAGAAGAAUGGGAGCGUAUGGUUGACUCAAAAGUCUUAUUUGAAGAAAGUGCUAGAAAGAUUCGGUAUGGAUGACAAAACUAAACCAGUAUGUACACCUCUAGCUUCUCAUUUCAAAUUAAGCUUUUCUUCAUGUCCUAGAUCUCAAGAGGAGCGUGAUUAUAUGGCUCGUGUUCCAUAUGCUAGUGCUGUGGGUAGUCUUAUGUAUGCUAUGGUAUGCACAAGGCCCGAUAUAUCUCAAGCAGUGAGCAUGGUUAGUAGAUACAUGCAAAAUCCGGGUAAAAAUUAAUGGCUUGCGGUAAAGUGGAUUCUCCGAUAUCUGUAUGGGACAGUUGAUGUUGGGUUAUUGUUCAAGAAGGAUUGUGGUCAACAAUGUGUUGGGUAUUGUGAUUCUGAUUUCGCUGGAGACCUUGACAAGCGAAGAUCAACAACGUGCUACGUAUUCACAUUGGGUGGAGGUCCGGUUAGCUGGAGGUCGAUUCUACAAUCGACAAUUGCUCUGUCCACUGCGGAAGCAGAGUAUAUGGCAGCAACUGAAGCUAUAAAAGAAGCUAUCUGGUUGAAAGGUUUAUUAGGUGAUUUGGGAGUAAUCCAGGAGAACAUUGCGGUCUUAUGUGAUAAUCAAAGUGUGAUAUUCCUUGCGAAGAAUCAAACAUAUCACGCUCGGACGAAGCACAUAGAUGUGAAAUAUCAUUAUGUGAGAGAGAUUAUCGAGAGCGGUGUUGUGUUGUUGAGAAAGAUCGAUACCAAAGAUAAUCCAUUAGAUAUGUUGACGAAGGUAGUUUCUGGAGUUAAGUUUCAACAUUGCUUGAAAUUAAUUCAAAUCCUUCGAUUGUGUUAAGAUAUGUCCUUCGGGAAUUUUGAACUACGGUUGGCUUGAUCCCAAAUUUUGGGUACGUAGGCAGUCAUAGAGAUGCAGCCACUUUGGGGAUGAUGAUUGGUUGGUAGUCGGCUCAGAUUUGGACAAAUUUUCACCGAGGUGGAGAAUUGUUGAAAAGUCAUGCAUGUGGCAAUUUUUCAAAGAGCUACCAAACAUUUGAAGAAAAAAUGGAAAGUUGGCAAAUUUUUCAAAUUUGCCAAAUGGACCCCAUUGACUAUUGGUUUUAUGUUAGGUGGAAUAGUAAAGGGGUUGGUGCAAUAGUGCUAUUAUUUUUCCUAUAAAUAGAUGGCACUUCUUCCAUUCUUUUGCAUCCCAAAAUUGUUAAGCUUAUAAGUUUCUAAGCUUUUGAGAGAAGUGAGAGAAGUGUCUGGGGAAUUUAUCUUUCCUGCAGAGUGUGAAGUACUGGGUAUAUUUUGGGUUUAUGGGAAGUGAGAUUUGUUACUCAAAUAUUGUACUCUAUUAAUUGUUAAAUAAACAAUUAUUCUUUCUUGCCUCCGUGGAUGUAGGUUUAAUUACCGAACCACGUAAUUCUUGUGUCCUUUAUUUUUUCUAUAAUUAUUUGGUGCGCUUGAUUCCGCAUUCCGCGCACAACAAGACCCACACCAACCGACAGACCCCCGGUGAUAGAGAGAAAGUCGACUGUGAGAUGCAUUCAAGACGGGGGAAGAGUGAGAGAGAAAACUGCCCGGUCAGAAGGAGAGAUGCAUGAUUGAGGUGAGAGAUUUGGGCGUGAGUGAGUGAGGAGUGAGGGAGAGGGUGCCGCGUGUGUGGGAUGCGUACAAUGACAAUUUAUACUUACAUCAAAACGCCGCGUUCGGUGCCAUGUGUAGGGCUAACUGUGGUUUGAAUCUCACUUUGGUAAUGGAAAUGACUUUGCAAUUGACAGUUUUUGUCAAAAGUUCGCACUGCAUGAAACUAGUGUUAAUAUAAUUUAAAAAAUUAAUUUCAGUAUUAAUUUUUAAAGUUUUAAUUAUUAUAUUUAUUUUAAUAAUAGAUUUAUAUUUAUUAUAAAAAUUUUAGUUAAAUAUUUGUGUUAAAUGGAAUUUAUAAUUAAUAUAAUAGAUCUUAGGUAUUAAUAUAUUAUAAUUAUUCUAUAUGCUAUUGAAAAUCAUUUAUAUUUUUAGACGUUUAUUUUCAUAUUAAGUUUCUAUUUAUUUUAAAAUUUAGUUUAAUAUAAUAUAAGCAAGUAAAGUAUUAAAAUAUUUUUUAGUAUUAUUUAAAAUAUUAAAAUAAUUUUAAAAUAUAAGUCAAAUUUUUAAGUGAAUAUAACUAAUAUUUACAGCUAUUUGAUGGCCUCAACAAGCUAAAGCAGCAUCAAAAUUUGUGGCUCGUUAAUUUAUUUUUUCCCUUUCAAAAAGGGAAGAGGAUAAGUUUGGAAGAAUGAUUAUAUUUUUAAUAAAUUCUUUUUUAUUAUAAUACUUUUUGUCUUUAUUAAUUUAAAAAUAUUGACUCUUAUAUUUUAAAAAAUAUAAAUAUAAUAUUAUAAUAAAAUAUAACAAUAUAUAUCAAAUAUUUAAAAAAUUUAAUAUUUUAAUAUUUUAUAUUAUAUUAAAAUAAAUUUUUAAUAAAUAAAAAUAAUCUAUUAAAAUAAAGUACAAAAAUUUAAAUUAUUUUCAAUAUCAUCUAAAAUAAUUUUACUAUUAUUAAUGCAUGAAAUAUAUUAUAGUAAUUGUAAAUUUCAUUUAACUCAAAGAUUUAUUUAGAAUGUUCAUAAUAAGUCCAAAUAUAUUAUUAAAAUAAUUAUAAUAAUUUACAUUUUAAAAAUUAAUACUGAUAUUAAUUUUUAAAUUAUAUUACUCUACCAGAAAAAUUAAACUAUUAAAUUAUAUCAAUAUUUAUUAAAAAAUUUUGAAAUUAAUUCUUGUUAUAUUUUUAAUUGGAAUUUUUUCAUGUGAUAUAACCAGAAUUGCUACAAUUUUUUUCCCUAAUUAAAGAUGGAGUUAUAAAUUAUUUGUAUAAGUGUCUGUGUGGAAACUAAUGUGACAUGAAAGUAAUAGCUGAAUAACAAUAAUGGGCCGAUUUCAAUUCUUAAACAGACUUGUCCUUCAUCCCAAUUUAUUUACCCCAUUUGGGCCGGUUAUGACAUAAACAUAUUCUUGUGGAAUGAAAAACAUCAUGAGAAGAAAAUGUUUUAUUAUAAUAGAAAAAAGUGGUCCAUAAGUCUAUUCAUUACUUUUUUUAUUCAAUAUAAAUGGCUAACUUUAAAAAUGGUAAAAAUCACAUAACGCGCAAACAUAUUUUAGAUUUAUAUUUUUUAAUACUCUCCGAGUCUCUCUUUCUCUUUUUCUUUUUUUAAAUAAAUGUCAGUAUAAAAUUUAAAAAAAAUUUAGAUAUAAAAUUUGGCAAUGACCAAACAAAAAUUGCAGAGGAAACCUUGAUAUCAUUGAAAUACUGAUAAUAGACACUACAGUAUAAAUAACUUGUUGUGAUCCACUCAACUUGUAACACUUUAAUCCAUAUUCUAAAAUUUUCAUGUUUGUUAGGAUUUUUAUUAUUGAUACUACUGUAUCAAUAAAAUUAUAAUUUAUUCAUAUGGAAUGAAAACAUCAAGAAAGGACCUCUGAUGUUUAUUGUCAUAGAAAAAAGUGGUCCAUAAGUCUAUUAAUUAUUUUAUUUAUUCAAUACAAAUGGCCAACUUAAAAAAUGGUAAAAAUCACACAAUGCACAAGUAAAAUUUUACAAUUACAUUUUUUAAUUCUCUUUGAGUCUCUCUCUCUCUUUAAAAAAUAAACCUCACUGUAAAAUUAGAAAAAUUUUAGACGUAAAAUUUGACAAUCACCAAAUAGAAAACAUAGGGAAAUGAAAAUGGAGGAGCCCUAUUUUCAUUAGAAUAUUGAUCAUAGAUACUAUAAUGUAAAUGAUUUGUUGCGAUUCCUUCAACUUGUCACACUCUAAGCUAUUUUCUAAAAUUUGUAAGGUUUAUAGGAUUUUUAUUACUGCCAUCAUUGUAUCAAUAAUAUUAUAAAUUAUAUAUUCUAUUGUAAUGAAAAUUUGUGUAAUCUUAGGUAUUUAUUGUAUUAAAUUGUGUGGAUUAAUUAAGAAUAUUUUUGGAGACAAAAGAAGUGUGUGUACGUAGGAUUAAUGAUAAAAAAUUUCUAAAUAAAGGUGAUUGCUUCAUUGACAAGUACAUAUUUAUAUUCCUCUAUUAAUAUUUGGGUUGUAAACUCUAUAAUAAAGUUGGUUGGUGUGAGUGGUUCGGCACUCUCACUCUUUAAGAGAGGUCGGGAGUUCAAGCCUCGCUCUCGUAUGGAGUCACCACUUUGGCCAGCACUUUACCUCUUAUGGGCCGACCCGGUGCGAGUGGGAAUUAGUAUGGGUUGUGGUAUGGGCUUAAAGGUGUCUCCCACAGUUGGGGCCCACUCAGGACCACCUCGUGAUUCAAACAAAAAAAAAAAGUGAAUAUAUUGUGGCAAGUGAUGUGGGCAAUAUCGGAUGCGAAAUAUUGAGAGAUCAUUAACGCAUAUAUUUAUUGAAGAUGCGUAUAGAGGAAAGAGUGUAGAUCCGGCCGUAACAAUUACGAAGCUUUCCCCAAGUAUACUCAUGCUUCCUUAACUGUUUCGAAGUAUUUUUCAUAGUGUGCAGAUUUACUUUAUGGUGUCUUUAAUUCAUCUUAAAUGAUUACUUUAUUGUUUUAGGAUGCAAUGUCAUUUAUUGUGUUAAUUUAAACAAUAGAAAAAAUAAGUAACAGUAACGAAAGACUAAUUUGUGAUAUUGAAGCGUACGGGCUUAACUCAAUCCAAAAAUUAGUAAAUUAGCUCAAGAGUUAAGAGUUGUCCAAAUCUUAUAUGAUGAACCCAAGUUUAAUACACAAUUGAUGCGGGAUGUUAUUCCUAACACCUCCCGUCAUGUGUAGGAUUGGCAAAAAAACUCGGGUCAGUCCCGCCUAAACCUACGAGCUUUAUGCAUGGCUCGCAUGAUGAAGUUACGGAUAUUAACCUAAAAAUUUGAAACUUACUAUGAAUGGCCUUGCUUAAAGACUUUUGCAACUUUAAUUUAUAACAAGUAUGUAUAUCUACACACACAUAAGCUUAGAUUGCAUUUGGAUGGCUUUUUUAAUCAAUUCAAACAAUCUGAAAUUUAUCAGAUUAAUCCAAAUCUUAUAUGUAUCCAAUUUUGCCCGCCCCUACUAUAUAUAAGCCCAAGUGACUCUCUUUUACUAAUUAAUAAGAGAAUUUUUGACCUUAUAUCCUUGUUGUGGCGUUAGACUGUUGGUUAUUUUGAUUGUUUCCUACCUUCCAUUUACGCCAGCUAUAACAUUGUAUUAUCACCAUUUUAGCCAUUUAAAUGAAAUUUUAUUUUUCAUUUUAUUGUGUCAAUACUAUCAUAAUUUAUUCAUUUUAUUGUAAUGAUAAUUUGUCUAGUCUUAGGUACUUACUAUAUUAAAUUAUGUAAAUUAAUUGAGAAUACUUUUAGAGACAAAAGAAACACGUGUAUGUAGGAUUAAUAAGCGAAGAGUUGUAAAUGAAGGUGAUUGCUUCAUUGAGAGGCAUAUUAAAUAAUUAUGGAGAGUUGCUCUAUUUCGGAAGCAUAUAUUUAUACUUCCCUAUCAGGAUUUGGGGUAAGCGAGGUGCUUUAUGUAUUGCAGUAACCAAAUGUGGGCAAUAUCAGAGCCGAAAUAUUGAAAGAUCAUAACGCAUAUAAACGAUUAGUAUAUUGAAGACACAUAUAGAGGAAAGAGUGCAGAUCCGGCCGUAACUAUUAUGAGGAUUUCCUCAAGUAUUCUCAUGCUUCCUCAACUGUUCUGAACUAUAUAUUCCUCAUUGUGGGCAGAUUUACUUAAAUACCAACACAAUGAUUCAAUACUUCAAAGGUCAAGGAAAUGUCAAAAUAUGAAAUGAAAAUACUUAAAUACCCUUCUACCUAACAAAACUUAGUACUUCUAACUGCCUUAGCAGAGAAUCUAUAAAAUUAAAAAAAAAAAUUCAUCCAUGAAAAGCUUCGUAACAGAAAAACCGUCUUUCAAAAAAUAAAAAAUAAAAAAUAAAAACAGAAAAACCGACUCAUUUAUCUGCCAAUGAACCAGUCAGGACUCAUUUAAAAAAGAUUACAAAGCAAAAGUAAAUGACACAAAUUGCAUAGAUAUCUCGGAGCCGCAUCAAAGGACAAUGGUGUUAAUUUGUCCGAGUAAUAAAUUCUCCUUGGUCAAAAGCAAUUAACGAUGAAAACUUUCUUCAUUAAGGUUCUGGCCUACGUAAAAAAAAAAAAAAAAAACCACCCCAAGGUCAAAGCACAACGAUAAGUUUAGAAUUGCAGUUUUUAAUUUUUUUUAAUAAAUCAACGUGUAUAAAAAAUAGAUAAUAAUUUUAAAUAAAUUUUAUUUGAUAAAUAUAGGCAUAAAAUUUUAAAAUCACCAAACAGAAAAACAGGGGAAUUAAAACAGAGUCCCUGUUUAUCCUCUAUUUUGCUUGUUAUUAAACAGGGAAAUGAAAAGAUCACAAGCGGAAAUUUUGUUUCUGCGUUGUCUCUUCUCAAUGCUACAUGCAUUCAAAUUAAACCUUACAUAUGCUAGCAAACUAGCUACCUGCGUUUAAGUGUUAGAGUGCAAUUUAUGCACUAAUUUUGCAUUGUUUACUUCUUUUAAUAUCGAUAUUUUGCACUUAAUAAUAGUGAUUUACUUGUAUUUUAUUUUUGUAAGUGCAAUUCUAUUUAUUGGUGCUAAAAUUGGGCUACAAGAUGAUGUUUGAAGAUGAUUGUUUUCUUGGAAAAAUUAUGAGUUUCAGAAGAACUUUGUUGAUAAGGCGUGGGCGCUGGCUGUCAACUACGGACCUGUAGUUUUUAGUUUAACGUGUUUUGUCUUUUUGGUUAUUUUUGUAAUCACGAAUUUAAUAUUUAGAUAAUAUUUUAGAUAUUAGUAUUUUAUUUUAAAAAGAACUCUAGAAGAGAAUUUAAGAGGGGAAUCUAUGGUCAAAGGAAAAAAAAGAAAGGAAACCCUAGAUCUAAAUUUUUCUCUUCUCUCUAUGAAGAACUAAACCUAUUAUUCUGGUUAAAGGUUAAUGGAGCUUUGAUUCAUCAUUACUGUGAGAUCUUUCUUAUGCUUUAAUUGUUUUAUUGAUUUUUGGGUAUUUGUUUAUUCUCUAAAUUAUUGUCAUGAUUAUGUUUGUUAAUUAGAUAAUUAGCCAUUAUUUAAUUAUCAACUUAAUCUAUUGUCAAUUAAAGGAUUCAUCGUAUGAAGAUUUUAAUGUUUGUGACAAAUAGCAUAGCAGUUCGUUAUGUUAUGAGAAUAAACAAUCUAAUUUAAAUGAACCAUCGUAUGCGUUUGUUGAUUAGGAUUUGGGUCUCUCUGGUUUUUCAGGUUGUCAAUUGAUUAAAUCCUAUGAUCGUAUCUAGGGUUGUCUAUUGAUUAGGGAAAUAACCAAUGGUCGUACCUUGGUUAUCGACUAGUUAAGGAGAGAUUGGCUAUUAGAGGGUCUCAGUAGCUAUAACCGGUCUAUUCAUAAGUAGUAAUGAUUUAUAUUUGAAUCAAUGAUCAAUAGUCGAAUCAAGCUGAGUUAAUUCCUUCAACCAGAGCUUUCCCCAAUUUUAAUUUGCAUUCUUGUUAUUUUAAUUUGAUUUUUAUUAUUGUCAACAAUUCCCCCAUUUUGCAUUUUGCAUUUUAAAAGGAUUUAAAUAAUUACUAAUCUCUGUGGACACAACCCUACUCAAUCACUAUACACAAUUUAUUUAGAGUAUGUAUUUAUUUUUGCUGGCUUCGACAACCAUCAAUAAGUUCUCGAUAAGUCCAAAUAAUAGAAUAAUUGUAAAAUGUUCAAAUUCAGUAAUUAAUUAUACAUAUUUAUUUAUUCAAAAUUAUUAUUAUUAUUAAUUAUUGUCAAUAAUAUAUUAAUAUACUAAUUAAUUGUAAACUUUUUUAUCAUUCAUAACAAUGAUGAUGAUGAUGAUGAUGAUGAUGAUGAUAAAAAAUUCAAAACAUAUUAAUUAAUUAUAAUAAUAUAUUAAAUAUUUAAUUAUUUAAUAAUAAUAAUAAUAAAUGCACAAUGUAUAAAUUGAUUAGAAUAAUUAUAUUAAUUAAUCAUAAUAAUUUUUUAAUUGAGGACAAAAUAGAUAUUUUAUAGUUUGUGAGAGGGGGCAAAAUGGUCAAUCUUGGGAAUGGGGGAUUGAUUCCCACCACCUUCCUUAGGAAUCAAUCUUCCAUUCCUCAUUCCUAAUUUGGGUGGUCCCCAUAGUUCUGAUUCGGAUCCCAGCCUCCAUUUUAUGAAGUAAACAUCAUUAAGAUUUCGAUUCCGGAUUCCGAUUCCCCAAUCCAAGAAGUACAGGCACCAUUAUUGUUGAUUGGUUCAAAUGCACAAAGAGAAUGUACCAUGUAGCUAGGCGUCAAGGUUGUGCUGCACAAGUAACCUUUUUCUUUUCUUUUCUUUUUAUUUUUCUUAUUUUCCUUAAUGUAUCGGAAGAAACUGGUGCCUUUGAGAUACUACCAUGUAAAUAAGUACUUAUGGUUCAUUGAAUCUGUAACACUCGGUACCCUACAAUUGCUUUUGAAAAAGGGCUUUACUCACUUAUCGCUAAUAUUCAAGUAAGUUUGUUUCAUUUCAGAAGGUGCAAAGUUUCAAACUUGUUGUAUUGAGAUGUAACAAACUUUGGCCUUAUAUGCUUGUUGUGACGUUUGACUGUUCAUUUUGACUGUUUCCUACCUUCCACUUACGCCUGUAGCACUGUAUUAUUCACCAUUUUAGUUGUUUAAAUGAAAUUUUAUUUUGUCAAAAAUGAAAUGACACCAUUAAAAUUUAAAAAAAUAGUCAUGGAGAUCCCAAAUUUUUACUAAAGAACACCAAUAUUCCCCUUGACUAUAAUACCCUUAGCAGGUGGUAAUAAAAAAUUGACUUAAAAUUUUUUGCGAAAUGUAAAUAUGAUUUAAAUAAUUUAAAUUUUCCAAUAGACUAAUAUAUAUAAUUUAAAUAAUUAAUUUCAAUAUUAAUUUUUUAAAUGUAAAUUAAUAUAUUUGUAUUUAUAAAAUAUUUGCAAUUAUUAUAAAAAUUUUAAAUAAAUCCUUAGGUUAAUAGAUUUUACAAUAAAUAUAAUAUUUCUCAUGUAUUAAUAAUAUUAAAAUUAUUUUAUAUGAUAUUGAAAAUAACUUAAUUUAUAUAUUUAUUUGAAUAUUAUGUCUCUAUUUAUUAUAAUUUGGUUUAAUAGAAUACGAGAUUGUAAAAUAUUAAAAUAUUUUAGAUAUUGAAAUUUUAAUAUGUAUAUAUUAUUAUAUUUAUUUUAAUAUAUUUAUAUUUAUUAUAAAUUAUUAGAGUCAAUUUUUAGUUAAUAAAUUUAAAAAUAUUAUAAUUAAAAAAAAGAAUUCUUAUUGUCUGUUAUUCACAAUAUGAGGUUCUACAAAAUUAUUUCUCCAGACGGGUGUCCUUUUCUUAUUUGUAAAAGGAAAAAUAAGUUCAGGGAUCUUAAAAAAUUCUAGUCCUAUCGACCACUAUGACUAAUGGGAAACGACAUUGCAAUUGACAUUACUUUUCGCAAUAUGACAAAUUUUUGGAGGGAUACGGGAGAAUCGUCAAACGUUCACACCACACGAGAGCUUUAGGUGGGAUCGGGGAGGAUUGUCAAGAGUUCACACCACGAGAAAUUAAUGAUAGGCCUAAUUUCGCUGUCAGUUCUUUAUUUAUUUAUUUUAUUUAUUUCAUACAUUAUUAUCUUGUUGGUAUUGUUUUGUAAAGGUAUAAAAGUAAAGUAAAAUACUAGGGGUACCAUUAAGUUACAGCUGAUGUAACUUACAGUGUUUUAAAAAAUAAUAUAAAAAAUUUAAUAGCUGGUGGGAUCCACAUAUUUUUGAAGAGACUUAAGUUACAACAGUUGUAACUUAACAAAAUCCAAAUAUUUGACAAUAAUGCAUAUAAUUUGGAUUUGAUUUUUAAAAGAUUAUUUGAGCACCACCUAUCCUUAUGAUAUUAAUGUGAAUAUAUCUUAAUAUUAAAUAAUCAAAAUUUGUUUAAUUAUUAUUUGUAUUUCAUACAUUACCUAUUAGAUUUGUUUGAAUUUUACGUUCUUGCUAAUAAAUAUUUAUGUUGUCAAAGUCAAAUUCUAAUGAUUAAAAGAGCAACUAUCCCUUAAAUUUUAAUGGUGAAUUGUAUAUAGUUUUUAAGAAAGUAAGGAUAAGUUGGAUAAUUGACUUAAAUUCUAAUGAUUAAAAGAGCAACUAUCCUUUAAAUUAAAAUGUCAAUUUCUUUAAUUAUAAUUUUUUUUUCAUGUGAUAUAACCACAAUUGCUAUAGUUUUUUUAAAUAAUAAUGGGAGUUAUAAAUUAUUUAUAUAAAAUUUGUGUAGAAUCUAAUGUAACCUAAAAGUAGUUGCUGAAUAAUAAUAUUUGAAACUCUAGGUAAUUUUCAUAUGAGCCCUUUUUAUAUUCAGCAUCUUGAAUCGGGGGAAAUCCGACUUGAAUUGGCGGCUGAUUUUGGUGAUGUAGCUUUCGGUUUAUGGUUGCCUUACAGUGGCGGACGACUGAUUUACGGUCGCCGACUGCUAGGGAUUAUGGUGGUGGUGUAAAUUGACGGAAAAAGUAGAAGGUUUGGUGGCGGCGCGUGUAGGAACCACUCGUGGGUUGUCGUUUCGUGUGGUGACUGCGGGUGGCGAUCAAGGGCUGACGUUGGUCGGUUUUUGGUCAACGGAGGGCGGCCAGUUUGUUGGUGGAGGUGGCUGGCGGUGAAAGUGGCUGAAUGGUGGUGGAUAUCUUGGUGGAGCUACGGGUUUGGGUUGGUGAUUUGCGGCUGUUCAGGCGGCGGUUGAGGCAGCGAUAGCUGCGGCUUGGUCGGCGGUGGCUAGCGAGGUUUGUUGUGGUGUUGGCUGGCUGAUCGGUGGUGGUGGGCGGCGGCGGUGGAGGUUGAUGCGGCGGGUAGGGUUUUCAAAUCGGUUUUUGAUAUUUUUUUUUUUUUUUAUGAAUUUGGUGUGGAUGGGUAUAGGGUAAGAAACACUAGAUAUCAUUCUAGUACUGGACCAAGCCAACGCAAUUAAUUUACCAUCUAGUCGAAGGGUGAUUAGAUAUCGUUCUAACCCAAACGAUAAAAUGAGAUUUUUAACAACGCGUAAUACAAGAUUAGAUGAUGCUCUAAUCCAAACGACUCUACAACGACUCUAUAAGAGAGAUUUUGAUAGAUAAAUCUAGGGAAAAUUAUAAAAGAUGGGUUUUAUUUAAUAAUUAAACCUAAAGUUUUGAAAACAAUGACAAGAUAUUUUUAUUUAUAAUACAGGAAAUCUGCUUCCCUAAGAUAACCUAAAAAAGAAAAGUAAAUCAUAAUUAUAAUAGAAAUGAAAGAUUAAGAUACACACCAUAAUUGACUCAAACUAAAAUAGAAAAUCUUAAAGUAAUAAAUAUUCUAAAAUUGUAAAUUAUCUAAAAUAACAAUAAUUAACUUCCUAAAUCAUUUCUUUGGUGUAAAUCAUUUUACAUCCAACCUCGCUUUAAAGGUUUGAACCAGCGUUACCAACAACAAUGUAUCAAGUUCCAAUCUAGCUUAAGAUCAUGCUGAUACAUCUACUGAUAUCUUUAUUUGAUUAGACAAUAAUGAGUCUAUCUCAUCACUUGUUACCUCUUUCUUGAAGGCUGCAUCUGUUGAGCGAUAACCUCGUUGAAAGUUUAAAGAUCUUCCUCCAUGUUAAAUUAAAUGGGCAUUUGAUUAAGAACUUUAUCUCUAUCUCCUUCUAUCAAAUAACAACCAUCCAAAGGGAAAAAAAAAUUAAAAAAAUCCAUGGGUCACAAUAAUUUCUGGUCAGCCCACAAACCCCCCAUUAUCUGCCACUAUCAAUCAUGAAAAUGAAAAUAAAUGGCAUAUUCCCAAAAUGACGAAAGAUUUUGGGGGAUAUGGGGGAAUUGUCAAAAGUUCACACAACGCGAAACAAGUGUUACAUCCAAUUUUAUUUCGUCAUAUAAUGAUAAUAUCAAAUAAUGACAACCAUCCAAAAGUAUGAUGGGUCUUCCAAAAUUUUAAAAAUGUCGUCAACAUUUAAUUUUCAAUGCUAAAGAAAAUGAAAUGCCCAAAAAUGACACGCAAGACCCACUCACAAACUAAAUGGCCCUUGACCAUAUGUAACAAACUUUGACCUUAUGUCCCUGCUAUGGCGUUAGACUGUUGGUCAUUUUGAUUGCUUUUUACCUUCCAUUUACACCCACUGAAGCAUUGUACGAUUAACCAUUUUAGCUGUUUAAAUGAAAUUUUUAUUUUUUUCAAAAGUAAAAUGACACGCUUAAAAUUUUAGAAAAUAGCCAUGUAGACCCUAAAAUUUUAAUAAAGAACACCAAUACCCUUUUUGACUAUAGUACUUUUAGUCGAUGGUAACAAAAAAAAAAAAUGACUUCAAAAUUUUUUACUAAAUGUAAAUAUGAUUUAAAUAGUUUAAAUUUUCUAGUAGACUAGUAGGUAUAAUUUAAAUAAUUAAUUUAAAUAUUAAUUUUUAAAAUGUAAUUUAAUAUAUUUAUUUUAAUAAUAUAUUUUUAUUUAUUAUAAAAUUUUAAAUAAAUCCUUAGGUUAAAUAGAUUAUAUAAUUAAUAUAAUAUUUCUCAUGUUUUAAUAAUAUUAAAAUUAUUUUACAUGCUAUUGAAAAUAAUUUAAAGUUUUAUAUAUUUAUUUGAAUAUUAUGUCUCUAUUUAUUAUAACUUGGUUUAAUAGAAUAUGAGAUUGUAAAAUAUUAAAAUAUUUUUAGGUACUGAAAUUAUUUUAAUAGGUAUAUAUUAUUAUAUUUACUUUAAUAUCCUACUUAUAUUUAUUAUAAAAUAUUAAAAUUAAUUUUUUUAGUUAAUGAAUUUAAAAAAUAAUAUAAUUAAAAAAAGAGUCUUAUUGUCCGUUAUUCACGAUAUGAGGUUUUACAAAAUUAUUUUCAAAAGGAAAAAUAAGUUCAGGGGUUUCAAAAAAUUCUAGUCCAAUCGACCACUAUGACUAAUGGGAAACGACAUUGCAAUUGACAUUGUUUUUCGCAAUAUGACAAAAUUUUGGAGGGAUAUGGGAGAAUCGUCAAAAGUUAACACCACACAAGAGUUUUAUUUAUUUAUUUAAUUUAUUUCACACAUAUAUUGUCUUGUUGGUAUUGUUUUGUAAAGAUAUAAAAGCACAAGUAAAAUAUUAGGGGAAGUAAAGUAAAAUAUUGGGGGUGCUGCUAAGUUACAACUGCUAUAACUUACAGUUCCUUCAAAAAUAAUGUAAAACAUUUAACACGUGGUGGGACCCACAUUAUGUUUGAAUAGUCCGUAAGUUAUAGCAGUUAUAAAUUAGUAAAAUCCAAAUAUUAGACAAUAAUACACAUUAACAAUGCAUAUAAUUUGGGUUUAAUUUUUUUUAAAUUAUUUGAGUAUUACCUAUCCUUAAGAUAUUAAUGAGAAUAUAUUUUAAUAUUGUGAAGCUUUCCUCAAUUAUUCUCAUGCACCCAGACCUUAUCUGGUCAAGUUUUCUGAUUCAAUACUGACGACAGCUUCUUUGUAAAGCUCUUCAACCACAAGCAUUUCUACAAGGCAAAGGACAAGGACGUGUUGGAAUGAAUAUCAACAUGGGAAUGUCUUAUGAAUUUAGUUUAUAUUCUAAUAUAAGACAAUCAAUAAAUAUUGGAUGCAAUCUAAGGGCUAACAUUUGAUUGAUUAAUAUAAGAAAAAAAAAGGGUACAAAAAUGCAAAACAGAGCUGAUUGAUGGCCUUUAACAGUCAGUUCUAUGACAAAGUAACCACCAUAACCAAUGGAAUUAUAAGACAUCAAGAAACUUGAACUUGGCAGGAGGUCUCAUUAGCAGUAUACCUCAGAAAUUAAGACAGAGACUUUAAAAUGCAAGCUUAUGGAGCAAUUUAAGCACUGAAACUAAUAACAGUGAUGCCAAAAAAGGUGCAGGAGUACGGUAUUAGCAAUUGACCUCUGCUUUUGCUUGGACAAAGGUUCUCAUCACAAGGGACUCAUUAGUUGCCCUUGCCUCACACGAUUGGAUGCUAAGGGGGAAAAGGAAGUUUGAAUUAGUCAAUCUCAUUUCUAAUGGCAUUCACAGAGAACCUAUAAAACAAAAAAGUAAAUAAAAAUUUUCAUCCAUGAAAAGCUUAGUAACGGAAAAACCGACUCUUUUAUCUGCCACUGACCUAAUCCGGACUCAUUUAAUUAAAAAAGAAUUCAAAGCAAAACUAAAAGACACAAAUUGCAUACAAGUCUAGGAGCCAUAUCAAAGGCGUUAUAUAACUUGUCCAAUUAAUAAAUUCUCUUAGGGACCAUGCCGUGCUCACUCAUUUCCAAAGCAAUUAAUGAUAAGAACUUUCAUCAUUAAUUGAUAUGGCCAGUGUAGAAAAAAAUGAAAAACCCCUCCAAGAUUAAAGCACAAGGAUAAGUUUAGAAUUACACUUCUUAAAUUUUGGUUAAUAAAUAAACGUCUAUAUGAAAAUAGAAAAUCUUUUUGGAAUAAAUAAACGUCAAAUUUUUGUUUCUAUCUUACUACCUUCUAAAUCCGCAAUCCCAAGUACUUAGAAGUAAAUGCUACAUAGUACAUGAGAUGUUUCCCGUUCAAAUAGCUCGUCCGAUACCAUUAACAUGUUCAUCUCUCUGUAAUUGGUGUAAUUACGAGAUUGGUGGUUGACAUGGCUUUCCUUGUACAGGUAUGUAUGAUUGUUUUUUUUUUUUUUGGCACUUCUAAAUGGAUACUGUUGAAAAGCUUAAAAUUGAACUGAUAAUUUUGUUUGGAAGCUCAGAAAAUUCAUGAGAAAGUGAAAUAGAAUAUGCUGGAUUUCUUUUCUUUCCAUAACAUACAAAUGACAAACGUAGCAGUAUUUAUACUCGUUGCUUACAUCAUAAAAACAGAAUUAAAGCAAGGUACACAACUAUAACAGCAUCAAAAGCGUGCUUAACUAAUUGGCUGAGCUGGCAUAUACUUCUUUAACUAACAAUGCUGCUGACUGGACUUUAGCUCACACAUGCUUAUCGUGCAGCUACUCUUAGUUCACACGUGCUCAGUGUGCUUCCUUAACAGACACAAGGGAAAAGACAUGAUUUUGAGAUAUAACGCUUGAAUGUUCUCGGAAUGGCAUAACGCUUCGUGUGUCUCGGAGCGGCUGAUUGGUGCUGUACGUGUUUCUCAUAUAGAACUCAAGUCUGCUGUUGUCCCAAAGUUGGAACCAGAGAUAUCAUGACUCUGGUUUCAUUUCACCUCAACUGUGUUUUUUUUUUUAAUUAAAAAAAUAAUUUUUUUAGGUAUACAUACAUGUAUUUUGAUCCCAUUUUCAUGGGAAUUUUGCAUUAAAAAAUGAAGAAUAGCUAAUAGGGAAUUUCCUGAUUCUUUAGUUACUAUUUUUGGAAUGAGGGUAAUUAGUAGUAAAGUUGGUUUCUACUCGCAAACAAGUGAGCUGCUCGAUUCCCAAGUGGUAUCAACCAGUUUUCAACUUUUUAAUAUACACAAAUUGUUAUUGUUUAAUAGCUACUACUAUUAAAACUCAACAUCUUACAAAAAUACUUAAAAAAAAUGAUUUUUUCUUAUGAUGCUGUAAAAAAAAUUACGGGUUUACUUAUUUCCACGAGAUCUUGUAUAGUGUUCUUGUAUAGUGGAAUUAAGAUUGUCUUCCCGAUGGUGCAAUUCACCCUCUUCCUUUACAGUCACUUGCACUUUGUGCAGCUUUGGUGUGGAUACGAUUCCCAGGGAAAAAGUCUUCAUGUUCGGACAAUGUGUCACAAAUACUCGUUCCAAUGAUGGGAAUUCAAGAGUGUAAUUCUCCAAACAAAAGCUGGUAAGCCUUGGUAAAUCAUCAAGUUCCAAAAGUUUUAAUUCACUGAAAGCAAUACGAUUCUCCUUCACUUCUUCUCCAGCAUGUCCUACGAUUUCUUCUAAUUUUUUGCAGUUCCAUACAUAAAGAUUCACCAGACUAGUAGGAAUUCCAACCUGAAAAUAAGCAGAGAGAGUGUGUGUGUAUAAAUAUUAAAAAAGUAAAAAUGUAAGAGUAUCAUUCAACUAGGCUCAAAGUAUGUUUGAUCAUACAAUUAUACGUUUUAUGAACAUAACAAACUGUGAAAUGUCUACUAGAUAUUUUUUGUUAAACAAAAAAGGUAACAAGAUAAAUAAAUAAAUAAAUAAAAGCCAGAUAAACAAAGAUGAUAAAAAUGUAUUUACACAAUUAGUAUUAGGGACGUAGAAAGAAUUUAAGGCAAUUUCUAAAUAUUUUAGACUUAUUUUGCAUCUUGAUAUAAGUUUUUAAGCAUAAAUUUGCACAUUUCAACUAUUCCUUUAAAAAAAAACUCAACUAAAAUGCCUCUUUUUCCCUUUUCCUUGGUCCCCUUUUUUUUAUGUAUAUAUAAAAAUGGAAAAAAAAAUUUGGAAAAGACUUCCUAGUACUGUCAACAAGGGAUUGCUGUAAAGUGGAUCUUUAUUAAGUACUUCCAGACUCGAGGAAAUUUCUUUACAAUCAAGGGUCAGUUGUAAACAAUCAUGAAUUUAUGGUUAAGUAAUGGCAUAAUCAAUUCUUAACUAAACUGGAGAUAUUAAUUAAAUUUGAAGACUUUUUUUUUUUCCCAAUCGAAAUGUGAAGAACUAAGGAAAAGAGAAAUAUAUAGAUGAAUUUGUGAACUUAUAAGAUGAGUGACUAUCCUUUAAUUUUUGAAAAUCGUACUUAUUAAGAUAUGAGCAAAAACAAUUAAAUUGAAUUAUAUUAUGCUGUUGAAUCUGUUUAAAAAAAUUAUAUUGUUGAUUCUAAUGCUGGUGAACCUAAAAACUAGACUUAAAACGUAGAUUUCAGAGUGGUGGUUUGAAGUACAAUAUUUGAAAUAAAUAAUUAGUGGCUGAAUAUCAUUUGUAAACACAGAAAUGAUUAAAAAAUUGUUGAAUGUUAUUUGAAAAAAAAAAUCGAAAUGAAUACAGAAACCUUACCAAUGGAGGAAAAAUAUUCAUUAGCUUAUCACACUCUUCUAUCUCCAAAUUCUUCAAUUUCCUGAAAGACUCCGAAGCAAGCUGGUGGUGCCAUAUUGUUCUUAGGUUAUCCAUCCACACAAUAUAUAAUACCUCCAACCUAGGAAGUCGUACCUGGCAAUUAAAGAUUAAAUAACUAAUUAAUCAAUUAAUGGCAUAAUCAAUUGAUAACUAAAUUAGAGGCGGAUAUUAACUAAAUUUGAAGACUCAAGGAAAAGACAAAUCAAGUAUUGUGACUAAAAUUAUUUUUUUAAUUAAAAAAAAAAAACUUUUCAUCAAAGAGAGGAGGAGGUUGCAUUUCAGAAUGAAUAGUGUCUUCUGGUGAGCUCGUAGAGAUGAAUCUUAACAUAUUACUGCAACAACCAAUCAUGAGGUUUAGCAAAGAAGGGAAUUCAACAACUAAAUCUGAAUGAAUAUGUCCCAUAUUGGCAAAACCUUUAAUUCAAUCAACUUUCCUUCAUCUCUUUCUGACCAUCCCGUGGUGUCGACUACCCCUUCCAUUGACUCACAAUAGCUUAUCUCAAGAUGUUGGAGUUGCAAAAGGCUAUUAACCAUAGAAUAUGAAAACAGAUACUUUAGACGAUAACACCUUUCCACAGUCACUUUUGUUAAAUUUUGACGAAAGUACAUUCCUUGAUUAUGAUCGGCCCAUAAUUUUUUCAUGUUUCUUAAGUCCCUGAGAUUCAAUUCCUCUAAGCUCGGAAGAAUAACCUGCAAAGAAAACCCGUACAUUUUUGUUCCUUCAAGUACAACCGUCUAGUAUAAUAUUCUUUUGAUGAUCAAAGAUUAAUUGUGAUAAUAAAUUAAUCAAUUAAUUAUUGAACAGAAAAUUAUCACCUUUGGAGCAGGAUCAUCAUCAGCAAUGAUUUCGUUGAAUCCCAAAGAAGUUGUUGGUUUGCUAAUUGUUGCACCAAAGAAGUAAGAUUUGAAACUUGUUUUUCUAGAGAAGUAGUACUUACCUCAUUGACUCGCUUAGGUGGCGGCAGUAGAUCGUUCCUAGUGUUGAACUGUUGGGAAUUAGCAGCCAUGUUAGCAAUGAGAUUUCGGGCUGCUUCUGGUGUCUUAUCCACGAGUGCUCCUCCACUAGCGGCAUCAAUCAUACUCCUAUCCAUAGGUAGUAGAACCUCAUAAAAGUAUUGAAUAAGAAGUUGAUCACUUAUCUGAUGGUGAGGGCAACUAGCACAUAGCUUUUUGAAUCGUUCCCAAUAGUCGUAGAGCGACUCUCCAUUAUACUGUCGGAUUCCACAAAUUUCUUUUCGAAUGCUGCCAGCUUUUGAUGCUGGGAAAUAUUUCUCCAAAAAUAGCUGACGCAUCUCAUUCCAUGUAGUGACAGUACCGGAGGGAAGAUAGUACAACCAUUCCUUGGCUGAAUCCGCCAAAGAGAAUGGGAAGGCCAUUAGCUUAACUUGCUCUUCAGAAACUCCGGCUGGUUUCAUUGUGGAGCAGACCACAUGGAACUCCUUCAAGUGGUUAUUUGGAUCCUCUCCUGCAAGACCAUGAAAAGUAGGAAGAAGAUGAAUCAUCCCAGAUUUGAGUUCAAAGUUUACUUGAGGGUUUGGAUUCUCAAUGCAUAAGGGUUGUUGGUCCAAGUUAGGAGCUGCCAACUCUUUAAGUGUUCGGUUGUUAUUCUGAGCCAUUGGUUGGGGUUCUGGGCUGCUUGGNNNNNNNNNNNNNNNNNNNNNNNNNNNNNNNNNNNNNNNNNNNNNNNNNNNNNNNNNNNNNNNNNNNNNNNNNNNNNNNNNNNNNNNNNNNNNNNNNNNNNNNNNNNNNNNNNNNNNNNNNNNNNNNNNNNNNNNNNNNNNNNNNNNNNNNNNNNNNNNNNNNNNNNNNNNNNNNNNNNNNNNNNNNNNNNNNNNNNNNNNNNNNNNNNNNNNNNNNNNNNNNNNNNNNNNNNNNNNNNNNNNNNNNNNNNNNNNNNNNNNNNNNNNNNNNNNNNNNNNNNNNNNNNNNNNNNNNNNNNNNNNNNNNNNNNNNNNNNNNNNNNNNNNNNNNNNNNNNNNNNNNNNNNNNNNNNNNNNNNNNNNNNNNNNNNNNNNNNNNNNNNNNNNNNNNNNNNNNNNNNNNNNNNNNNNNNNNNNNNNGCUAGUCCCCGGCAACGGCGCCAAAAAUUUGGUAGUGUCGUUAAGGUGCACCAAAUUUAAAACCUUACCACUAAUAUAAAUAAUUAGUACAGAGCGAGUAAGGAUCGAUCCCAUAGAGACUAUGCUAGUUAUAUUUAUUAUUAACUCCAAAGCAAGAUUUAAAAUAAAAUAAUAGUAAUAGUAAUAAUAAUAUAAAUUAAUCUAACUAAAGAAAAUGCCAAUUAAAAAUAAAAGGGGGGUUUAUGAAUUUUUAACUAAAUAGUAAGAAAUAAAGAAAUUAAAAUUACGAACAAGAAUUUAAUAAAAACUCUAAUUAAAGGAGAAAGAAAUAAUAAUGAUGAAAACUUUGGUUAAAGGAUCAUUCGCCACCACCAAACAUGCACAUAAUAAAUCAAUUCUAUUAUCAAUUUAUAUUGAAACUAUCAACCAUAGACAACAAUAAGCUCUGUUAGUCUCAAUCUUUCCUUAGUGUGUCGUUAGGUAAAAUAAGCUCUUCACCUAAUCUAUAACCAUUAAAUAAUUUAAAACAAGCUCUUUAAAUUUAAGAUAAUGGAAGCAUUAAACAAAGAAAGAAAUUAGGUUGAUCUAGGCAAUAAACACACAAGCUCAGAUUAUUUAACCUAGGUUAUGUUCUCCAAUUGAAAUCAUUAAUUCCAACCUGCUACUAAUGAUUAAAAUAUCAAGACAAUUACGGAUCAAGAAUUUUAAUCUAGCAAUAAAAUUUAUUCAAGUCCUAUCUAAUUGGCCACUCAAACAAAACAAGAAUAAACCAUGAACAUUAAUUAUAGAAGAACAUAAACAAUCUCAAUUAAAUAAAUUGAAUGAUAGAAUUUAAAUUUAAUUGCAUAGCAUGUUUAGGGUUUUGAAUUCACCCUCAACCAAAUAAAAAUCUAGCCUAACAUAAUUGAAUUGGGAAUAAGAGAAUUGACAAAACCAAUCAUAGAGAUUAAUUCAAGCGGCUGCCUUUUUCUUCAAUUGAAUUCCGGCUGCUGAUUUUUUCUUCUUCUUGCGGCUAUUGAUUUUCCUCUUGCUGCCGAAUUGGAUUUGCCCUCCCAAAGUCUCUUGCUGCCCGAAUUCUUUUCCCUCUAUUGCUUCCGCUUGAUCCUAUUUAUAAUGCUUCAAUUGUGGCUUUUUUUAAAUCCUUGCCUGGAAAGAAUUAAAUUCAAAGCUCAAAACCGCCACCUCAUGCUUCAAUUAAUAAGCCAAUAAUGAUUUCCUAAAGCCAAAAGGCUUUAUUCUCUUUCCUUUCACGUGGCAACUUUUGGUUUGCAUCUUUGUUUUCCAAUUUUGCUUUCAUGUGAUGGCUUGGCUUGUUAAUUGGCUUGGCUUCCUUUUUGACUUCCAUUUUCUAAUUUUAGCUCCAUGUGCAACAUUAAUUUUGCUCGGCCCAUACAAGCUUUAAUUAAAUUUAUUUUCUAAUUCCUUCCAAUUCUUGAUCUCUUGUGCACUUUUGUCUCUCAAUCUUCAAUCAAAUUUUUUUUCUUGAAUGCUCCGAUUUAAUUUCUCUUUAAUUCCAGAAUAUACCUAAAAUAACAAAAUAAAUAAAACUAAGAUAAAAAUUAACAAAAUAAAAUAUAAUUUACUAAAUUAAAAAUUAACUAAAAUAACUAGAAUAUUUAAGACCAAAACAAGAAAAAGAUAGAGAAAUUAAUAGCAAAAUAUAUGAAAAAUAUGCACUUAUCACAAGCCUCUCAUUUUUCAAAGCUUUUGCAAGGGUAAUAAGUGCAACAGGCAAUCCUCCGCAUUUUUCAACGAUCUCAUCUGCUAAAGGUUGAAAAGCAGAUGCUUUUGCAGAAUUACACACUAUCUUUCCAAACAAUUGCAAUGCUUCUUCCUUUGAUAAAACUUCAAUUGAGAAAUCCUUCUGAGAUUUCAUAUCAUUGCGCAAUAAAUCUCGACUUCUAGACGUCAAUAUUAUUGUGCGUCUUCUCCGAUCGUCCUCUCUAUCUUUCUCAUCAACAUCCCCAUAAGGAAUUCCAACUGUAUCGAACUCAAGUUUUGUCCAAAUAUUAUCCAGUAUAAUGAGGAGCCGCUUCUCUUGCUUCAACCUUUGACACAGUCGAGAAGCUCUUUGAAAUUCAUUCUCAUUCAAGUCAAAUUCCAUGCCUAAAUCAAAAGCAAGUUUGUCUUGAAUUUUAUGAUGAUCUGGGGUCUGUGUUAUCUCAGCCAUAACGAACUUAUCGAACAACUUAUCUUCCAUCACUUGGUUUGCAACUUGUUUGACCAGCGUGGUUUUGCCCACGCCGCCCAUCCCAUAGACCCCAAUUAUGUUGACCUUGUCAUCCUUCACCGCCUCCAUAACAUCUUGAAAUACUUUCAUUCUUGAAUCAAACGCCUCGAAAUCUUUCACUUGCAUAUGUUCUGCCCGCUUUGGAGCAGGACUGUAGGAAACAUUGGAGAAGUUGCCUUUUCCCACGAGACUAGCGGCAGCUUCUGCCGCCUUUGCUGCUUGUUUACUAAGCUUGUAACGAGAAAUCAAGUUUGGGCAUAAUCCUUUGAAGCAGGACUUCUUAGCUCUAUCUUCAUCAUCAAUGAUGGAUUUUGCAACCCCUUCACUGAUGAAUUCAUCAACGCUAUGUAGCCAGUCUGUGACACCCUCAUAAAGCUCAUCCCCUUGUAGCCUAGCAUGAUUAACUGGUUGCUGCACCAUUUCUCUCUUAUAUCCCAGCUGCUUCACUUGAUCUUUUAGCUCAUCUAUGUAGCUCUGGUACUUGAACACAUAAGAUAUCUGCCGUGUAAUCGGGUUGAACAGUGACUUUGCACCUUCUGAUACACAGUUGGUUAAAAAAGCCAGACACGCUUCUAUAGCCAUUGCCGGUUGCUUAACAAUAUAUAUCUAGUUUUUGGCUGUUGAAAAAAAAAAUGGAUUCAAAUAAAUUAAAUGAACUAGCGGGGAAGAAAAAGAAAGAAACGACAACAAACAACUUUUUAGAAAAAGGUUUCAGGGGCCUGAAUGGAAAACCAACAAUUUUUUGAAGAAAGAAAACUUUUUUGGAAGAUGGAUGCAAAUUAACCAUUAAUAAUACUGCAUAAGAACACAGAAGUUAACAAUAAACAGUAACUUAAAACUCAAGAAAAUUAAAUGACAAGAUUAAGACAAACAAGAGAUAGUUUUUGUUGGACAUUAAGAAACAUCUGCUAUCAAGAUCAAAGAUUAGAAAUUAUGCUAUUGAAAGAAAUUAUUAAAGUAUUUAGAACAAACGCACCUCUUCAAUUAUCGAGGAUCACAGAGUUUAUGAGCUUCACUCUUGGCCUUCGAUUUAUAAGAAAAAUUUUAAUGAGCAAAAGAUCACUGUUAACUGCAGAAGAAUGUGAGUAAAGAGUUUAUGGGAGUAAGCAAUACAAUUGAAUUGUAAAAGAACAAGACUUAAAGCGUGCACCCCGUGUUCAUAUAAACAGAACACAUGUUCAUUUUUAACAAAGUGAUCAAUAACUCUAUUCGUUAUUUAAUUGAUAUUGUAACCAAUUCUAAGAGAAUAUAAUAAUAAUCAUUCAAUCCAUAAAUUUAGAAUUAGAUUUUUUUAACUCUUUAUUUAAAUAUAAACCUUAAUGGAAAAUUAUAAAAGUUUAGAGAUAAAAUUUUUCAAUCACCAAACGAAAAAAACAGGGGAAUGAAAACAGAGGAAUCUUGUUUUAACUAUUUUUUUCCUCAACUCUCGUUCUUAUAUUAAUAAUCUUGUUUUGAUGAUAGUGCUCGUGACUGCGGGAAAAUUUCUACUGGAAACAACUCAAUUUCGGAAGAAAACUUAAUUUUGCAAGUGAUGAAUUUGAACUCGUUGGAUUGGUUGAUUUAUGAUUGACUGAAUUUCACUUUUGCCCAAAAGAUCUUUAACCAAAGUUUAAUAGCCAUCAUGUACUCCUUAAAAGCAAUUUUUUUUUUUAGAUUUGACUGAAUUUGAACUUGUUGGAUUGGUUGUUUUUAGAUUAUUAAUAUGAGAUAUUACAACGUAAAUAUUUUCAUGUGGUUGAGCCCUAUUCUAAAAUCUGUAUAGUUAGCUUUAGAAAAAGGGCUUUUCCUGCUGAUCUGUAAUCUUCAAAUAAACUUAGAUACAAAUAAUGAAAUAAAAGACAACAAACAAGCAAUACUGAUACAAAGCCAACAGAUCAGAGUUUUUUCUUGCCUUCUUUUGUUGAAGGAUUAGAGUUUUUGGUAUUAUCAGUAAAGGUUUCAAGGAGUAAAGCCUAUAAACUUUUUUUUUGGGGGGGGCGCCGCCGCGGGGAGGGGGGGGGGGGGGAGAGCAUGCAAAUUAACCAAAAGAAAUAAUAAGAGCACAGGCUUUAACAAUGAAUACUGACUUAAAACUCAUGCAAAAUAAGUUACAAUAUUAAAACAAACCAGAGAAAAUUUUUUCUUGGAAAGUAGAUGGAACUUAUGAAAGAGCAGAUGUCAAGGAUUUAGAAAACGCGCACCUCUUUAAUUAUCUGGGAUUAGAGAGUUGGUGAGCUUCUCUAUUUAAGAACAAGUUGAAAGAGGAAAAAGAUCACUGGUAACUGCUGAGGAAUGUGUGAGAAAAGAGUUGAUGAGAGCAAUAACAAAGACCUGCAAAAGAAAAAGAAUUAGUCAUGCACCGCUUUUCUAUAUCAUGUAUUUGGUUAUUGUUGCCCUGUUGACGCAUGUUGAAGAAGAAAGCACUAGUUCACAACUCUACGUUUUCAUAUAUUCUAAAGAAAUAAUUAAGUUUUCAUAGAAUGAUACCUGUUGUGUUUGAGUAAUUUUGGUAUAUACAUUGCUUGUGUACUGUGAAAUUGAAAUGAAUAUUGAUGGAAUGACUGAAUUUCACUUUUGCCCAAAAGAUCUUUAACCAAAGUUUAAUAGCUAUCAUGUACUCCUUAAAAGCAAUUUUUUUUUUUAGAUUUGACUGAAUUUGAACUUGUUGGAUUGGUUGUUUUUAGAUUAUUAAUAUGAGAUAUUACAACGUAAAUAUUUUCAUGUGGUUGAGCCCUAUUCUAAAAUCUGUAUAGUUAGCUUUAGAAAAAGGGCUUUUCCUGCUGAUCUGUAAUCUUCAAAUAAACUUAGAUACAAAUAAUGAAAUAAAAGACAACAAACAAGCAAUACUGAUGCAAAGCCAACAGAUCAGAGUUUUUGGUACAAAGCCAAUAAAAGACAAUAAACUUAGGACCUUUUUUUCUUGCUUUCUUUUGUUGCAGGAUUAGAGUUUUUGGUAUUAUCAGUAAAGGUUUCAAGGGUCUGAGUAAAAGCCUAUAAUCUUUUUAUAAACUUUUUUUUUUGGGGGGGGGGGGGGGGGGGGAGCAUGCAAAUUAACCAAAAGAAAUAAUAAGAGCACAGGCUUUAACAAUGAAUAGUAACUUAAAACUCAUGCAAAAUAAGUUACAAUAUUAAAACAAACCAGAGAAAAUUUUUUCUUGGAAAGUAGAUGGAACUUAAGAAAGAGCAGAUGUCAAGAUCAAGGAUCAGGGAUUCUACUAUCAAAAAAAAAAAAAUUAUUCAAGGAUUUAGAAAUCGUGCACCUCUUUAAUUAUCUGGGAUUAGAGAGUUGGUGAGCUUCUCUAUUUGGCCUUCAAUAUUUAAGAACAAGUUGAAAGAGGAAAAAGAUCACAGGUAACUGCUGAGGAAUGUGUGAGAAAAGAGUUGAUGAGAGCAAUAACAAAGACCUGCAAAAGAAAAAGAAUUAGUCAUGCACCGCUUUUCUAUAUCAUGUAUUUGGUUAUUGUUGCCCUGUUGACGCAUGUUGAAGAAGAAAGCACUAGUUCACAACUCUACGUUUUCAUAUAUUCUAAAGAAAUAAUUAAGUUUUCAUAGAAUAAUUUUGGUAUAUACAUUGCUUGUGUACUGUGAAAUUGAAAUGAAUAUUGAUGGACAGAGCAAUGCAUAUGCCUAAAAAAACAUAAAGCAAAUCCUUGAACGAAUGAUUCAGGACUAAAACUUUUAUAAAAGCAAAUACCGGAAACACACAAAAAGCAUUUAAGAGAGAAACUAAACCGCAAAUAAUCGAAGUAAGAUCAAUAAUAUAUGAUUUGAUUUAUGCAUAUUCAAAAACCAAAAUAUAAAAUAAAAUACAAAAUUAAAGUUUGGUUUAUUCUUUCCACAAAAAACAGGGGAAUGAAAACAGAGGCAACUUGUUUUACCAAUUUUUUCUUCUUAAUUUCCGGCAAAAAAAAUCAAUAAACAGGGGAAUGAAAACAAAGGAACGAAAACAGAGGAAACUUGCUUUUCAGGCUAUCUUGUGACAUGAUGAUAUUGCUCGUGAAUGCAUGAAAAUUUCUAAUGCAAACAGCUCAAUUUGGGAUGAUAAGCUUAAGUUUGCAAGUGAUGCAUGAUAAUCAGAUAUUUGUGGCUUUUAAAACUCAAGAAAACUCAAGAAAAUUAAAUGACAAGAUUAAGACAAACAAGAGAUAGUUUUUGUUGGACAUUAAGAAACAACUACUAUCAAGAUCAAAGAUUAGAAAUUAUGCUAUUGAAAGAAAUUAUUAAAGUAUUUAGAACAAACGCACCUCUUCAAUUAUCGAGGAUCACAGAGUUUAUGAGCUUCACUCUUGGCCUUCGAUUUAUAAGAAAAAUUUUAAUGAGCAAAAGAUCGCUGUUAACUGCAGAAGAAUGUGAGUAAAGAGUUUAUGGGAGUAAGCAAUACAAUUGAAUUGUAAAAGAACAAGACUUAAAGCGUGCACCCCGUGUUCAUAUAAACAGAACACAUGUUCAUUUUUAACAAAGUGAUCAAUAACUCUAUUCGUUAUUUAAUUGAUAUUGUAACCAAGAUCAAGGAUCAGGGAUUCUUAUGCCUACUGAUAUUUAAACAGAGAAUUCUUUCUUCUUUUUCUCUUCAUGGAUUAGAGUUUUUGCUAGUAACAGAAAGGUUUCAAGGGUCUGAAUAAAAUCCCAGAUUUUUUUUUAACUUUGUUUUUUGUGGGAAAAUGGAUUCAAAUUAACCAAAGCCAAUAAUAAGAUCACAGACUUUAACAAUGAACAAUAACUUAAGCAAAACCAAUGACAAGAUUAAAACAAACCACAGAAAUUUUUUCUCGGAAAGUAGAUGAAAAGCAAGUAAGAACUGCUAUUAAAGGAUAUUAUUAAAGGAUUUAGAACAUGUAUACCUCUUUAUUUAUAUGGGAUCAGAGAAUCGAUGACCUCCUCUAUUCGCUUCAGAUAUUAAGUAAGAACUGCUAUUAAAAGAAUGAAUUGAUGAGAGUAAUAACAAUGAUUGCAAAAUAGGAAGACUCAAUCAUGCACCCCUUUUAUACCUGAUCAUAUUAAGAAGUCGUUAAAGAAUAACGACUAAAUUAGGAAUUAAUUCUGAAGUUCAGAAUCAAGAACAAAGACGAAGCUUUAAUAACGCAUGCAGUGAGAUACAAGAAAUGGAUCUGGUAAAAUACAUUAAAAAAAUUUGUUCAACUUCAACCUAGUUAAGCUGAUGAAAGCACUAGUUGUUGGCUCUACGUUUCAUAUGUUCUAAUGAAAUAAUUAAGUUGAAGUUUUCAACGAAUAAAUACCUGUUUCGCUUGAAUAGCUUUGGCAUAUACAUUACUUGUGUCCUGUGAAAUUGAAAAGGUUAUUGAUUUACAAAGCUUAUUAGUAGAGAAAAGCUACGUAAGAUGCCUGAUAAAAGAUAAAGCAAGAGCUUGAAUGAAGAAUGACAUUUUAGAAAGAAACUAAAGUGUAAUCAUCAAAGUAGGAUCAAUAAUGUACCACUUUCCUUGCAAAUCUGGUGGGUUUUCUGAAUAGAUUUUUACAUUAUUCUAUUUAACCAUUUUGGGUUUACCCUAAGCAUUCUUGGUUGGCAUUGUCCUGUAAUCUGCGUGCCCUGGAUACGUGUGAGGGAAAGAUGAGGGUAGAUAUGCAAUUUCAAGAAGCGAUUUGCUUGCAUAAUUCAAUGCAUGGAAAGAGAUGUACCUGACCAGAAAAAAAAGGGCACCAUCCAUAUCUGAGCUUGACUUUUUAGAUGGAUAAAUAUUCUUAUUACUGUUGAUAAUGGAGAAGGGUUCUACUUUUACUUUGCCAUCUUUGAUAUAAAACAGCAUGAUUCCUUUUUAUCAAACACUUGCCUAAGUCUAUUUUUUAUUUUUCUUAUUUUCAGAAAGAGAUUAGCUUAAUUUAAAUUAUAUUCAAGUACAAAGUGUUAUACACUCAUAAAACGAGAAAUAGGCAUGUAUUGAUCACGCGCAAUCUAGUUUUUUUUUUUUUUCUUUUUUUUUAAUCCAGUCUUCUUAUUAAAAAAAAAAGAAUUUAUUUGCUUUAUUUUAAAUUAUUUUUUCAUGCGGUAAAUGCAAUACUGAGUAAUGGGUGAGCAAAAUAUUUACAGGCACACCCCCUUUUAAUGAUUUCGUACUAAAAUUAAAAAUUGACGAUUCCAUGAUAAAGUUCAAAGAGUAAAUGAAGACCCAUAAAUGUUUUUUGGUCAUGAGCAAUUUUUGAGUUGGGACAGCACUCGUAUGAAAAAAAAUAGUUUUUUUUUUUCUUUAAGCAUGAGGAUAUUAAUUCUUUUUUUAUAAAUCAGCGUGAAUAUAAAAUUAAAAAAAUAGUUUUGAAUAACUUCUUUUCUUUUUUCAUAAAUAUAGAUAAAAAAUUUUAAAGUCACCAAACACAAAACCAGGAAAAUGGAAAGGAAGCCCCUGUUUCUCCGCUGCUGCAAGCACAAAUUCGGUUUCUACAGGAGUACCUUCUAAAUGCACCAUUUGUAUUGCUUUGUUUCCACGUAAGCUAACGGAAUUUGAUGAAGACAAAAUAGAUAUGAGUCGUGCUAUUCACACCCCUCGAUAAUUCUCUCAAAAUCCCCUUUCUAAUUAUACCGCCUUGAAUAAUUUCAAAACUGACUUUUCCUCUUAUAAUACCACCUUCAAUUCCCUUAAUACCCUUGUUCGCUAUGAAAAUAAGGAAAAUGCCUACAUAAAAAGCUGGCUCUGAUAAUCUACCUGAAUUUACAUUAGAAAAGAGUGGACUUUGAGAAAUAAGAAGACAAUAUAGGGAAUUUUACCAAAAUAAUCCAUUUUUAUAUACAGGGAAUGGUAUUUUCUAAUAUAAGGAGGAGUGGAGAAAUUAAAUUUAGCAAAAUAAAGAACCUCCAUCGAGAAGCAAAAAUGAUGAUAUCUUUGUCGUGAAGAGAUUUCAAUUCAAUUGCAUACAUUGACGAAACAUUAAAUACGGAAAAAACAAAAAAGAAAUAAUAGAACAUGGGGAUUUCGAGAACUUCUAAAGAGAGAAAUGUAUUUAUAAGCAUUGAAAAUUAGCUCAUUAAAUUUGACAGAAUAAUAUACAAUCUCACUGUUGGCCAGAAAAUAAUAGUAAGAACUUGUGAACAUAUAUAAUCAAUUGCUUAUUACUUAAGCUUUUUCUCCGUUAUUUUGAAUGGGUGCAAAGAGGAGAAGUUUUGUACCCAAAUUCCAACUCGAAUUGUGUAGGCUGCUUGCAAGAGCUUCAUUAGAUUUUUAUUUGUCUUUUAAUAGUGCUACUCGAUAAAUACAGCUAGCUAUCUGUCCUUUUUGUUACUGGACUAUAGAUCAAUUGACAGUUGAAGUUAUAUUAAUUUGUUGUACUGGAAUUGAAGCUUGUAUCUUAGCCAUUUCGUGAAGUGUCAAAUAUAUUUUUAAUUUCCUUAAAAUUGUUCAAAAUAUGUUUACACUUUUAAAGUCACUAUUAUACAUGAGUGCCCUAAAAUCAUUUCCUUAAAAUUGUUCAAGUGGGAUCCUAGUUCUCUAUGGCAGUUGAAGAGGUAAAUGCGCAUAGAGCUAUGCUCUAUCAUAGGCCUCGGCCACUAUAAGAAAUUUGAUUUUUUAAGACGAUAUUUUUUACAACAACUUUAAAUUUGGUCACAAAAUGGUAUUUAUUGUGACAAAUUUUUUAAAUCGUAGCUAAUAAUCUUGUCCUAACUUAUAUUUUUUUUUGUAACCAAUUAUUUUUAUUUUGAGACUUGUUCAUUGGUCAUUAAUUAAAUUUUUUUAUACCAAAAAUUAUUUUAGUCACCAAAAGAUAUAUUUUUUUGGCGCAAAAUCUUCCCUCCAAAAGUGAUUAUUUUGAGACAAUAUUUCACUAUUUAUGACAAAAUAAAUAGUCAUGAAAUAUAAUUAUAGGCGACCAAAUUAUUUGGUAACUAAAAGAGGGGUGUAAAAUUAACUAAACAAUCUAUGACACAAAAUAUUAGUAGCCAAAAUUAUUGUUCUUUUGGCAUAUUUUAAGACCAUUUUUUUGGUCAUAUAUAAUUACCUACAGUGACAAAAUUAAAAAAUAGUCGUUGAAUGUUUUAUCUUGAAUAAUUUUAUAUUUGAUAACCAAUUUUUUUUUCUUUUUGAGACAUAUUACUUGGUCCCUAUUUCAACUUCUUUUUGACUAACUUUAUAAUAGUCACAAAAGACAUUUUUUUUUUUUUUGGCAUAAAAAGUCUGUCCAAAGUUAGCUCUUUUGGGACAAUAUAUAAUCUUUUAUGACAAAAUAUAUAGUGGCGAAAUAUAAUUAUUUUUUACAAAGUUAUUUCGUAGCUGAAAAAGAGGUGUAAAUUUAGUUAACCUAUUUGUGACAUAAAAUAUUAGUCUCCAAAACUAUUAUGCUUUUAGCCAAUUUUAAGACCCGAUUUUGUUGUCAUGGAUAAUUACCUAUUUUCAAAAAACUAAGAGAUAGUAAUCAAAAGUUUGUCUUGAUUGACAUUGUAUUUUAUGAGCAAAAUAUUUUGUUUCAGUGACACUUUACUUGGUCUCUGAUUAGACUUGUUUGUGAUGAUCAAUAGAAAUAUAUAAUAACCACUAAAUUUUUUUGGAUUAAAUUUUAUAGAUACUAUUAAUUAAGUUGUUGACGAAAAUGAUCGAACCAAUACUAAUAUGGGAUACCAUCAACAGCCGUAAUACUUAUGAACCGAGAAAUUAUAAUAUGUAGUGAAAAAGUUUUAACAGUAGUCCCUAGUAUUUAGAAUUAUUUUGACUACUUUAUUUAUUUCCAAAACAUAAAAUUCUCAACCCAAAAUUCCCCGCAUUGUGUUUUAUUUUGUCUCCUCACUCAGUUACUCUUAUUAACUCACGGCUUGACAAAAAAAAGAAAAAAAUUCUCACAGCUUGAUGUUCUCCUCUCUUUAAAAAUAAAAAUCCCCAGUUACUCUGCUCAAACUCGUUAAUAUUUGUUUCCACCACCAAAGCAGCCACUCGUAUCUUUUAUUAAGCAUAACGUUUUUCUUAAAACCUAAUUGAUCAUUCUUUAACGUCUCCAGGAUUAUAUUUGGCACGCUAUUUUUCUCCUUCAAUUGAAUAGAAGUCUAGAACCUUUUUUUUUUCGCAAUUCACUUUUGCUGUGUUUCGUGGUUUGGACUAAGAUCAUGACAAUUAUUGAACGAUGGGGAUAAAUAUCAAAGAAGGAGCUUACAUGCCCUAUAUAUCUCUCUUUGGAUGAAUAACGAAUGUGAGCUUUCAAAGUACAGAGAUUUACAUGUUUUAAUUGUCAUUUACAUUGCUGCAUGCCAAUUGCUUGAUAAAAUACUGCAACAAAUACGCAUUCUCGAUUUUCUUAUAAAUUUAUUUUCUUAAUCUGAAAAAAAUUGAAUGUUCAGAGAAUUUUGAAGGUUUUGGUGUAUGCAUUAAUAUUUCGAUUCUAUUUAUGUUGUUUAACUAAUGAAGAUGAUACAUCUAGCCUCUUUUUGCCCCUUGUUGUUUUUAUUCUUGUGCUUUAUAUACGGUUCAAGUGUGAUACACUUUAGUUUUUCUCAAGUGUUUGUUAGUAUUUCCCGAAGCAAAAUUUGUCACAGACUUUGAGUUCAAAAGUUGAAAUCAUAACUAACAUACUUCGAUUUUUUAUUUUCCUUUUUUCUUCGGUAUCCUUCUAUAUGGCAUUGGUUGAGAAAUUGGUGUACUUAGAUCGUAAUAUUCUGUAGAAAUAAGCCAAUAUUUCAUUACGUACAUUGUUUAAUAUGAUGAGUAUUGUAUAGAAGUUUUACAUAUAAGCUCCUUAUAUAUUAUGCAUUAUGUUUUUAUCAUAUUGUUGCUUGGAACUUUGAAGGAUUGGCCACAGGGCUUUAGUCCUACAUGGACAUUUUAUAUUUAAUAGCUGGUUAGGCAUUUUAUUUGAUGUUAUUUGGACUUGUAGGUGUUAAAAGUUUUGUUCAGUAAUUUUAUAAUUCAGAUUCCCAUUGUGAUAAGAUAGCAAUUUUUUGUGUGUCAGAUUCUGUCAACUGAUAUUUAGCUAAAAUAUCUCACUAACCCCUAUUGGUUAGGUAUUAUUUUAAAUCACAUACUUGAUUUUUAUUUUCUUUUUAUCUGUGGAAUCCCAUGUAUCAUUCAUAAGAAACAAGCUAUUAUAUAAUCUAUUCUUUAGAUCCAUUUAUAUGUAGUGAGCACUCUGAUUUCUAUUAUUUGAAUUUUUUGCUACUGUUACUACUCUUUCGGCCCUUCAAAUAGGGGUUAACAGAAAUGGUGAGUAUAUUAAUACAAAUUCAAACUUUCUUUUUCUAAUUUUAUCCAAAAUAACCUACUAUUUUAUUUUAAUUUCAAACUUUUGUCAUAGUCUAAUGGGCAGUUGUCUUGUCAUUAUUUGGUUUCAAGUAAGAAGAGAGAAAGUUAGUGAGAGGAUGAAAAUUUUGCAAAAACUUGUUCAUAGCUAUGGUAAUUAAGUAGUUUGAGUUCUUUUUUUUGUUGUUUUCUAUGUUGGUUUUGGAUCAUUGUAGUUGCUGAUUGUGAUUUAUUGUCGCCUAUGGUUGCUGACUUUUGUUUACUGUGGCUACUUUAUUAAAGCAAUUUUGGAUAUUGAAGUUUAUGGCCAACUUUUAUUAGACACUUCUGACCUUUAUCGAUAUAUUUUCUGAACCUUUACACUUAAGAUGUGUGUGUGUGUUUUUAAAAAAUACAUGUGAAUGAAAUAGUACUUGAAAUAAUAUAUUUUCUCAACUUUUAUUAGAUAUAGUGAAAUAGUACUUGAAAUAAUAUAUUUUCUCAACUUUUAUUAGAUAAUUCAAAGUAUAUCCCACUUAUUAUCGAUAUAUUUGCUCAAGUCUCAUGUGCAACAUGUGAAUGAAAUAGUACUUGAAAUAAUAGAGACUUUGUUUUAUGACUCAUAUUUUUACAUUUCUUUGCAAGGAACCAUACUUAAUUGUACCUAAUAGAAGAGAUAUCUUUUCACUAUAUAGUCUUAGUAUAAAAAGAUACAUCUUCUAUAUAAGGCACAAUUGAUGGGACAUAUCUUUAUACUAAGACAUCAUUCAUAUUUAUCACACAAUAAUAGAAACUGCAAUGGUAGGUGGAAUAUUAUGAAGUCAAAAUUGAGAACGACAUUAAAUCAUGAAUUCUUUAUGUGUUUACUCGAAUGCCUGACAGUAUUUAGUUCAAUUAACACAGAUUGGAAAUCCAAAUGAUUGAAGAGUUGUAUGAGUUCAAGUUCAGUAUUUAAUUACUAUAUAAUUAUACAUAAAUGUGGAUUUUGCAAGCUUGAACCCAUGUGUGUUAGCCCAUUUCGGCCCAAUAAACAUAUUGUUCUGGAUAAAAAAUAUCAGGGGAUCUCUGAUGUUUCUUUGGUUUAACAUAAAUUUAUUCCUAACUCUAUAACCAUGCAUUAUUUAGACAAAAAUUUUUGCAAUCACCAAACAGUAAAACAGAGAAAUAAAAACGGAGGAGCUCUUUUCUAAAACAGAAGUAGGUGUUUUGUCUGAACGUACCACUUUCUGUUUAAUUAUUAUGUUUACGGAAUAGAUUUUUUUUUAUUAUUCUGUUUUAUGUUUCCGUCUUUACCCUAAGCAUUCUUGGUUGGCAUCGCUGCAUUGUCCUGUAAUCUGUGUGCCUUGGUGAGGAGGGGAAUGGAUAACUGUGGUGCUGGAUACGUGAGAGACAAUGAUGAGGGUAGAUUUGUAAUUGCCAGAAGCGAUUUGCUUGCAAUAAUUCAAUGCAUGGAAAGAGAUGCCUCUAACAAAAAAUGGGACUAUCCAUAUCUGAGCAUUAGAGCUCUACGUCUUAGAUAAAUAAAUAUACUUAUUAGUAUUGUUUUUGCAUAUAUCUUUCACAAAAUUAUUGUAUUCGCUUAUAUAGAGAGGACGAUUUAGAUAAGUUUCAACUAAAAAUUGACAAUUCCAUGAUAAAGUUAAAAAUCACCGAAUAAAAAACUGGAAAAUCCCCUGUUUCUCCUCUGCUUUCUUUUGAUUAUUAUUAAAAAGGGGAAUUAAAAAAUGAGUUGCAAGCACAAAUUUUAUUUCUACAGUAGUACCUUCUAAAUGCACCAUUGUUUGAUACAUUAAAAUUAAACAUUACUUAUGCUAGUAUAUCGGUACUUCACAUGUCCGUUCUUCAUUAAUGUAUAUUCAUUUACACCCAAGCUACCUGUCAGUUUUGCGAAAACUGAAUUUAAAGGUGUGGCUUAAAUUAAAAUAAUAAUCAGCCUCAUAGAAUACAGAGAAAAAAGAUAAUUUAUCACAAUCAUAUCCUAAUGCAUCAUAAAUUUAGAUUAUUUAAUUACUGUUAGGAAAUCUGCUUAGAUAAGGCGCACACUACAAAUUCUAAAUUAAAUUCCUAAUUAACAAUAAAAGAUAGACCCUAUUAAUCGUCCACCAGGUACCUUGUAGCCUGCAUCAUAAGUUUAGAUUUAAAUUUUUGCAAUUACCAAACGGAGAAACAGGGGAAUGAAAACAAAGGAGCCCUAUUUUUUCCAUUUUUGUCCCCCUUAACUCUUGUCCUUAUACAAAUAUUUUUCCUUGGAAUUUCAGGCAUACGAAAAAAUAUUGAAAAUUAUUUAAAGCAAACAGGUGGAUGAUAACAAAAAUAUAUUUAAUUAACCAAAUCAAGACACUAUAUUGGUCGUCAAUGUUUCGGCAUCACUGUCUUCUUCAGAUGUUACUUGUUUUUCACAUUUAUUUUGCGCUGUUGUGGAUUAAUAUGGUUCUGCUGGGUGCACAUUUUUACGUGCUACUGUAUUUUCUCUCAGUCCUUUUUAAAAGAACAUACACCCACAUACUAUGUAGAGUGACCUUUUUUAAUGAGGAAUCUGUCAUUUUAAUAAAAUGAAGAAUAAACUAAAAGGUAGAAGUACACGAACUCUAAUGCAAUAUACCUUUUCUUUUCUUUUACCUUUACUAUAAGAUAGGGAAUGAUAUAAUUGAUAAUGGAACUUGGGGUCAGAGCAGCGGUGUAAUUUUGAGAGGAUUUACAAGAUGGUAAGUGCAAUAAUUAACAGGCUCAUUUAAUAUAUCAAACUGCUAGAUAAUUGUACUAGUUAAACAUAAUUUUCAGAGAAUCUUUUUAAGGGUUUAUUUAUUAAUAUUUUGUUUCUUUCCAGCAUGAACACUUUGUUUUGACACGUGCUUAACAACCUUCAACGAACUGGAACAACCUUCAUCACAUGCUUCCUCACGUGAUUACUUAAAUUGAUAUGUAAAACGUGCUCCAUCCAUGUCGUUUCCACUAAAUCGUUUUUUGUUAAGAAUCAGCUGAGCAGCACGUGAGCUAAUGAAGCUUUUACGGCUUCAAAACGCAGCCGUUUCUGGGAACCAAACUUGAUUCAUCAUCUCACAACUACAGAUGAAUUAUCGAAGUGGCUGAUUGGUGCUGUACGUGUUUUUCGUAUUGAACUCAACUCUGCUAUAAUACAUGCGUGCAUCUGAUACAUGCACAAAAACCACCACUCCCACUCCCACUCCCACUCCCACGCCCUCGCGUCACGCGCCUUACCACUCCCUCGCCUCACCUCACCUCUCUUCUUGUUCCACGGCCAUCAACGGCGGCACGAGUCGGCAACGAUCAACUGCGGCUGUAAAUUGACCACAAUCAUCUCUCUCUCUCGGCUUUGCUCAAAUUUGGCCGAUCUAUGCGCUUGCUUAAGCUUGGCCGAUCUAUGCUUGCUCAAUUACUCUUCCUAUAUUCAGUCGGAGUCAACUGUUUGACAAGAGUCGAAGUCCAAGGUUCUUUUUUACAGGAUUUGAGCUACUUCUUUUAUUCUUCUUCCAUGUUCACUGAUACGAAGCUUUGAUGUGGUGUUCUGAGAGCGGGUGGAAUUUGAGAUUCUCCUUUCUUCUCUAUAUGAAGGUGCUUGUCAUGUGUCAAGAAAAAUAAAAUUAUUUACAAAAGAUUAUUUUAAGGAGAUUUAUUAUUAUUCGUGGAUCGGGAAGCUCAAAAAAUUUUCUUAUGUAGACUCAAAUCAUUUCUAUAGGGCGAAGCAUAUGAAUGAUACAUAUUAUCUUUUUUUGGCCUUAUGUAUUGUUAUUUGCAGUGUGAUUUGGUCUAGCUUAAGAGCUUAAGCUUGCAGGCUGGAUUUGUCUGACAUGGAACAAUUUAAUUUGUUCAUCGUGAUGUUUAUAUCCAUUUUGUACUACUAUCAAUUUCAAUCAUGGCUAAUUUUUAUAUGUAUUUCUCGUGGACUCUCAGGUUCAGUGCACAAGAGGAUGAAGACGAUGGACACCCAAAUUUGAUGUGGAGAACAACUAUUGCAAAUGGUCCUUGAUUUACUUCUCCAAUUGACUUGAAUUGGUUUGACGCAAUUUAUAGUGUAUUUUUGUCAUCUUUGUAUGACUGGCAGGUCGUCCUGAUUUGGUACAUGACUGGACACAGGAAUUGGACUCAUAUUUUUCAAACCAGAAUGCCAACAAUCAAGCAUUUUCUUUUGAAAGCACUGGCGUCUUCUUCAGUGCCAAAAAGGUUAGAGAUUUUCUGUAUCCUGUUUUGUAUUUGAUCAGUUUAGCAUGUGGGUGGCAAUCAAGAAAAGUUAUUAUAACAUUUUUGUGUUCCCGAAAAACUGCUGCUGAUGUGUAGUGCAGGAAAUGAAUUGUUUGUGACUUCUUUUUAUUUGUAUUCUUUCUUUUUUCUUUUCUCCCCAACAGAAUUACGUAUUUCUGAAGAGCUUCUUGAAGUUGAUUACCAUGUAUGCCACUUUCUUUACUCUAUGCUCAGGAUGUGAUUUUGUUUAGGUCAGAACCAUCAUCUAAAGUUUACUUAAUGCUGCCGAGAAGCUGUAGUAGAGCAAUGAAGGCUGUUGGUGUUAUGAAGGCCAGCUGUGAAGAAAUAUUUGAACUUGUAAUGAGCAUGGAUGGGACACGAUACGAGUAUGCUUCUUUUCUAUUUUUUAUUUUUAGUUACUUUAACAUAAUCAAGACUAUAUUGGCUGUCUGUGUAAGCUGAGUAUUAUAUUUCCUCUUGUAUGCUGUGAAAUUCACAUUGUCUCCAGUCCCGAUUCUGUAUGUGCCUUUUUGAAUAUAUUUAAUUAAUCUGCAUGGUGCUUUCUAAAGAUUAUUACAAACUUUUGUUGCUUAAGUAUAUGAAGAAUGUGGAAAUGAAAAUAGCUUUUGAAGUUUGAUGGAUUGCUUCAUUAAUAAAGAAAGACUAGGACUCAUUUUUAUAACUUUUCUCCACUUAGCUAAUGGUAUUUGAUGAAGACAAAAUAGAUGUAGCUAUCUAUAUUUUUUGUUGCUGAACUAUAGAUCAAUUGAUGGUUGAAGUUAGUUAUAUUAAUUUGUUGUACUAGAUUAAAGCUUGUAUCUUAGCCAUUUCAUGAAGUGUCAAAUACGUUCUUUCCUCUUUUUUUUUUUUUUCGAAACAUGUUACACUUUUGAAGUCACUAUUACAUAAAAGAGUGUUCUAAAACAGGAGAAGGCGUGCUGCCUGAAAUUACCUGUUUCCUAGCAAAUCUAGCUGGUUUGCGAAUUAGAUUUUAACAAGUCUCUUGGCAAGGUUUGCUAGUAAUGUGUUCAAAUUAUUCUAUUUAAUUUUACUGUCUGUACCCUAAUAAUUCUUGGUUUGCACCAUUGCAUUGUUCCAUAAUCUCUGUGCGUUGGCUUAUAAAGGCCAGCAAGGCUGAUCAUUUGUCGAAUAGUUAUUUCCAUGAAAUUCCUAUCAAUUUGACUCAGUAUUUAGAGGUCUUGAAGAGGGCAGUGUACUAGACAUGGAUUUCUACCUCUUUUGGUUGUACAAUUGUUGUAUUUCUUGGCCAUCAGAUCUUUUUUAUGUACCUUUCUCAAAGUUCUUGCCGCACGUACACCGUUUUUCAUGUUUUGUGCAGGUGGGAUUGUAGUCUUCUGUAUCGCAGCUUAGUUGAAGAGGUAGAUGGUCAUACGGCUAUUCUCUAUCAUAGGCUUCAGCUGGACUGGCUUCCAAUGUAAUAGUCUCUUGAUUCAAUCAUCUCAUUUAUGCUUUGGUCAGAAUAGAACAUUUAUUGUUCUUCUUUCCCCUUUCCUCUCUUCUGAUGUAAUAUGUGAGGAAAUUACCUAAAAUUUCUGUAUCCCAAUGUAAUUGUUGGCAUUCAGAAAUAAAAUAAAUACACCGUCUUGUUUUUCCCUCGGUUCAGUCCUAAGUUCUCUUUGGGCCUUCUGCAAGUUUUUAAACAUACUGUGACAGUAAAAAAUCUAGUGAUUGAGAUCAUUUUGAUGAAUUUAAUUUUAAUUCUUAGCUGAUACUUUUUCUGGAAUUUUUUUCUUAUGUUUCCUCAAUAUGACUUAAAUAUAGGGCUUAGUCAUGGAUCAUGCACCAGAGUGAUGGAAGCACCCCUUGUUUAUUAGGAAAAGCAGUUGAUUGUAACUAUAUCCGCGGUCCUAAGUAGUUAGAAGUAAAUGCUCUUCGAAUUCCUAUAGUACAUGGGAUGUGUUCCCUUUCAAAUAGCUUGUUCAAUACCAUUAACAUGGUUUAACAUUGUUCAUCUUUCUGUAGAUUGAUGUUGACGUGUUCUUCUAGAGUUGCUAAUGGAGUUUUGGGCCUUGUAAUUGGUGUAAUUACGGCAUUGGUGGUUGACAUGGCUUUCCUUGUGCAGGUAUGUAUGAUUGUUUUUUUCCCCCACUUCUAAAUGACACGAGGGAAGAGACAUGAUUUUGAGAUAUUGUACUGCAAUUUGCAUAUUUGCAUACUUGAAUAGUAACUCAAGAAUCAUUUUCAGAAUGGUAUAAUGCUUCGUGUAUGCAGGCAAAUACUACAGAUGAAUUACCGGAGCGGCUGAUUGGAGCUGUACGUGUUUCUUAUAUAGAACUCAAGUCUGCUAUUGUCCCAAAGUUGGAACCAGAGACAUCAUGACUCUGGUUUCAUUUCACCUCAACUGUUUUUUUUUUAAUUGAAAAAAAAAAUCAUUUGUUUUAGGUAUGCAUACAUGUAUUUUGAUCCCGUUUUCAUUGUAAUUUCUCAUUUACUUUGAAAGAAAGUCACUGGUGUUUUCGAAUAGGAAUUUUGCAUUAAAAAAUAAAGAAUACUUAAUAGGAAACUUAAUAAUUCUUUAGUUACUAUUUUUGGAAUGAGUGUAAUAGUAUUGAAGUUGGUUUCUACUCGCAAUCAAGUGAACUACUCGAUCCCCAACUGCGACCGCACUAAUUGUCAUUGUUUAAUAGCCUACUACUUUUAAAACUCAACAACUAAAAAAAUGAUUUUCUUAUGAUGCUGUGAAAACAUUUAUGGGUUCACUUAUUUCCACAAGAUCUAUAACAUGGUCUUGACUUCACGAAAUUCUUUUAACUUAAAGGGUUCUGGUCUGAGAAAGUUAAUUUGACGGAUUAAUUCCUUUUAAUAAUGGUCGAGUUAAUUUUACUAUACUCGUAAAACUAUUAUUAUUCUGAUAAUGCCACAAAUGUUAUGAUGUUUUCUUCAGCCAAUAAUCUUCUAUUAGGACUAGUUAGAAAUCAAAUGCUUAAAACACCAAUUGAAUGAAUAAUGCAGAAGUUUAAACAGUAUCUAAUUGAAAAUUACAUGAAGCAUGAAACAUCAAUUCAAGUCCUUCCUUAAACAGAGAAUGCAUCAAACAAAUCCAAAGUGUCUUGCAUGUCUGUAAAUAAUUGUAAAUGCGUUUAGAUUAUUCAAGUACAGGAGAACAAGCAAGUUGAAUCAUGUACAAGAGGUUGGCCUGGUUCGAGAUAGCUUCUUCACAGUACCUGAAGGGUUGGCUCAAUCUUUUCUUUAGAAUUCUGCACAUUUUGUAAUUACUCGUGUAAGCAAGCAUACAUUACAACCAUAAUAAUAAUAAGGCAAGAGUAAUGAUACGACCACAGCCUCUUGUGCACAAAUAAUAUUGUACAAACUAAUAUGACAUAAUAUGAUUGAUUAAACAAAAACAUAACAUGACCCUCAUAAUUUAUUUAUUAUUAUUUUAUAUUUUCAGUCAAGCAAUCAUAUUAUGCCACAUUAAAUAGAAAUAAUUUACUAGAUAGUGCCAACACUUCAUUGAUACUCACCAUUUCAUUGAACAAUUUUUUUAUAGUGUCAUUGAGGUUGCCUUCCCAACAUCCUUCAUCAUCACCAUCUUCAUCUUCGGUGGGUUUCACUUUGUUUAGCUUUGGUGCGUCUACGACUCCUGGAGAGAAAAUCUUCAUCGUUGGGCAUUGUCUCACAACUACGUGUGCCAAGGACGGGAACUCAAGAGCGUAAUUACCCAAACUAAAGCUUGUUAGGCUUGGCAAACAAUCAAUUCCCAAGUACUCCAAUUUCCUGAAAACAAUGCAAUCUUCCGCUUCUUCUCCAACCUGCGACUGUAUAAUUUCUUCCAUCAUUUUGCAAUCAGUUAUCUUCAUUCUUUCAAGAUUCACUAGACUUUCAGAUGUUGAGAGUGUCAAUAAAUUUAUCAACCCAUGACACUUCGAUACUUCCAGAGUCGCAAGAUUUUCCAAAUGCCACAAAGCUGGUACUAAUUUCUGCAACUUACUACAUUCAAAUAUUUCUAGACUUUUCAAGUUUGCAAACACUUUGUUGGAUUCGGCAUUUUCCUUCCAGAGAUGCUGCACUUUGUGUAAUCCAGAUAGCUUUAACUUCAUCAAUUGAGGGAAUGCAACCUGAAAAUCAACAAAAUUAAGUUGUAAAUGAAAAUAUGUAUCCAAUCUCUACAGUCUUCCCCUACAUAUUUUAUGGACAAGAUUAAUCACGGCAUUUUAUAUUUUAUUUCCAAAUUAGUAUGCUUUGCAGUAGGAUCCCAAAUAUAAGUAUCAAAUCGAUUACCCUUUGAAACACAUAAAUGAAAUCUGAUCAUAAAUCCAAUAUGAAUUAGCUAGGAAAACAAAGAUCUAACACGCAUAAUUUAUGCGAUAUAGUUCAUCACCUCCUGUCACUAGGCAUCUAAUUAAUUUGAGACAUUUUUUUAAUUCAUACUAUAAAGUUAGUUAAUAACUACAAUUAUAUUGUUAAAUCAGAUAUAAAUUAAGACGACGUGCAAAAAGAUAAGUCAUUAAAUUUGAUUUGAUUCUAAUGAAAUUACAUCUAUGCGAAUGAAAGUGAAGGGAAAAAUAAUAAUAAUGAUUACCUUUUUAUCGAAGAGAUGUUGUAUUUGAUUAGCUACCAAGAGGUUCUCUUCUGAUUUUAAUUUUUGAGCUUCCUUAUUAUCUGCUGUCAUGUGCAAUACAGAUGUAGAAUUGGAUAUGAAUGUUUCCAUGUCAGGGCAAUUCUCAAUAGUUAGAUAUCUCAACUCAGGCAGUUCAAUUAUAUUCCCAGUGAAGUUGCAGAAUCUUUUGAGUUUUGGAAGAUCAAUGAGCCUUAGAUUGGAAAGCUUAGGAAACAUGGGGCCUAUAUGUUCUUUGUCAGCAUUUAGCUCUUCCAAACGAAGCACCUCUUCUAGUGAAUCACAAUUCCUCACUUCCAGCCGUCGCAAAUUGUUCAAGCAUCGUAGCAGAUUGGCAGGAAUAGCACUCGACAUAUUCGUGCAGUCAUCCACCACCAGCCGUGCUAAAUUGUUGAAGAAGCUGACAGGCAGUGCUUGGCCAUGCCAUAUUUCUUUCAAACGUGGAAAAUGUGAGAGUUGCAAAUACCAUAUGUCACGGAAUCCAAUCUGCACAAACCAAAACAAUUGCACCGGAUAUAUACAAUUUUUUUUUUGAAAGGCAUUAUAUAUAUACACAUUAAACUUACAUGUUUUGUGUUUUAACUUCUAAAAAUAUAUAUACAAGACCGGGGUAUAUGCUUAAAUGUGCAAUUGCAGGGGAGAUGCAUAAACAAUUUGGGUGAAUCGAUUAACACAUACCAUUUCUUUGUAAUACUUUUGCAUAAUGGAAUUAAGGUUAUUGCCUUCCCAAUGGUGCAGUUCACCCUCUUCCUUUUCAGUCACUUGCACUUUGCAUGGCUUUGGAAUGGAUAAGAUUCCCUGAGAAAAAGUCUUCAUAUUUGGACAACGUAUCAUAGAAACUCGUUCCAGUGAUGGGAAUUCAAGAGUGUAAUUCUCCAAACAAAAGCUGGUAAGCCUUGAUAAAUAAUUAAGUAUCAAAACUUUUAAUUCGCUGAAAGCAAUACGAUUCUCCUUCACUUCUUCUCCAACAUGUCCUACGAUUUCUUCUAUUUUUUGGCACUUCGAUACUUUAAGAUUCACCAAACUACUAGGAAUUCCAACCUGAAAAUAAGCAAAAGUGUGUGUAUAUUAAAAAAGUAAAAAUGUAAGAAUAUCAUUCAACUAGGUUCAAAGUAUGUUUAAUCAUACAAUUAUACGUUUUAUAAAGAUAACAAACCAUGAAAUGUCUACAAGAUAAUUUUUUGUUAAACAAAAAAAGCAACAAGAUAAAUAAAUAAAUAAAAGCCAGAUAAACAAAGAUAUUAAAUGCAUUUACACUAUUUAGUAUUAGGAACGUACGAAGAAUUUAAGGCAAUUUCUAAAUAUUUUAGACUUAUUUUGCAUCUUGAUGCCAGUUUUUAAACAAAAUUUGCAAAUUUCAACUAUUCCUUUUGGGAAAAAAAAAUCAACCAAAAUGCCGCUUUUUCCCUUUUCCCUUGGUCCCUUUUUUUUAUGUAUAUUUAAUUUUGGAAACAAAAUUAAAGUGGAUCUUUAUUAAGUACUUCCAGACUCGAGGAAAUUUCUUUACAAUCAAGGAUCAGUUGUAAAUAAUCGUGAAUUUGUGGUUAAUUAAUGGCAUAAUCAGUUCGUAACUAAACAAGAGAUAUUAAUUAAAUUUGAAGACUUUUCUUUUCUUUUUUUCUUUUUCCAAUCGAAAUGUGAAGAAUUAAGGAAAAGAGAAAUAUAUAGAUGAAUUUGUGAACCUAUAAGAUGAGUGACUAUCCUUUAAUUUUUGAAAAUUGUACUUAUUAAGAUAUGAGCAGAAACAAUUAAAUUGAAUUAUAUUAUGAUGUUGAAUCGUGAUUAAAAAAAUUAUAUUGUUGAUUCUAAUGCUGGCGAACCUAAAAAAUGGACUUAAAAUGUAGAUUUGAGAGUGGUGGUUCGAAAUACAAUACUUGAAAUAAAUAAUCAGUGGCUGAAUAUCAUUUGUAAACCCAAAAAUGGUUAAAAUAUUGUUGGAUGUAAUUUAAAAAAAAAAAGAUUCGAAAUGAAUACAACGACCUUACCAAUGGAGGAAAAAUAUUCAUUAGGUUAUGACACUUAUAUAUCUCCAAAUUCUUCAAUUUGCUGAAAGACUCCGAAGGAAGCUGGUGGUGCCAUAUUUUUCUCAAAUUAUUCAUCCAGCUAAUAUCUAAUACCUCCAACCUAGGAAGUCGUACCUGGAAGUUAAAGAUUAAAUAACUAAUUAAUCAAUUAAUGGCAUAAUCAAUUGAUAACUAAAUUAGAGGCGGAUAUUAACUAAAUUUGAAGACUCAAGGAAAAGACAAAUUAAGUAUUGUGACUAAAAUUAAUUUUAUUUAUUAAAAAAAAAACCUUUUCGUCAAAGAGAGGAGGAGGUUGCAUUUCAGAAUGAUUGGUGUCUUCUGGUGAGCUCGUAGAGAUGAAUCUUAACAUAUUACUGCAAUUACCAAUCUCGAGGUUUAGCAAAGAAGGGAAUUCAACAACUAAAUCUGAAUGAAUAUGUCCUGUAUUGGCGAAGCUUGUCAGUUCUGUAAGCCAAUAGAGCUGCAGGGAGUGUAGUUUAGGAAAAACCUUUAAUUCAAUCAACUUUCCUUCAUCUCUUUCUGACCACCCCGUGGUGUCGACUACCCCUUCCAUUGACUCACAAGACCAUAUUUCAAGAUGUUGGAGUUGCAAAAGACUAUUAACCAUAGAAUACGAAAACAGAUACUUCAUACGAUCACAACUUCUCACGUACAGCUUUGUUAAAUUUUGACAACAGUACAUUCCUUGAUUAUGAUCGGCCCAUAAUUUUUUGAUGUUUCUUAAUUCCGUGAGAUUCAAUUCCUCUAAGCUCGGAAGAAGAACCUGCAAAGAAAAGCCGUACAUUUUUGUUCCUUCAAGUACAACCGUCUAGUAUAAUAUUCUGUUGAUGAUCGAAGAUUAAUCGUGAUAAUAAAUUAAUCAAUUAAUUAUUGAACAGAAAAUUAUCACCUUUGGAGCAGUAUCAUCAUCAGCAAUGAUUUCGUUGAAUCCCAAAGAAGUUGUUGGUUUCUCCCUGUCGGGUCCUGUAAACAAACAAAAACAAUAUACAUAAUUAAUCUUUGUCGUUGUCUUUUUUUUUUCAAAAUAAUUGAGGCGAAGUCCAUAAAUCCACCAACACUUAAUUUCAACACUUACCAACAGUCAUUUCCAGUUUAUUGCAGGAAGCCACUUUGACCUUUUGAAGCCGCAGUAGGUUUCUGGCUAUGGAAAAUGAGAAAAGAUGCUUCAAUUUAUCACAGGAUUCUACUUCUAUAAUCUUUAAGUUGCUGAAAAAUUGAUCUUCUCUGAGUUGGCUGUGGCAUAUGGCCUCCAAAUUGAUCAAUUUAUAGAGAGACAAUGACUCCAGCAAGGGGAAGACUUUGCGAUGAACCCGUCCAACUGAACCGACAAUGUGUAAAAUCUCAGAACACCUUUCUACCCAAAGAUGCUUCAAUCGUGGAAAACCUUCCCCAUCAUCUAAUUCAUGAACAACAUUCUGAACACCCGUCAGUUCCUCUAGACGGAUAUCUUCAGUUAACUUCAGCAACAUUUUCAUCCCAUAAUUCUCCAAAAGAGUGCUAACAUUUUCUAACCCAUGGAGCUGCACCAAUCUUGAUGUUUCAGAAUUAGCGCGCCAGAUGCCCCACGCUUCUCCUAUACAUAUCCUAUAUCUUGGCAAUUCGACAAAGACCAAAUCCUGCGGCAGCAUUUGGGCAUCCUGAACUUGUAUCUCCAAAGUAGUUAGCUUUGACAGCCCCUUCAAUUCAGCAAGACUGGCGUUACUUCCUCCUUCAACCUUAUCCCACUGCGGAAAGCUGUCACCCAUAUAUAGUUCUUCCAAUCGAGAAAAUUUUGAUAUGACAUUUGGUGCUAUCACUACAAGGCUGCUACAAUUGCUCAAAUCUAGCAAUUGUAACUGCGCCAAUUGACCAAUUUCAAGUGGCAACUGCUUAAUGUCGGAAUAUCGAAAGCUAAGAAUCUCUAAUUUCUUUAGCUGUCCAAUUGCCGCUACAUCUUCUAGUUGGCACCAGUCUAAACACAAUGUUUGAAGGUUAAUGAGGUGACCAAGUGAUGAAGAUAAUGAAGAGAAAUGAAUUCCGCUAAGACUUAAAACUUUGAGAUCUUCCGUCCCUUCAAAAAAGAGGUGUGAAAUUUCCAAAUAGCUAUCACCAUUUGCAAGCAACAGUAAUAACUUGAGUUGGGGACAUUCCAACCUUUCGGGAAGCUCUUGAAUAUCUCCAUAAGGUAUAGAAAUAGCAAUUGCACCUUUCUGUAUGAUCUUUUCUAUCUCUUCCUUCAAGUUGGUAACAUUUGGGAUACUAAACAUGAGCUUCUCUGAGGCAAUUGAUACGGCAACAACAUGAAUGACGUCAUGCAUUUUAACUUCAUCUUCAGCAUCGCCGUCCAACAAUAAGCAUGAAGCUUUGAGAUUGUCGAUCAAUGCGUCCACUCUAUUCCUUGCAUUUUCCAAUGUGCGAACAUUUUUAAACAAACCCUUACCAUAUCUCAACAAGGAAGCAACUUGUAUAGGAGUACCUUCACCAAAUAGAGUACAAAGAAGGAACAAAGAUUUUGCUUCAUCACUUUCCAAGAAGUUGUAACUCAAUUCUAUGGAAGAGCAGACAUUUGCAUCCAUUCCAUGAAUUUCUCUUGGAUUAGAAUUUCGCAGCUGAGUCAACGCAUCCUUCCAAACGGGAAGCUUCUUAUUUUUCAGAGCAUUUGCAACUGUACUCAGUGCAACAGGCAAUCCUCCACAUUUUCCAACAAUCUCAUCUGCUAAAGGUUGAAAAGCAGAUGCUUUUGCGGAAUUGCCCACGAUCUUUUCAAAAAAUUGCAAUGCUUCUUCCUUUGAUAAAACUUCAAUUAGGAAAAUCUUCUGAGAAUUCAUAUCAUUGGUCAAUAAAUGUUUACUUCUAGACGUCAAUAUUAUCGUGCGUCUCCUUAGAUCUUGCUUUCUAUCUUUCUCAUCAACAUCCCCAAAAGGAAUUCCAAUUUCUUCCAACCCAAGUUUUUUCCAAAUAUUAUCUAAUAUAAUGAGGACUCGCUUCUCUUUCGUCAAUCUUUGACAAAGUUGUUUUGCUCUGUGGGGUUUGCUAUCAUUCAAGUCAAAGUUCAAGUCUAAAUCGGAAGCGAGCUUGUCUUGAAUUUUCUGAACAUCUGGGUUCUCUGUUACCUCAGCCAUAACGACCUUAUCGAACACCUUAUCUUCCAUAACUUGCUUUGCAAUUUGCUUGACUAGCGUGGUUUUACCCACGCCGCCCAUACCGUGGACCCCAAUUAUGUUGAGCUUAUCAUUCCUCAAUGCCUCCACAACAUCUUGAAAUAAUUUCAUUCUUGAAUCAAAGGCCUCGAAAUCUUUCGCUUGCAUAUGUUCUGUACUCUCUGGAGCAGGACGGUGGGAAACACUAGAGAAGUUGCCUUUUCCCACGAGACUAGCGGCAGCUUCUGCGGCCUUUGCUGCUUGUUUACUAAGUUUAUAACGAGAAAUCAAGUUGGGGCAAAAUCCUUUGAAGCAGGACUUCUUAGCUCUAUCUUCAUCAUCAAUGAUGGAUUUUGCAACCCCUUCACUGAUGAAUUCAUCAACGUUAUUAAGCCAGUCUGCAACAUCCUUGUAAAUCUCAUCUCUUUGUUGAGUAGCCUCACGAACGGGUAUUCCCACCCUUUCUCUUUUAUAUUCUAGCUCCUUCACUUGAACUUUUAGCUCAGCUAUGUAGCUCUGGUACUUGAACACAUAAGAGAUCUGCCGCAUAAUCGGUUCGAACAAUGCCUUUGCACCUUCUGUUACAAUGCCGGAAAAAGUAGUGGAAACCAGGUCUGCAGCCAUUGCCUAGCCUGUUGCUUUCAUACAUACAUACAUACAUAUAUAUAUAUAUAUAUUAGCUGUUGGAAAAAUUAGAUUCAAAUAAAUUAAAAUGAACUAGGGGAAAGACGGAGAAAGAAAUGACAACCAACAACUUUUUAAAAAAAGGUUUCAAGGGCCUGAAUGGAAAACCAACAAUUUAAAAAAAAAAUUGUAAGAUGGAUGCAGAUUAACCAUUGCUAAUAUUACAUAAGAACACAGAAGUUAACAAUGAACAGUACGUAGAAAAUUAAAUGACAAGAUUAAAACAAACAAGGGCUAUUUUUUCUUGGACAAUUGUACCUAUUUAAUUAUUAAAGAGUUAAUGACCUUCACUGCUGGCCUUGAAUAUAUAAGAACGACCAGAAGAUGAAUAUUAACUGCAGACGAAUGUAAGUAAAGAGUUCAUGAGAGUGAGUAAUACAAAUGAAUUGUAAAAGAACAAGACUUAAGUGUGACCCCAUCUUUUGUUUUAUUAUAUAAAUAGAACACAUGAUCAUUUUUAACAAAGUGAUCAAUAACUCUAUGCGUUAUUUAAUUGAUAUUGUAACCAAUUUUAAGGGAAUUUAAUAAUAAUCAUUCAAUGCAUAAAUUUAAAAUUAGAUUUUUUUAAUUCUUUAUUUAAAUAUAAAUCUUAAUGGAAAAUUAUAAAAAUUUAGAGAUAAAAUUUUUCAAUCACCAAGGAAAAAAAAUGGGAAUGAAAACAGAGGAAUCUUGUUUUACCUUUUUUUUUUUUUCCUUAACUCUUGUUCCUAUACAAAUAAUCUUGUUUUGAUGAUAGUGCUCGUGACUAUGGGAAAAUUUCUAAUGGAAACAACUCAAUUUCGGAAGAUAAGCUUAAUUCUGCAAGUGAUGAAUUUGUUCAAUUGACUCUGUACUUGAACUCGUUGGAUUGGUUGAUUUACGAUUGACUGCAUUUCAAUUCUGCCUAAAAGAUCUUUUUAAUAGCUAUCAUGUACUCCUUAAAAGCAAUCAUUUUUAGAUUUGACUGAAUUUGAACUUGUUGGAUUGGCUGUUUUUAGAUUAUUGAUAUGAGAUACUACAAUGUAAACAUUUUCAUGUGGCUGAGCCCUAUUCUAAAAUCUGUAUGUUGCUUUAGAAAAAGGGCUUUUCCUACUGAUAUUUAAUCUUCAAGUAAACUUAGAUAUAAAGUAAAUCAAAUAAAAUGACAAACAAGCAAUAUAAUAAAAGACAACAAACUGGCAAUAUUGAUACAAAGGCAACAGAUAUUAAACUUUAGGACAUUUUUUUCCUAGCUUUCAUUUGUUGGAGGAUUAGAGAUUUUGGUAUUACCGGAAAGCUAAAAGGUUUCAAGGGUCUGAGUAGAAACCUAUAAUCUUUUUAAAAACUUUCUUUUUCUUUUUUCUUUUUUCUUUUUUUGGGGGGGGGGGGGGGGGGGGGGGGGGAAGAAUGCAAGUUAACCAAACGAAAUAAUAAGAGCACAGGCUUUAACAAUGAACAAUAACUUAAAACUCAUGCAAAGUAAAUUCAAUAUUAAAACAAACCAGAGAAAUUUUUUUUCUUGGAAAAUAGAUGGAAAUUAUGAAAGAACAGAUGUCAAGAUCAAAGAUCUACUAUACACAAACACACACAUUAGAGGAUUUGGAAAAUGUGCACCUCUUUAAUUAUCUGGGAUUAGAGAGUUGGUGAGAUUCUCCAUUUGGCCUUGAAUAUUUAAGAACAACCUCAAAGAGCAAAAAGAUCACCGGUAACUGCCGAGGAAUGUGUAAGAAAAGGGUUGAUGAGAAUAAUAACAUUGACUUGCAGAAGAAAAAGCAUUAAUCAAGCACCCCUUUUUUAUAUCAUGUAUUUGGUUAUUGUUGCCCUGUUUACGCACGUAUAGGAUAAUUAUAUGCAAUCUUUUUUUAAAAAUCCACAUGCACUUUAGGGCUUCUUUCAUAAAAGCAGAUACCGGAAACACACAAAAAUCAUUUGAGAGAGAAACCGAACAGCAAAUCAUCAAAGUAAGAUCAACAAUAUAUGAUUUGAUUAAUGCAUAUUCAAGAACAAAACAAAAAUAAAUAAAUNNNNNNNNNNNNNNNNNNNNNNNNNNNNNNNNNNNNNNNNNNNNNNNNNNNNNNNNNNNNNNNNNNNNNNNNNNNNNNNNNNNNNNNNNNNNNNNNNNNNNNNNNNNNNNNNNNNNNNNNNNNNNNNNNNNNNNNNNNNNNNNNNNNNNNNNNNNNNNNNNNNNNNNNNNNNNNNNNNNNNNNNNNNNNNNNNNNNNNNNNNNNNNNNNNNNNNNNNNNNNNNNNNNNNNNNNNNNNNNNNNNNNNNNNNNNNNNNNNNNNNNNNNNNNNNNNNNNNNNNNNNNNNNNNNNNNNNNNNNNNNNNNNNNNNNNNNNNNNNNNNNNNNNNNNNNNNNNNNNNNNNNNNNNNNNNNNNNNNNNNNNNNNNNNNNNNNNNNNNNNNNNNNNNNNNNNNNNNNNNNNNNNNNNNNNNNNNNNNNNNNNNNNNNNNNNNNNNNNNNNNNNNNNNNNNNNNNNNNNNNNNNNNNNCCCCAGGGGAAAAUCUGGAAUUCCUUUUUUUAAUUUUUUUUUUUUUAAAAAAACCCCACCGGAAAUUCUUAAAAUUUGGAAAAAAAAAUUUUGAGUCCCUUAUUCUGGGGGGGGGGGGGGGGGGGACGAAAACAGAGGAAACUUGUUUUACAUUUUUUUGAUCUUAACUCUUGUUCUUAUAUAAUAUUUUCCCUGGGAUUUCAGGCAAACCAAACAAAAAAAAAAAAAUUCAAUAAAGAGCAAGUUGCUCUAAUUGAUUUAUCUUGUUUUUCAGGCUAUUUUGUGACAUGAUGAUAUGUAAUGCUCUUGAAUGCUAGAAAAAUUCUAAUGCAAACAUUUUUGCAAAUGACGAAUGUAAAUAACUUUUUUUGAUUAAUUGAAUCUCUAAUACUCUUACCCUAUUCUAAAAUUUGUAGGUUGCUUCAGAAAAAAAGGGUAUUUCUCACUCAUCUUCAAUCCUCAAGCACAAUUAGAUUAAAAGCAAAUCUAAUAAAAUAACAAACAAAUUAACAAAAAAAAGAAAAAGAAAAAAAACAAUGUUGAUCUUGAGACAAUUGAUACUUAAACAGAGAAUUCUUUGUUCUUUUUUUACUCCCCCUGGCUCGAGGAUUAGAGUCUUUCUUUGCUAUUAACAGAGAGGUUUUAAGGGUCCGAAUAAAAACCCGCGCUUUUUUUAAAAACUUCUUUUUUUUUUUUUAUUGGGGAAGAUAGAUUCAAAUUAACCAAAGCUAGUAAUAAGAACACAGGCCUUACAAAUGAACAAUAACUUACAACUCAAGCAACAUAAAUAAUAAGAUUAAGACAAACAUGAGAUUUUUUUCUUCGAAAGUAGAUGGAAAUCAAGUAAGAACAGCUAUUAAAAGAAAUUACUAGAGAAUUUAGAACAUGUGUACCUCUUUAAUUAUUUGGGAUCAGAGAGUUGAUGAGCUCUCUAUUCGCCUUGAAUAUUAAGAACUGGUAUUAAAAGAAAUUAUGAAGAACAAUUUUAGUGAGCGAUAGAUCACUGUUAACUUCAGAGGAAUUUGUGAGUAAAAAGCUGAAAAGAGCCGUAAUAAUGAAUUACAAAAGAAGAAGACUUAAUCAAGCACCCCUUUUAUACCCGAUUUUUAAGAUUUAGUCUUGAAGUUCACAAUCAAGAACAAAGACGAAGCUUUAAUAAAGCAUGCAGUGAGAUACAAGAAAUGGAUCGGGCAAAAUACCUUACGAAGCGUUUCAUAUUUUCUAAUGAAAUAAUUAAGUUGAAGUUUUCGACGAAUAAAUACUUGUUGUGCUUGAAUAAUUUUGGCAUAUACGUUACUUGUAUCCUGCGAAAUUGAAAAGCACAUUGGUUUAUUAGAGCUUAUUAGGAGGGAAAAGCUUUGUAAGAUACCUGAUAAAAGAUAAAGUAAAAGCUUGAAUGAAGAAUGACAUUUUAGAAAGAAACUAAAGUGCAAUCAUCAAAGUGGGAUCAAUAGUGACUUGAUAUUUCAAUUGUUCUGUCCACAAAUGAUGCUUCGUUAUUACUAAUUCCAGAUGGACAUUAUUAGAAAAUGAUCUUAUGUUUAACAGAAAAAUAAAAACUCGUCAUCAUACAAAACAGCGUGAAGAAAUCUUCAAUUUGAUUAUUAUAAAAUAAUAAGUUUCAUUACUAGAUUAUGCGGACAUUAAUGUUAGAGAUUUGAUCAGAUUAUCAUAUAAUUUACUAAACGCUUUGAGAAGAACAAUAAUUAAUUUUUAAAAAAUUGAAAAAUAAAUUAAAUAAAGAGUACACGCAAAUAAUGUUACUUCCAAUCACCAAACUGAAAAACAGGGGAAUGAUAACAGACGAGUCCCUGAUUAUCCUCUCUCUCUCUCUCUCUUUUUCAAUCUCUCUCUUUGAUAUCCAUAUCUGAGCAUCAGAGCUUGACAUCUUUGAUAAAUAAAUAUGCUUACUGGUACUGUUUUUGCAUAUGUCUUUCACAAAAUCAUUGUAUACGCUUACAUAGAGAAGAAGAUUCAGAUAACUUUCAAAAUCUGAAUCCGCCUGAUGGACAGGCUUGACCACACAGCCCCGAGACAAGGAAGUCCAAGCAACUAAUCUAAACCGUUCUCCUUUAUUAGCUAGAUUUAGUAUUUGGGUUCUUUAUGUAAAACGACACUAUGAUCUUGAAAUUUUGAUUUAAUUAAUAAAUAGUUAAAUUCUUAAUGUUUCAGGAGUAGAUACAUAGACUCUCUUCUAAUUUUAGUCAUUACAAACAAUGCCAUUGUGCGGUUAUACUAUUGCUUCUUUUAUGAAACCAUUCUCACCAUCACAUAGAUCUUGGCAUAUAGAGUCUCAUAAUGUCAUCAAAUAAUUUUUUUUUUUUUUAAAAACAUAAAAUAUGAUACAUGUAUUCAUUUUUUUUCAAAUUAGGGUGUAUUAUUCUUAAAACUUAAGUGUUCUACUUAUAAAUAUCUUGAAGGUGUGAGUGUUUUCUUUUCGUAAACAAACCGUAAAAGAAAAAGAGGAACAAUAAUUUUUUACUUAUCCUUAGAGAUAAGAUUCAAUCGGGAUGUGAGUAAGUGUGUUUUUCUUUUUUUAUUAUGCUAAAUUAUCGAGUCACAAAGCAUAUUGAUUCAAAAGUAUAACUUUAUACUGAUGAUAGAUAAUUUCAAAACAAUGGAAUGAAAACAGAGGAGCUCCCCCCUCCCCCACCCCAAUCCCCGCCCCCCCCCCCCCCCCCCCCCAAAAAAAAGUUCUUCUUCUUUUAUAUAUUUUUCUUGGAAUUUUAGGUAAAAGAAAAAAAAAACUGAGAUUGAUUUCAAGGGAACAGGUGGAUAAUAACUAAAAUACUUAUUUUUAUAUAUUUGAUAUGUGCGCUCACUAUUAAUAGAACUUAUUAGAUACUACAACUUAAAUAACUUCCCAUGGUUGAUUGAGGGUAUGUUUGAGAUUUCCUUUACUUUCCAAGAAUUAAUUUCUACCUUGAUUCUGAACAAAAAAAUAAUUUUACAAAUAAUCUAUUAGGGUGUUUGGUAAAUGAUGAUUAUUUGACAAUCAAUUUUUAAACGGUUUACUAUACAAAUCUGGUAAAUGAAAAUUAAAAGUGUAAAAUGUUCAUGUACAAUGACAAAAAUGUACUUGUUUACUUGUUUGUAAUUUAUUUAGAAUAUUAUUAUUUAAAUCUUUUUUUAUUUACAAGAUUUUUUAAGAGCAUAUUCUAUUUUCUUUAUUACAUAUUUAAAUAAUUUUUUAUUAACUAUUUUAAUUUGCAAUAAAAUUAACUUCAAUAUCUUUUUAACUAAAAAAUUUGUUAUGUAGUUCGUGAUAUAACAAAUACUAACAUAUCAUUAGUUUGAUUAAUAAAUUAAGUGCAAAAAAGAAAAUGCAAAAAUUUAAUCUUUAUAUAAACUUUUAUGUACAUAAAAUCAUUGUAAUCAAACUAGUUCAUAGAAAUAUAAUAUUAUAUACAUGUGUGUAAAAAAAAAAAACAUAUGACCAUAAUAUUAUCCACUCAUUAAACUUGCUGCACUAUUAUUUCUCAAUCUCUCCAUCUCUCGACCUUCAAGAACAUUACUACCAUAAUCUUCUUCUUCUUGAAUCCAACCUCUAUUUCCUCAUCAUCAACAAUGCGACCAAUUUGCCUUGAUAGCCUUUCAACUAGAAUAGAGUUGGCAGUAGAUAUUUUAGUACUCUCAAACUAUGCCCAAACAGGGUCACCAGUGAUUGUUGUAUUAAAAGACAUUCUAUUUAAUUUUCCUCUGACUCUGGGUCGAUACCUUUUAUGCAAAAUCUAUUUACUUAAGGAAUUUUCUACACAUGUCGAUAUCAUAUUAAAGUGAAUUCAGAUCCUAUAUUAUUGACAUUAAAAUUUAGCCGAAUAGUAAAAAAUUUCCCUUUUUGUUUGUCACACAACCAUAUAGUCCCAUUUUUGGUUAUAAGCUCACAAUAUGUAAGGGAAAUGAAGAUCUAUUAAAACUUUCCCAUAAUAUUAAACAUUAAACAAUAUCAACAUUUUGUGCAUAUGGUGCCUCAUCAACAAUUUGAUGUUCAUUUUGUUGCUCGGAGGAAUAUGACUACCUAUUAAUUAAUUAGCAAGAAUUGCGUUGCGAGUCCAUGUUUUUGUCGUUUGGAUGGAGGAUGUGCCAUCUUUUUAUUGUAGAUGCUUUGUAAGGCUUUUGAUUUAAUGAUUUAAUGCAGUCAAUUAACAAAAGCUUACAUAUAUUAUUAUGUAGUUGCUGAGAUGUCUGUUCUUGAUAAAGUCGAUUUAUUUACACCCAAGCCAACGGAAUCAAAGCCUUUUCGUUAAUAAUAUACACGGUAAUUGUUUUUGUUAAAUUGAUUUCUGGCUAACAAGAUAUUUGAAAGCAUUUAGGUAGCGUUUACAUUUUGCGUUGGAGUGAGAAUCGUGAGAAAUGAGAAUCCUGGGAUUAGGAGUGUGGAGUGGGAGUCGAAGUAUGUUGUUUACUUACACUGAAAUGGAAGUAUGGAAUUGAAAUCAGAAUCCAAUUUAUUUGUUUACAUUGUCUUAGAUUGUGAGUAAUGAUUUUAAAUUACAGCUUUACUCUUAAAGAAUUAUAGUUAUUAAUUACAAAAUUAAUAAAAAUUAUAUUUUUAAAUUAAUAAUAAUUAUUAAUAUUCUUAACUAUGUAAAUCACAAUUAUUUUAUUAAUUUUAAUUUUAAUUAUAUAAAUAAAAAAUUAUUAAUAACAACAAUACAAAUGAAACAUUAUUAUUGAUAAUAUAGUACAAAAUUAAUUUUUUUAGAAUAAAAUAUUUAUUAUUAUUAAUUACUAAUAUUAAAUAAAUAUAAUAGUAUUAUUUUUAAAUAAGUAUAAUAAUAUUAUAUUUUCAAAUAAAAAUAGAAUAUAGUAAUAUUAUUAAUUCUUUAUGAAUAUAAUGAUAUUAUUUUUAAGUAAUUUUAACUUAGAAUCAAUGUAAAUUAUUAUUUUUAACCAAAAAAUUAAUAUUAUUUUAAAUAUGUUUAAUAUUAUUAUUUUUAAUAAAUUUAAUUUAUAAAAUAAUAAAAUAUUAUUAUUUAAAUAAAUAUGAUUUUACUUAUUUUAUUAAAUUUAAUAAAAUAAAUAUGUUUAAUAUUAUUAUUUUUAAUAAAUGUAAUUUAUAAAAUAAAAUAAUAAUAUAAGUUAAAUAAAUAUGAUAUUAUUUAUUUUAUUUUAUUAAAUAUAAGGGUGAAAAAGGAAGAGAGGCGAGUGAAUUUCCACUCCCACCUUCCUCCAUGGGAGUGGGAAUCUCACUCCCCCACUCCAAAAUUAGGUGGGAUCCACGGAGUGGAAUUCUCACUUCCCCUUUGAAAAUUGUAAGUAAACACUGGAGUAAGAGGAAUCCACACUCCUCACUCUCACUCCAAAAAGUAAACACUAUAUUAAAGAAGUCAUUGACUUAUAAGAAAGCCAUGAUUAAAUACACGGCGAAGCAUGUGAGCUCGUUUUUCAAUUUCUUUGAUCACUCAUAAGUAGGGGUGGGCAAAAUCGGAUUCGGAUUGGGUUCGGGUUGAUUUGAUCAAUUUCGGAUCAAUCGGGUUGGGGAAAAAAUCAUCCGAACUCAAUCCGAAUUAUUAACCCGAUCCAAUCCGAUCCGAAUAUAAUUCGGAUCGGAUUGGAUCGAAAAUUCGGAUUAAUUCGGAUUAGAUUCAGAUUUAAAAGCAUUCGGGUUAUAUAUCCAUUCUAUAUUUCUGGGUUAAUUUCAGAAGCAAUCAAGUAAAACAAUCAACCUUUUCUCAAGAUAUAGUUUUGUUUUAAGCUUUUUAAAUUAAAUUAUUUAAAACAAUAUAGUCAAUACCACCAAAAACUUGGUGACAGUGAAUGUGGAGGUGAAUUUAGUUGUAGCAGUUGUGGUAACCGGUGAAGCUAGUGGCAGCAAGCGGUAGCAGUCGAGGUGUAGUAGAUUCCAUCGGCACGUUGCGGUUGCAGCGAUGGCUUAGCUUUGAACGAUCGCGUCGGUGACUGAUGGCUGCUGGUUCACGCAGUUGCAUCUCCGAUUUGCUGGCUGCUGCUUCUUGCGGUUGCAUCUCCGAUCUGCUCGCCGCUGCUUCGCUGACAUCUCCGAUCUCCGAUGGUUUGGCUUCGCACGAUCACAUCGGUGAUUGCUGGCUGCUGGUUCGCGGCUUCGCGCGGCCGCAUCUCCGGUCUGCUGGUUGCUGCUUCUUGCGGUUGUAUCUCCAAUCUGUUGGCUGCUGCUUCGUUGUUUGGCAUCUCAACAUUUCCGAUCUCCGAGGCCAAACCUCUAUUUGUGUGUGACCGUGUGUGAUGUGAGUGUGUGUGUGUGCACUUACAGAUUAUUUUAAUUUAGAUCUAAGAUUUGCUUUUUGUGUGGUGUGAAUCCGAUUUUGUUGUGUUUGCCACUUUGUUAGUUUGUUACACAGUUUUUUUUUUAAGCCAACCCGAUCGGGUUUUCGGAUCGGAUCGGGUUUCAUCCGAUCCGAUCAUGAUCCGAUCGGGUUGGCAAAGUUACAUCCGAUUGGAUUUUGUUAACAAUCCGAUCCGAUCUGAACCCGAUAUUUUUUGGGUCAGAUCGGAUCGGAUCGGGUCGGAUAUUUUGCCCAACCCUACUCAUAAGCUUUUCUAUACCACUCACUAUAUCAUCCUUUUAAGUCAAUUUCGACUGAUCAUCAGAGAUCAUGCACCCCACCUUGAGAUGAUUGAUCACCAAUUUGGCAUUGUAACGUUGAUCACCUCUAAUUGCCCAUGCUAAAAUUGAGACCCCACAGCCAAUUGCUUCUACAGUUGAAUUUUAUCCACAGUGAGAUAAAAAUCCACCUAUUAAUUGAUAACUCGGCAUCAAUAAUUGUGGUGCCAUUCCAUCUAUUAUCAAACCCUUUUUACCGGCUUUACUAUCUAAACCACUAUGAAAAUAAGCUGGUUAAAUGACGUGGAGGAUCCAAUCUAUUUACAUCAGUUUGAAUUACCUAAAUAAUCGGUGGAUUUGAUGCUUCUAAAUCAUUGGCUAAUGUUGAAUAAUCAUUUAAGGUGGGACCCAUUUCGGUACCAAAUGACAUGUAUAACACUGAUCCACAUGAUUUCAAAUCUAACCAUUGAAUGAUCUCAUCUUUGGUCAUGUUAGAACUCCGCCGGUUGGUUCUCAUCUCACAAUCACGAAGCACUGAACCGGUCGAUUUGUAAAAUUGUUCAGGUAACAAUGGGCCCACUCCCCACACUAGCAUCAACACCAUCGAUCCCUCCACUUGCUUCAUCCAGUGUGGUUGAUCACUCGGUUCUGAUGGACCUAUUUUCUCUGAACCGGGUGCACCUCACAAAGGUUGUGGGCCACCAGGAAGGGACCCGUGAGGCCUGCGUUUAAGAUCUGAUUGGAAUAAAGCAACAUCCUUGGGUAACCCAAGAAGUAAAUGGGCCUCUCCCGGUUUGGCAUCCUGGAUGCGAGCCUGCCACAUGGCACACUCCACAGCUGCUGAGCAAGCAUCAGAAGUGAAGAACCCAACAAUGGGAACUUCAAAAUUCUUGAAAACAUCAGCCGUCCAGCCCAUCAUAACGCCGAUGACUACGCAAACAGGUCGGCUUUCGGGUUCCGGGUUGAAAGGAGGUUUCGAAGACCCUGAAGCAUUUGGUUGUGCAUGACAACAUGGAGGUAAGAAGGAGGCGAUGGUAGUAGUGGAGAUGAGGAGGGUAUUUCGGUAAUUUCACAUAGAGGGUAUUGGUGAAGAGAGGAAGGGGUGAUGCUGGUGGUGGAAACGUGAGAGGGAAUAAUGAGGGUAGAUUUGUAAUUACGAGAAGCAAUUUGCUUGCAUAAUUCAAUGCAUGGAAACAGAUGUCCCUGACCGAAGAACGGGACAAUCCAAAUCUCAGCCUCAGCAGCAUUCGCAACAGAGCUUGACAUCUUUUAUGAAUUAUUUGAGACUUAAUUGUUAUUGACUGCUUUUGCCAUCUUUCAUAAAACAUUCUUUGUUAUAUAUUCAAGUAAAUAAAUUUAUCGUUUAAAAUUAAUUUUUCAUGUGGUAAAAGCAAUACUAAAUAUGGGGUGGAGAGAAUAAUUUGUAGGGCAUACCCCCACCAUUUAUUUAAUUUCAUUAAAAAAGAAAGAAAAGAAAUAAAGGCUUGUUCAACAUUCAAUUAAAAUUAACAAUUCCAUGAUAAAAUUACUUGAGAAUAAAAAUUUUUAAAAAAAAAGUAACUCAAAAACGAGGAAUUUUUGAGUAACUGAAGAACCAUAGAUGUUUUUUGGUCAUGAGCAAUUUUUGAGUUGACACAGAACUUGUAUAAAAAAAAUAGUUUUGAAAACUUCUUUUCUUUUUUCGUAAAUAUAGAUAUAAAAUUUUAAAAUCACCAAACACAAAACCAGGAAAAUGGAAGGAGAGCCCCUGUUUCUCCUAUGUUGCAAGCACAAAUUCGGUUUCUAAAGUUGUACCUUCUAAAUGCACCAUUUGUAUUGCUUUGUCUCCACUUGAGCUAACGGAAUUUGAUGAAAACAAAAUAAUUGAACGAUAGGGAUAAAUAUCAAAGAAGGAGCUUACAUGCCCUAUAUAUUCUCUUUGGAUGAAUAACGAAGGUGAGCUUUCAAAGUACAGAGAUUUACAUGUUUUAAUUGUCAUUUACAUUGCUGCAUGCUAAUUGCUUGAUAAAAUACCGCAACAAAUACGCAUUCUCGAUUUCUUAUAAAUUUAUUUUCUUACUCUGAAAAAAAUUGAAUGUUUAGAGAAUUUUGAAGGUUUUGGUGUAUGCAUUAAUAUUUUGAUUCUAUUUAUGUUGUUUAACUAAUGAAGAUGAUACAUCUAGCCUCUUUUUGCCCCUUGUUGUUUUUAUUCUUGUGCUUUAUAUACGGUUCAAGUGUGAUACACUUUAGUUUUUCUCAAGUGUUUGUUAGUAUUUCCCGAAGCAAAAUUUGUCACAGACUUUUAGUUCAAAAGUUGAAAUCAUAACUAACAUACUUCGAUUUUUUAUUUUCCUUUUUUCUUCGGUAUCUUUCUAUAUGGCAUUGCUUGAGAAAUUGGUGUACUUAGAUCGUAAUAUUCUGUAGAAAUAAGCCAAUAUUUCAUUAUGUACAUUGUUUAAUAUGAUAAGUAUUGUAUGGAAGUUUUACAGAUAAGCUCCUUAUAUAUUAUGCAUUAUGUUUUUAUCAUAUUGUUGCUUGGAACUUUGAAGGAUUAGCCACAGGGCUUUAGUCCUACAUGGACAUUUUAUAUUUAACAGCUGGUUAGGCAUUUUAUUUGAUGUUAUUUGGACUUGUAGGUGUUAAAAGUUUUGUUCAGUAAUUUUAUAAUUCAGAUUCCCAUUGUGAAAAGAUAGCAAUUUUUAUUGUGGGUCAGAUUCUGUCAACUGAUAUUUAGCUAAAAUAUCUCACUAACCCCUAUUGGUUAGGUGUUUUUUUUAAUUCACAUACUUGAUUUUUAUUUUCUUUUUAUCUGUGGAAUCACAUGUAUCAUUCAUAAGAAACAAGCUAUUAUAUAAUCUAUUCUUUAGAUCCAUUUAUAUGUAGUGGGCACUCUGAUUUCUAUUAUUUGAAUUUUUUGCUACUGUUACUACUCUUUCGGCCCUUCAAAUAGGGGUUAACAGAAAGGGUGAGUAUAUUAAUACAAAUUCAAACUUUCUUUUUCUAAUUUUAUCCAAAAUAACCUACUAUAUUAUUUUAAUUUCCAACUUUUGUCAUAGUCUAAUGGGCAGUUGUCUUGUCAUUAUUUGGUUUUAGGUAAGAAGAGAGAAAGUUAGUGAGAGGAUGAAAAUUUUGCAAAAACUUGUUCAUAGCUAUGGUAAUUAAGUAAUUUGAGUUCUUUUUUUUUGUUAUUGUUUUUUAUUCACUUUUUCCUGUCUUAAAACAAAUAACGAGUUUUUGUGUUUUUAAUAUUUCUUAUAAACUUCAUGUUGUUUGGUAUAAAAUUAGGUAAUUGGAAAGGUCUCAUGUUGGAUGAAAUUAUCAAUUAUGUGCAGUCCCUACAAAAUCAAGUGGUCGUCAAUGUGUCAGCAUCACUUUCUUCUUCAGAUGUUACUUGUUUUUCACAUUUAUUUUUCUCUCAGUCCUUUUUAAAAGAACAUACACACACAUACUAUGUAGAGUGACCUUUUUUAAUGAGGAAUCUGUCAUUUUAAUAAAAUGAAGAAUAAACUAAAAGGUAGAAGUACACGAACUCUAAUGCAAUAUACCUUUUCUGUUCUUUUACCUUUACUAUAAGAUAGGGAAUGAUAUAAAACUGUUCGAUAAUAGUAAGUGAAAUAAUUAAAAGGCUACUGUUCUAGCUCAUUUAAUAUAUCAAACUUUUCUAGCUCAUUUAAUAUAUCAAACUGCUCGAUAAUUGAAUUGGCCUAGUUAAACAUAAUUUUCAGAUAAUCUUUUUAAUGGUUUAUUUAUUAAUAUUUUGUUUCUUUCCAGUAUGAACACUUUGUUUUGACACGUGGUUAACAACCUUCAACGAACUCGGAACAACCUUCAUCACAUGCUUUCUCACGUGGUUACUUAAACUGAUAUGUUAAACGUGCUCCAUCCACGCCGUUUCCACUAAAUCAUUUUCUGUUAAGAAUCAGCUGAGCAGCGCGUGAGCUAAUGAAGUUUUUCGUAUUGAACUCAACUCUGCUAUUUUCCCAAAGCUGGAAAGCAGAAACAUCAUCCCUUUGGUUUUAUUUCACCUCAACCUUUUUCUGAUCCCAUUUUCAUUGUAAUUUCUCAUUUACUUUGAGUGAAAGUCAUUGUUGCUUUCGAACGAGGUUUUGCAACUAAAAAGGAAAAUGGGGCGGCUACAAUACAUGCGUGCAUCUGAUACAUGCACAAAAACUGACCAUUGGAUUAAAUGGAGUGAUCUAAUGGCUGAGAUUUGUUUCAUUAUUAAGCAAUAAAAAAAUUUGAAACAACCAGAAACCUGUAAAACCGGUCAUUUGGUUUAAGGUAAAAAUAUAUAAAUGAAAAAAAAAAAAAAAAACCCACCACUCCCUCGCCUCACCUCUCUUCUUUUGGGUUUAGUAUUGCUGCUUUUAACAUAAUUGACCUAUGGCCCAAAUCAUUUCUAUAGGGCGAAGCAUAUGAAUGAUACAUAUUAUCUUUUUUUGGCCUUAUGUCUUGUUAUUUGCAGUGUGAUUUGGUCUAGCUUAAGAGCUUAAGCUUGCAGGUUGGAUUUGUCUGACAGGGAACAAUUUAAUUUGUUCAUCGUGAUGUUUAUAUCCAUUUUGUACUACUAUCAAUUUCAAUCAUGCCUAAUUUUUAUAUGUAUUUCUCGUGGACUCUCAGGUUCAGUGCACAAGAGGAUGAAGACGAUGGACACCCAAAUUUGAUGUGGAGAACAACUAUUGCAAAUGGUCCUUGAUUUACUUCUCCAAUUGACUUGAAUUGGUUUGACGCAAUUUAUACUGUAUUUUUGUCAUCUUUGUAUGACUUGCACGUCGUCCUGAUUUGGUACAUGACUGGACACAGGAAUUGGACUCAUAUUUUUCAAACCAGAAUGCCAACAAUCAAGCAUUUUCUUUUGAAAGCACUGGCGUCUUCUUCAAUGCCAAAAAGGUUAGAGAUUUUCUGUAUCCUGUUUUGUAUUUGAUCAGUUUAGCAUGUGGGUGGCAAUCAAGAAAAGUUAUUAUAACAUUUUUGUGUUCCCGAAAAACUGCUGAUGAUGUGUGACUUCUUUUUAUUUGUAUUCUUUCUUUUUCUUUUCUCCCCAACAGUAUUAUGCAUUUCGAAGAGCUUCUUGAAGUUGAUUACCAUGUAUGCCACUUUCUUUACUCUAUGCUCAGGAUGUGAUUUUGCCAAGCAUUAAAAUGGUUUAGGUCAGAACCAUCAUCUAAAGUUUACUUAAAGUUGACGGAUUAAUUCCUUUUAAUAAUGGUCUAGUUAAUUUUACUAUACUCAUAAAACUAUUCUUAUUCUGAUAAUGCCACAAAUGUUAUGAUGUUUUCUUCAGCUAAUGAUCUUCUAUCAGGACUAGUUAGAAAUCAAAUGCUUAAAACACCGAUUGAAUGAAUAAUGCAGAAGUUUAAACAGUAUCUAAUUGAAAAUUGCAUGAAACAUGAAACAUCAAUUCAAGUCCUUCCUUAAACAAAGAAUGCAUCAAACAAAUCCAAAGUGUCUUGCAUGUCUAUAGCAUGACAAAAAAGUUGUAAAUGCGUUUAGAACCAAAUUAUUCAAGUACAGGAGAACGAGCAAGUUGAAUCAUGUACACGAGAUUGGCCUGGUUCGAGAUAGCUUCUUCACUGUACCUGAAGGGUUGGCUCAAUCUUUUCUUUAGAAUUCUGCACAUUUUGUAAUUACUCGUGUAAGCAAGCAUACAUUACAACUCUUGUACACAAACAAUAUUGUAUAAACUAAUGCGACAUAAUAUGAUUGGUUAAACAAAAACAUUACAUAGCCCUCAUAAUUUAUUUAUUUAUUUAUUAUUAUAUAUUUUCAGUCAACCAAUCAUAUUAUAUUACAUUAGUUUCUAUAAAAUAAUUUUCUAAAUAGCACCAAAACUUAAUUGAUACUCACCAUUUCAUUGAACAAUUUUUUUAUGGUGUCAUUGAGGUUGCCUUCCCAACAUCCUUCAUCAUCAUCAUCUUCUUCAUCAUCAUCUUUUUCUUCUUCGGUGACGUUCACUUUGUUUAGCAUUGGUGUGUCUAAGACUCCUUGAGAGAAGAUCAUCAUUUUUGGACACUCUCUCACAACUACUUGUUUCAAGGACGGGAAUUCAAGAGCGUAAUUACCUAAACAAAAGCUUGUUAGGCUUGGCAAACAAUCAAGUCCCAAGUACUUUAAUUCCUUGAAAACAAUGCAAUCUUUCGCUUCUUCUGCAACCGGCGACUGUAUGAUUUCUUCCAUCAUUUUGCAAUCAACUAUCUUCAUUCUUCCGAGAUUCACUAGAUUUUUAGAUGCUGAGAGCGUCAACACAUUUAUCAACCCGUGACACUUCGAUACUUGUAGUCCCCACAGAUUUUCCAAAUGCCACGAAGGUGGUACUAAUUUUUGCAACUUACUACAUUCCGAUAUUUCUAGCCUUUUCAAGUUUGCAAACGCUUUGUUGGAUUCGUCAUUUUCCUUCCAGAGAUGCUGCACUUUGUGUAAUCUAGAUAGCUUUAACUCCUUCAAUUGAGGGAAUGUAAGCUGAAAAUCAACAAAAUUAAGUUGUAAAUGAAAGUAUGUAUCCAAUCUCUGCAGUCUUCCCCUGCAUAUUUUAUGGACAAGAUUAAUCACGGCAUUUUAUAUUUUAUUUCCAAAUUAGUAUGCUUUGCAGUAGGAUCCCAAAUAUAAGUAUCAAAUCGAUUACCCUUUGAAACACAUAAAUGAAAUCUGAUACUAAAUCCAAUAUGAAUUAGCUAGGAAAACAGAGAUGCGACAAGCAUAAUUGAUAUAGUUCAUCACCUCAUGUUACCAGUCAUCGAAAUAAUUUAAGACAUUUUUUUAAUUCAUACUAUAAAGUUAGUUCAUAACUGUAGUUGUAUUGUUAAUUCAUAUAUGAAUCAAGAUGACAUGCAAAAAGAUGAGUCAUAAAAUUUGAUUUGAUUCUAAUGAAAUUACAUCUGUGCGAACAAAAGUGAAGGGGAAAAUAAUAAUAAUAAUAAUAAUAAUAAUAAUAAUCACCUUUUCAUCGAAGAGGGGUUGUACUUGAUGAGCCAGCAAAAAGUUCUCUUCUGAUGUUAAUUUUUGAGGUUCCUUGUUAUUUGUUGUCACAUGCACUACAGAGUUGGAUAUGAAUGUUUCCAUAUCAGGGCAAUUCUCAAUAGUUAGAUUCUCCAACUCAGACAGUUCAAUUAUAUUCCCAGUGAAGUUGCAGAAUCUUUUGAGUUUUGGAAGAUCAAUGAGCCUUAGUCUGUUAAGCCUAGGAAACCGGGGGCCUAUAUGUUCUUCCUUAGCAUUUAGCUCUUCUAAAUGAAGCACCUCUUCUAUUAAAUCACAAUUCCUCACUUCCAGGCAUCUCAAAUUGUUCAAGCAACGUAGCAGAUUGGUAGGAAUAGCACUCGACAUAUUCGUGCAGUCAUCCACAGCCAGUUGUCGUAAAUUGUUGAAGAAGCUGACAGGCACUGCUUGGCCGUGCCAUAUUUCUCUCAAGCGUGGAAAAUGUGAGAGUUGCAAAUGCUCUAUGUCACGGAAUCCAAUCUGCAUAAACCAAAACAAUUGCACUGGAUAUAUAUAAAUUUCUUUUUUUGAAAGGCAUUAGAUAUAUAUAUACAUUAAACUUACAUGUUUUGUGCUUUAACUUCUAAAAAUAUAUUUACAACGCAGGUGUAUAUGUUUAAAUGUGGUAUAGUGGAAUUAAGCUUAUUGCCAUUACUUCGUAAUGGUGUUCGUAACACCAUUACUUCGUAAAGUGAAUCGAUUAACACAUACCAUUACUUCGUAACACUUUUGUAUAGUGGAAUUAAGCUUAUUGCCUUCCCAAUGGUGUUCACCCUCUUCCCUUUCAGUCACUUGCACUACGUAUAGCUUUGGUGUGGAUGAGAUUCCCCGAGAAAAAGUCUUCAUGUUCGGACAAUGUGUCAUAGAAACUUGUUCCAAUGAUGGGAAUUCAAGAGUGUAAUUCUCCAAACAAAAGCUGGUAAGCCUUGGUAAAUCAUCAAGUUCCAAAAGUUUUAAUUCGUUGAAAGCAAUACGAUUCUCCUUCGCUUCUUCUCCAACAUGUCCUAUGAUUUCUUCUAUUUUUGCACAGUCUGAUACAUCAAGAUUCACUAGACUAUUGGGAAUUCCAACCUGAAAAUAAAGAGUAGCAUUCAACUAGAUUCAAAGUAUGUCAAAAUCAUACAAUUGUUUUAUGAAAAAUAACAAACCAUGAAUGUCUACUAGAUAUUUUUUGUUAAAGAAAAAAAAGAAAAAAUAAAAAUAAAUAAAUAGAAGUCCAGAAAAACAAAGAUAAUGAAAAUGCAUUUACACUAUUUAGUAUUAGGAACGGAGAAAGAAUUUCAGGUAAUUUUUAAAUAUUCUAAAUUCAUUUUUCAUCUCGAUGCUAGUUUUUUAAAAUUUUUAAUUUUCAAACAUGCCUAUUUUUAAAAUAACUAAACUAAAACGCUGUAUUUCCCUUUUUUUUUUUUUCCCGAUAUUCAUGCUUUUAAAAAUGGAAAACAUUUCUGGAAAACACUUCCCAACGCCAUCAACAUGGGACUGUUAUAGAGUGAAUAUUUGAGGAAUUUUUUAAUCAACGGUCGAUUCAAAAUGACCAUCAUGAAUUUGUGCUUAAUCAAUGGCGUAAUCAAUUCAUAACUAAACUAGAGAUAUUAACUACAUUUGAACACUUUUCUUUAUUUUUUUUUAAAUCGAAAUUUGAAGACCCAAGGAAAAGAGAAAUAUAUAUGAAUUUGUGAGCUUAAAAGCUGAGUAACUAAGUAUCUUUUAAUUUCUAAAAAUCUUAUUUAUUAGGAUUUAAGGAAAAAAACAAUUAAAUUGAAUUAUAUUAUGCUGUUAAAUCGUGUUUAAAACAAUUAUAUCGUUGACUUUAAUGCGGGUGAACCUAUAAAUUAGAUUGACAAUGCAGAGUUCAGAAUGGUGAUUUGAAGUACACUACUUUUUUGCCCUCCUGAUGUUUGAAGUAAAAUACUUGCAAUAAAUAAUUUGUGAAUGAAAAUUAUUUGUAAACACAAAAAUGAUUAAAAUAAUUGUUGAAUGUUACUUGAAAUAAAAAUUCAAAAUGAAUAUAGCAAUCUUACCAAUGGAGGAAAAAUAUUCAGUAGAUUAUUACACCCAGAUAUCUUCAAUUUUUUCAAUUUGCUAAAAGACUUCGAAGCAAGCUGGUGGUGCCAUAUUUUUCUCAACUUAUCCGCCUCACUAAUAUGUAAUACCUCCAGACUUGGGAGUCGUACCUGAAGUUAAAAAUUCAAUGCAAUUAGAGAUGUAUAUUAAUUAAAUUUGAAGACUCAACGAAAAGAGAAUUUAAAAAUUCAAUGAAAAAAAACCUUUUCAUCAAAGAGGGAUUGAGGUUGCAUUUCAGUGUGAAUGACGUCUUCUGGUGAGGCAAAGCUACUUAGUUUUGGAAGCCAAUGGAGCGACAGGUAGUGUAGUUUGGGAAAAACCUUAAAUUCAUCUCUUCCUCCUAACGUCGUGGUGUUGACUACCCCUUCAAUUGACCGGCAAUUACGAAUCUCAAGAUGUUGGAGUUGCCCAAGACUAUUAACCAUAGAAUAUGAAAACAAAUACUUCAGACGAUGACAACUCCACACGGUCACUUUUGUUAAAUUUUGACAACAAUAUAUUCCCUGAAAUUGAUCGGACCAUAAUUUUUUUAUAUUUGUUAAACUGACAAGUUCCAGUUCCUCCAAGCGUGGAAAAGUAACCUGCAAAGAAAAACCAUACAUUUUUGUUCCUUCAACUACAACUUCUAAUAUAAUAUUCUUUCGAUGAUUGAAGAUCAAUCGUGAUAAUAUAUUAAUUAAUUAAUUAUUAAACAGAAAAUUAUUACCUGGUGAACAGGAUCAUCCUCUGCAUUGAUUUCUAUGAAUCCCUGAGUUGUUGUUGGUUUCUCCAUGUCGGGCCCUAUAAAUGAACCAAAACAAUAUAUAAUAAACAUCCGUUGUUUUUUUCCCCAAAAAAAGAAAAAGAAAAAAAGAAAGAGUCAAUGUCAAUAAUCCUACCAAUAAUUAAUUUCAACACUUACCAAUAAUCAUUUUCAAAUCAUCGCAGUCUUCCACUUUUACUUUUUGAAGCCGCAAUAGGUUUUUGGCCAUAGAGAAUGAGAAGAGAUACUUCAAUUUUCGACAGGAAUCUACGUUUAUAAUCCUUAAGUUGCUGAAGGAUUGAUCUUCUCUGAGUUGGCUGUAGCAUAUCGUCUCCAAAUUAGUUAAAAACAUAAGAGACAAUGCCUCCAGCAAGGGAAAGACUUCGCAACGAACCCUAACUGAACCGACAAUAUGUAAAAUCUCAGAACAGUCUGUUACGAGAAGACGCUUCAAUCGUGGAAAACCUUCCCCAUCGUCUAAUUCAUGAACAACACUUUGAACACCCUCCAAUGUUUCUAGCCAGAGAUCUUCAGUUCUCUGCAGCAACAUUUUUGUCCCAUCAUUCUCCUGAAGAAUGCUAACUUUUUUUAUCCCCUUGAGCAUCAUCAAUCUUGAUGCUUCAGAUUUGACGAGCAAUGGGUCAAACUCAUCUUCGGGCCCAUCUCCUAUACGUAUCUUAUAUCUUUGCAAUUCCACAGAGACAAAAUCCGGCGGCAGAAUUUCGGCAUCCGGAACUUCUAUCUCCAAAGUAGUUAGCUCUGUCAACCUCUCCAAUUCGACAAGACUGGCAUUACUUCCUCCUUCAACCUUCUCCCACCCUGAAAAACCGUUACCCAUAUACAAUUCUUCUAAUUGAGAAAAAUUUUUGGAUAUGACAUUUCGGUGCUAUUCACCUUCAAGCCCACCAAACAAUUGCUCUCAAAUCUAGGAAAUUGGUAACCGCGGCCAAUNNNNNNNNNNNNNNNNNNNNNNNNNNNNNNNNNNNNNNNNNNNNNNNNNNNNNNNNNNNNNNNNNNNNNNNNNNNNNNNNNNNNNNNNNNNNNNNNNNNNGCGAGGCUGAGAAUCUCUAUUUCUUUAGUGUCCCAAUUGCGCUAUAUCUGCUAGUCGCACCAGUCUAAACACAAUGUUUGAAGGUUAAUGAGGCGACCAAGUGAUGAAGGUAAUGAAGAAGAGCCAAUUCCAGGAAACUGUAAAACUUUGAGUCCUUCCAUCCCUUCAAAAAAGUGGUCUGAAACUUGCAUAGGGCCAUUACCCUCCGUAUACAACAAAAAUAACUGGAGAUUGGGACAUUGCAACCUUUCAGGGAGCUCUUGAAUAUCUCUAUGAGGUAAUGAAAUAGCAAUUGGAUCUUUCUGUAUUGUCUCUUCCAUCUUUUUCUCCAAGUCAGCAACAUUUGGAACAUUAAACAUGCGCUCCUCUCUGGCAAUUGAUACGGCAACAACAUGAAUGACGUCAUGCAUUUUAACUUCAUCUUCAGCAUCACCGUCCAACAAUAAGCAUGAAGAUUUGAGGUUGUCGAUCAACCGAUGCACUCUACUCCUUGCUUCUUCCAAUGUGUAAACAUUUUCAAACAAACCCCAACCCACACCACAUCUCAAUAAGUCAGAAACUUGUAUGACAUUACCUUCACUGUAUAGACUACAAAGACGGAACAGAGAUUUUGCCUCCUCACUUUCCAAGAAGUCAUAACUCAAUUUUAUGGAGGUGUACACAUUUGCUUGCAUGCCAUGAAUUUCUCUAGCAUCCGAUCUUCUUAGCUGAUUCAAUGCAUCUUUCCAAAAGUAACUAUCCUUAGUUUUCAGAGCAUUUGCAACUGUACUCAGUGCAACAGGCAAACCUCCGCAUCUUUCAACGAUCUCAUUUGCUAUACUUUGAAAAGCGGAUAUUUUAGUUGAAUCACCCACUAUCUUUUCAAAUAACUGCAAUGCUUCUUUUGGUGGCAAAGCAUCGAUCGGGAAAUUUUUCUGAGAAUUCAUAUCAAUGCGCAAUAAAUCUCGACUUCUAGACGUCAAUAUUAUUGUGCAUCGUCUCUGAUCAUCCUUUGUAUCUUUCUCAUCAACAUCCCCACAAGGAAUUCCAACUUUUUCGAACUCGAGUUUUUUCCAAAUAUUAUCCAAUAUAACGAGGACCUGCUUCUCGUUCUUCAAUCUUUCACGUAAUCGAUCUGCUCUUUCGAAUUUAUUCUCAUCCGAGCCAAAUUUCAUGCCUAAGUCAAAAGCAAGUUUCUUUUGAAUUUCCUGAUGAUCUGGGGUCUGUGUUACCUCAGCCAUAACGACCUUGUCGAACACCUUAUCUUCCAUAACUUGCCUUGCAACUUGCUUGACUAGCGUGGUUUUACCCACGCCGCCCAUCCCGUAGACCCCAAUUAUCUUGAGCUUAUCAUCCUUCAACGCCUCCACAACAUCUUCAAAUACUUUCAUUCUUGAAUCAAAGGCCUCGAAAUCUUUCACUUGCAUAUGUUCUGCCCGCUUUGGAGCAGGACGGUAGGAAACAUUAGAGAAGUUACAUUUUCCCAUGAGACUAGCAGCAGCUUCUGCGGCCUUUGCUGCUUGUCUACUGAGCUUGUAACGAGAAAUCAAGUUUGGGCACAAUCCUUUGAAACAGAACUUCUUAGCUCUAUCUUCAUCAUCAGUGAUGGAUUUCGCAGCUCCCUGACUGAAUUCCUUGACGCUAUUAAGCCAGUCUGCAACAUCCUUAUAAAUCUCAUCUCCUUGUUGAGUAGCCUGAUGAACGGGUAUUUCCACCCUUUCUCUUUUAUAUCCCAACUGUUUCACUUGAUCUUUUAGGCCAUCUAUGUAGCUCUGGUACUUGAACACAUAAGAGAUCUGCCGUAUAAUCGGUUUGAACAGUGACUUUGCAUCUUCUGAUACGAUGCUGGAAAAAGCAGCCAGACCCACUUCUGCAACCAUUGCCUGUUGCUUAACAAUAUAUGUAUAUAUAUGAAUAAAAUGAAUAAAAAUGUCAAAGAAAGGAAUACAAAUAAAUUAAAAUGAACUAGAGGGAAAGACAGAGAAAGAAAAGACCGCAAACAACAUCGCGAUAUUGAUUUUGAACCAACUGAUACAUAAGUAGAGAAUUUCUUUUUCUAUCUUAAGGAUCAGAGGUUUUGCUAUUAACAGAAAGGUAUCCUUUAAGGAAAGUUGAUGGAAAUUAAGAAAGAAUGGCUAUCAAGAUCAAGUAUUCUGCUACUAAAAAUAAAUGAUAUGACUUAAGAAAAGUAAAUGAUAUGAUUAAGAAAAACCAGAGAAUUUUUUCCUAGGAAAGUUGAUGGAAAUUAAGAAAGAACCGCUAUGAAGAUCAAGUAUCAGAGAUUCUGCUACUAAAAGAAUAUUACAGGUUUUAGAACAAGUGCACCUCUUUACCUGUCUGGGAUCAGAGUCGAUGAGCUGCUGUAUUCACCUUGAAUAUAGAAGAAAUAUUACAGGUUUUGACUAAAGAGGAAUGUGAGGAACGAGUUGAUGAGAGUAAUAACAAUGAAUUUCCAAAAGAAGACGACUUGAGCAUUAAGCAUGCACCCCCUUUAUCAAUCAAAUAUUGGUACGUAUGUACGUAGGGACCAUUAUGCGUAUAUGAAGUCCAUUAGUUGCAAUCAGAAACCCUGGCCCAAUUUAAUUGACACUCGAUUUUUGAUAAGAAGAAGGCAAGGAUAAGGACAAAGUCAAUCAAUCACCAACAGUAAUUACUUCAAUCUUUGUCAAUCUACUUAAAUUGUCGAUCAACAUGAAAAUUGUUUAAAUUGAUAUUUGUAAAUCAAUCAAUUUUCUAGUUACUAUGAUUAUAACGUUUCACCUUUCAUAUUGGAUUUUAUCUUUUCGAAAGUUUUCAAAUAUGAGUGUCAAUAAUUAUUGAGACUCCAAGCCGUGCUCUCAAGAUCGUGCUGACAAAUCACUAUUGACUUUGUUUAUGCAAAAUUCAAAGAAAAAAAGUUAUGGUUUUGUAUUGCCAGCCCUGCUACUUUUUGUUUUUUUCAUUUGUAUUAUUUACGAAUUAUUUUUUAACAGAAACAUGAGAACUCAUCAUCGUAUAAAAUUGCAUGAAAAAAUCUUCAAAUUUAUAAAAGUAAAUUUCAUUGACAGAUUGUGGAUAUGUUAGAAAGAAUAAGGAUAAGAAUGAGUUAAGAAAUAAUAUAUAUAUAUAUAUAUAUAUAUAUAGAUAGAUAGAUAGAGAGAGAGAGAGAGAGAGAGAGAGAGAGAGUGAAAGUAAACAAUGUUUUGGUACAUUUGGUAUUGUUUUCAAAAUAUUUUGAAAAGAAAAAUUUUCAAUUAUCCAUCUAAGAAUUAUCUUAUUAUCCAAAAAGUUAUAAAAAUUUAAAAAUAUUUAAUUUUAUACCCAUUAUUACAAUGUGUAUCAACUGUUUACUAAAAAAAUAAAGUUACUCCUAAAACAUAAUCACCACUACAAUUUUGUGUUCGGUUCUAUUUUGUCACUUUGAACGAAUAACUUUAUAUUUUUAACAGAUGUUUCAUACAAAUUGCAUACAUUGGAUGUAAAAUUAAAUAAAUUUAAAUUUUUAUAAUAAUUUUAAUAAUUGAAUAAACUUUGAGUAAAUGACUGAUAAUUUCUCUUUUAUAAGCUACAAGAAGUUAAAAAGAAAAAAGAAAAAAUAGGAUGAUAAUUUCUCUUUUAUAUGCCUCAGAUGAUUUAUUGUUUCGGGUCUAAGAUUUUAAUUAUUCAACUUAAAAGAUUAAUAUAUUAUAAAUUAAUUAAUUAAAUAAUCAUUAAGCAACUAAAUUGGGUCCCCUGGAUGUCAAUUCCUUUAAUAUUGACGCAACUAUUUUUUUCUGGCAAAUAAUUAUUAAUGCACUGACGGAACUUUUGCAUAUCUACACAGCGAUUUUAAAUAUUACUGGUAACUGCUGAGAAAUGUGCGAGAAAGAAGUUGAUGAGAGUAAUAACAGCGACUUGCAAAAGGAAAAGACAGAAUCAUUCACCCCUUUUUGUAUCACCUAUUUGGUUACUGUUUCCCUGUUGACGCAUGUAUAAAUUUGACUGGUUUUUCUGCACUUUUUUGGCUGUUGCUUAACAAUGUGUGUGUGUAUUUGCUGUUGAAAAAAUUGGAUUCAAAUAAAUUAACUGAAAGAUUAGAGUUUUGACUAUUAACUGAAAGGUUUCAAGGGUAUGAAUGAAAAGCAACAUUCUUUUUUAGAAACUAUUUUAGAGGAGAGAUGCAAAUUAACAAAUGCUAAUAACAAGAACACAGAAGUUAACAAUGAACAGUAACUUAAAUCAAGAAAAUUAAAUGACAAAAUUAAGACAAACAAGAGAUAUUUUUUUCUUGGACAUUAAGAAAUAACUGCGGUCAAGAUCAAGGAGAUUAUGCUAUUAAUAGAAAUUAUCAAAGGAUUUAGAACAAGUUCACCUCUUUAAUUAUCCGGGAUCAGAUAGUUGAUGAGCUUCUCUAUUUAGCCUUGAAUAUUUAAGAAUAAUUUUAAAGAGCAAAAAGAUCACUGGUAACUGCUGAAAAAUAAGUGAGAAAAGAGUUGAUGAGAAUAAUAACAAUGAAUUGAAUAAAAAAAGGACUUAAUCAUGCACCCCCUUUGCAUAUCAUGUAUUUGGUUACUGUUGCCUUGUUGACGCAUGUAUAGAAUAAUUACAUGUAUUAUUAUAAUUUUGGAUUCGAUAUCCUUGUAUUAGUGUCUAAGAUUUUCAUGAAGAAUUAAACUUGGAAUGACCAAAAGAGGAAGCUGCAGUGUAUUGUUGGACCCAAUUAAGUUGAAGAAAGCACUAGUUCACAACCUUACGUUUGGAUAUAUUCUAAAGAAAUAAUUAAACAGCAAAUCAUCACAUGCACUUUAAUGAUUUGAUCUAUUGUUUUCAAAAGAAAUUGCAAUUAACAGUUUUUGUCAAAAGUUCGCACAGCGUGAAACUAGUGUUAGUAUAAUUUAAAAAAUUAAUUUCAGUAUUAUUUUUUAAAAUGUUAAUUAUUAGAUUUAUUUUAAUAAUAUAUUUAUAUUUAUUAUAAAAAAUUUAGUUAAAUAUUUGUGUUAAAUAGAAUUUAUAAUUAAUUUAAUAUAUCUUAGGUAUUAAUAAUAUUAUAAUUAUUCUAUAUGCUAUUGAAAAUAAUUUAAAUUUUUAGACAUUUAUUUUAUAUUAAGUUUCUAUUUAUUACAAAAUUUAGUUUAAUAUAGUAUAAGCUUGUAAAGUAUUAAAAUAUUUUUUUCAUUUUUUUUAAAAUAUUAAAAUUAUUUUAAAAUAUAUAUAUUAACAUUGAAGCUAAUUUUUUGAGUUAAUAGAGCUAGUAGGUGUUAUAGUAAAAAAGAGUAUCUUAGUAUCUCUUAUUGAAAAUAUAUAGAUCUAUAUAAUCAUUUUUUCAAAUAUUGAGAUGUAGAAAAAUAAAUUAAAAAAUUUUAAAUUUUAAUAUGGCCAUCGUAGGGUUAGAAUCCCCGCUCCAACCCGAUUUGGAGAUUUAUGUUUUUAAAAAAAAAAAGAACAAAGAAAAAAUACACACCCGACCAAAUCAAGCACCUCAUCAAAUCAAAAAUAAAAAAGGAAAGAAAUUAAUGGCUUGCAUGCAAUUUUGGAUCUGAAAUUAAAAUUACAUAAAAAUUAAGGCUUACGUACCUUAAUAUUUACAGCUUGUUUGAUGGCCCCAACAAGUUUAAGCAGCAUCAAAAUGUUGUGGCUCCUUAAAUGACAACAUCGACUUGUUUGACAGCUCCAACAAGGCUACGAUGAUCAGAAGAUGAGCCCUCAAUCAACAAGGCUAAGAUUGGCUUCUCUAUCCUCUGCCGACAUGUCCUCUUCUCCCAACAACCAGCGCCUUGCUCUUUGUCAUUUUUCCUCUUGUUAGUUUUCUUCUACAUAUAAUUAUUACACUGGGAAGUAUACACACACUUCUUUUCUUUUUAUAGUACCUUACUAUUAUAUCUUUACAAAACAAUAUCACCCUAAGACAUAUAUGUAUGAAAUAAAUAUAUAAGGAACGGACGAAAUAAAAUUAGAUCUAACACUAGUUUCAUGUGGUGUGUGAACUUUUGACAAUCCUCUCAUACCCCAACAAAAACUUUGUCAUAUUACAAAAGUUAUCACGACCAUAGACUUUUCAAUUGCAUAUUGGAAUUGCAAUGUCAUUUUAUUAUAGUAAUGUCAUUUCCAUUAUUCAUAGUGGCAGACAAUGGACAUCACGGGACACGGCUAGAAGUUAUCACGACCAUAGACUUUUCUAAUUUAUGAAAUAAAUGAAAUUAGAUCUAAUUCUAGUUUCAAGUGGUGUGAACUUUUGACAAUCCUCCCAUAUCCUAACAAAAGCUUUGUCAUAUUGCGAAAAUACCUUUUCAAUGUUUCAAUUGCAAUGUCAUUGCCAUUAUUCAUAGUGGCAGACAAUGGACAUCACGGGACAUGGCUAGAAGUCUAUGUUACGGCUUCUGUAAGUAACAGCAGCCAAUGGGGAACUUCCAUGGGGGCUAUAGGAGAGAGAAAGAGGUCCCAAUACAAGUGUUAGAGUACAAUUUAUACACUAGUUUUGCAUUGUUUACUUCCCUUAAUAUCGAUGUUUUGCAUUUAAUAAUAAUGAUUUACUUGUGUUUUACUUUUGUAAGUGCAAUUCUAUUGAUUUGUGAUAGAAUUGAGGUAUAAGAUGAUGUUUAAAGAUGAUUGUUCUCUUGGAGAAAUUUAGAGCGUCAGAAGAACUUUAUAGAUAAGGCGUGGGCGCGUGCUGUCAACUGCGGACCUGCAGUUUUUAGUUUAAUGUGUUUUGUAUUUUUGGCUAUUUUUGUAAUUACGAAUUUAAUAUUUCAAAUAUUAUUAUUUUAUUUUAAAUAGAACUUUAAAAGAGAAGAGAGAGAGAGUAUUUAAGGGAGGAAUCUAUUGUGAAAAAGGGGGGAUUUUAAUUGGAGAAAAAGAAAGAAACCCUAGAUCUAAUUUUUCUCUUCUCUCUAUGAAAAACUAAACUUAUUUUUUCUAGUUGAAGGUUAAUGAAUUUUUGAUUCAUCACUACUGUGAGAUCUUUCUUAUGCUUUAAUUGUUUUAUUACUUUUUGGGUAUUUGUUUAUUCUCUGAAUUAGUUUCAUGAUUAUGUUUGUUAAUUAGGUAAUUGGCCACUAUUUAAUUAUCAACUUAAUCUAUUGUCAAUUAAAGAAUUCAUCGUAUGACGAGUUUAAUGUUUGUGACAAAUAACAUAGCAGUGAGUUGUGUUAUGGGAAUAAACAAUCUAAUUUAAAUGAAUCAUCAUAUGUGUUGAUUAGGAUUUGGGUCGCUCUGGUUUUUCAGGCUGUCAAUUGAUUAAAUCCUAUGAUCGUAUCUAGGGUUGUCUAUUAAUUAGGGAAAUAUCCAAUGGUCGUACCUUGGUUAUCGACUAGUUAAGGAGAGAUUGGCUAUUAGAGGGUCUCAAUAGCUAUAACCAGUUUAUUCAUAAGUAAUAAUAAUCUAUUUUUGAAUCAAUGAUCAGUAGUCGAAUCAAACUGAGUUAAUUCCUUCAACCAAAGCUUUCUCCAAUUUGAAUUACAACUUUAAUUUGCAUUUUUGUUAUUUUAAUUUGAUUUUUUAUUAUUGUCAACAAUUCUCCCAUUUUACGUUUUACGUUUCAAAAGAAUUUAAAUAAUUACCGAUCUCUGUGGACACAACCCUGCUCAAUCACUAUACACAAUUUAUUUAGAGUAGGAAUUUAUUUUUAUUGGCUUCAACAACCAUCAACAAGGUGAUGGAAAUGGGAAAGUUCGAAGCUGUUACUUUCAGCUUCUGCACCGUAGCCAUGUCCCACGGGACAAGGCUAGAAGUUAUCAUGACCAUAGACUUUUCUAAUUUAUUUUUUCCUUUCAAAAAGGGACAAGGAUAAGUUUGGGAGAAUGAUUAUAUUUUUAAUAAAAGAAUUCUUUUUUAUUAUAAUACUUUUUGUCUUUAUUAAUUUAAAAAUAUUAACUCUUAUAUUUUAAUAAAUAUAAAUAUAAUAUUAUAAUAACAUAUAACAAUAUAUACAAAUAUUUAAAAAAAUUUAAGAUUUUAUUAAAAUAAAUUUUAUAAUAAAUAAAAAUACAUUAUUAAUAUAAUUUUAAUAAUUUGCAUUUUAAAAAGUAAUACUGAUAUUAUUUUUUAAAUAUUAAUUUUUUAAAUUAUAUUACUCUACCAAAAAAAAUUAAACUAUUAAAUUAUAUUGAUAUUUAUUACAAAAUUUGCAAUUAAUUCUUAUUAUAUUUUUAAUUGGAAUUUGUUCCUGUGAUAUAACAACAAUUGCUACAGUUUUUUCCCUAAAUAAAGAUGGAGUUAUAAAUUAUUUGUGUAAGUGUCAUGAAAGUAAUAGUUGAAUAACAAUAAUGGGGCUUUAGGCAAUUUUUUUUAUGAGGUCUUCUUGCAAUUUCAACACUUAAACAGACUUGUCCUUGAUCCCAAUUUAUUUACCCCAUUUGGGCCCACGAUGAGAUAAAUAUAUUCCUGUGAGAUGAAAAACAUCAGGAGAAGAAAAUGUUUUAUUAUAAUAAAAAAACAAGUGGUCCAUAAGUCUAUUUAUUACUUUUUUUAUUCAAUACAAAUGGCCAACUUAAAAAAUGAUAAAAAUCACAUAACGCACAAGCAAAAAUUUAGAUUUACAUUUUUUAGUUCUCUCCGUGUCUCUCUUUCUCUUUUUUAAAAAAAAUAAAUAAAUGUCAGUGUAAAAUUAGAAAAAUUUUAGAUAUAAACUUUGGCGAUGACCAAACAAAAAUUGCAAGGGAAAGAAAAUAGAGGACCCUUGAUAUCAUUAAAAUACUGAUCAUAGACACUACAAUAUAAAUAACUUGUUGUGAUCCACUCAACUUGUAACACUUUAAUCCAUAUUCUAAAAUUUGUAUGUUUGUUAGGAAUUUUAUUAUUGACAUUACUGUACCAAUAAAAUUCUAAUUUAUUCAUAUGGAAAGAAAACAUCAAGAAAGGACCUCUGAUUUUUAUUAUAACAGAAAAAAGUGGUCCAUAAGUCUAUUUAUUAUUUUAUUUAUUCAAUACAAAUUGCCAACUUAAAAAAUGGUAAAAAUCACAAAAUGCACAAGUAAAAUUUUAGAAUUACAUUUUUUUUAAUUCUCUUUGAGUCUCUCUCUCUCUCUCUUUAAAAAAUAAACCUCACUGUAAAAUUAGAAAAAAUUUAGACAUAAAAUUUGACAAUCACCAAACAGAAAAUGUAGGGAAAUGAAAAUGGAGGAGCCCUAUUAUCAUUAGAAUAUUGAUCAUAGAUACUAUAAUGUAAAUGAUUUGUUGUGGUUCAUUCAACCUGUCACACUCUAAGCCAUUUUCUAAAAUUUGUAAGGUUUAUAGGAUUUUUAUUAUUGGCAUCAUUGUAUCAAUAAUAUUAUAAAUUAUAUAUUCUAUUGUAAUGAAAAUUUGUGUAAUCUUAGGUAUUUAUUGUAUUAAAUUGUGUGGAUUAAUUAAGAAUAUUUUUGGAGACAAAAGAGGUGUGUGUACGUAGGAUUAAUAAUAAAAAAUUUCUAAAUAAAGGUGAUUGCUUCAUUGACAAGUACAUAUUUAUAUUCUCUAUUAGUAUUUGGGUUGUAAACUUUGUUUAUAAAGUGAAUAUAUUGUGGUAAGCGAUGUGGGCAAUAUCGGAUGCAAAAUAUUGAGAGAUCAUUAACGCAUAUAUUUAUUGCAUAUAGAGGAAAGAGUGUAGAUCCGGCCGUAACAAUUAUGAAGCUUUCCCCAAGUAUUCUCACGCUUCCUUAACUGUUCCAAAGUAUUUUUCAUAGUGUGCAGAUUUACUUUAUGGUGUCUUAAUUCGUCUAAAAUGAUUACUUUAGUUCUUUUGGGAUGAAAGGUCAUUUAUUGUGUUAGGAUUAAACAAUAGAAAAAAUAAGUAAUGGUAACGAAAGACUAAUUUGUGAUAUUGAAGCAUACAUGCUUAACUCAAUCCAAAACUUAGUAAGUUAGCUCAAGAGUUAAGAGUUGUCCAAAUCUUAUAUGCUGAACCCAAGUUCAAUACUCAAUUGAUGCAGGAUGUUAUUCCUAACACCGCCCGUCAUGCGUAGGAUUGGCAAAAAAACUCGAGUCAAUCCCGCCUAGACCUGCAAGCUUUAUUUAUGGCCAGCAUGAUGAAGUUACAGAUAUUAACCUAAAAAUUUGAAACUUACUAUGAAUGGCCUUGGUUAAAGACUUUUGUAACUUUAAUUUAUAACAAAUAUGUAUACACACACACACAUGUUUAGAUUGCAUUUGGGUGACUUUUUUUAUCAAUGCAAACAAUAUCAAAUUUAUCGGAUUAAUUUGAAUCUGAUCUAUAUCCGAUUUUGCCCGCCAUAAGCCCAAGUGACUCUCUUUUACUAAUUAAUAAGGGAAUUUUUUGACCUCAUGUCCUUGCUGUGGCAUUAGACUGUUGGUCAUUUUGAUUGUUUCCUACCUUCCAUUUACGCCAGCUGUAACAUUGUAUUAUUCACCAUUUUAGCCAUUUAAAUGAAAUUUUAUUUUUGUCAAAAAUAAAAUGACACCCUUAAAAUAAAAAAAAAUAGUUAUGUAGACCUCAAAUUUUUAAUAAAGAAUGUCAAUACCUCUUUUAACUACAAGAUUCGUAGUAGAUGAUAAAAAGAAAAUUAACUUCAAAUUUUUUCAUUAAAUGUAAAUCUGAUUGAAGUAGUUUAAAUUUUUCUAGUAGACUAAUAUAUAUAACUUAAAUAAUUAAUUUCAUUAUUAAUUGUUAAAAUGUUAACCAAUAUAUUUUUAAUUUAUUAUAAAAAUUUUAAAUAAAUCCUUGGAUUAAAUAGAUUUUACAAUUAAUGUAAUACUUCUGAUUUAUUAAUAAUAUUAAAAUUAUUUUAUAUGAUAUUCAAAAUAAUUUAAACUUAUAUAUAUAUUAAUAUUAUGUCUAUUUAUUAUAAUAUGGUUUAAUAUUAUACGGGAUUGUAAAAUAUUAAAAUAUUUUUCAAUAUCCAAUUAUUUUAAUAUGUAUAUAUCAUUACAUUUAUUUUAGUAUCAUAUUUAUAUUUAUUAUAAAAUAUAAAAUUAAUAAAAUUAAAGAGUAUUGCAGUAAAGUAAAAAAGAAAAGUCUUAUUAUCUCUUAUUCACGAUAUGAGAUUCUACAAAAUUAUUUCCCGAAACGGGUGUCCUUUUCUCAUUUUCAAAAGAAAAAAUAAAGUAAGAAUAAGUCCAUGGGUUUCAAAAACUUCUAGUCUUAUCCCGGGACUACAUUGUCUGCCACUAUAACUAAUGGAAAUGACAAUACAAUUGACAUUGCCUUUCGCAACAUGACAAAUUUUUGGUGGGAUAUGGAAGAAUUGUCAAAAGUUCACGCCAUGUGAGAGUUUUUGGUGGGAUGUGGGAGGAUUGUCAAAAGAUCACACCACAUGAUAUAACCACAAUUGCUAUGGUUUUUAUUUUUUAAAUAAUGAUGGGAGUUAUAAAUUAUUUAUAUAAAUUUGCGUAGAAACUAAUGUAACAUAAAAGAAGUAGCUGAAUAACAAUAUUUGGUGCUUUAGGUAAUUUUUAUAUGAGCCUUUCUUUUAUUUAGCGGCUCUAGUGCUUAAACAAACUUGUUCUCGAUCUUAUAACAGAAAAGGCAUCCCAUUUAAGCCUAUGAUGACAUAAUUAAACAUAUUCUUUUGUGACGAAAACAUCAAGAGAAGACAUCUCAUGUUUUAUUAUAACAGAAAAGAAGUGGUCCAAACGUCUAUUCGUUAUUUUAUUUAUUCAAUAUAAAUGGCCAACUUUAAAAAAAUGAUCAAAAUCACACAACACUCAAGUAAAAAUUUAGAAUUACAUUUUUUAAUACUCUCUAAGUCUCUCUCUCCUGCCCCCCCCCCCCCCACCCCGUCCCCUUUUUUGAAAAAAUAAACCUUAGUGUAAAAUUAGAAGAAUUUUAGAUAUAAAAUUAGAAGAAUUUUAGAUAUAAAAUUUGGCAAUCGCUAAACAGAAAAGCAGCGGAUUGAAAAUAAAAAAACUCUAUUACCAUUGGAAUAUUGAUUAUAGACAAUAUAAUAACUUGUUGUGGUUCAUUGUAGCACUCUGAGCCAUAUUCUAAAAUUUAUAGGUUUGUUAAGGCAUUUAUUAUUGACAUUAUUGUGUCAAUACUAUUAUAAUGAUAAUUUGUCUAGUCUUAGGUACUUAUUAUAUUAAAUUAUGUAAAUUAAUUGAGGAUACUUUUAGAGACAAAAGAAACACGUGUAUGUAGGAUUAAUAAUCGAAGAAUUGUAAAUGAAGGUGAUUGCUUCAUUGAGAGGCAUAUUAAAUAAUUAUGGAGAGUUGCACUAUUUCGGAAGCACAUAAUUAUACUUCCCUAUCAGGAUUUGGGGUAAACGAAGUGCUUUAUCUAUUGCAGUAAGCAAUGUGGACAAUAUCAGAGGCGAAAUAUUAAAAGAUCAUAACGCAUAUAUUGGAGCCAUUUAUCUUCCGCAACUGUUCUGAACUAUUCUUCAUUGUGGGCAGAUUUACUUAAAUACCUGCACAAUGAUUCAAUACUUCAAAGGUCAAGGAAAUGUCAAAAUAUGAAAUGAAAAUACUUAAAUACCCUUCUACCUAACAAAACUCGCAGAGAAUCUAUAAAAUUAAAAAAAAAAUAUUCAUCCAUGAAAAGCUUCGUAACAGAAAAACCGUCUUUCAAAAAAUAAAAACAGAAAAACUGACUCAUUUAUCUGCAAAUGAACCAAUCGGGACUCAUUUAAAAAAGAAUACAAAGCAAAAGUAAAUGACACAAAUUGCAUAGAUAUCUAGGAGCCGCAUCAAAAGACAAAGGUGUUAAUUUGUCCAAGAAUAAAUUCUCCUAGGUCAAAAGCAAUUAACGAUGAAAACUUUCUUCAUUAAGGUUCUGGCCUACGUAAAAAAACAGAAAAAAACCACCCCAAGGUCAAAGCACAACGAUAAAUUUAGAAAUGAAGUUUUUAAUUUUUUUUUAAUAAAUCAACGUGUAUCAAAAAUAGAUAAUAAUUUUGGAUAACUUUUUUUGAUAAAUAUAGACAUAAAAUUUUAAAAUCACCAAACAGAAAAACAGGAGAAUUAAAACAAAGUCCCUGUUUAUCCUCUAUUUUGCUUGUUAUUAAAAAGGGAAAUGAAAAGAUUGCAAGCGGAAAUUUUGUUUCUGCGUUGUCUCUUCUCAAUGCUGCAUGCAUUCAAAUUAAACCUUACAUAUGCUAGCAAACUAGCUACGCUGCAUGUAAGUUCUCGAUAAGUCCAAAUAAUAGAAUAAUUGUAAAAUGUUCAAAUUCAGUAAUUAAUUUUAUUUAUUUAUUUAUUCAAAAAUUAUUAUUAUUAUUAAUUAUUGUCAAUAAUAUAUUAAUAUACUAAUUAAUUGUAAAAAAAUUUAUCAUUCAUAACAAUAAUAAUGAUGAUGAUGACGAUAAUAAUAAAAAUUCAAAAUAUAUUAAUUAAUUAUAAUAAUAUAUUAAUUAUUUAAUAAUAAUAUAUUUAAAAUAUAUAUAAAUUGAUUAGAAUAGUUAUAUUAAUAAAUUAUAAACAUAUAUUAAUUAAUCAUAAUAAUUUUUUAAUUGAGGACAAAAUAGAUAUUUUAUAGUUUGUGAGAGGGGGCAAAAUGAUCAAUCUUGGGAAUGGGGGAUUGAUUCCCACCACCUUCCUUAGGAAUCAAUCUUCCAUUCCUCACUCCUAAUUUGGGUGGUCCCCAUAGUUCUGAUUCGGAUCCCAGCCUCCAUUUUAUGAAGUAAACAUCAUUAAUGAUUUCGAUUUCGGAUUUCGAUUCUCCAGUCCAAGAAGUAAAGGCACCAUUAUUGUUAAUUGGUUCAAACACACAAAGAGAAUGUACCAUGUAGCUAGGCGUCAAGGUUGUGUGGCACAAGUAACCUUUUUCUUUUCUUUUUAUUUUUCUUGUUUUCCUUAACGGAUCAGAAGAAAUCGGUGCCUUUGAGAUACUACAAUGUAAAUAAGUAUUUGUGGUUCAUUGAAUCUGUAACACUCGGUACCCUAAGGUUGCUUUUGAAAAAGGGCUUUUCUCACUGAUCACCAAUAUCCAAGUAAGUUUGUUUCAUUUCAGAAGGUGCAAAGUUUCAAACUUUUUGUAUUGGGAUGUAACAAACUUUGGCCUUAUAUGCUUGCUGUGACGUUAGACUGUUCAUUUUGAUUGUUUCCUACCUUCCACUUGCGCCACUGUAGCACUGUAUUAUUCAUCAUUUUAGUUGUUUAAAUGAAAUUUUAUUUUUGUCAAAAAUAAAAUGACACCAUUAAAAUUUAGAAAAAUAAUCAUGUAGAUCCCAAAUUUUUAAUAAAGAAUACCAAUAUUCCCCUUGACUACAAUACCCUUAGCAGGUGGUAAUCAAACAAAUUGACUUAAAAUUUUUUACGAAAUGUAAAUAUGAUUUAAAUAAUUUAAAUUUUCCAGAAGACUAAUAUAUAUAAUUUAAAUAAUUAAUUUCAAUAUUAAUUUUUAAAAUGUAAAUUAAUUUAUUUGUACUUAUAAAAUAUUUGUAAUUAUUUUAAAAUUUUAACUAAAUCCUUAGGUUAAAUAGAUUUUACAAUUAAUAUAAUAUUUCUCAGGUAUUAAUAAUAUUAAAACUAUUUUAUAUGACAUUGAAAAUAACCUAAAUUUUUUAUAUAUUUAUUUGAAUAUUAUGUCUCUAUUUAUUAUAAUUUGGUUUAAUAGAAUACGAGAUUGUAAAAUAUUAAUAUUUUAGAUAUUGAAAUUAUUUUAAUAUCUAUAUAUUAUUAUAUUUAUUUUAAUAUCCUAUUUAUAUUUAUCAUAAAUUAUUAGAGUUAAUUUUUUUAGUUAAUAAAUUUAAAAAUAUUAUAAUUUAAAAAAAGUCUUAUUGGCCGUUAUUCACGAUAUAAGGUUCUAAUAAAUUAUUUCUCUAGACAGGUGCCAUUUUCUUAUUUUCAAAAGGAAAAACAAGUUCAGGGCCUCGGGGGUUUCAAAAAAUUCUGGUCCUAUCUAUCACUAUGACUAAUGGGAAACGGCAUUGCAAUUGACAUUGCUUUUCGCAAUAUGACAUAUUAUGGAGGGAUAUGGGAGAAUUGUCAAACAUUCACACCACGCGAGAGCUUUAGGUGGGAUAGGGGAGGAUUGUCAAGAGUUCACACCACAAGAAACUAAUGAUAGGUCUAAUUUCGUUGUCAGUUCUUUAUUUAUUUAUUUUUUUUAUUUCAUACAUUAUUGUUCUUGUAAAGGUAUAAAAGUAAAGUAAAAUACUAGGGGUGCUGUUAAGUUACAACUGAUGUAACUUGUAAUUUUUUCAAAAAUAAUGUAAAAAAUUUAAUAGGUGGUGGGACUCACAUAUUUUUUAAGAGACUUAAGUUAUAGUAGUUGUAACUUAACAAAAUCUAAAUAUUAUACAAUAAUGCAUAUUAAUAAUGCAUAUAAUUUGGGUUUGAUUUUUAAAAGAUUAUUUGAGUACCACCUAUCCUUAUGAUAUUAAUGUGAUUAUAUCUUAAUAUUAAAUAAUCAAAAUUUGUUUAAUUAUUAUUUGUAUUUCAUACAUUACAUAUUAGAUUUGUUUGAAUUUUAAGUUGUUGCUAAUAAAUAUUUAUGUUGUCAAAGUCAAAUUCAAUAGCUACAAAAGCAGAGAUAAUGGUAUUGUAUAUAGUUUUUAAGAAUGCAAGGAUAAGCUGGAUAAUUGACAUAAAUUCUAAUGAUUAAAAGAGCAACUAUCCCUUAAAUUAUAAUGUUAAUUUCUUUAAUUAGAUUUUUUUUUUCAUGUGAUAUAACCACAAUUGCUACAAUUUUUUUUUAUAAUAAUAAUGGGAGUUAUAAAUUAUUUAUAUAAAAUUUGGGUUGAAACUAAUGUACCAUAAAAGUGGUUGCUGAAUAACAAUAUUUGAAACUUUAGGUAAUUUUCAUGAGUCCUUUUUAUAUUCAGCAACCUGAAUUGGGGAAAAUCCGACUUGAAUUGGCGGUUGAUUUUGGUGAUGUGGCUUUUGGUUUAUGGCGGCUUUACUGUGGCGGAAGACUGGAUUUACGGUUGCCGACUGCUAGGGAUUAUGGUGGUGGUGUAAAUUGACGGAAAAAGAAGGUGUUUUGGUGGCGGCGCGUGUAGGAAGCACUCGUGGGUUGUCGUUUCGUGUGGUGACAGAGGGCGGCGAUCAAGGGCCGAAGUCGGUCAGUUUUUGGUCAACGAAGGCCGGCGAGUUUGUUGGUGGAGGUGGCUGGUGGAGAAAGUGGCUGAAUGGUGGUGGGUUGCUUGGUGGAGCCGCAGGUUUGGGUUGGUGAUUUGCGGCUGUUCAAGCGGCGGUUGAGGCAGCGAUGACUGAGGCUUGGUCGACGGUGGCUAGUGAGGUUUGUGGUGGUGUUGGCUGGCUGAUUGGCGGUGGUGGGCGGCGGUGGGGGUUGGUCUGACGGGUAGGGUUUUCAAAUUUGUAAUUUUUUUUUUUGAUGGAUUUGGUUUGGAUGGGUAUGGUGUAUCUAGGAAAGAUGUGUGAUUCGCACAGAAUUGCUUUGAUACCAAUUGAUGGAGCGAGCGUAGCGGAAGUGGAAUUGAUAAGGUAAGAAAUACUAAAUAUCAUUCUAGUACUGGAUCAAGCCAACACAAUUAACUUACGCUUUAAUCAAAGCGUGAUUAGAUAUUGUUUUAAUCUAAAUGAUUCAAUGAGAUUUUUAAUAACGCGUAAUACGAGAUUAGAUGACACUCUAAUUUAAAUAACUCUAUAAGAGAGAUUUUGAUAAAUAAUACUAGAGGAAAUUAUAAAAAAAAGAGUUUUAUUUAAUAAUUGAAUUUGAAGUCCUGAAAACAAUGACAAGACAUCUUUAUUUUUUUUAUUACAGACAUCUUUAUUUAUAAUAAAAGAAAUCCACUUUCCUAAGUUAACCUAAAAAGAAAAUUUAAAUUAUAAUUAUAAUGGAAAUAAAAGAUUAAGAUACAUACCAUAAUUGACUCAAACAAAAAUAGAAAACCAUAAAAUAAUAAAUAUUUUAGAAUUAUAAAUUAUCUAAAAUAACGUUAAUUAACUUCCUAAAUCACGUCUUUGGUGUAAACCAUUUUGCAUCCAACCUUGCUUUAAAGGUUUGAACCAACGUUACGAACAACAAUGUAUCAAAUUCCAAUCUAACUUAAGAUCCUGAUACAUCUACCGAUGUCCUUGUUUGAUUAGACAAUAAUGAGUCUAUCUCAUCACUUGUUACCUCUUUUUUGAAGCUGCAUCUGUUGAAGUGAUAGCCUCGCUUAGAGUUUAAAGAUCUUCUUCCAUGUUAAAUAAAGUGGGCAUUUGAUUAAAAAACUUUAUCUCUAUCUCCUUCUAUCAAAUAACGAAAACUAUCCAAAGGAAAAAAAAAAAAUUAGAAAAGUCCAUGGGUUGCAAUAAUUUAUGGUCUGUCCUCGGACCCCAUUAUCUGCCAAUAUCAAUGAUGAAAAUGAAAAUAAAUGGCAUCUUCCCAAAAUGGCGAAAGAUUUUUAGGAGAUAUGGGGAAUUGUCAAAAGUUCCCACAACGCGAAAUAAGUGUUACAUCCAAUUUUAUUUCAUCAUAUAAUGAUAAUAUCAAGUAAUGACAGCCAUCUAAAAGUAUAAUGGGUCUUCCAAAAUUUUGAAAAUGUCGUCAACAUUUAAUCUUCAAUGCUAAAGAAGAUGAAAUGCCCAAAAAUGACAUGCAGGACCCACUCACAGACUAAACGGCCCUGACCACAUGCAACAAACUUUGACUUUAUGUCCCUGCUGAGGCGUUAGACUGUUGGUCAUUUUGAUUGCUUUUUACAUUCCAUUUACGCCAUUGUAGCAUUGUACUAUUUACCAUUUUAGCUGUUUAAAUGAAUUUUUUUUUCCAAAAAUAAAAUGACACCCUUAAAAUUUUAGAAAAUAAUCAUGUAGACCCCAAAAUUUUAAUAAAGAACACCAAUACCCUUUUUGACUAUAGUACUCUUAUGGUAGCCACAAAAAAAAAAUGACUUCAAAAUUUUUUACUAAAUGUAUAUAUGAUUUAAAUAGUUUAAAUUUUCUAGUAGACUAGUAUGUAUAAUUUAAAUAAUUAAUUUUUAAAAUGUAAUUUAAUAUAUUUAUUUUAAUAAUAUAUUUAUUAUAAAAAUUUUAAACAAAUCCUUGGGUUAAAUGGAUUUUAUAAUUAAUAUAAUAUUUCUCAUGUUUUAAUAAUAUUAAAAUUAUUUUAUAUGAUAUUGAAAAUAAUUAAAAAUUUUAUAUAUUUAUUUGAAUAUUAUGUCUCUAUUUAUUAUAAUUUGGUUUAAUAGAAUACGAGAUUGUAAAAUAUUAAAAUAUUUUUAGGUAUUGAAAUUAUUUUAAUAUGUACAUAUUAUUAUAUUUAUUUUAAUAUCCUACUUAUAUUUAUUAUAAAAUAUUAAAAUUAAUUUUUUUAGUUAAUAAAUUUAAAAAAUAUUAUAAUUAAAAAAAAGAGUCUUAUUGUCUGUUAUUCACGAUAUAAGGUUCUACAAAAUUAUUUUCAAAAGGAAAAAUAAGUCUAGGGGUUUCAAUAAAUUCUAGUCCUAUUUGCCACUAUGACUAAUGAAAACGACAUUGCAAUUGACAUUACUUUUCGCAAUAUGACAAAUUUUUGGAGGGAUAUGGGAGAAUCGUCAAAUGUUCACACUACGCGGGAGUUUUGGAUGGGAUUGGGGAGGAUUGUCAAGAGUUCACACCACAAGAAACCAAUGAUAGCCAUAAUUUUGCUAUCAGAUCUUUGUUUAUUUAUUUUAUUUAUUUCAUACAUUGUUGUCUUGUUGGCAUUGUUUUGCAAAGAUAUAAAAGUAAAAUAAACUAUUAGGGUGCUGCUAAGUUAAGCUGUUGUAACUUACAAUCCCUUAAAAAAUAAUGUAAAAAAUUUAACACGUGGUGGGAUCGACAUAUGUUUGAAGAGGCUUUAAGUUACAGUAGUUGUGACAUAGCAAAAUCCAAUUAUUAGACAAUAACGCACAUUAACAAUGCAUAUAAUUUGGGUUUGAUUUUUUGAAAAAUUAUUUGAGUAUUAACUAUCCUUAAGAUAUUAAUGUGAAUAUAAUUUAAUAUUAAAUAAUCAAAAUCUGUAUAAUUAUAAUAUAUAGUUCAUACAUUGCAUGUUUAAUCAAAAUCUGAUUGCUUUUUACCUUCCAUUUACGCCCACUGUAGCAUUGUACUAUUCACCAUUUUAGCUGUUUAAAUGAAAUUUUUUUUUUUUCAAAAAUAAAAUGACACCCUUAAAAUUUUAGAAAAUAGUCAUGUAGACCCCAAAAUUUUAAUAAAGAACACCAAUACCCUUUUUGACUAUAGUACUCUUAUGGUAUUCACAAAAAAAAAAAAUGACUUCAAAAUUUUUUACUAAAUGUAAAUAUGAUUUAAAUAGUUUAAAUUUUCUAGUAGACUAGUAUGUAUAAUUUAAAUACUUAAUUUUUAAAAUGUAAUUUAAUAUAUUUAUUUUAAUAAUAUAUUUAUUAUAAAAAUUUUAAACAAAUCCUUGGGUUAAAUAGUUUUUAUAAUUAAUAUAAUAUUUCUCAUGUUUUAAUAAUAUUAAAGUUAUUUUAUAUGAUAUUGAAAAUAAUUUAAAAUUUUAUAUAUUUAUUUUAAUAUUAUGUCUCUAUUUAUUAUAAUUUGGUUUAAUAGAAUACGAGAUUGUAAACUAUUAAAUAUUUUUUGGUAUUGAAAUUAUUUUAAUAUGUAUAUAUUAUUAUAUUUAUUUUAAUAUCCUACUUAUAUUUAUUAUAAAAUAUUAAAAUUAAUUUUUUUAGUUAAUAAUUUUAAAAAAAUAUUAUAGUUAAAAAAAAGAGUCUCAUUGUCCGUUAUUCACGAUAUGAGAUUCUACAAAAUUAUUUUCAAAAGGAAAAAUAAGUCCAAGGGUUUCAACAAAUUCUAGUCCUAUCUGCCACUAUGACUAAUGGAGACGAUAUUGAAUUGACAUUGUUUUUCGCAAUAUGACAAAUUUUUGGAGGGAUAUGGGAGAAUCGUCAAGCGUUCACACCAUGCGAGAGCUUUAGGUGGGAUAUGGGAGAAUUGUCAAGAGUUCACACCAAGAGAAAUUAAUGAUAGGCCUAAUUUCGUUGUCAGUUCUUUAUUUAUUUAUUUUAUUUAUUUCAUACAUUAUUGUCUUGUUGGUAUUGUUUUGUAAAGAUAUAAAAGUACAAGUAAAAUAUUAGGGGAAGUAAAGUAAAAUAUUGGAGGUGCUGCUAAUUUACAGCUGCUGUAACUUACAGUUCCUUCAAAAAUAAUGUAAAAAAUUUAACACGUGGUGGGACCCACAUUAUGUUUGAAGAGGCCGUACAUUAUAGCAGUUGUAAAUUAGUAAAAUCCAAAUAUUAGACAAUAAUACACAUUAACAAUGCAUAUAAUUUGGGUUUGAUUUUUUAAAAAAUUAUGUGAGUAUUACCUAUCCUUAAGAUAUUAAUGAGAAUAUAUUUUAAUAAUAAAUAAUCAAAAUCUGUUUAAUCAUAAUAUGUAAUUGAUACAUUGCAUGUUAGAUUUGUUUGGAUUUUAAGUUGUUGCUAAUAAAUAUUUAUGUUGUGAAAGUCGAAUUCAAUAGCUACAAAAGCAGAGAUAACGGUAUUUUAUGUAGUUUUUAAGAAUACAAGGAUAAGACCAUAACGCAUGAGAUAAUGGUAUUUUAUAUAUAUUAAAAGACCAUAACACAUGUAUUUGAGCCAUUGAUAUUGAAGACACAUAUAGAGGAAAGAGUGCAGAUCCGGCCCUCAGUAUUGUGAAGCUUUCCUCAAGUAUUCUCAUGCACACAGACCUUAUCUGGUCAAGUUUUCUGAUUCAAUAUAAUCAAUUUCCGCGCAGUACUGACGACAGCUUCUCUGUAAAGCUCUUCAACCACAAGCAUUUCUACAAGGCAAAAGACUAGGACGUGUCAGAAUGAAUAUCAAUAAGGGAAUGUCUUAUGAAUUUAGUUUAUAUCCUAAUAUAAGACAAUCAGUAAAUAUUGGACUCAUUAGUUGCCCUUGCCUCAGACGUUUGGAUGCUAAGGGGAAAAAGGAAGUUUGAAUUAGUCAAUCUCAUUUCUAAUGGCAUUCACAGAGAACUUAUAAAACAAAAAAAUUAUAAAAAAAAAUUCAUCCAUAAAAAGCUUAGUAACGGAAAAACCGACUCUUUUAUCUGCCACUGACGAAAAAAAAACUGAAGUAUCAAAUAGAUAAAGAUUUUAAUUUUUUUCUUGGAAAAACUAAUAAUAAAUUAACAAUUGGAUAAUACUAUUAAUUAGAGAUCUUUAAUAUUAAGGUUAUCAAAGAUAGAAUGUGUAUAAAAAUUCUUAAUUAUAAGAUAAUUACUAACUAAAAAGAGGCCUAAAAAAGAAGAUUUGCUAUUAUAAGUAAUACCAAAAAUAAAAAAGGGAGACUUCCUAAUUGUUUAAUUGUUAAAAAAGAGGAUUUGCUAUUAUAGGCCUAAUUUGCCUAUAAGUAAUACCAAAAAUAAAACCGUUCCUGGAUGUAAAAAAUAAAAAUUAUUGUUAAAUUCCUGACUAAUAAGGUCAUUGAAAGUAUUCAAAGGACCUGAACUUAUAGGAAAGCCAGCCAUGAUGAACUAUACCACGUUGCAAGUGAGCUCGUAUCUUCAUCCCUUGAUCUGCCAUCGGCAUUUCUGUUCCACUCACUAUACCAUCCUUUUCAAUCGAUUUUUAUUGAUCAUAAGAGGCCAUGUGGCCCACCUUAUUUUUAUUUUGGAUCCAUAACCCAAAGCUGGCCCAAGUUCUGAUUCCAGAAUCAUUUGUCUACAAAGUGACCUCAUUCCGGCAAUUGGUUUAUGCUAAUAGCACGUGCAAUUUUCAUUUUCUUCUUUUUAUUAAUUAAUUUCAUCAUUAUUAUUUGCUUAUUAUUUUAAAUUAAUUAAUUAAAUUGUAUUAUUGAAAUUAGUCUUUCUUUUUUCUUUUCUCUUUCAAUGCACAAAGCCAAACAACCAUUCUUGCUUCAAAUACCGAAGAGCUCCUGACUACGGCUGUCAAUGCUUCUAUAUUUACGUGCUGUGCUGCAUCACUCUUAGCGAAAGCUUGAAUGAAUGAUUAAAGACAAAAGCUUAUAUAAAAGCAGAUGCCGGAGGCACUCAAAAAGCAUUUGAGAGAGAAGCUACACAGCAAAUCAUCAAACGUACUUCAAUGACUUUGAUUUUGAUUCUUUUUUUUUUCAAAAGAAGUAGAAAAGUCCAUGGAUCACGAUAACUGCUUGUCCUAUGCCGUGACCUCAUUGUCCGCUGCUAGUGUCAAAUAGAUUAAUCUUUCUAGUAGAUUAAUAUAAUUUAUAAUUUUAAUUUCAGUAUUAAUUUUUAAAAUGUUAGUUGUUAUAUUUAUUUUAAUAAUAUAUCUAUUUUUAGUAUAAAACUUUAAAUAUAUAUUUAGAUUAAAUAGAUUUAUAAUUAAUAUAAUAUAUCUCAUGUAUUAAUGAUAUUUAAAUUAUUUUAAAUAAUAUUAAGCCUAACUUAAAAUUUUAUAUAUUUAUUUUAAUAUUAUGUUUCUAUUUAUUAUAAAAUUUAGUUUAAUAUAAUAUAAGAUUGUAAAGUAUUCAAAUAUUUUUUAAAUAUUGAAAUUAUUAUAAAAUGUAUAUAUUGUUACAUUUUUAAUAUUGAAGUCAAUCUUUUUUAAGUUAAUAGAGUGAAAAGAUAUUAUAAUAAAAGGCUACGUAAUCUUUCACUUGCACAUAUUCUGUACUCUCUGGAGCAGGACGGUAGGAAAUAUGAUUACAAAUGUUAAAUUCGCCUUUCUUCACAAGUUUAUCAGCUUCGUUUGCGGCCUCUGCUGCUUGUUUACCAAGCUUGUAACAAGAAAUCAAAUUUGGGCACAACCUUUUGAAGCAGAACAUCUUAGCUCUAUCUUUAUCAUCAAUGAUUGAUUUUGCAACCCCUUCACUGAAUUCAGCAACUCUAUUUAGCCAGUCUCUGACACCCUUAUAAAUCUCAUCUCCUUGUAGAGUAGCCUCUCUAACCAGCAUUUGCACCCUUUCUCUUAUAUAUUCCAGCUCCUUCACUCAAUCUUUUAGCCCAUCUAUGUAGCUCUGGUACUCGGAACACAUAAGAUAUGUGCCACAUAAUCGGUUUGAAUAAUGCUUUUGAACCUUGUGAUACAAUGCUAGAAAAAGUAGGGAGACACCCUUCUGCAGCCAUUGCCUGUUGCUUAACAAUCUAUAUAAAUAAAUACAAGUGUCAAAGAAAGGAAUACAGAUAAAUUAAAAUGAACUAGUGGGAAAGACAGAGAAUGAAAAGACUGCAAACAAUAUUGCGAUAUUGAUCUUGAACUAACUAAUAAUUAAAUAGAGAAUUUCUUUUUCUUUCUUGAGGAUCAGAGAUUUUGCUAUUAACAAAAAGGUACUUCGAGGGUCUGAAUAAAAAACCAACCAUAAAUUAUCAAAAGCUAGUAAAAACACAGACGUAAAUAAUGAACAAUUACUUAAGCAAAACAGACCAUGAUACAAAGCAAAUCUAAUAAAAUGACAAAAAAAGAAAGAAAGAAAGAAAGAAAGAAAAUACAACAAAUAAUAUUGAAGUGUUGAUUAUGAGCCAACUGAUAUUUAAACAGAUUUUUUUAAAAUUUUUAGUCUUUUGCUAAAGGAUUAGAGUUUUUGUUAUUAAUAGAAAGGUUUUAAAGACCUGACAUUACUAGAAAAAUACUAAAUAAUGACAGAAAUUUUAUAACAUAUAUCGUUAUGUCACGAAUGUGUCAUGAAAAUAUGAUAGAUUCGUGAUAUAUAUUCAUGUCCAGAGUAUAUGACAUAUUCAUGACUUAUAACUUAACCAUCGUAAAUAAAUGAUACAUAUAAGUCAUGCUUAAGUUUUGUGAACUUAUAAGAUUGUAAAACAAUGCCGUUUAAAUUAACGACACCGUUUUGUAUAACUUAAAACCCAUUAACACUCGCAGCCAAAUUUUGGCUAAGCGUUGAAUUAAUCCCUCUCUCCACUGUAGAGAUGGCAGAAAAGCCCGCUCAGACCGGAUCCGGACUGGACCCGGUGCAUACGGUCCGGGUAAAACCCGGAUCGGAUGCAUGGAAAAAGCGGAUCCGGGCACGGGUCCGGUCACAGCACCAAGAAUCUGGAACCCGGACCCGUGCCCACUUUUUUAUUAAGUAAAAAAAAAAUAUAUAUAUAUAUAUAUAUAUAGUAGUUUUCCAAUCAGGGAUUAGUUAAAAGACAAAAUAAACACAUACUCCAAUGCAUUGUAUUUUAUCAUGUAGUGUAGUAAAAUUUAAAUUUUUUUGUCUUUUAGCUAAUCCAACUACUAUAUAUAUAUAUAUAACAACAAAAAUGCAUUUUGCUUUACCCAAUUUCCCCCAAACCCAACCGGCCAACCCUAAAUCGCAACAAGUCUCAGAAUCGCCACCUCCCUCCGUUUCUCCACCAACAACCACCACCCAUCUUCACCGAUGCAGUGUUGACGGCGCGGCCUCUUCCCCACUUACAGAAAAAUGCGCAUGCUUUUACCGAGAAAAGAAAGCUUUUAUUUUUUGUAUGACAUCUGGUCCUCCCAUCAAGCUUACCUGAGGCAGCGAGGCUGAAAGUCUCUGUUAUCAACCAUCAGGACACCAGAAAGAGUAAUUGCUCACAUCGUAAGCGCCAUGAACUAAUUUUUCCGAAAAGGAGGAAAUGAAGGUCACAAUGGAGCUCAUUUCCCGCGAUUCGAGAGCCCUACAGAGAGGUAGGACCCCUAACUCACUCCGUUUUAGUCACCUUUCAAUGGCUCCCUUAAUUUCCUAAAUCAAUAAGUGUUCUAAAAGGGCUUGAAAAAUCAAAAUGAUGCCCAACAUUAGUGCCAGGAUUAAGGAACUUUUCACUGCAAAGAAGUGAAUAGCUACGUGGAUGAAGUUAUGGGCCAUGCAGAAAUUCACACUUCACUCUCUCUUGAUUUGUACUCAAAAGUCGCCACCAACCUUCAAUUAUAUGGACUCAUGGAUUCAAUAUUUAGGCUUACAAUUGGACCUUCACAAAGCAAUUGGAGCACUCCAAGCUGCAAAAAAUGUCUCUUCUCUGUGACAUCUGCAGGUGGGCUAGAAGAAGGUUAUGCAUAGAUGGUCUAUGUGCGUGUGCUUACUAAAUGCAUACAAAAUGUAUAAGAACUGAGAUUCCUAUGUUUUUUCCUUUUUAAUUUUAAUAAUUAUGUUAGAUGUUUGCUUGGUAGUUAAGAUGUUUUGGUUUUGGACUGUUACGCUUUGUUAGAACUUAAAAGUAAACAAUUGUUUAGGCUGUAUUUUUUUUUACAGUGUUUUCACCUUUGAAAAUCCGGGUAGAGAAAACCCGGAAAAACCCGUGCCCGGAUAGUGCCGGGCAUGUACCCGGCCUGUAUAAAAAAAAUUCCGGACACGGUGCGGGUUCGGGUAGUUACGUGUGACAUCCGGGUCGGUCCCGGGCAGCCUCAAACCCAGACCCGACCCGGACUUUUGCCAUCUCUACUCCACUGGCCACUGCAACCUAAAAUAGUUUUUCACUUUAAUAACCCAAAAGCUUUCCUCUGUUUCAACUAAGCGAAAAUUUACAUAUUAAAGCCUGGCUCAAAUUCCUUUUUUCAAUCGAAAUUAAACGUAGCCACAAAACCCUAAUUCACCACACCAAUUUAUCUCUGCCCGGUAUUCAUUUAAACCCUACCUCGCGGUUCAAUGUCAUUCAAUACGAUUGCAGAUGCUGUUUCAACUUGUCAUUUAGUUAGCGCCAUCCAGUUCUCUAUGGUAAGCCUUAACCCUAACAACUAAUCGACUGCGGUAGCACGUUGCUUGUUAGGAGUGGGGAUACAUUAUUUGAAUAUAUGAAUUGGGUGAUGUUAGUGAUUCAUUCCCCUAUUUGUCGUGAAUUGAGAUUUGUGCAUAAUGCUAGUAAGAUUGCUAAAAAUUUCAUAUUUUGUAUUGUUCCAGUUGAAUUUCUUGCUUGUGGAAGAUAAAACAAAAGUUCAAUUUCAUGUUGAUUUAAUUCUUCUUUUCCUUCUUUUUAUUUUUCUUCUUUAUAGUCACGCUCUGGCUUUGGUGCUAUGCUUAGUGCAGUUUAUGGUUUCAAGAUUAAGUCAUGUUUAUUUGAUGGCAUCGAUUCCAUCGUUGAGGAUUGGAUUGUUGAUCAAAUGCACAUAGUAAGCUCUUCUUAUUUUAUCUCAAUUUUAAUUUUCUUUUAUUAUCUGCCUCUACCUGAAAAUGGACGUGUUUUACUAGUAAGCAUAGACCUUGUUUAUUUAAUUGAUAUUUUAAUUUUAUGUAUAAGAAUGGAGGUUUAUUUUGGAAAAAAAAAGAAAUAAAAAAAAUACUCUGUUGAAGCUAAUUAGUACUGAAUUUUUUUUGGUGGUGCGACCAGAGGUGGAAACAGGGUAUGAAAAUGUGUUACUGGUGAGGCUGCUGCUUAAGAUGAGAAUGCAUUCUUUUCAAAAAUCCUUGGAAGGUGUGAUCUAAUUAUAUUUGAUGGAAUAUUAAAUGGCUAAAAAUCUGUCAUACGUUCAAACUUUGUUUGUGUUUAGAAGAAUGGUGUUGACUGUAUAUUCGUUUGGAAGAAUGGUGUUGAUUGUAUAUUCAUUUGCUUAGCCUUUUGACAGAUGGAUUUGGAACUGACGAUAAAUGUGAUUCAAUUUACAAGGUUUUCGAGGGGCUCACAGUGGAAGGGAUAUUGAAGAACUGGUCGAAGUUAAAGCCUAUGAUUGUGAAAGAUUGGAGUGAGAAUAUAGAUGCUCAUUUAAAUCUUUUUGGCAAGGUCAGAGAUGAAUGGAUAGAUAAGGAUUUAUUUGACAACUUGGACUGGUGCUAAUAGGUAUUUUAAGCAAGCUUUUUGAGAUAACACUGAGCAAGUUAUACUACUAUUUUGCACAUGAUGAUCAAAACUCUCGAAAAGUAAAUAAAAUAAAGUAUUAACUUUUACUUUCAUCUUUUGCAUAGCAAUCAAUGUGGUGCUUGUUCUGUGACAACUUUGAUAAUCUACUUAAUUACUGGUUAGCAUUUGGACCAAAAAAGUUCUUAUGAUUUACAUGUUUUGUAGAAAUGCAUGAACCUUAAAUGUGCUGAUCAGGGAGUUUAAUUAUUGCACCUUGAAAUUCAUUUACUGUUAACUAAUUGGCUUUCCUUUGCAUAAAGCCGCUUAUAAGGCUUGAGUGGACGUCUUUAUGGGCAUAUUUUUUGUAUUUCUCGAUGCAUGCCUUUAUCAUUUAAUGUGGUGCUCGUAUUUCUUUAUGCAUGCCUUUAUCAUUUAAUGGCCAGCUCCCUUUCCUCUUUUGUAAUUUGAAUAGUAGUAUGGGCCUCCAUUUUACAAAUCUUUAACAUUUUUUGCUGUAAAUUAAUUUUUCUUUCAAAUAUUUUGGAGGUCAUUGGAAUUCCUGUAGGUCUAUUUACCAGAUUUUAGUAUGUUUAAGGUUAUAAUUUUGCUUAGACUUUAAUUUUUCUGAAAGAUUGUAGUAUUGAUCCUUAAAGUAAGAUCAUGCUACUUCAAAUUAUUUUGAAGUGUUGCUAGUUAUAGCCUUACAUAUCAAAUUCCAGUUGUCUGGAAAUUUAUUGAUAGCUGUUACAGCAGCAUAUUUUAUGACUCUACUUCUUAGUUAUGUAAGUUCAUUAUGUUUAGGUCAGAGGCAGUCAGCUGUGGGGAAUCGAUUUAUACACAGAUGACUUUGAUCUUGUUGCUGGUAUGUGGUUCUAUGAAUAAUUGUUCACAAUAAUUGUGUUUGCCUCACUGUUUUUGUUUUAUGAGAUCUAUAAUUGAUCUUGGGAUAUUACUUUUUAGUUCUCAUGCAGGCAAGUUACUACCUUCCCACUGCAUCUCCUCCUUUAUCUGCUACUCAAGAGUUGCGUGCCAUAAUCUGGUAUUACCUCUGCAAGAUUGUGAAUGAAUAUGAUGCCUCUAAAUUUAUUUUAUACAUAAUGCUAAUGCUGAAUAAUAUAUUGUAGCUCCUGUCAUAUUCUACUUUGACUUUUUAUAUUCCGUUUCAAAUAAAAAUCUUAUUCAACUUUAGUUGUUCAUGAGCAAAUGUCACAUGUAUAAGCCCAAAUGAUGUUUAAAGGUAGCGCCGCUACCUUCAGUUUGAGCUUACAAUGGGUGAAAAAGAAAUUGAAACUGAUAUUUUGCGGUUUUUCUUAUUUUUCAAAGUAUUUUAGAUCAUGACUUUUGUUUGGACUUGAUGGUUAUAGAUUGUGUCUAGAUUUGUUAAGUCGUUUCCAACACCUCGUGCCAAAUCAAAGCACAAUCUUUCUGAUUCAGAUGUUUUGUUAAUUGUGCUUCAUUUUUUCGUUAAAGGUUGGAUGGUUGAAUGGAUUGAUGGAGUUGGAGUUCAACCAAUAAUUCUAAUUUUUUGGACUUAAAAUGCCUUUUUCUUCUGUAUAAAAGCUUUAGUAAGUGCUAUUGAGUUGACAGAAGUUGAAUACUUACAGGUUGUUUCACACUUUUUAAUAGUUUUACAUAUAUGAAUUUCUGUUUUUUGAAUUGCAGAAAGGAGGUGGAACUAUUGAUUUGGAGCCUUAUCUUACUCACUCAUCAACAACGGAGCCUACCCUCGCUCCUAUGGCAGUGGAACGGACAAUGACUACUAGGGCUGCAACAUCAGUUGGUUCGGGUCUGUUUUGAUAGCGAAUUUUGAUAUGUCAAUAUAAUGUGUAAUUGUUUUGGGUUGAGCUGGUAAUUAUGCUGGAUUAGAUUGGUUUGGUUUUGGUGCUUCGCUGAUGGAACACUGGUUUUUUAGAAAAUUUGAAUGUAAUAUGAGACUACAUUUAGUUUAAUUGAACACUGCAUCUAGUCUAAUUACUAGAAGUGUGGCAUUUGGUUUGGUUUAUCCGAUAUUCUCCAGAAUUUCACUUGCAUCUGGUUUUGUUGCAUAUGUUUGCUUGCAUUUGAUGGCAGUAGCAGACUGUUUGGUUUUGUGGCAUUUGAUGGCAGUUUGGUCUGUUCUUGGUGCUGAUUUACGAUUGUUCCUGAUGUGUUGAUGUUAAUUGCAGGUGCUUGAAUCAGCUAGGGUUGCUGGUUUUUUCAGAUGGUUGACUCAGGCGUUGUUACUGGUUGAUUCAGGUGGCUGGCUCAAGUUGUUCAUUUAAUGUUAGGAAGCAAAUUAAGAAUUAAUGAAGUAUUCAUUUAACUAUAAUUAUUGUAGUUAUUUUAUUUCAUAACUGAAUUAUAAUCUAUGAUACUUGUGAACAAAUUAGAGAAUUUUUAUAUAUAAAUUAUAUAUAUGUGUGUGUAUGUACAUUUUGCUUUUUAUAUAAUAAUUUAAAGAAUAUAUUUCAAUUCCCACAAAAAAAUGGCCCCAAUUUCAAUAAUUCCUGCCAAAUAAUUAAUUUUUUUUAAUUUACCGCCAAAAUAUAUCUUAAAGAAAUGUUAGUUAUUCUUGCUAGAUUUAACAAAAAUAAUUUAUAGGAUUAACAUUUAAUUAAAAUAAUUAAAUAAUUUUACUAUUUCAAUUAAAUGUCAUGUUUAUAUCACAGACAAUAGUCAUGAAUGGGAAGUAUUAGUUACAUAUUUUUCCUUGUAGUUAUUUUAUUUCAUAACUGAAUUAUAAUCUAUGAUACUUGUGAACAAAUUAGAGAAUUUUUAUAUAUAAAUUAUAUAUAUGUGUGUGUAUGUACAUUUUGCUUUUUAUAUAAUAAUUUAAAGAAUAUAUUUCAAUUCCCACAAAAAAAUGGCCCCAAUUUCAAUAAUUCCCGCCAAAUAAUUAAUUUUUUUUAAUUUACCACCAAAAUAUAUCUUAAAGAAAUGUUAGUUAUUCUUGCUAGAUUUAACAAAAAUAAUUUAUAGGAUUAACAUUUAAUUAAAAUAAUUAAAUAAUUUUUCUAUUUCAAUUAAAUGUCAUGUUUAUAUGACAGACAAUAGUCAUGAAUGGGAAGUAUUAGUUCCAUAUUUUUCCUUGGGAUUUCAGGCAAAUGAAAAAAAGAUUGAGAAUGAUUUCAAGAGGACAGGUGGAUGAUAAGUAUUCAUUUUUGUAUAUUUGGCUAAUGUCCUCAUUAGUGGAUUUUUAUGGUAUUGAUUUUUUUUUUUUUGGUUUAUAAUUUUCAAUUAGUUGUUACCCUAGAGGAAGAGCAGGCUGAUCAAAUUGAUUUGUCUUAUUUUUCCGGCAAUCUGCGACACGAUGACUGUGAUAAUGCUCGUGACUGCUGGAAACUUUCUGGUGGAAAUAACUUUAGAGUUCGUAGCAAGCAUUUUUGUUAUGACAAAACAAAGGUUCCCCCAUAUUUUGGUUGUUUGUUAUGGUAUUUAUAUAUCCUGCAUAUGCUAGGUCGACAGGUUAUGAUGUAGUUUGGUUGGCUCUUGUGCUUUGUGCAAUUUGUAACUGCAGAUACCUGCGGGAAAACAUUUAAUGGAUCUUGUUGCUGUUGAUUGGUUCAAAGACACAAAGAGAAUGGACCAUGUAGCUCGGCGUCAAGGCUGUACUGCACAAGUAACUGAAGAAAAAUGUGAAUUGGUUCCUCUUUUUCUUACUUUCCAGAACAGUAUGUACAGGGAAUAUAUACAGCAAAAUAGGAGAGAAAAUAGGAGACUACAUCUAUCCUUUCCUAAAUAAUAGGAAACAAAAUCUGGAAAGAAUCCUAAUGAAUCUUCCCAUUAUAAUUUAACUUAUUCCUAAAAUAGCCUAGAUUACAAAUAAAUCAUAACUUUGAAUCUUUAUUUUCAACACUCCCCCUCAAGCUAGUGUGUGUAUAUCAUACAAACCCAGCUUGUUACUUAAGUCUUCAAAGUUAGGUCUUGGCAGUGCUUUAGUAAGGAUGUCUGCAAUUUGUUGUCUAGUUGGAAUGUACUUUAGUUCCACACUUCCACUAGUGACCUUCUUUGAGAUGAAGUGCCUAUCAAUCUCGACAUGUUUGGUUCGAUCAUGAUGCACUGGAUUUUUUGCGAUGCUGAUUGCUGCUUGAUUGUCACACCUCAUUAGAAUGGAUGAAGGGUUGCACACACCGAGUUCUUUGAGUACACGCUUUAUCCAAAUUCCUUCACAGAUUCCAUUUGCCAAAGCUCUGAACUCUGCUUCUGCACUACUCCUAGCUACAACUGAUUGUUUCUUACUCCUCCAGGUUACUAGAUUUCCCCAGACAUAGGAACAGUAAGCAGAUGUUGAUAUUCUAUUUGUGAUGUCUCCAGCCCAGUCUGCAUCAGAGUAGAUCUCAAUAUUCCUAUAUUCUGAUUUCUUGAAAAACAAUCCUUUUCCAGGUGUCAUCUUUAGAUACUUCAAAAUUCUAAAGACUGCAUCCAUGUGUUCCUCUGUAGGAUUGUGCAUGAAUUGGCUCACAGCACUAACAACAAAGCCUAUGUCCGGACGGGUAUGUGAGAGAUAAAUUAAACGACCAACCAGUCUUUGAUAUCUCUCUCUAUUGACUGGAACACUAUUCUCAACUGAGCCUAGUUUCUUGUAGGGAUCCAUAGGAGUAUCUACUGGUUUGCACCCAAUCAUACCAGUCUCCUUUAGUAAGUCCAGGGUGUAUUUCCUUUGGGAGACAACAAUUCCCUUCCUAGAUCUUGCCACCUCCAUCCCAAGAAAAUAUUUCAGAUUCCCUAGAUCUUUAACUUCGAAUUCCUGAGCUAGCUGUUUCUUCAACUUCUGCAGUUCUUCCUCAUCAUUUCCUGAGAGAAUGAUGUCAUCAACAUAUACGAUUAGGAGAGAGAUCUUCUUUGCUUGUGAUGUUCGGAGGAAUAGAGUGUGAUCUGCCUGACACUGAGUGUAACCAAGUCUCACAACUGCCUUCGCAAAUCUAUCAAACCAUGCUCGAGGGGAUUGUUUAAGCCCAUACAAAGAUUUCUUGAGCUUGCACACUUUAUUUCUAGUAAGAUUCAGAUCAAGACCCUGGGGAACUUCCAUAAACACUUCUUCUUCAAGAUCGCCAUUGAGAAAUGCAUUUUUUAUAUCUAGUUGGUAUAAGUACCAAUCUAGAUUUACUGCUAAGGAGAGCAAGAUUCUAAUGGUGUUGAGCUUCGCAACCGGAGCAAAGGUUUCAAGAUAAUCAAUCCCAUAUGACUGUGUGAACCCUUUAGCUACAAGACGAGCUUUGAGCCUCUCAACACUUCCAUCUGCCUUGUAUUUAACAGUAAAAAUCCACUUACAUCCAACUGGUCGUUUCCCUGCAGGAAGAUUUGUUAUAACCCAUGUAUCAUUUUUCUCAAGAGCAUUUAUUUCUUCAUGAACAGCUCUCUUCCACUCAGGAUGACCGAGAGCCUCUUGUAUAUUGUUGGGAACAUGUAGAUUAUCUAAAGAAGAAACAAAGGCUCGGUAUGAUGGGGACAAACCAUCAUAUGAGACAUAUUUGGCAAUUGGAUGAGUGGUGCAACUUCGAACCCCCUUUCUUUCUGCAAUUGAUUUAUUAGAAUCAUCCACACUUGGAACCAUGAACUCAACCGAGGCAAGACUAUCCAUACCUGUGUUGUCUUCAUAAGAGCUUGGAUUUGGUUCAGUUUCUUGGACAUGUGGCUGAGUUCUGUGCUCUAUCUGCUCUCCAGUUCUUCUCCUCCUAUAAACAUUAAGAUUAUCAACAGCAAGCUGUGGAAGAGGUGAGAUUAGAGGUUGUAGUUGAUGAGCUGAUGGAUGACGGGGUGACUCGGCUGGUUGUGGUUGGGAGGACUCAGAUGACUCAAAAGGUUGUGAAGAUGUUGGGAGGAUUGCUGAUUGUGGCUGUUGGAUAGAUUGAUCAUGUGUGGUGGUUGAGUUAUGAGGGUUUUCAUGAGGGGUUUCCAGCCAAGAUUGCCAAGAAGAUUCCCAAGGCUGAUGUUCGCUCAUACUCUCUCCCUGAACAACAGUUUUGGAAUAGAAAGGCAGGUUUUCAACAAAUGUUACAUCUCUGGAAAUGUAUAUUUUUCUGGUAUGAGGAGAAUAGCAUUUGUAUCCUUUUUUAUGUGGAGAAUAGCCUAAAAAUAUACACUUGAGAGAUCGGGGAUCAAGUUUAGUCCUGUGUUGAGAGUGAACAUGGACAUAUGCUGUGCAACCGAAUAUUUUUUGUGGUAAAUCUGCUGAAACAAUCCUAGUGUGUGGAAAGAAAUUGAGAAGAACUUUUCUUGGGCAAUGAAACCCCAAGACUCUAGAAGGCAUUCGGUUGAUUAAGUAGGCUGUAGUGAGAACAGCUUCACCCCAGAAAAAAUUAGGAACAUGAGAUGAGAACAAAAGACAGCGAGCCACUUCAAGAAGGUGUCUGUUUUUGCGUUCAGCGACCCCAUUUUGUUGUGGGGUGUCAACACAAGAACUGAUGUGAAGAAUGCCUUGAUGGAGAAGAUAUGAGCUGAGGGAGUCUUUGAAAUAUUCCUUGGCAUUGUCGGUUUUAAGGACUUGGAUUUUGGUAUUGAAUUGGGUUUGAAUCAUGGCGUUAAAGUUUUGGAAGAUUUGACUAACUUCGGAUUUGUUUUUCAUGAGAAACACCCAAGUGAGACGAGUAUGAUCAUCCACAAAUGACAAAAACCAGCGAGCCCCAGAAACAUUUUUAAUUCUUGAGGGACCCCACACAUCAUUGUGAAUUAAAGCAAAUGGACGAGAAGGCUUAUACUUAACGCUUGAAUAAACAUUUCGAGUAUGUUUUGCAAAUUGACAAAUUUCACAAUGAAAUGAUAAAGGGUUUUUAUUGAUGAAUAGAUUGGGAAAAAUUUUUGCGAGAUACAUGAAACUAGGAUGACCUAAUCGAUAGUGUAACAGAACAAUUUCACUAUCGUUAUUGACAUUUGGACUAACAAUAGAAUGAGGAUAACUAGUUGACAGACUAUUGGACUUGGCACAGUUUGCUCUCGAAUCUUGUAUGAAGGAGGAUUGAUCGCUUUUGAGUAGAUAGAGUCCAGAACAUAGCUCAGCACUGCCAAUCGUCUUCGCGAAUCCAAGUCCUGAAAAACACACAUAUUUGGAUAGAAUUUAGUUACACAAUUCUGAUCACGAGUGAAUUUACUGAUUGAAAGUAAAUUGCAAGCCAAAUUAGGCACAUAAAGUACAGAAUUAAGGUGUAACUCCUUAGUGAGUCUGAUGGAACCUGUCCCUGCUAUAUUGUGUGAGAGCCAUCUGCGAUCCGGACUGAAGUGCUGUUGAUGCUAGCUUUAUAAUCCUGCAACAUUGAGGCAUCUCCAGUCAUGUGAUCAGAAGCACCAGUGUCAAUUAUCCAGGGUUUGCUUGCUCCAUUAGUGGCUGCAAAUGCUGAAUGAGUCUCUUUCUAAGCCACUAGACUUGUCCCUGCAUUGGAGUUCAAAGUGGCUUGAUCGAAAAGCUUUUGAAGAAUCUCCAUUUGCUCCUUGCUGAAUGGAUUUGGCUCGGGUAGGGCCUGAUUGUCCGUGGUGGAUGCUGCAUGAGCACGAGAUUCACGGUCACCUUUGGAACGAGGUUUCCAAUCAGCAGGUUUGCCAUAAAUUUUCCAGCAACUCUCCUUAUAGUGGCCUGCCUUACGACAGUGAUCGCACCAUGGUCUUUCUUUCUUUGUACGAUUUUCACUAACCCCUACAGAGUUGGAUGCACGGGCAACAAGUGCAGAGGCGCCCAGUGUUGGUUCUGAUGACCCCAUCAUCACCUUUUUCCUACUUUCUUCAUGCCUAACUUCAGAAAAGGCUUCACGAGGGCGCGGUAGAGGCUUUGUCCCGAGUACACGGCUCCUAACCUGAUCAAGAUCUUUAUUGAGUCCGAGGAGAAAUUUAAACGUUCUCUUCUGUUCCACAAUCUUCUUGUACAAGGUUGUAUCGUCGGUGCACUUCCAAGGGUAUGUUUCAAAUAGAUCAAGGUGUUGCCAAUGCCUAGUCAGAGUAUUAAAGUAUUGAGUGACAGAUUGUUCUCCUUGGCGGAAGUCAUGGAGGAUGGUUUCAAUCUGGAAUAACUCUGAUGUGUUCUCAGAGCUAGAAUAGGUUUCCUUUGCAGCAUCCCAUAUGUCAUUUGCAGUCCCAAACAGAAGAAAAUUCUCACCAAUAUCAUUGUUCAUGGAAUUGAUAAGCCAUGACAUGAUCAUGUUGUUCUCUGACUNNNNNNNNNNNNNNNNNNNNNNNNNNNNNNNNNNNNNNNNNNNNNNNNNNNNNNNNNNNNNNNNNNNNNNNNNNNNNNNNNNNNNNNNNNNNNNNNNNNNNNNNNNNNNNNNNNNNNNNNNNNNNNNNNNNNNNNNNNNNNNNNNNNNNNNNNNNNNNNNNNNNNNNNNNNNNNNNNNNNNNNNNNNNNNNNNNNNNNNNNNCACGUAACAGAGGUUGAUGAGGAAGCCAUCCCGUAUUUUGCCACAGAGAAUACAACUGAUGGGAGAGGAAGGAAGGUAGAUUGUUCAAUUUAUGAGAGAAGAAGGAAAUGGCGGCUGAUAGGAGAACUAGGGUUUAGAGCCAGGCUCUGAUACCAUGAAGAAAAAUGUGAAUUGGUUCCUCUUUUUCUUACUUUCCAGAACAGUAUGUACAGGGAAUAUAUACAGCAAAAUAGGAGAGAAAAUAGGAGACUACAUCUAUCCUUUCCUAAAUAAUAGGAAACAAAAUCUGGAAAGAAUCCUAAUGAAUCUUCCUAUUAUAAUUUAACUUAUUCCGAAAAUAGCCUAGAUUACAAAUAAAUCAUAACUUUGAAUCUUUAUUUUCAACAGUAACUAUUCUUUUCUUUUUAUUUUUCCUUUUCUGAAAGAAACUUAGUUUUGUAUUGUUUGGCAAGCUAGAAAAUGAAAGAAAAUAAAAGAAAGCGCUGUAAAGAAGUUUGUAGAACCUUUAUUACUCUAGCAUUACAACUGAAUGAAUACAGACUGAUAUUUCUAUUAAGCUACAAUUUUCUCAACACACACACAAGUUUGUUACAUCACAUAACCAUUUGCUGCAUAACUAAUUUGACACAUCAGCUCAACCAGCUAACUAACUUUGCCAGGUCAAGCCUAGUGAGUUGAUCUGCUAAAGUCAGCUACACAGCAACAUCAUGCUCUGCUCCAACUUCAUUCAAUUCACUAACAUCCCCCCUCAAGCUGAAAUGUUUAGGAUGAACAUUCAGCUUGCUUCUUAAGUAACUAAACUGUUUGAGAGUAAGCCUUAGUCAACACAUCUGCUGUUUGAUCUUGACUGGGCACAAAACAUACUUCAAUCUCUUUUGCAGUAACUUUAUCUCGAAUAAAAUGUAUAUCCAAUUCGACAUGCUUAGUUUUAGCAUGAUAGACUGGAUUGUAAGCUAAAGCAAUUGCUUCUUGAUUAUCACACCACAUCAUAGGAGUAGAGCUCAAUUUGAUGUUAAGUUCACCAAGUAAAGAUUGUAUCCAGGGAACCUCUGAAGCAGCAUGAGCAAGAGAUCUAUACUCAGCCUCUGUGCUGGACCUGGAAACAACAACUUGUUUCUUUGAUGACCAUGAGACUAGAUUAGGGCCUAGGUAAACAGCAAAGCCAGCCACUGACUUCUUAUCAUCACGAUCACAAGCCCAAUCAGAAUUUGAAAAACAAUGUAGUUGCAAAGUUCCUUUGUUAUUAAAUUGCAGCCCAAGAUGUAUAGUGCCUUUUAAGUACCUCAAUAACCUUUUGCAUGUUUCCCAAUGUUGUGUUCUAGGACUUGAAAUGAAUUGACUUAGGUUGUUUACAGAGAGAGCAAUGUCAGGUCUGGUAAGAGUAACAUAUUGAAGAGCUCCUAUAACACUCCUAUAUUGAGAAACAUUAUCAAUUAGCUCUCCUGAUUCUUUUGUGAGAUAAUAACCAGUAGACAUUGGAGUAGGCACAGGACUGCAAUCUGUCAUGCCAUGUUUAUCCAGAAUGUCAGUAAUAUACUUUGCUUGUGUCAAGGAAACCCCUUGUGAAGACUUGCUGACUUCAAUCCCCAGAAAAUAGCUAAGUUCCCCCAUGUCUUUUAAAGCAAAGGCUUGAUUCAUAAUCUUAAUAACUUGCUGAAUUAGUGUUGGACUGGAACUAGUGAUGAUAAUAUCAUCAACAUAGACCGAAACAAGAGUUAGAUGACCACUGUUCCAGGCAUGAAACAGAGAGUUAUCAGACCUUGAAUGCUAGAAAUGCCGUUUAGAGAUCAUUGCAUCCUUGAAUCUAUCAAACCAGGCUCUAGGUGCCUGUUUUAAGCCAUACAAAGCUUUAUUCAGCUUGCAGAUAUGAUUAGGUUUAGUUGAGUCAACAAAACCUUCAGGUUGAGCCAUGUACACCUCUUCAAUUAAAAUGCCAUUUAGAAAGGCAUUAUUAACAUCUACUUGCCUAAUCACCCAUUGAUUCAAUACUGCUAAGCUAAGAAUAACUCUAACAGUUGAAGCUUUAACUACUGGACUAAAAGUUUCUGUAUGGUCAAUCCCAUGUGUCUGAUGAAACCCCUUUGCAACAAGCCUGACUUUAUAUCUUGAAACUGAACCAUCUGAGUUAUACUUUAUUCGAAACACCCAUUUGCUGCCAACUAUCUUCACUGGAGUAGCAUGUAAAACUAAAUCCCAGGUGUGAUUAGUUUUAAGUGCUAGAUACUUUUCUUGCAUAGCCUUAUACCACAUAGGAUCAGAAAGUGCUUGGGAAACAGAAGUUGGUUCUGAUUUCUGGGCUAAUAAAGCUGACAAAUAAAUUUUUGGCUUGAAAAUACCUGCUUUUGACCUGGUUAUCAUUGGAUGACCAGUUGAUGCAGGUUGUGGCAAUGUAUGUGGAGGUGAAUUAUGUGGUAGUGAAGAAGAAGAAGCUGAGUUGGAAUUAUCAGAAAAAUAAAGUGGAGUAGAAUUUGGUGAGGGAGUAGGAGCAUCUGAAUGAUGAACAUUUUGAUGGUGUUCUGAUGAUGCUGCUAAAGGUGCUUGUAACUGAGUAAUAGAAGGAACAGAGGAAUUGAAAGAAGACUUAUAAUUUUUUGUUGACUAACAACUUGAAGAGAGUGAAGAAAAAUCUGCUCCAGACUCAUAAGGAAAAGAAUUUUCAUCAAAGGUGACAUGAUUUGAAAUGUAAACCCUCUUAGAAGAGUGAAGACACUGAUAUCCCUUGUGUUGUGAAUUGUAGCCAAUGAAUAUACAUCUGGCAGUUCUGAAAUCAAACUUAUGUCUAUUGUAUGGUCUGAGUGUUGGAUAACAAGCACAACCGAAGGUUUUAAGUGUUGAAUAAUCUGGUUGAUGAUGAAAUAACUUUUGGAAAGGAGAAAUGUUGUUUAGAAUUGGAGUUGGAAGUCUGUUUAUCAAAUAGACAGCUGUGUGGAAUGCAUUCCACCAAAAUUUGAGUGGUAAAUGUGCUUGAGCUAAUAAGGUCAGACCUACAUCAACUAUGUGUCUAUGUUUCCUCUCAAUUCUUCCAUUUUGAUGAUGAAUAUGUGGGCAAGGGUGUCUAAAAUGGAUACCAGAAGCAGUGAGUAAUGAGGAAAAUGUUCUGAACUCUUCUCCCCAAUCAGUUUGGACAGUUUUGAUUUGAAGUUGAAGAUGCUUUUCAAUAAAAAUUUUGAAAUUGGUAAACACUUCAAGAGCAUCAGAUUUGGCUGACAAUGGAAAUAUCCAGGUAAAUCUACUAUAAUCAUCUAAGAUUGAUAAGUAGUAAUUAUAUCCUUGGGUAGAACAGACAUGAGAAGGACCCUGAUGGCUGUCGAAGCCAACAAAAAUAAAUUCCUACUCUAAAUAAAUUGUGUAUAGUGAUUGAGCAGGGUCGUGUCCACAGAGAUCGAUAAUUAUUUAAAUCCUUUUGAAACGUAAAACGUAAAAUGGGGGAAUUGUUGACAAUAAUAAAAAUCAAAUUAAAAAUAACAAGAAUGCAAAUUAAAGUUGUAAUUUAAAUUGGAGAAAGCUCUGGUUGAAGGAAUUAACUCAGCUUGAUUCGACUACUGAUCAUUGAUUCAAAUAUAGAUUAUUAUUACUCAUGAAUAGACCGGUUAUAGCUACUGAGACCCUCUAAUAGCCAAUCUCUCCUUAACUAGUCGAUAACCAAGGUACGACCGUUGGUUAUUUCCCUAAUCAAUAGACAACCCUAGAUACGAUCAUAGAAUUUAAUCAAUUGACAGCCUGAAAAACCAGAGAGACCCAAAUCCUAAUCAACACAUAUGAUGAUUCAUUUAAAUUAGAUUGUUUAUUCUCACAACACAACUCUCUGCUAUGUUAUUAGUCACAAGCAUUAAAUUCUUCAUACGAUGAAUCCUUUAAUUGACAAUAGAUUAAGUUGAUAAUUAAAUAGUGGCCAAUUACCUAAUUAACAAACAUAAUCAUGAAAAUAAUUCAGAGAAUAAACAAAUACCCAAAAAGUAAUAAAACAAUUAAAGCACAAGAAAGAUCUCACAGUAGUGAUGAAUCAAAGCUUCAUUAACCUUCAACCAGAAAAAUGGGUUUAGUUUCUCAUAGAGAGAAGAGAAAAAUUAGAUCUAGGGUUUCUUUUUCUCCAAUCCAAAAUUCCCCCCUUUCACAAUAGAUUCCUCCCUUAAAUACUCUCUCUCUCUUCUCCUCUAGAAUUCUAUUUAAAAUAAAAUACUAAUAUCUGAAAUAUUAAAUUCGUAAUUACAAAAAUAACCAAAAAUACAAAACACGUUAAACUAAAAACUGCAGGUCCGCAGUUGACAGCACGCGCCCACGCCUUAUCAAUAAAGUUCUUCUGCCGCUCAUAAUUUCUCCAAGAGAACAAUCAUCCUUAAAAAUCAUCUUGUAGCUCAAUUUUAUCACCAAUCAAUAGAAUUGCACCUACAAAAGUAAAACACAAGUAAAUCAUUAUUAUUAAGUGCAAAACAUCGAUAUUAAGGGAAGUAAACAAUGCAAAACUAGUGCAUAAAUUGCACUCUAACAAAUUCCCCCACACCAAGAUGAUGCUUGUCCUCAAGCAUAUAACUCAAGAUUAAUCCCAAAUCUCCACUCAAUUCUCAUCUCAACUCAUCCAAAAAUAGAAAUUAAGUCGAUCAACAUUCGAGAGACAAGGAUUUUAAAGCAUAGAAUCUCAUAAGAUAGAAUAAGAACAUUCAACCACCAAGAAGAUCCAUUCAAAAUUCAAGUGCAACAAGAUGUAAUAGCCCUCUCAAUAACUUCACUCCAUGCACUCAAAGUGUUUAGGGUGUCAUUUAUCCACUCAAAUCAAAUCAAAGAAUGCUAUUACCAUAAGCUUGCUCAUAUAUCACAUCUCAAUCCACAAAACAUGAAUAAAAUGCAAAAAUCUAAGGGUCUUAAAAGGAUUGUAAUGGGGUUAAAUGGGUUAAAUGAAAAAGAAAGGUUUACGAAAGAAAAAGAGAUCAAAAUGAGAAGAAUGAACUCAUUGAAUGAACUUAUGAUAUCAAAAUGCUUAUUUCUACUCAAGUCACCAAGAAUGUAAACAUUUUUUUUUUCGAUUUUUCUUUUUCUUUUUUUUUCUUUUUCCUUUUCUUUUUCUUUUUUUUUUUCAUUUUUUCAUUUUUUUUUGUUUUUUGUUUUUUGUUUUUUUCGAAUCAAACAAAAGAAACGAACCUUGCACAAUUUAAUUCAAGCAUAAUGCUUGUUGAUCUAAUUGAGAAACUUCAAUACAAGGUAGAAAAAGCAACAAAAUAUAUCCACACAAUGAGUCCAAAAAUCUCCUUAAAUUGAGGCUCAAAAAGAAGAAAAAUGGUUAAGUAGACGGAGAGAAUUAGAUGGGUAAUGGUUAAGGCUCAAACAAAGGUAGCAAAUAAAGGUCUUCGGGUAGAGAAAAAGGAAAAUGCGAGAAUAGAAAAAUGGUAAAUGGUUUGCCCUUAUCAUUUUAAUGCCUAAAAUCCCGUAAUGUGGCUUCAAUAUGCAUAACAAAGCAAAUUCUAGAAUAAACAAACUAGGAUUGAUAUUCACAUAACAAAAAUAAUUAGAGCAAAGUGGUUGCUCAUAGGCUCAAAUCCUCACAAAGUUGGUAAAUUUGCCAUCAAAUCAUGUACACUCUUCAAAUGAAUCAACCAUCAAUAGUGGUGUAGAAUGAGAAGAAGGUAUGAGUGAUAUAUAAAAGAAAAGGUAAAAAUUAUAAGAAGUGAGAAAGAUGUAUGUAGUAAUAUGAAAAGUGAAAGAUAAAAUGUGAGUGAUGAAAGAGUAUGGUAAAAUAAAAAUAGAUAUGAAUAGUUUGAGAUAGAUGGGAAAAAAGUAGUGAGAAAGAAAAGAAAAGAAAAUUAAUAAUAUAUGAAGCAUACUAACUCCAAAAUCAUUUAAGGAUGAGUAGAGUGAAAAUAGAUGAGUAGAGUGAAAAUAAUAAUUCCAGACAUCAAUAAUGCAAAAAUCCCUCCCCCACACCAAGAACUUACAUUGUCCCCAAUGUAAGAUAAUCAAAGCUCACAUAAAAAUUAAAGCGUAAGGAUAAAAGAUUAAGGGCAAAAAAAAAAACUUCCCUGAAUUGUGAGCUUUGAUCCACAUAACGUCUAUGGGCUUGGCGGAAAUGGUGGGGUAAAUCCCACACUCUCGAAGUAUGCGGCCAAAUUCUGCUCCAUCUUGUUCAGCUUGUGCUCCAUUUUCUCUAACUGAAUACUCAAAGGUGGUGCGGAUGUAGAAGGAAUAGUUGGCGGGGCAGCAGUGUCGUCGUCAAACUCGUCAUCAGAGGUAGCACCACUCCUAGCAUAAAGCUUCUUCGGAAGUUGAGUGGGUCCUGGUUCAGUAAACUGAAAUCUCCCCUCCUUGAAUUCAACCACACCUGUUCUUUCAAACACAGACAUAUCCAAAAAUUCCUUUUUGCAAGCAGGAUGCAAAUCAUUAUUGUCGGGAUCAAGAACACAUAGGUUUAUAGCUAACAGAGUAAUGUAUGGACCAAGAAAUAAAGUCCUAUACCGUUUAAGCACAUUUUGAAAUUGAUCCGCUAACCAAAAACCUAAAUUAGGCCUCACAUCAUUUAACAUGCACCAGAUAAAAUAAAAUUCAGUUUUAGAGAAAAUUCCCGAGUGAUCUUUCUUGCCUAAAAAAUUAUAUGCUAAGAAUCGAUGCACACAUUUCAAAACAGGAUCACGUAAGAAAGAACUCUUUGAUUUACUCGGGUCAUAGGCAUUGUGAUCAACAGAUAAAUUACGCCAAAGACCAUAAGGCUCAAAAUUUUCGCUAAAGUCACAAGUUGUUCCUAAAUAUGCAUCACUAGAAGAAUAAUCAUCAUCAAUGAAUCCUAAAGCUAGGUUAAAAUCCGUGAUAGAGUGUGAAAAAUUUCGUCUCAUUAACCUAAACUUAAUGACAUUCGGGGUAUGCAAAGUAAAAUCAUUCGGCAUAGUAAAUUGAAAAGUAGCAUAAAACUCCCUAAUCAACUCAACAUAACCCAAACAAUCAACAUCAACAAAUUUACGCAACCCAAUCUUAUCUAUCAAAGAAUCAAAAUUAUCCUUAACAUUCAAUUUUUCAAGAGUCGGGUAAUGAAUAUACUUAGCUGGAAGUAUUUUGCAAGUGGAAAUAUCUUUGUACCUCUCUUUCUCUUGUUGAGUCGCGAACGCGAGGCACCCUCCGAGAUUGGAUUCCGCAAGUGGCAAAACACUCAUGCCUUUUCCAUGCUUCGAUCUUUGUCUCACGGCUUUGCGUGAAUCUGAAAUUGUGUUCCAUGGAACCGUAGUGGGAGCGGCAAUCUUAGAUUUCUUUACGACGGGUUUCUUUUUCGAUGACUUGGAAGUAGAUGCUUUCCUCUUCGGCAUUGUUACAAUAAUUGCACUCACGGAUUUCGAUUUACCCGGCUGGAAUACAUGACGUAGGCUGGUUGCGUUGCGUUGCUGCUCGACUGGAGCUUGCUGUGCGGGUUGGAGCUGGUUGCGCACUGCUGGGCUGCGAGACACGGGAUGCUGGUGCUGCGCUCGCGGGGGCUUGCGUUGCGAGCUGGUGAUUCGCGUUGCUGGUUCGUGCUGCGUUGCGGGGCUGCUGGUGGGACUGAUGUUGCGCGUUGCGGCUGGGGCUGGAUCUACGCACUGCUGUGUGAUUCGCGAGAGCCGGUUCGUCUGCGUUGCUGUGCUGCACUGAGGUUGAUUCGCGUUGCUGCUGGUUGCGGUGCGCGAUGCUGCGCCCGGCGGCUGGGGCUGGUGGGGCUUGCUGCUGGAAAACGAUAAUCAACAGUAAUUUUUUUGAAUUAGGGAUUUGUGAACAGUGAUUUUCGAAUUUUUUUUUUUUUUUUUUUUAGUGAUGAAUCACUUUGAGACACUAAAAAUUUCAGAAGUACUUUUUUAAUAAGCACGUGGGCACGCCUUAUCAAAAAUUUUCUUCUGGCCAAAAUAAGCAAACACAUUAUUUUAAAAAAAAAUCUGAAUCAAAAUUAAAAGAAGAUAUAACAAAAACCAAAAUAAAUAAAUCAUUUGGGUUGCCUCCCAAAAAGCGCCUUUGUUUUAUGUCUUUGGCUAGACACGUUUAUGCAUCAAUCUCCAUAAUUGGGACUCUCGAGAGCCACAUCCUCCACAAUAUUCACCGAAAAACCUUCAUAAAAAGGUUUUAAGCGAUGACCAUUAACCUUAAAAACUUUGUCAGAGGUCGGACUCCGAAUCUCAACUGCACCAUGAGGAAAAACAUUAGUAACAAUAAAAGGUCCAACCCAGCAAGAACGUAAUUUACCCGGAAAAAGUUUAAGCUUAGAAUGAAAAAGAAGAACUUUUUGACCAACAGAGAACUCCUUUCUCAAAAUCAUUCUAUCAUGAAAUGUCUUCGUCUUUUCCUUGUAAAAAAUUUCCUGCGCUAUAGGGUUAAUAACAUCCACAGAAAAUACCGAAUGUUCCUCACUAGGAUAUUUCAUGGUAUCAUUCAUAUUGAAUCCUAUAACCUCUCCAUCAAACUCCAUAGUGAGAGUCCCUUUAUGUACAUCCAUUUUAGUCAUAGCAGUCUUAAGAAAAGGUCUUCCUAGCAAAAUUGGGACAGAAUUAGAGGAGUUAUCAUCUUCCAUAUCAAGUACAUAAAAAUCAGCAGGAAAAACCAACUCAUUAACUUGUACUAAGACAUCUUCUAAUACCCCAUCAGGAUAUGCAUUAGACCUAUCAGCUAGUUGAAUUAUCACGCCAGUUUCUUUUAAUGGACCAACAUUCAAAGAUGAAUAAAUGGAACGAGGCAUGACAUUAAUAGAAGCUCCUAGAUCUAACAUAGCCUUUUCAACUCUAACACUACCAAUUUUACAAGGGAUAGUAAACAUACCUGGAUCCUUGCACUUAGGAGGUAGUUUCUUUUGGAAAAUUGCUGAAACAUUCUCCCCCAUGUGAACUUUUUCAUCUCCUCUUAAUUUUCUUUUGGAGGUGCACAGUUCCUUAAGGACUUUAGCAUAUCGAGGUAUUUGUUUUAUAGCAUCUAAUAAAGGAAUAUUUACCUCAACCUUGCGAAAUGUCUCAAGGAUGUCUUUCUCUUGUUCUUCCUUCUUGGAUUUUGCAAACCGGCUUGGAAAAGGAGGAGGUAUCACAAUAGGUAGGGGUUUCGCUCCGGUGGGUUGUGCAUCUUGAGAUUGAGGCAUCAAUUCAUUCUUCUCAAGCUCAUCUUCUACAUGCUCUGUCACUUUCUUACUAGGCUCUUGCAACUCCUUCCCACUUCUAAGGAUGAUAGCACUAACGUUUUGCUUUGGAUUCACCUCAGAUUAUGAAGGCAAUCUUCCUAAUACUCGAGACUCCAGAUGGCUUACUGUAGUCGCCAAUUGACUCAUUUGGUUCUCCAAGUUCUGAAUGCUUGCUGUAGUUGCCUGCUGAAAUUGUUGAGUGUUAGUCGCAAGUGAUUUAACAAUUUCUUCAAGAGAUAUACCUGACUUGGAGUUUGACUGUGGAGGUGCUGGUUGUCUUGGUGGAUACUGUUGUGGGAAUCCUGACGGUUUAACUCCAUAGCUGAAGUUGGGAUGAUCCUUCCAUCCCAGAUUGUAUGUUUGUGCAUAAGGAUCAUACCUCCUCUGAGGCAUGCCUGGAAAUCCUCCAACUGCAUUGGCUUGUUCAACGAGUUCUUCUUGGAGUGUAGGACACAUAUAAGUUGAAUGACCCAUAUUGUAACAAAUGCCACAAGUCUUCACCUGUUGCACAUUACCUACAACAAACUUUUCCACAAGAGAAGUAAGUUUAUCUAAACGUUGUUCAACAAAAGAAAUAUUUACCUCAUUCACCUUCCUUGAAGUGGGAUCUUGCCUGCUACUAAAUUGUUGUGCAUUGGCAGCCAUAUUUGAGAUCAACUCCCUUGCUUGAGUAGGGGUUUUGUUCACCAACACACCUCCACUAGCAGCAUCUAUCAUACUUCUAUCCAUUAAUGAUAGUCCUUCGUAAAAAUAUUAAAUAAGAAGUUGAUCAGAAAUCUGAUGCUAAGGACAGCUGGCACACAAUUGUUUGAAUCGCUCCCAAUACUCAUACAAAGUCUCCCCAGGAAGUUGUCUGAUCCCACAAAUAUCUUUUCUGAUGUUGGCAGCUCUUGAAGUAGGAAAGUACUUCUCAAGGAACUGCUUUUUCAAACCAUUCCACGUUGUAAUUGAUCCAGGAGGCAAGUAGUACAACCAAUCUUUAGCUAGCCCAUCUACAGAGAAUGGAAAAGCACGCAACUUAAUCUGCUCUUCAGUCACGCCUUGUGGCCUCAUACUUGAGCACACAACAUGAAACUCCUUGAGAUGUUUAUGAGGAUCUUCACCUGCAAAACCAUGAAACUUGGGUAAUAAAUGAAUAAGCCCAGACUUUAAUUCAAAAUUUACCUCCAAGUCUACAUAUUGAAUGCAGAGUGGUUGUUGAUUCAAGUCUGGUUCAGCUAACUCUCUAAGAGUUCUUUCUACAGGUGCAGGUCUAUCCAUCACUUGUUCUUCUGAAUCGCUAGAUGAUUCAACUAAAUCAGGCACUGUAUCUGUUUCAGAAAGCAAAGGCGACGAGGAUCGUUGCUUAGCUCGCUUUGUCUGCUGUCUCAGUUGGCGAGCUGUCUUCUCAAUUUUAGGAUCAAACGAAAGUGUACCUGUACGAGAAGAACGAACCAUACACCAAGUAAAACGUAAAAAAGAUUAAAUAAAUGACACCAAUCCCCGGCAAUGGCGCCAAAAUUUGAUGGGUGUCGAAGCCAACAAAAAUAAAUUCCUACUCUAAAUAAAUUGUGUAUAGUGAUUGAGCAGGGUCGUGUCCACAGAGAUCAGUAAUUAUUUAAAUCCUUUUGAAACGUAAAACGUAAAAUGGGGGAAUAGUUGACAAUAAUAAAAAUCAAAUUAAAAAUAACAAGAAUGCAAAUUAAAGUUGUAAUUUAAAUUGGAGAAAGCUCUGGUUGAAGGAAUUAACUCAGCUUGAUUCGACUACUGAUCAUUGAUUCAAAUAUAGAUUAUUAUUACUCAUGAAUAGACCGGUUAUAGCUACUGAGACCCUCUAAUAGCCAAUCUCUCCUUAACUAGUCGAUAACCAAGGUACGACCGUUAGUUAUUUCCCUAAUCAAUAGACAACCCUAGAUACGAUCAUAGAAUUUAAUCAAUUGACAGCCUGAAAAACCAGAGAGACCCAAAUCCUAAUCAACACAUAUGAUGAUUCAUUUAAAUUAGAUUGUUUAUUCUCACAACACAACUCUCUGCUAUGUUAUUAGUCACAAGCAUUAAAUUCUUCAUACGAUGAAUCCUUUAAUUGACAAUAGAUUAAGUUGAUAAUUAAAUAGUGGCCAAUUACCUAAUUAACAAACAUAAUCAUGAAAAUAAUUCAGAGAAUAAACAAAUACCCAAAAAGUAAUAAAACAAUUAAAGCACAAGAAAGAUCUCACAGUAGUGAUGAAUCAAAGCUUCAUUAACCUUCAACCAGAAAAAUGGGUUUAGUUCCUAAUAGAGAGAAGAGAAAAAUUAGAUCUAGGGUUUCUUUUUCUCCAAUCCAAAAUUCCCCCCUUUCACAAUAGAUUCCUCCCUUAAAUACUCUCUCUCUUCUCCUCUAGAAUUCUAUUUAAAAUAAAAUACUAAUAUCUGAAAUAUUAAAUUCGUAAUUACAAAAAUAACCAAAAAUACAAAACACGUUAAACUAAAAACUGCAGGUCCGCAGUUGACAGCACACACCCACGCCUUAUCAAUAAAGUUCUUCUGCCACUCAUAAUUUCUCCAAGAGAACAAUCAUCCUUAAAAAUCAUCUUGUAGCUCAAUUUUAUCACCAAUCAAUAGAAUUGCACUUACAAAAGUAAAUCAUUAUUAUUAAGUGCAAAACAUCGAUAUUAAGGGAAGUAAACAAUGCAAAACUAGUGCAUAAAUUGCACUCUAACAGACCCCAAAGAUCUGCAUAUAUCACUUGUAAGGGUGCUGAAGUUUUUGUUUCAACUGAAUCAAAAUGCAGCAUAUGAUUUUUCCCAUAUUGACAUGCUGAACAAAAUUUCAAGCUUUCAAUUUUAUUAUAAGCAGUAGAGUUGUUACAAGUUUUGAGUAUAGUUUUGAGAGUAUAAGAUGCUGGGUGUCCUAAUCUUCUAUGAAGAAGAUUUACAUCAAUAGAACUCUUUGUAACAACUGACAGACAUGGCUUUUUAUUCAAUUCAUAAGAACUAACAGCAGUGAGCUGAUCAGAAUUGAAAACAGGAGAACAAGCAAAGAGAGUGAAUUUUAUUUUGACCAACUGAAUUGAGAAAGACUGAAUGAGCAGCAACAUGUGAAGAGACUCUAUACAAGUCACCUUUAGCAACACCUUCAAGUAAAAUUUUCCUUGUGUUCCUAGCCUUUAUAAAAAACAAAUCACCAAGAAAUUCCAACAGUAACUGGAUUGUCAGCCAAUAAUUUUGAAAUGCUAAGCAAAUUCUUAGUAAUAAAAGGGACAUGAAGAACAUGGUUUUUAAAGGUUUAGAAGUUGAAGUAUUUAGCACAACUGAUCCUACAUGUGUAAUAGCUAAUGCAUUUCCAUCUCCAACAAACAAUUUUUCAGUACUAGUAUAAAUUUGUGAAUCCAGAAGUUUACCUAGAUCAUUUGUAAUGUGAUUUGUUGCUCCACUAUCAAUAUACCAUGAAGGAUCUUCAAUGUGUUCUGGUGGAAGUGAAGAAGGCAUAGCUGAGGAAGAUGAAGCACUUGACUGUCCAGGAUUAUUAUUUCCUUGACCAGAAACAAAAGUAGAUGGUCUAGGGGUGAAUGAGUAAUAAGCAGAAGGAUUACUAUCUGGAUACACCAUAUUUCCUUGAUAGCCAAAACCAGCAUUUAAACCAAAACCUCCAAAACCUCUGCCACCAUUACCAUUAAAAGCUCUUCCUCUACCAUAUUGCCCUUGAUUAAAACCUCUGCCACCAUUCAUAUUACCUCUGCCAUAGUUUCUCUGUGGAACAAAAGAUGAAUUGUACCUAUUUUUGCAUCUAUUGGCUGCAUGACCAGGUAUGAAGCAGAUUUGACAAACAGUUUCAGAGGAAUUACCACCAUUAUUAAACUGACCAUAUCCAUAUCCAUUAAAACCUCCAUACCUAGAAUUAUUUCCAUAAUUUUUUUGAAAAUUGCCAUUAUUCUUUCCAGCAUAUGAGUUCUUCUGAGCAAUAUUUGCUGUCAUAUUGUGCAUCACAUCACCAGCAAUUUUUCCUUUCUUUUGUUCAACUCUAUUUUCAUGAUUCAAUAGCAAAGGAUAUAGUUCAUCUAAUGUUAUCUUCUCACCUCGAGCUAAAACACCUGUGACUAAAGAUUCAUAAUCUGAUGAAUCAAGACCAGUUAAUACAUGAAUCACAAGAUCACUUAACUCAACAGGUUUUCCAGCUAGAGCUAAAGUAUCAGCUAUACGUUUUACUUUUGCAAAGUAAUCAGACAUAUGCAUUGCACCUUUCUUAAUAGUUUGAAUCUGCAUUCUAAGUGUUUGAAUUCUAGCUUGUGAUUAAGAAAUAAACAUACUAGUAAGAGUCUUCCAAAGCUGUUUUGAAGUUGUGGAGUCAAUCACAGUAGCAAGUAGAUUUUGCUGUAUCGACGACAUCAUCUAACUCAACAGAAGUUGAUCAGUCUUCAUCCAAGCUAUGAACUCUGGAUUAAUAGAUUUGGAUUCAGAUUCAGUAAAAAUUUCAGCUCCAUUGUUGUUUCCAAAAGAAAGAAACUACUCAGGACAUUCUUGAUCACCAUUGAUAAACCCUUCCAGACCGUUUCCUUUGAUCGAUGCUAAAAUUUGUGCCCGCCAUAAAAUGAAGUUGUUUUGGUCUAGCUUUGCAGGCGUAACAAAACUAAAAGAGUUGUUAUUUUGAACUGUAUUCGCCAUUUAUGGCUCUAAUACCAUGAAAGAAACUUAGUUUUGCAUUGUUUGGCAAGCUAGAAAAUGAAGAAAAUAAAAGAAAGCUCUGUAAAGAAGUUUGUAGAACCUUUAUUACUUUAGCAUUACAACUGAAUGAAUACAGACUGAUAUUUAUAUUAAGCUACAAUUUGCUCAACACACACACGAGUUUGUUACAUCACAUAACCAUUUGCUGCAUAACUAAUUUGACACAUCAGCUCAACCAGCUAAUUAACUUUGCCAGGUCAGCUUAGUGAGUUGAUCUGCUAAAUUCAGCUACACAGCAACAUCAUGCUCUGCUCUAGCUUCAUUCAAUUCACUAGCAUUUUCCCUUGAUACAUUAGGAGAAAAGACUGCCUGUGAGAUACAACAAUGUAAAUAACUUCUCAUGGUUCAUUGAAUCUAUAACGCACUGAGCCCUAUUCUAAAAUAUGUAGGUUGCUUCUGAAAAAGGGCUUUUCUCACUGAUCUUUAAUCUUCAAGAAAGUUUGUUUCAUUUCAGAAGGUAUAAGUUUCAAACUUAUUGUAUUGGGAGGUUGUAUAGUUGUAACCUAAGCAUCUGCAGGUUCCUGGUUCAACACAUUAUAGUAUGGUAUUUUAUUUUGUCACAAGGCAAUUGGUUACGGGAUCACUUUUGCAACGGUUUGUUGAUGGCGAUGAUGAAUUUCGCAAUAGUAGGUUGAAACUUAUUCCAUCUGUUCCUAAGGUAUCCAUCUUGGCCUUCAUGUAGUAGGACUAUAUUAACGUAUACUUACCCUUUACUGCAUGGUACACUUCAAUUUGUACAAAGAAGGCAUGCAUUUAGGUGUGAAUGUAUUGAUGGGUUGUACCUUCAAACUUUAUCUCCUUUUUACCCUCUUGAAUUUGUUUUGCACUUGUUCUUGAUUUUCAGCACUGAAUCAUGCAGGGGUCAUGGAUAGUGCGCCAGAGUGUUGGAAGCACCCCUUGUUUAUUGGGGAAGGCAGUUGAUUGUAACUAUAUUCGCGGUCCCAAGUACUUAGAAGUAAAUGCUCUUGGAAUUUCUAUAGUACAUGAGAUGUUCCCCUUUCAAAUAGCGUCCAAUACCUUUAACAUGGUUUAACAUUGUUCAUCUUUCUGUAGAUUGAUGUUGACAUCGAUUCUUCUACUGUUGCUAAUGGAGUUUUGGGCCUUGUAAUUGGUGUAAUUACGACAUUGGUGGUUGAGAUGGCUUUCCUUGUACAGGUAUGUAUGAUUGUUUUUUUCCCCCACUGCUAAAUGGACACAAGGGAAAAGACAUGAUUUUGAGAUAUUGCACUGCAACUUGCAUUUUUGCAUACUUGAAUGUUCUCAGAAUGAUAUAAUGCUUCUGUGUGUGUCUUCUUUAUCUUGCUCUUCUGUAUGCAGGCAAAUACUACAGAUGAAUUACCGGAGCGGCUGAUUGGUGCUGUACGUGUUUCUCAUAGAGAACUCAAGUCUGCUGUUGUCCCAAAGCUGGAACCAGAGAUAUCAUGACUCUGGUUUCAUUUCAGCUCAACUGUGUUUUUUUUUUAAUUAAAAAAAUCAUUUGUUUUAGGUAUACAUACAUGUAUUUUGAUUCUAUUUUCAUUGUAAUUUCUCAUUUACUUUGAAUGAAAGUCAUUGGUGUUUUCGAAUGGGAAUUUUGCAUUAAAAAAUGAAGAAUAAUGAAUAGGAAAUUUCCUGAUUCUUUAGUUACUAUUUUUGGUAUGAGUGUAAUUAGUAGUAAAGUAGGUUUCUACUCGCAAACAAGUGAACUACUCGAUUCCCGAGUGGUAUCAACCAGUUUCCAACUUUUUAAUAUACACUAAUUGUUAUUGUUUAAUAGCUACUACUAUUAAAACUCAACAGCUAGCAAAAAUACUUAAAAAAAAUGAUUUUUCUUAUGAUGCUGUGAAAAAAAUUACGGGUGUACUUCUUUCCAUGAGAUCUAUAACAUGGUCUCGACUUCACGAAAUUCUUUUAAUUUAAAGCGUGCUGGUGUGAGGUCAGUUUAACUGAUUAAUUCUUUUUAACAGUGGUCGAGAUAAUUUUACUAUACUAAAAAAUAUUCUUAUUCUGAUAAUGCCACAAAUGUUAUGCUGUUUUCUUCAGAUAAUGAUCUUCCAUUAGGAGAGGUUAGAAAUCAAAUGCUUAAAAGACCAAUUGAACGAAUAAUACAGAAAUUUAGGCAGAAUCUAAUAGAAUAUUGCAUGAAACAUGAAACAUCAAUUCAAGUCCUUUCUUAAACGGAGAAUGCAUCAAACAAAAUCCAAAGUGUCUUGCAAGUCUGUAGCGUGAGCAAAAAAUUGUAAAUAUGUAGAACCAAAUUAUUCAAGUACAGAAGAACGAGCAAGCUAAAUCAUGUAUAAGAGAUUGGCCUGGUUCGGGAUAGCUUCUUCACUGUAUCUGAAGGGUUGGCUCAAUCUCUUCUUUAGAAUUCUGCAGAUUUUGUAAUUACUCGUGUAAGCAAGUAUACAUUGCCACCAUAAGAAUAAUGAAGCUAGAGUAAUGAUAUGACCACCACCUCUUGUGCACAAACAAUAUUGUAUAAACUAAUGCGACAUAAUAUGAUUGGUUAAACAAAAACAUUACAUGGCCCUCAUAAUUUAUUUAUUUAUUUAUUAUUAUUAUUAUAUAUUUUCAGUCAACCAAUCAUAUUAUAUCACAUUAGUUUCUAUAAAAUAAUUUGCUAAAUAGCACCAAAACUUAAUUGAUACUCACCAUUUCAUUGAACAAUUUUUUUAUGGUGUCAUUGAGGUUGCCUUCCCAACAUCGUUCAUCAUCAUCUUUUUCUUCUUUGGUGACGUUCACUUUGUUUAGCAUUGGUGUGUCUAAGAGUCCUUGAGAGAAGAUCUUCAUUUUUGGACACUGUCUCACAACUACUUGUUUCAAGGACGGGAAUUCAAGAGCGUAAUUACCUAAACAAAAGCUUGUUAGGCUUGGCAAACAAUCAAGUCUCAAGUACUCCAAUUCCUUGAAAACAUUGCAAUCUUUCGCUUCUUCUCCAACCUGCAAUUGUAUGAUUUGUUCUAUCAUUUUGCAAUCAACUAUCAUCAUUCUUUUGAGAUUCACUAGAUUUUUAGAUGCUGAGAGCGUCAACACAUUUAUCAAUCCGUGACACUUCGAUACUGCCAAAGCCUCAAGAUUUUCCAAAUGCCACGAAGGUGGUACUAAUUUUUGCAACUUACUACAUUCCGAUAUUUUUAGACUUUUCAAGUUUGCAAACACUUUGUUGGAUUCGGCAUUUUCCUUCCAGAGAUGGUGCACUUUGUGUAAUCCAGACAGCUCUAACCAUCUCAAUCGAGGGAAUGAAACCUGAAAAUCAACAAAAUUAAGUUGUAAAUGAAAAUAUGUAUCCAAUCUCUGCAGUCUUCCCCUGCAUAUUUUAUGGACAAGAUUAAUCACGACAUUUUAUAUUUUUUUUCCAAAUUAGAAUGCUUUGCAGUAGGAUCCCAAAUAUAAGUAUCAAAUCGAUUACCCUUUGAAACACAUAAAUGAAAUCUGAUACUAAAUCCAAUAUGAAUUAGCUAGGAAAACAGAGAUGUUACACACAUAAUUAAUAGAGUUCAUCACCUCGUGUUACCAGGCAUCCAAUUAAUUUAAGACAUUUUAAUAAUUCAUAUUAUAAAGUUAGUUGAUAGCGGAGGUUAUAUUGUUAAAUCAUAUAUAAAUUAAGACGACGUGCAAAAAGAGGAGUCAUUAAAUUCGAUUUGAUUCUAACGAAAUUACAUCUAUGCGAAUGAAAGUGAAGGGAAAUAAUAAUAAUAAUAAUAAUAAUCACCUUUUCAUCGAAGAGAGGUUGUACUUGAUGAGCCAGCAAGAAGUUCUCUUCUGAUGUUAAUUUUUGAGGUUCCUUAUUAUCCGCUGUCAUGUGCAGUACAGAGUUGGAUAUGAAUGUUUCUAUAUCUCGGCAAUUCUCAAUAGUUAGAUUUCUCAACAUAGGCAUUUCAAUUAUAUUCCCAGUGAAGUUGCAGAAUCUUUUGAGUUUUGGAAGAUCAGUGAGCCUCAGCCUGUAAAGCUUAGGAAACAGGGGGCUUAUAUGUUCUUUGUCAGCAUUUAGCUCCUCCAAAUGAAGCACCUCUUCUAUUGAAUCACAAUUCCUCUCUUCCAGCCAUACCAAAUUGUUCAAGCACCGUAGCAGAUUGGCAGGAAUAGCACUCGACAUAUUCGUGCAGUCAUCCACAGCCAGUUGUCGUAAAUUGUUGAAGAAGCUGACAGGCAGUGCUUGGCCAUGCCAUAUUUCUUUCAAACGUGGAAAAUGUGAGAGUUGCAAAUCCCAUAUGUCACGGAAUCCAAUCUGCACAAACAAAAACAAUUGCACUGGAUAUAUAUAAAUUUUUUUUUUGAAUCAACUUACAUGUUUUGUGUUUUAACUUCUAAAACUAUAUAUACAAGGCAGGUGUAUAUGUUCAAAUGUCCAAGUGCAAGGGAGAUGCAUAAGUAAUUUCGACGAAUCGAUUUAACACAUACCAUUUCUUCGUAACACUUUUGUAUAGUGGAAUUAAGGUUGCCUUCCCAAUGGCGCAAUUCACCCUCUCCCUGUUAAGAAUAGAAUUAGUUAGUUAAUGAGUAUGCUGACAUGGCAGCUGAGUCAGCUAAAGGUUGUUAUAGAGGUUGUUAGUAGUAAACUGUGCGUGUGUGCAAUGUGUGUAGAAUCUUCUAUGCACAUAUAAAAAGGCUUGUAAUUUCCAGAUUCAUUAGAUCAAUAAUAACAGAAUUCUCAGCUUACAGAAGUUUUCUUUCUUCCUAUUUUCUUAGUAACCAAACAACAUCACAGUUUCAUAUAAAACUUAAUACUUCCUUUUUACUCACAUGCACUUCGUGCAGCUUUGGUGUGGAUACGAUUCCCUGAGAAAAAGUCUUCAUGUUCGGGUAACAUGUCAUAGAAACUCGUUCCAAUGAUGGGAAUUCAAGAGUGUAAUCCUCCAAACAAAAGCUGGUAAGCCUUGGUAAAUGAUUUCAGGUAAUUUUUAAAUAUUCUAAAUUCAUUUAGAAUAUUUAAAUGAAUUUAGAAUAUUCACUAUUUAGUAUUAGGAAUGGAGAAAGAAUUUCAGGUAAUUUUUAAAUAUUCUAAAUUCAUUUUUCAUCUUGAUUCUAGUUUUUUAAAAAAAUUUAAUUUUCAAACAUGCGUAUUUUUAAAAUAACUAAACUAAAACGCUGUAUUUCCCUUUUUUUCCCGAUAUUCAUGCUUUUAAAAAUGGAAAACAUUUCUGGAAAACACUUCCCAACGCCAUCAACAUGGGACUGUUAUAGAUGAAUUAAGGAAAAGAGAAAUAUAUAGAUGAAUUUGUGAACCUAUAAGAUGAGUGACUAUCCUUUAAUUUUUGAAAAUUGUACUUAUUAAGAUAUGAGCAGAAACAAUUAAAUUGAAUUAUAUUAUGCUGUUGAAUCGUGAUUAAAAAAAUUAUAUUGUUGAUUCUAAUGCUGGCGAACCUAAAAACUGGACUUAAAAUGUAGAUUUGAGAGUGGUGGUUCGAAGUACAAUACUUGAAAUAAAUAAUCAGUGGCUGAAUAUCAUUUGUAAACAAAAAAUGGUUAAAAUAUUGUUGGAUGUAAUUUGAAAAAAAAAAAAAGAUUCGAAAUGAAUACAGCAACCUUACCAAUGGAGGAAAAAUAUUCUUUAGGUUAUCACACUCAAAUAUCUCUAAAUUCUUCAAUUUGCUGAAAGACUCCGAAGCAAGUUGGUGGUGCCAUAUUAUUCUCAAAUUAUUCAUCCAGCUAAUAUGUAAUACCUCCAACCUAGGAAGUCGUACCUGGCAGUUAAAGAUUAAAUAACUAAUUAAUCAAUUAAUUGCAUAAUCAAUUGAUAACUAAAUUAGAGGCAGAUAUUAACUAAACUUGAAGACUCAAAGAAAAGACAAAUUAAAUAUUGUGACUAAAAUUAAUUUUUUUUAUUAAAAAAAAAACCUUUUCGUCAAAGAGAGGAGGAGGUUGCAUUUCAGAAUGAUUGGUGUCUUCUGGUGAGCUCGUAGAGAUGAAUCUUAACAUAUUCCAGCAACUCUGAAUCUCGAGGUUUAGCAAAGAAGGGAAUUCAACAACUAAAUCUGAAUUAAUAUGUCCCGUAUUGGCAAAGCUUGUUAGUUUAUAAAGCCAAUAGAGCUCCAGGGAGUGUAGUUUAGGAAAAACCUUUAAUUCAAUCAACUUUCCUUCUUCUCUUUCUGACCACCCCGUGGUGUCGACUACCCCUUCCAUUGACUCACAAGAUCUUAUCUCAAGAUGCUGGAGUUGCAAAAGACUAUUAACCAUAGAAUAGGAAAACAGAUACUUCAUACGAUGACAACUGCUCACGUACAGCUUUGUUAAAUUUCGACAACAGUACAUUCCUUGAUUAUGAUCGGCCCAUAAUUUUUUCAUGUUUCUUAAUGACCUGAGAUCCAAUUCCUCUAAGCUCGGAAGAAUAACCUGCAAAGAAUACCCGUACAUUUUUGUUCCUUCAAGUACAACCGUCUAGUAUAAUAUUCUUUUGAUGAUCGAAGAUUAAUCGUGAUAAUAAAUUAAUCAAUUAAUUAUUGAACAGAAAAUUAUCACCUUUGGAGCAGGAUCAUCAUCAGCAGUGAUUUCGUUGAAUCCCAAAGAAGUUGUUGGUUUCUCCCUGUCGGGUCCUAUAAACAAACAAAAACAAUAUACAUAAUUAAUCUUUGUUUUUUUUUUCAAAAUAAUUGAGGCGAAGUCAAUUAUCCCACCGGUACUUAAUUUCAACACUUACCAACAAUCAUUUCCUGAUCAUCGCAAAAAGCCACUUCUACCUUUUGAAGCCGCAGUAGGUUUUUGGCUAUGGAGAAUGAGAAAAGAUGCUUCAAUUUGUGACAGAAUUUUACUUCUAUAAUCCUUAAGUUGCUGAAAGAUUGAUCUUCUGUGAGUUGGCUGUCACAUAUUGUCUCCAAAUUGAUCAAACGACGAAGAGACAAUGACUCCAGCAAGGGGAAGACUUUGCGACGAACCCGUCCAACUGAACAGACAAUAUGCAAAAUCUCAGAACAACUUUCUGCAGAAAGAUGCUUCAAUCGUGGAUAACCUUCCCCAUCAUCUAAUUCAUGAACAACAUUCUGAACACCCUUCAGUUCUUCUAGAUAGAGAUAUUCAGUUCUCGUCAACAACAGUUUCAUCCUGUAAUUCUGCAAAAGAACGCCAAACUUUUCCAGCCCCUGGAGCUUCAUCAAUCUUGAUAAUCCAGAUUUAACGGACCAGCUGCUCCACCACUUAUUUCCUAUACAUAUCCUAUAGCUUUGUAAUUCCACAGAGACGAAAUCCUGCGGUAAAAUUUCGGCAUCCCGAACAUGUAUCUCCAAAGUAGUUAGCUUUGACAGCCCAUUCAAUUCAGCAAGACUGGCGUUACUUCCUCCUUCAACCUUCUCCCACUGUGAAAAGCUGUUACCAAUAUAUAGUUCUUCUAAUCGAGAUAAUUUUGAUAUGACAUUUGGAGCUAUCACCACAAGACUGCUACAAUUUCUCAAAUCUAGCAACUGUAAUCUCGUCAAUUGUCCAAUUACAACUGGCAACUCCUUAACAUCAGAAUCUCGGAAGCUGAGAAUCUCUAAUUUCCUUAGCUGUCCAAUUAUAGUUAUUUCGUUCAGUCGGCAACCGUCUAAACACAAUGUUCGAAGGUUAAUGAGGCGACCAAGUGAUGAAGGUAAUGAAGAGAAAAAUAUGCCAGUAAAAUCUAAAACUUUGAGUUCUUCUGUCCCUUCAAAAAAGAGGUCUGAAAUUUGCAAAGAGCUAUCACGCUUUGAAAACAACAAAAGUAACUCGAGACGGGGACAUCCCAACCUUUCGGGAAGCUCUUGAAUAUCUCUAUAAGGUAAAGAAAUAGCAAUUGGACCUUCCCGUAUUGUCUCUUCCAUCUUUUUCUCCACGUAGGCAACAUUUGGAAUAUUAAACAUGAGCUCCUUUUCUGCAAUUGAUACAGCAACAGCAUGAAUGAUGUCAUGCAUUUUAACUUCAUCUUCAGCAUCACCGUCCAACAAUAAGCAUGAAGAUUUGAGUUUGUCGAUCAAUGCAUCCACUCUAUUCCUUGCAUUUUCCAAUGUGCGAACAUAUUUAAACAAACCCAAACCCAUACCCAUACCAUAUCUCAACAAGGAAGCAACUUGUAUAGGAGUACCUUCACCAAAUAGAGAACAAAGAAGGAACAAAGAUUUUGCUUCAUCACUUUCCAAGAAGUCGUAACUCAAUUUUAUGGAAGAAUACACAUCUGCAUCCAUACCAUGAAUUUCUCUUAGAUUGGAACUUCUUAGCUGAUUCAACGCAUCCUUCCAAAUGGCAAGACUCUUAUUUUUCAGAGCACUUGCAACUGUUCUCAGUGCAACAGGCAAUCGUCCGCAUUUUCCAACAAUCUCAUCCGCUAAAGGUUGAAAAGCAGAUGCUUUUGCGGAAUUGCCCACGAUCUUUUCAAAAAAUUGCAAUGCUUCUUCCUUUGAUAAAACUUCAAUUGGGAAAAUCUUCUGAGAAUUCAUAUCAUUGAUCAAUAAAUCUUGACUUCUAGACGUCAAUAUUAUCGUGCGUCUCCUUAGAUCUUGCUUUCUAUCUUUCUCAUCAACAUCCCCAGAAGGAAUUCCAAUUUCUUCCAACCUAAGUUUUUUCCAAAUAUUAUCUAAUAUAAUGAGGACUCGCUUCUCUUUCGUCAAUCUUUGACAAAGUUGUUUUGCUCUGUGGGGUUUGCUAUCAUUCAAGUCAAAGUUCAUGUCUAAAUCGGAAGCGAGCUUGUCUUGAAUUUUCUGAACAUCUGGGUUCUCUGUUACCUCAGCCAUAACGACCUUAUCGAACAACUUAUCUUCCAUAACUUGCUUUGCAAUUUGCUUGACUAGCGUGGUUUUACCCACGCCGCCCAUACCGUGGACCCCAAUUAUGUUGAGCUUAUCAUCCCUCAAUGCCUCCACAACAUCUUGAAAUAAUUUCAUUCUUGAAUCAAAGGCCUCGAAAUCUUUCGCUUGCAUAUGUUCUGUACUCUCUGGAGCAGGACGGUGGGAAACACUAGAGAAGUUGCCUUUUCUCACGAGACUAGCGGCAGCUUCUGCGGCCUUUACUGCUUGUUUACUAAGUUUAUAACGAGAAAUCAAGUUGGGGCACAAUCCUUUGAAGCAGGACUUCUUAGCUCUAUCUUCAUCAUCAAUGAUGGAUUUUGCAACCCCUUCACUGAUGCAUUCAUCAACGCCAUUAAGCCAGUCUGCAACAUCCUUGUAAAUCUCAUCUCUUUGUUGAGUAGCCUGACGAACGGGUAUUCCCACCCUUUCUCUUUUAUAUUCCAGCUGCUUCACUUGAUCUUUUAGCUCAGCUAUGUAGCUCUGGUACUUGAACACAUAAGAUAUCUGCCGCAUAAUCCGUUCGAGCAAUGCCUUUGCACCUUCUGAUACAAUGCUUGAAAAAGCUUCGAGACCCACUUCUGAAGCCAUUGCCUAGCCUGUUGCAUAUAUAUAUACAUUAGCCGAUGGAAAAAUUGGAUUCAAAUAAAUUAAAGUGAUCCAGAGGGAAGGACAAAGAAAGAAAUGACAACGAAUGACUUUUUAAACAAAGGUUUCAAGAGCCUGAAUCGAAAACCAACAAUUUGAAAAAAAAAAAAAGAAUUGGAAGAUGGAUGCAAAUUAACCAUUGCUAAUACUACAUAAGAACACAUAAGUUAACAAUGAACAGUUACUUAAGAAAAUUAAAUGACAAGAUUAAAACAAACAAGCGCUAUUUUUUCUUGGACAAAUGUACCUGUUUAAUUAUUAAAGACUUAAUGAGCUUCACUAUUGGCCUUGAGUAUAUAAGAAUGAGCAAGAGAUCAAUGUCAACUGCAGAGGAAUGUCAGUAAAGGUUUCAUGAGAGUGAGUAAUACAAAUGAAUUGUAAAAGAACAAGACUUAAGCGUGCACCCCCUGUUUUGUUUUAUUCGUUAUGAAAAUGAUAUUGUACCCAAUUUUAAGAGAGCAUAAUAAUAACCAUUUAAUGCAUAAAUUUAGAAUUAGCUUUUUUUUUUGUAAUUCUUUAUUUAAAUAUACACGUCAAUGGAAAAUUUUGAAAAUUUGGAUACAAAAUUUUAAAUCACCAGAAAAAAAAAAGCACGGGAACGGAAAUAGAGGAAUCUUGUUUUACCUUUUUUUUUCCCCCCUUUAACUCUCGUUCUUAUAUAAAUAAUCUUGUUUUGAUGAUUGUGACUCGUGACUGCGGGAAAAAUUCUAAUGGAAACAACUCAAUUUCGGAAGAUAAGCUUAAUUCUGCAAGUGAUGAAUUUGUUCAAUAGACUCUGUACCUGAACUCGUUGGAUUGGUUGAUUGAUGAUUGACUAAAUUUGAAUUAAGUUUAAUAGCUUAGCUAUCAUGUACUCCUUAAAAGCAAACGUAAAUCUUUUUUAGAUUUGACUGAAUUUGGGAACCUGUUGGAUUGAUUGUUUUUAGAUCAUUAAUAUCAGAUACUACAAACGUAAAUAUUUUCUUGUGGUUGAGUCCUAUUCAAAUCACACAAAAUUGCACGACCAAAUAUUAAGAGAACGUAAUAAUAAUCACUCAGUGCGUAAGGGUAAAUUUAGAAUUACGUAUUCUUUUUUAUUUAAUAAAAUCCCAGCGAGAAAAUCAUAAAAUUUAGAUAUAAAAUUUUCAAUCACCAAACAAAAAACAGGGGGAAUGAAAACACAGGAAACUUGUUUUACCUUUUUUUCAUCUAACUCUUGUUCUUAUAUAAUAUUUUCCCUAGUGUUUCAGGCAAGCAAAAAAAAAAAAAAAAUCAAUAAAGAGCAAGUUGCUCAAAUUGAUUUAUCUUGUUUUUCAGGCAAUCUUGUGAUAUGAUGAUAAUGCUUAUGAAUGCUAGAAAAACUUCUAAUGCAAACAACUCUAUUUGGGAUGAUAAGCUUAAUUUUACAAGUGAUAAAUAUAAAUAACUUUUUGUGGUUAAUUCAAUUUGUAAUUACCCUUAGCCCUAUUCUAAAAUUUGUUGGCUGCUUCAGAAAAAAAAAAAAAAAAAUUUCACUCAUCUUUAAUCUUCAAGUAAAAAACAAAUCUAAUAAAAUGACAAACAAACAAACAAAUAAAAGACAGCAAACAAACAACAUUUAGCCAACUGAUAUUUAAACAGGGAUUAGAGUUUUUGUUAUUAACUGAAAGGUUUCAAGGGUCUGAAUAAAAUCCCAGACUUUUUUUUAAAACUUUUUUUUUAAUUAACCAAAGCCAUAUAAUAAGAUCACAGACUUUAACAAUGAACAAUAAUUUGAAACUCAAGCAAAACCAAUCACAAGAUUAAAACAAACCAGAGAAUUUUUUUCUUGGAAAGUAGAUGAAAAGCAAGUAAGAACUGCUAUUAAAGGAUAUUAUUAAAGGAUUUAGAACAUGUAUACCUCUUUAUUUAUAUGGGAUCAGAGAGUCGAUGACCUUCUCUAUUCGCUUCGGAUAUUUAGUAAGAACUGCUAUCAAAAGAAUGAAUUGAUGAGUAAUAACAAUGAAUUGCAAAAGAGGAAGACUUAAUCACGUACCCCUAUUGUACCCGAUUUUUAAGAUUUAAUUUUGAAGUCCAGAAUCAAGACAAAAGACGAAGCCUUAACAAAUAUGCAGUGAGAAUAGUUAAGUUGAAGAAAGCACUAGUUUAUGGCUCUGUGUUUCAUAUGCCGUAUUGAAAUAAUUAAGUUGAAGUUUUCAACGAAUAAAUACCUGGUGUGCUGGAAUAAUUUUAGAAGAAUAUUGGCUUAUAGAGAUUAGAGCAUAUUAGGAGGGAUCAGAUUUGUAAGAUGCCUGAUAAAAGAUAAAGCGAAUGUUAUUAUGGACAUACCAAUUUCCGACUUUUCGGAGUGCAUCCGUCUAUCCAUGACUUGAAAAGAGACCCAAUGUGUGGACAGACUUGAUUACAUNNNNNNNNNNNNNNNNNNNNNNNNNNNNNNNNNNNNNNNNNNNNNNNNNNNNNNNNNNNNNNNNNNNNNNNNNNNNNNNNNNNNNNNNNNNNNNNNNNNNNNNNNNNNNNNNNNNNNNNNNNNNNNNNNNNNNNNNNNNNNNNNNNNNNNNNNNNNNNNNNNNNNNNNNNNNNNNNNNNNNNNNNNNNNNNNNNNNNNNNNNNNNNNNNNNNNNNNNNNNNNNNNNNNNNNNNNNNNNNNNNNNNNNNNNNNNNNNNNNNNNNNNNNNNNNNNNNNNNNNNNNNNNNNNNNNNNNNNNNNNNNNNNNNNNNNNNNNNNNNNNNNNNNNNNNNNNNNNNNNNNNNNNNNNNNNNNNNNNNNNNNNNNNNNNNNNNNNNNNNNNNNNNNNNNNNNNNNNNNNNNNNNNNNNNNNNNNNNNNNNNNNNNNNNNNNNNNNNNNNNNNNNNNNNNNAUUUAAUAAUUAUAGAAGAAUAUUGGCUUAUAGAGCAUUUUAGUAGGGAUAAGAUUUGUGGACAGAAUAAAUGAAAUAAUAAAAAGCAUAACUGAUCAAGUCAUUAUUGAUCUUACUUUGAUUAUUACAUUGCACAUUAGUUUCUUUCUAAAAAUGCCAUUCUUCAUUCAAGCUUUCGCUUUAUCUUUUAUCAGGCAUCCUACAAAUCUUAUCCCUACUAAUAUGCCCUAUAAGCCAAUAUUCUUCUAAAGUUAUUAAAUGCCAUUCUUCAUUCAAGCUUUCAUGGACAUUAUCUACAAACUGAAUCUUCAAUGUAAUAAAAUAAUGAUCAGCCUCACAGGAUACAUAAAAAGCUCAUUUAUCACAAUCAUUUCCUAGUGCAUCAUAAACUUAGAUUAUUUAAUUUUACUAUUAGGAAACCUACUUAUAAAAGGCGCACACUACAAAUUCUAAAUUAAAUUUCUAACUAAGAAUAAAAGGUAAACCCUAGCAAUUUUCCACCAGGUGCCGUGUAGCCUGCAUCAUAAAUUUUGAUUUAAAUCUUUGUAAUCACCGAACAGAAAAACCGGGGAAUGAAAACAGAGGAGCCCUAUUUUUCCAUUUUUUUAACCCUUAACUCUUGUUCUUCUAAUUAUAUUUUUGCUUGGAAUUUCAGGCAAACGAAAAAAAAUAGUGACAACUAUUUAGAGAGAACAGGUGGAUGAUAGCAAAAAUAUUUUUAAUUAAUAUGCAUGAUUAACUCUUGUUCUUCUAAUGUAGUGGCUUGAUUAAUUAAUAUUUUUAAUCAAGCCAUUACAUUAUUGGUAGUCUCUGUGGGCUCAUUUCGUCUCCAGACCUGAUAUUGUAUAUCUCUUUUUGAAUAUGUUUAAUUAAUAUGCAUGCUGCUGAAUAAAGACGAUGAUUUCCAAAUUUUUGUUGCUUUUUUUUUUUCUUUUUGCUGCUUUGGUACAUGAAGAAUGUGGAAAUAGAAAUAGCUUUCGAAGUUUAAUGGCUUGCUUCAUUAGUAAAGAAAGACUAGGAUAUCCGUCCUUUUUGUUACUGAAUUAUUGAUCAAUUGACGGUUGAAGUUAGUUAUAUUAAUUUGUUGUACAAGAAUUGAAGCUUAUAUCUUUACCGUUUCGUGAAAGUGUCAAAUAUGUUCUUUCCUUGCAAUUGUUCAAAAUAUGUUACACUUUUGAAGUCACUAUUACAUAAAGGGUGUUGUAAAAUAGGGAAAGGCGGGUUUAUGAUUAGAUUUUAAUAUGUUUAAUUCAAGGAUUAACCGAAGCUAUUAACCAACGGCUACUAACCGAAAACCGAAUUUAACAAUAAACACUAACUCAGAAUUCAAGAAAAUUAAAUGACAAGAUUAAGACAAAUGAGAGAUAUUUUUCUUGGACAUUAAGAAAGAACUACUAUCAAGAUCAAGGAUUAGAGAUUAUAUAUGCUAUUAUUAAUAGAAAUUAUUAAAGGAUUUAGAACAAGUUCACCUCGUUGAUUAUCUGGGAUGAUGAGUUUCUAUAUUCACCUUGAAUAUAUAAUAACAAUUUUAGUGAGCAAAAGAUCACUGGUAACUGCAGAGGAAUGUGUGAGUUUAAGAGCUUAUUAGAGUAAGCAAUACAAAUGAAUUUUCAAAUUAUGUACUUGGUCAUUGUUGUCCUACUGACGCACGUUUUUUUUCAUGAAUAAUUGCCAGAUCAGAAAAGAAUAAGUUCGGUGGAUUGAAAGAUUGCUGAAGCAAGUAAAACAAUCUUCAUAUCGAACAUGAUUCCAAUUAAAUUAAUCUUUUUAUAAGAUGACUAAUAAAAGACAAAAGUAGAAGCUUUGAUGAAUGAACGAUGACCAAAACUUUUGUAAAAGCGGAUGCCGAUAAAAUAAACAAAAGGCACUUUAAAAAGAAACUAAAGUGCGAUCAUCAAAGUAAGAUCAAUAAUGACUCGAUUUAUUUCACCUAUUCUGUCCACAAAUGAUGCUUCGCUAUUACAAGGUCCGAAUGGACAUUAUUUACAAAUUGUUCUUAUGUUUCACAGAAAAAUGAAAAACCGUUCAUCAUCAUAUAAUUAUGAAAUAAAUAAAUUUUAUUAAUGGAUUAUGGGGAUAUGUUAAUGUUAGGGAUAUGUUCAAAUCAUCAUAUAAGUUACUAAACGCUUCAACAAGAACAAGAAUUAAUGAGUUAAAAGUAAAAAAAAAAAAUUUUAAAAAAAGUUAAAUAAAUAAAACUUAGAAGUAAAGAAUGUUAUUUGCAAUCACCAAAAUGAAAACAGUGGAACCCUGUUUUUCCUCUCAUUUCUCUUUCUCUCUUUUUCAUUUGUUGGGAAGUGUCGCCUAAAACACUUCCUCUGCUAGGUGGAAUUAUUGGCUUGAAGAGAUGAGUUCUUGUCACAAGCACAAAUUUUAUCUGUACAUUAUUUCAUUUUAAAUGAUGAGUUCUUGUCACAUGAUCAUUACUUUUUUUGUUUUGAUUUGGUUAGUUCAUGAUAACAAACAAAUUAUUUUGCAUCACAUUAUGGUAAAAAGUUGCCCUCUUUGUUACUUCCACAGCUAUAUAGUUUAAUAUUUUGUAAUAAGAUCACAAAGUGCAUGGGAACCACUGUUCGAGUACUUCAGCCUAAUAUGAAGAUCUAUUGAAAAUUUUCCUGAUGUCAUGAUAUUAAACAAAAAAAGGUACCUCUUUUACUAAUUAAUAAGAGAAGUUUUGACCGAUUUCAUGUGACUCUCUUUUACUAAUUAAUAAGAGAAUUUUUGGCCUUAUAUCCUUGCUGUGGCGUUAGACUGUUGGUCAUUUUGAUUGUUUCCUACUUUCCGUUUACGCCAGCUGUAACAUUGUAUUAUCACCAUUUUAGCCAUUUAAAUGAAAUUUAUUUUUGUCAAAAAUAAAAUGACACCCUUAAAAUUAAAAAAAAAAUAGUUAUGUAGACCUCAAAUUUUUAAUAAAGAAUGCCAAUACCCCUUUUAACUACAAGAUUCUUAGUAGAUGAUAACUAAAAAAAUUAACUUCAAAAAUUUUCACUAAAUAUAAAUCUAAUUGAAAUAGUUUAAAUUUUCUAGUAGACUAAUAUAUAUAACUUAAAUAAUUAAUUUCAUUAUUAAUUUUUAAAAUGUUAAAUAAUAUAUUUUAAUUUAUUAUAAAAAAUUUAAAUAAAUUCUUGGAUUAGAUAGAUUUUACAAUUAAUGUAAUACUGCUGAUUUAUUAAUAAUAUUAAAAUUAUUUUAUAUGAUAUUCAAAAUAAUUUAAACUUUUAUAUAUUUAUUUUAAUAUUAUGUCUAUUUAUUAUAAAUUUAUAAUUUGGUUUAAUAUAAUACGGGAUUGUAAAAUAUUAAAAUAUUUUUCAAUAUCAAAUUAUUUUAAUAUGUAUAUAUCAUUACAUUUAUUUUAAUAUUGCAUUUAUAUUUAUUAAAGAGUAUUGCAGUAAAGUAAAAAAAAAAAAAGUCUUAUUAUCCCUUAUUCACGAUAUGAGGUUCUACAGAAUUAUUUCCCCAAACGGGUGUCCUUUUCUCAUUUUCAAAAGAAAAAAUAAAGUAAGAAUAAGACCAUGGAUUUCAAAAAACUUAUAGUCCUAUCCCGGGACCAAACGUCUAUUCAUUAUUUUAUUUAUUCAAUAUAAAUGGCCAACUUAAAAAAAUGAUAAAAAUCACACAAAGCUCAAGUGAAAAUUUAGAAUUACAUUUUUUAAUACUCUCGGAGUCUUCUCUCCUGCCCCCUUUUUUUCUUAAAAAAAAAAACCUUAGUGUAAAAUUAGAAGAAUUUUAGAUAUAAAAUUUGACAAUCGCUAAACAGAAAAGCAGCGGAUUAAAAAUAGAGGAGCUCUGUUAUCAUUGCAAUAUUGAUUAUAGAUAAUAUAAUAACUUGUUGUGGUUCAUUGUAGCACUCUGAGCCAUACUUUAAAAUUUACUGGUUUGUUAAUGCUUUUAUUAUUGACAUUAUUGUGUCAAUAUUAUUAUAAUUUAUUCAUUUUAUUGUAAUGAUAAUUUGUCUAGUCUUAGGUACUUAUUAUAUUAAAUUAUGUAAAUUAAUUGAGAAUACUUUUACAGACAAAAGAAACACGUGUAUGUAGGAUUAAUAAGCGAAGAGUUGUAAAUGAAGCUGAUUGCUUCAUUGAGAUGCAUAUUAAAUAAUUAUGGAGAGUUGCUCUAUUUCAGAAGCAUAUAUUUAUACUUCCCUAUCAGGAUUUGGGGUAAGCGAAGUGCUUUAUGUAUUGCAGUAAGCAAAUGUGGGCAACAUCAGAGCCGAAAUAUUAAAAGAUCAUAACGCAUAUAAACGAUUAGUAUAUUCAAGGCACAUAUAGCGGAAAGAGUGCAGAUCUGGCCGUAACUAUUAUGAGGAUUUCCUCAAGUAAAUAUUAAAAGAACAACUAUUCUGAACUAUAUAUUCUUCAUUGUGGGCAGAUUUACUUAAAUACCAACACAAUGAUUCAAUACUUCAAAAGUCAAGGAAAUGUCAAAAUAUGAAAUGAAAAUACUUAAAUACCCUUCUCCCUAACAAAACUUAGUACUUCUAACUGCCAUCGCAGAGAAUAUAUAAAAUUUAAAAAAAAAAUCAUCCAUGAAAAGUUUCGUAACAGAAAAACCGUCUUUCAAAAAAUAAAAAAUAAAAAAUAAAAACAGAAAAAUUGACUCAUUUAUCUGCCAAUGAACCAGUCGGGACUCAUUUAAAAAAGAUUACAAAGCAAAAGUAAAUGACACAAAUUGCAUAGAUAUCUAAGAGCCGCAUCAAAGGACAAAGGUGUUAAUUUGUCCAAGUAAUAAAUUCUCCUAGGUCAAAAGCAAUUAACGAUGAAAACUUUCUUCAUUAAGGUUCUGGCCUACGUAAAAAAACAGAAAAAACCACCCCAAGGUCAAAGCACAACGAUAAGUUUAGAAUUGCAGUUUUUAAUUUUUCUUUUUAAUAAAUCAACGUGUAUUAAAAAUAGAUAAAAAUUUUGAAUAAUGUUUUUUUGAUAAAUAUAGACAUAAAAUUUAAAAAUCACCAAACAGAAAAACAGGGCAAUUAAAAGAGAGCCCUUGUUUCUCCUCUGUUUUGUUUGUUAUUAAACGGGGAAAUGAAAAGAUCGCAAGCAUAAAUUUUGUUUCUGCGUUGUCUCUUCUCAAUGUUGCAUGCAUUCAAAUUAAACCUUAUAUAUGAUAGCAAACUAGCUACUCUGCAUGUACGAUAAGUCUAAAUAAUAGAAUAAUUGUAAAAUGUUCAAAUUCAGUAAUUAAUUAUACAUAUUUAUUUAUUCAAAAAUUAUUAUUAUUAUUAAUUAUUGUCAAUAAUAUAUUAAUAUACUAAUUAAUUAUAAAAAUUUUUAUCAUUCAUAACAAUAACAAUGAUGAUGAUGAUGAUAAUAAUAAAAAUUCAAAAUAUAUUAAUUAAUUAUAAUAAUAUAUUAAUUAUUUAAUACUAAUAAUAAUAAAAAUGUAAAAUGUAUAAAUUGAUUAGAAUAGUUAUAUUAAUAAAUUAUAAACAUAUAUUAAUUAAUCAUAAUAAUUUUUUAAUUGAGGACAAAAUAGACAUUUUAUAGUUUGUGAGAGGGGGCAAAAUGGUCAAUUUUGGGAAUGGGAGAUUGAUUCCCACCACCUUCCUUGGGAAUCAAUUUUCCAUUCCUCAUUCCUAAAUUUGGGUGGCCCCAUAAUUCUGAUUUGGAUCCCUGCCUCCAUCAUUAAUGAUUUCGAUUUCGGAUUCCGAUUCCCCAAUCCAAGAAGUAAAGGCACCAUUAUUGUUAAUUGGUUCAAACACACAAAGAGAAUGUACCGUGUAGCUAGGCGUCAAGGUUGUGUUGCACAAGUAACCUUUUUCUUUUCUUUUUAUUUUUCUUGUUUUCCUUAACGGAUCAGAAGAAAUUGGUGCCUUUGAGAUACCACAAUGUAAAUAAUUAUUUGUGGUUCAUUGAAUCUGUAACACUCGGUACCCUAGGGUUGCUUUGGAAAAAGGGCUUUUCUCACCGAUCGCCAAUAUCCAAGUAAGUUUGUUUCAUUUCAGAAGGUGCAAAGUUUCAAACUUGUUGUAUUGGGAUGUAACAAACUUUGGCCUUAUAUGCCUGCUGUGACGUGAGACUGUUCAUUUUGAUUGUUUCCUACCUUCCACUUACGCACUGUAGCACUGUAUUAUUCACCAUUUUAGCUGUUUAAAUGAAAUUUUAUUUUUGUCAAAAAUAAAAUGACACCAUUAAAAUUUAGAAAAAUAAUCAUGUAGAUCCCAAAUUUUUAAUAAAGAAUACCAAUAUUCCCCUUGACUACAAUACCCUUAGUAGGUGGUAAUAAAAAAAAAUUGGCUUAAAAUUUUUACGAAAUGUAAAUAUGAUUUAAAUAAUUUAAAUUUUCCAGUAGACUACUAUAUAUAAUUUAAAUAAUUAAUUUAAAUAUUAAUUUUUAAAAUGUAAAUUAAUUUAUUUGUAUUUAUAAAAUAUUUGUAAUUAUUUUAAAAUUUAACUAAAUCCUUAGGUUAAAUAGAUUUUACAAUUAAUAUAAUAUUUCUCAUGUAUUAAUAAUAUUAAAAUUAUUUUAUAUGAUAUUGAAAAUAACCUAAAUUUUUAUAUAUUUAUUUGAAUAUUAUGCUCUAUUUAUUAUAAUUUGGUUUAAUAGAAUACGAGAUUGUAAAAAAUUAAAAUUUUUAGAUAUUGAAAUUAUUUUAAUAUGUAUAUAUUAUUAUAUUUAUUUUAAUAUCCUAUUUAUAUUUAUCAUAAAUUAUUAGAGUUAAUUUUUUUAGUUAAUAAAUUUAAAAAAUAUUAUAAUUUAAAAAAAAGUCUUGUUGUCCGUUAUUCACGAUAUGAGGUUCUACAAAAUUAUUUCUCCAAACGGGUGUCCUUUUCUUUUUUUCAAAAGGAAAAACAAGUUCAGGGCCUCAGGGGUUUCAAAAAAUUCUGGUCCUAUAUACCACUAUGACUAAUGGGAAACGACAUUGCAAUUGACAUUGCUUUCCACAAUAUGAUAGAUUAUUGGAGGGAUAUGAGAGAAUUGUCAAACGUUCACACACGCGAGAGCUUUAGGUGGGAUAGGGGAGGAUUGUCAAGAGUUCACACCACGAUAAACUAAUGAUAGGCCUAAUUUUGUUGUCAGUUCUUUAUUUAUUUAUUUUAUGUAUAUCAUACAUUAUUGUAUUUUGUCAAGGUAUAAUAGUACAAGUAAAAUACUAGGGGUGCUGUUAAGUUACAACUUAUGUAACUUGCAAUUUUUUCAAAAAUUAUGUAAAAAAUUUAAUAGGUGGUGGAACCCACAUAUUUUUUAAGAGACUUAAGUUACAGCAGUUGUAACUUAACAAAAUCUAAAUAUUAGACAAUAAUGCAUAUAAUUUGGGUUUGAUUUUUAAAAGAUUAUUUGAGUACCACCUAUCCUUAUGAUAUUAAUGUGAUUAUAUCUUAAUAUUAAAUAAUCAAAAUUUGUUUAAUUAUUAUUUGUAUUUCAUACAUUACAUAUUAGAUUUGUUUGAAUUUUAAGUUGUUGCUAAUAAAUAUUUAUGUUGUCAAAGUCAAAGUCAAUAGCUACAAAAGUAGAGAUAAUGGUAUUGUAUAUAGUUUUUAAGAAUGCAAGGAUAAGCUGGAUAAUUGACAUAAAUUCUAAUGAUUAAAAGAGCAACUAUCCCUUAAGUUAUAAUGUCAAUUUCUUUAAUUAGAAUUUUUUUUUCAUGUGAUAUAACCUUAAUUGCUACAAUUUUUUUUAUAAUAAUAAUGGGAGUUAUAAAUUAUUUAUAUAAAAUUUGGGUUGAAACUAAUGUAACCUAAAAGUGGUUGCUGAAUAACAAUAUUUGAAACUUUAGGUAAUUUUCAUGAGUCCUUUUUAUAUUCAACAACUUGAAUUGGGGGAAAUCCGACUUGAAUUGGCGGUUGAUUUUGGUGAUGUGGCUUUCGGUUUACGCCGGCUUUACAGUGGCGGAAGACUGGAUUUACGGUUGCCGACUGCUAGGGAUUAUGGUGGUAGUGUAAAUUGACGGAAAAAGAAGGUGUUUUGGUGGCGGCGCGUCUAGGAAGCACUCGUGGGUUGUUGUUUCGUGUGGUGACAGCGGGCGGCGAUCAAGGGCUGAAGUUGGUCGGUUUUUGGUCAGCAGAGGCCGGCGAGUUUGUUGGUGGAGGUGGCUGGUGGAGAAAGUGGCUGAAUGGUGGUGGGUUGCUUGGUGGAGCCGCGGGUUUGGGUUGGUGAUUUGCGGCUGUUCAAGCGGUGGUUGAGGCAGCGAUGACUAAGGCUUGGUCGACGGUGGCUAGGGAGGUUUGUGGUGGUGUUGGCUGGCUGAUCGGCGGUGGUGGACGGCGGUGGAGGUUGAUGUGACAGGUAGGGUUUUCAAAUUUGUAAAUUUUUUUUUUGAUGGAUUUGGUUUGGAUAGGUAUGGUGUAUCUAGGAAAGAUGUGCGAUUCGCACAUAAUCAUUUUGAUACCAAUUGAUGGAGCGAGGCGUAGCGGAAGCAGAAUUGAUAGGGUAAGAAACAUUAGAUAUCGUUCUAGUACUAGACCAAGCCAACACGAUUAGUUUACGCUCUAAUUGAAGCGUGAUUAGAUAUCGUUAUAAUCCAAAUGACUCAGUGAGAUUUUUAAUAACGCGUAAUACGAGAUUAGAUGACACUCUAAUCCAAAUGACUCUACAAAAGAGAUUUUGAUAACUAAUCCUAGAGGAAAUUAUAAAAGAGGGGGUUUAUUUAAUAAUUGAACUUGAAGUUAUGAAAAUAAUGACAAGACAUCUUUAUUUUUUUUAUUACAGGCAUCUUUAUUUAUAAUAGAAGAAACCCGCUUUCCUAAGUUAACCUAAAAAGAAAAUUUAAAUCAUAAUUAUAAUGGAAAUAAAAGAUUAAGAUACAUACCAUAAUUAACUCAAACUAAAAUAGAAAAUCAUAAAAUAAUAAAUAUUCUAGAAUUAUAAAUUAUCUAAAAUAACGUUAAUUAACUUCCUAAAUCACUUCUUUGGUGUAAACCAUUUUGCAUCCAUCCUCGCUUUAAAGGUUUGAACCAACGUUACCAACAAUAAUGUAUCAAAGUCCAAUCUAACUUAAGAUCUUGAUACAUCUACCGAUGUCCUUGUUUGAUUAGACAAUAAUGAGUCUAUCUCAUCACUUGUUACCUCUUUCUUGAAGGCUGCAUCUGUUGAAGUGAUAGUCUCGCUUAGAGUUUAAAGAUCUUCUUCCAUGUUAAAUAAAAUGGGCAUUUGAUUAAAAAACUUUAUCUCUAUCUCCUUCUAUCAAAUAACGACAACUAUCCGAAGGAAAAAAAAAAUAGAAAAGUCCAUGGGUCACAAUAAUUUAUGGUCUGUCCCCGGACCCCAUUAUCUGCCACUAUCAAUGAUGAAAAUGAAAAUAAAUGGCAUCUUCCCAAAAUGGCGAAAGAUUUUUGGGGGAUAUGGGGGAAUUGUCAAAAGUUCACACAACGCGAAACAAGUGUUACAUCCAAUUUUAUUUCGUCAUAUAAUGAUAAUAUCAAAUAAUGACAACCAUCCAAAAGUAUGAUGGGUCUUCCAAAAUUUUGAAAAUGUCGUCAACAUUUAAUCUUCAAUGCUAAAGAAGAUGAAAUGACCAAAAAUGACACGCAUGACUCACUCACAGACUAAAUGGCUCUGACCACAUGUAACAAACUUUGAUCUUAUGUCCUUACUGAGGCGUUAGACUGUUGGUCAUUUUGAUUGCUUUUUACCUUCCAUUUAUGCCAUUGUAGCAUUAUACUAUUCACCAUUUUAGCUGUUUAAAUGAAAUUGUUAUUUUUUUUCCAAAAAUAAAAUGGCACCCUUAAAAUUUUAGAAAAUAGCCAUGUAGACCCCAAAAUUUUAAUAAAGAACACUAAUAUCCUUUUUUACUAUAGUACUCUUAGUAGAUGGUAACAAAAAAAAAAAUGACUGUAAAAGUUUUUACUAAAUGUAAAUAUGAUUUAAAUAUUUUAAUUUUUCUAGUAGACUAGUAUGUAUAAUUUAAAUAAUUAAUUUUUAAAAUGUAAUUUAAUAUAUUUAUUUUAAUAAUAUAUUUAUUAUAAAAAUUUUAAACAAAUCCUUGGGUUAAAUAGAUUUUAUAAUUAAUAUAAUAUUUCUCAUGUUUUAAUAAUAUUAAAAUUAUUUGAUAUGAUAUUGAAAAUAAUUAAAACUUUUAUAUAUUUAUUUGAAUAUUAUGUCUCUAUUUAUUAUAAUUUGGUUUAAUAGAAUCAAAUGAAAGUGUACAUGUACAAGAAGAAAGAACCAUACACCAAGUAAAACGUAAAAAGGAUUAAAUAAAUGACACCAAUCCCCGGCAACGGCGCCAAAAUUUGAUGGUUGUCGAAGCCAACAAAAAUAAAUUCCUACUCUAAAUAAAUUGUGUAUAGUGAUUGAGCAGGGUCGUGUCCACAGAGAUCGGUAAUUAUUUAAAUCCUUUUAAAACGUAAAACAUAAAAUGGGGGUUUUGUUGACAAUAAUAAAAAUCAAAUUAAAAUAACAAGAAUGCAAAUUAAAGUUGUAAUUCAAAUUAGAGAAAGCUCUGGUUGAAGGAAUUAACUCAGCUUGAUUCGACUACUGAUCAUUGAUUCAAAUAUAGAUUAUUAUUACUUAUUAAUAGACCGGUUAUAGCUAUUGAGACCCUCUAAUAGCCAAUUUGUCCUUAACUAGUCGAUAACCAAGGUACGACCGUCAGAUAUUUCCCUAAUCAACAGACAACCCUAGAUACGAUCAUAGGAUUUAAUCAAUUGACAGCCUGAAAAACCAGAGAGACCCAAAUCCUAAUCAACACAUAUGAUGAUUCAUUUAAAUUAGAUUGUUUAUUCUCAUAACACAACUCACUGCUAUGUUAUUUGUCACAAACAUUAAAAUCUUCAUACGAUGAAUCCUUUAAUUGACAAUAGAUUAAGUUGAUAAUUAAAUAGUGGCCAAUUACCUAAUUAACAAACAUAAUCAUGAAACUAAUUCAGAGAAUAAACAAAUACCCAAAAAGUAAUAAAACAAUUAAAGCAUAAGAAAGAUCUCACAGUAGUGAUGAAUCAAAGCUUCAUUAACCUUCAACCAGAAAAAUAAGUUUAGUUCUUCAUAGAGAGAAGAGAAAAAUUAGAUCUAGGGUUUUUUUCUUUUUCUCUCAUCCCCCUUUUUCACUAUAGAUUCCUCCCUUAAAUACUCUCUCUCUCUUCUCUUUUAGAGUUCUAAUUAAAAUAAAAUACUAAUAUCUGAAAUAUUAAAUUCGUAAUUACAAAAAUAACCAAAAAUACAAAACAUGUUAAACUAAAAACUACAGGUCCGCAGUUGACAGCACGCGCCCACGCCUUAUCAAGAAAGUUCUUCUGACUCUCUAAAUUUCUCCAAGAGAACAAUCAUCUUUAAACAUCAUCUUAUAACUCAAUUUUAUCACAAAUCAAUAGAAUUGCACCUACAAAAGUACAACACAAGUAAAUCAUUAUUAUUAAGUGCAAAACAUCGAUAUUAAGGGAAGUAGACAAUGCAAAACUAGUGCAUAAAUUGCACUCUAACAAGUUCACACCACGAGAAAUUAAUGAUAGGCCUAAUUUCGUUGUCAGUUCUUUAUUUGUUUAUUUUAUUGAUUUCAUACAUUAUUGUCUUGUUGGUACUAUUUUGUAAAGAUAUAAAAGUACAAGUAAAAUAUUAGGGGAAGUAAAAUAAAAUAUUGGAGGUGCUGCUAAGUUACAGCUGCUGUAACUUACAGUUCCUUCAAAAAUAAUGUAAAAAAUUUAACAUGUGGUGGGACCCACAUUAUGUUUGAAGAGGCCGUAAGUUAUAGCAGUUGUAAAUUAGUAAAAUCCAAAUAUUAGAUAACAAUACACAUUAACAAUGCAUAUAAUUUGGGUUUGAUUUUUAAAAAAAUUAUGUGAGUAUUACCUAUCCUUAAGAUAUUAAUGAGAAUAUAUUUUAAUAUUAAAUAAUCAAAAUCUGUUUAAUCAUAAUAUGUAAUUCAUACAUUGCAUGUUAGAUUUGUUUGGAUUUUAAGUUGUUGCUAAUAAAUAUUUAUGUUGUGAAAGUCGAAUUCAAUAGCUACAAAAGCAGAGAUAAUGGUAUUUUAUGUAGUUUUUAAGAAUACAAGGAUAAGACCAUAACGCAUGAGAUAAUGGUAUUUUAUAUUAAAAGACCAUAACACAUGUAUUUGAGCCAUUUAUAUUGAGGACACAUAUAGAGCGAAGAGUGCAGAUCCGGCCGUAACUAUUGUGAAGCUUUCCUCAAGUAUUCUCAUGCACGCAGACCUUAGCUGGUCAAGUUUUCUGAUUCAAUAUAAUCAAUUUCCGCGCAGUACUAACGACAGCUUCUUUGUAAAGCUCUUCAACCACAAGCAUUUCUACAAGGCAAAAGACUAGGACGUGUCAGAAUGAAUAUCAAUAAGGGAAUGUCUUAUGAAUUUAGUUUAUAUCCUAAUAUAAGACAAUCAAUAAAUAUUAGAUGCAAUCUAAGGGAAUGUCUUAUGAAUCCUGAUUGAUGGCCUCUCACAGUCAGUUAUAUGACAAAGUAGCCACCACAACAAACUUGAACUUGGCUGGAGGUCUCAUUAGCAGUAUACCUCAGAAAUUAAGACAAAGACUUUAAAAUGCAAACUUAUGGAGCAAUUUAAGCACUGAAACUAAUAACAGUACUGUAUUAGCAAUUGACCUCUGCUUUUUUCUUGGACAAAGGUUCUCAUCACAAGGGACUCAUUAGUUGCCCUUGCCUCAAACGUUUGGAUGCUAAGGGGAAAAAGGAAGUUUGAAUUAGUCAAUCUCAUUUCUAAUGGCAUUCACAGAGAACCUAUAAAACAAAAAAAUUAUAAAAAAAAAAAUCAUCCAUAAUUCGCCAAACCGAAAAGAAAAACAGGGGAAUGAAAAGAGAGCCCACGGGAAUGAAGAGAUCAGCUCUUGUCGCGAAAAUGCAGUCGACUGUAACUAUAUCCGGGUCCCUAGUACUUAGAAGUAAAUGCUCUUGGAAUUUCUAUUAUAGAUUGAUGUUUCCCGUUCAAAUAGCUCUUCCGAUACCAUUAACAUGUUCAUCUCUCUAUAGAUUGAUGUUGACAUAGAUGUUAUUCUACUUUUGCUAGUGGAGUUUUCCUUGUACAGGUAUGUAUGAUUGUUUUUUUUGCACUUCUAAAUGGACACUGUUGAAAAGCUUAAAAUUGAACUGAUAAUUUUGUUUGGAAGCUCAGAAAAUUCAUGAGAAAGUGAAAUAGAAUAUUCUGGAUUUCUUUUCUUUCCAUAAUAUACAAAUGACAAACGUAGCAGUAUUUAUACUCGUUGCUUACAUCAUAAAAACAGAAUUAAAACAAGGUACACAACUAUAACAGAAUCAAAAGCGUGCUUAACUAAUUGGCAGAGCUGGCAUAUACUUCUUUAACUAACAAUGCUGCUGACUGGACUUUAGCUCACACAUGCUUAUCGUGCAGCUACUCUUAGUUCACACGUGCUCAGUCUGCUGUUGGCCCAAAGUUGGAACCAGAGAUAUCAUGACUCUGGUUUCAUUUCACCUCAACUGUGUUUUUUUUUUUAAAUUAAAAAAAUCAUUUGUUUUAGGUAUACAUACAUGUAUUUUGAUUCUAUUUUCAUUGUAAUUUCUCAUUUACUUUGAAUGAAAGUCAUUGGUGUUUUCGAAUGGGAAUUUUGCAUUAAAAAAUGAAGAAUAGUGAUUUUUGGAGUGUAAUUAGUAGUAAAGUUGGUUUUUACUCGCAAACAAGUGAACUGCUCGAUUCCCGAGUGGUAUCAACCAGUUUCCAACUUUUUAAUAUACACUAAUUGUUAUUGUUUAAUAGCUACUACUAUUAAAACUCGACAUCUAACAAAAAUACUUAAAAAAAAUGAUUUUUCUUAUGAUGCUGUAAAAAAAAAUUACGGGUUUACUUCUUUCCAUGAGAUCUAUAACAUGGUCUUGACUUCACGAAAUUCUUUUAAUUUAAAGCUUGCUGGUGUGAGAAGGUCAGUUUGACUGAUUAAUUCUUUUUAACAGUGGUCGAGAUAAUUUUACUAUCUAAUCGAAUGUUAUGCUGUUUUCUUUUUCUAAUCUGGUGUGAGAUAAUUAAUUCUUUUUCACAAAUGCUAUGCUGUUUUCUUAGGCUAAGGAUCUUCUAUCAGGAGAGGUUAGAAAUUCAAUGCUUAAAAGAGAAUAAUACAGAAAUUUAGGCAGAAUCUAAUCGAAUAUUGCAUGAAACAUGAAAAAUCAAUUCAAGUCCUUUCUUUAAACGGAGAAUGCAUCAAACAAAAUCCAAAGUGUCUUGCACGUCUGUAGCAUGAGCAAAAAAUUGUAAAUAUGUAGAACCAAAUUAUUCAAGUACAGAAGAACGAGCAAGCUAAAUCAUGUAUAAGAGAUUGGCCUGGUUCGGGAUAGCUUCUUCACUGUACCUGAAGGAUUGGCUCAAUCUCUUCUUUAGAAUUCUGCAGAUUUUGUAAUUACUCGUGUAAGCAAGCAUACAUUGCCACCAUAAGAAUAAUAAAGCUAGAGUAAUGAUAUGACCACCACCUCUUGUGCACAAACAAUAUUGUAUAAACUAAUGCGACAUAAUAUGAUUGGUUAAACAAAAACAUUACAUGGCCCUCAUAAUUUAUUUAUUUAUUUAUUUAUUUAUUAUUAUAUUUUUUCAGUAAACCAAUCAUAUUAUAUCACAUUAGUUUCUAUAAAAUAAUUUGCUAAAUAGCACCAAAACUUAAUUGAUACUCACCAUUUCAUUGAACAAUUUUUUUAUGGUGUCAUUGAGAUUGCCUUCCCAACAUCCUUCAUCAUCAUCAUCUUCAUCAUCAUCAUCAUCUUCUUCAUCAUCAUCUUCUUCAUCAUCAUCUUUUUCUUCUUCUGUGACGUUCACUUUGUUUAGCAUUGGUGUGUCUAAGACUCCUUGAGAGAAGAUCUUCAUUUUUGGACACUGUCUCACAACUACUGGUUUCAAGGACGGGAAUUCAAGAGCGUAAUUACCCGAACAAAAGCUUGUUAGGCUUGGCAAACAAUCAAGUCCCAAGUACUCCAAUUCCUCGAAGACAACGCAACCUUUCGCUUCUUCUCCAACCUGCAAUUGUAUGAUUUGUUCUAUCAUUUUGCAAUCAGCUAUCUUCAUUCUUUGAAGAGUCACUAGACUUUCAGAUGUUGAGAGCGUCAAUAAAUUUAUCAACCCAUGACACUUCGAUACUUCCAGAGUCGCAAGAUUUUCCAAAUGCCACGAAGCUGGUACUAAUUUCUGCAACUUACUACAUUCAAAUAUUUCUGGACUUUUCAAGUUUGCAAACACUUUGUUGGAUUUGGCAUUUUCCUUCCAGAGAUGCUGCACUUUGUGUAAUCCAGAUAGCUUUAACUUCAUCAAUUGAGGGAAUGCAACCUGAAAAUCAACAAAAUUAAGUUGUAAAUGAAAAUAUGUAUCCAAUCUCUGCAGUCUUCCCCUGCAUAUUUUAUGAACAAGAUUAAUCACGACAUUUUAUAUUUUAUUUCCAAAUUAGUAUGCUUUGCAGUAGGAUCCCAAAUAUAAGUAUCAAAUCGAUUACCCUUUGAAACACAUAAAUGAAAUCUGAUGCUAAAUCCAAUAUGAAUUAGCUAGGAAAACAGAGAUGUAACACGCAUAAUCGAUAUAGUUCAUCGCCUUAUGUCACCAGGCAUCUAAUUAAUUUAAGACAUUUUUAUAAUUCAUACUAUAAAGUUAGUUAAUAACAGAGGUUAUAUUGUUAAAUCAGAUAUAAAUUAAGACGACCUGCAAAAAGAUGAGUCAUUAAGUUUGAUUUGAUUCUAAUGAAAUUACAUCUGUGCGAACGAAAGUGAAGGCAAUAAUAAUAAUAAUAAUAAUAAUCACCUUUUCAUCGAAGAGGGGUUGUACUUGAUGAGCCAGCAAGAAGUUCUCUUCUGAUGUUAAUUUUUGAGGUUUCUUGUUAUCUGUUGUCACGUGCACUAAAGAGUUGGAUAUGAAUGUUUCCAUAUCAGGGCAAUUCUCAAUAGUUAGAUUCUCCAACUCAAGCAUUUCAAUUAUAUUCCCAGUGAAGUUGCAGAAUCUUUUGAGUUUUGGAAGGUCAAUGAGCCUUAGCUCGAAAAGCUUAGGAAACAGGGGACCUAUAUGUUCUUUGUCAGCAUUUAGCACUUCCAAAUGAAGCACCUCUUCCAGUGAAUCACAAUUCCUCACUUCCAACCAUUCCAAAUUGUUCAAGCACCGUAGCAGAUUGGCAGGAAUAGCACUCGACAUAUUCGUGCAGUCAUCCACCACCAGGUGUCUUAAAUUGUUGAAGAAGCUGACAGGCAGUGCUUGGCCAUGCGAUAUUUCUUUCAAACGUGGAAAAUGUGAGAAUUGCAAAAACUCCAUGUCACGAAAUCCAAUCUGCUCAAACCAAAACAAUUGCACUGGAUAUAUACAAUUUUUUUUUUGAAAGGCAUUAGAUAUAUAUAUAUACAUUAAACUUACAUGUUUUGUGUUUUAACUUCUAAAAAUAUAUUUAAAUGUGCAAGUGCAGGGGAGAUGCAUGAACAAUUUGGAUGAAUCGAUUAACACAUACCAUUUCUUCGUAACACUUUUGUAUAGUGGAAUUAAGCUUAUUGCCUUCCCAAUGGUGCAGUUCACCCCCUUCCUUUUCAGUCACUUGCACUUUGCAUGGCUUUGGAAUGGAUAAGAUUCCCUGAGAAAAAGUCUUCAUGUUUGGACAACGUAUCAUAGAAACUCGUUCCAAUGAUGGGAAUUCAAGAGUGUAAUUCUCCAAACAAAAGCUGGUAAGCCUUCGUAAAUCAUCAAGUAUCAAAACUUUUAAUUCGCUGAAAGCAAUACGAUUCUCCUUCGCUUCUUCUCCAACAUGUCCUACGAUUUCUUCUAAUUCUUUGCAAUCCGAUACUUUAAGAUUCACCAGACUACUAGGAAUUCCAACCUGAAAAUAAGCAAAAGUGUGCGCAUGUGUGGUGUAUUAAAAAAGUAUGUUAAUCAUACAAUUAUGCAUUUUAUAAACAUAACAAACCAUGAAAUGUCUACUAGAUAAUUUUUUGUUAAACAAAAACGGAACAAGAUAAAUAAAUAAAUAAAAUCCAGAUAAACAAAGAUAAUAAAAAUACAUUUACACUAUUUAGUAUUAGAAACGUAGAAAUAAUUUAAGGCAAUUUCUAAAUAUUUUAGACUUAUUUUGCAUCUUGAUAUCAGUUUUUAAGCAUAAAUUUGCAAAUUUCAACUAUUCCUUCUUUUUUUUUUAAAAAAAAAGGGACCAUUUUCCUUGGUCCCUUUUUUUUAUGUAUAUUUAAAAAUGGAAAAAAAAAUUUGGAAAAGACUUCCCAAUACUGUCAACGAGGGACUGCUGUAAAGUGGAUCUUUAUUAAGUACUUCCAGACUAGAGGAAAUUUCUUUACAAUCAAGGGUCAGUUGUAAAUAAUCAUGAAUUUGUGGUUAAUUAAUGGCAUAAUCAAUUCGUAACUAAACUAGAGAUAUUAAUUAAAUUUGAAGACUUUUAUUUUCUUUUUUUCUUUUUCCAAUCGAAAUGUGAAGAAUUAAGGAAAAGAGAAAUAUAUAGAUGAAUUCGUGAACCUAUAAGAUGAGUGACGAUCCUUUAAUUUUUGAAAAUCGUACUUAUUAAGAUAUGAGCAAAAACUAUUUAAUUGAAUUAUAUUAUGCUGUUGAAUCGUGUUUAAAAAAUUUAUAUUGUUGAUUCUAAUGCUGACGAACCUAAGAUACUUGAAAUAAAUAAUCAGUUUGCUGGCUGAAUAUCAUUUGUAAACAAAAAAUGGUUAAAAUAUUGUUGGAUGUAAUUUGAAAAAAAAAAGAUUCGAAAUGAAUACAGCAACCUUACCAAUGGAGGAAAAAUAUUCAUUAGGUUAUCACACCCAAUUAUCUCCAAAUUCUUCAAUUUGCUGAAAGACUCCGAAGCAAGCUGGUGGUGCCAUAUUUUUCUCAAAUUAUCCAUCAACCUAAUACGUAAUACCUCCAACCUAGUAAGUCGUACCUGGCAGUUAAAGAUUAAAUAACUAAUUAAUCAAUUAAUGGCAUAAUCAAUUGAUAACUAAAUUAGAGGCGGAUAUUAACUAAAUUUGAAGACUCAAGGAAAAGACAAAUUAAAUAUUGUGACUAAAAUUAAAUUUUUUUAUUAAAAAAAAAACCUUUUUGUCAAAGAGAGGAGGAGGUUGCAUUUCAGAAUGAAUGGUGUCUUCUGGUGAGCUCGUAGAGAUGAAUCUCGACAUACUGUUGCACCAACUAAUCUCGAGGUUUAGCAAAGAAGGGAAUUCAACAACUAAAUCUGAAUGAAUAUGUCCCGUAUUGGCAAAGCUUGUUAGUUCUGGAAGAAAAUGGAGCUUGAGGGAGUGUAGUUUAGGAAAAACCUUUAAUUCAAUCAACUUUCCUUCUUCUCUUUCUGACCACCCCGUGGUGUCGACCACCCCUUCCAUUGACUCACAAGACCGUAUUUCAAGAUGUUGGAGUUGCAAAAGACUAUUAACCAUAGAAUACGAAAACAGAUACUUCAUACGAUGACAACUGCUCACGUACAGCUUUGUUAAAUUUUGACAACAGUACAUUCCUUGAUUAUGAUCGGCCCAUAAUUUUUUCAUGUUUCUUAAGUCCCUGAGAUUCAAUUCCUCUAACCUCGGAAGAAUAACCUGCAAAGAAAACCCGUACAUUUUUGUUCCUUCAAGUACAACCGUCUAGUAUAAUAUUCUUUUGAUGAUCGAAGAUUAAUCGUGAUAAUAAAUUAAUCAAUUAAUUAUUGAACAGAAAAUUAUCACCUUUGGAGCAGUAUCAUCAUCAGCAAUGAUUUCGUUGAAUCCCAAAGAAGUUGUUGGUUUCUCCCUGUCGGGUCCUAUAAACAAACAAAAACAAUAUAUACAUAAUUAAUCUUUGUUGUUUUUUUUUUUCCAAAAUAAUUGAGGAGAAGUCCAUAAUCCCACCAAUACUUAACUUCAACACUCACCAAAAAUCAUUUCCAGAUCACCGCAAAGAGCCACUUCUACCUUUUGAAGCCGCAGUAGGUUUUUGGCCAUGGAGAAUGAGAAAAGAUGCUUCAAUUUGUGACAGGCUUCUACUUCUAUAAUCCUUAAGUUGCUGAAAGAUUGAUCUUCUGUGAGUUGGCUGUCACAUAUUGUCUCCAAAUUGUUCAAAUAGCUAAGAGACAAUGACUCCAGCAAGGGAAAGACUGUACAAUGAACCCGUCCAACUGAACCGACAAUAUGCAAAAUCUCAGAACAACUUUCUACCCAAAGAUGCUUCAAUCGUGGAAAACCUUCCCCAUCAUCUAAUUCAUGAACAACAUUCUGAACACCCUUCAGUUCGUUUAGAUGGAUCUCUUCAGCUUCCUUCAGCAACAUUUUCGUCCCAUAAUUCUCCAAAAGAGUGCUAACAUUUUCUAGCCCAUCGAGCUCCACCAUUCUUGAUGUUUUAGAAUUAACGCCUCACAUGCGCCACGCUUCUCCUAUACAUAUCUUAUAUCUUUGCAAUUCCACAGAGACCAAAUCCUGCGGUAGAAUUUCGGCAUCCCGAACGUGUAUCUCCAAGGUAGUUAGCUUUGACAACCCCUUCAAUUCAGCAAGACUGGCGUUACUUCCUCCUUCAACCUUAUCCCACUGCGAAAAGCUGUCACCCAUAUAUAGUUCUUCCAAUCGUGAAAAUUUUGAUAUGACAUUUGGUGCUAUCACUACAAGGCUCCUACAAUUGCUCAAAUCUAGCAAUUGUAACCGCGUCAAUUGACCGAUUUCAAGUGGUAACUGCUUAAUGUCGGAAUAUCGAAAGCUAAGAAUCUCUAAUUUCUUUAGCUGUCCAAUUGCCGCUACAUCUUCUUGUUGGCACCAGUCUAAACACAAUGUUUGAAGGUUAAUGAGGCGACCUAGUGACGAAAGUAAUGAAGAGAAAUGAAUUCCAGUAAAAUCUAAAACUUUGAGUUCUUCUGUCCCUUCAAAAAAGAGGUCUGAAACUUGCAUAGGGCCAUUACCCUCCGUAUACAACAAAAAUAACUGGAGAUUGGGACAUCCCAACCUUUCGGGAAGCUCUUGAAUAUCUCUAUAAGGUAAAGAAAUAGCAAUUGGACCUUUCUGUAUUGUCUCUUCCAUCUUUUUCUCCACGUCAGCAACAUUUGGAAUAUUAAACAUGCGCUUCUCUGCUGCAAUUGAUACAGCAACAACAUGAAUGACGUCAUGCAUUUUAACUUCAUCUUUGGCAUCACCGUCCAACAAUAAGCAUGAAGAUUUGAGAUUGUCGAUCAACCGAUGCACUCUACUCCUUGCUUCUUCCAAUGUGUAAACAUUUUCAAACAAACCCCAACCCACACCAUGUCUCAAUAAGUCAGAAACGGGUAUGACAUUACCUUCACUGUAUAGACCACAAAGACGGAACAGAGAUUUUGCCUCCUCACUUUCCAAGAAUUCAUAACUCAAUUUUAUGGAGGUGUACACAUUUGCUUGCAUGCCAUGAAUUUCUCUUGCAUCCGAUCUUCUUAGCUGAUUCAAUGCAUCUUGCCAAAAGUAACGCUCCUUAGUUUUCAGAGCAUUUGCAACUGUACUCAGUGCAACAGGCAAACCUCCGCAUCUUUCAACGAUCUCAUUUGCUAUACUUUGAAAAGCAGAUAUUUUAGUUGAAUCACCCACUAUCUUCUCAAAUAACUGCAAUGCUUCUUUUCGUGGCAAAGCAUCGAUCGGGAAAUUUUUCUGAGAAUUCAUAUCAAUGCUCAAUAAAUCUUGCUUUCUAGACGUCAAUAUUAUUGUGCAUCUUCUCUGAUCAUCCUUUCUAUCUUUCUCAGCAACAUCUCCAGAAGGGAUUCCAACCGCAUCCAACUCAAGUCUUGUCCAAAUAUUAUCCAAUAUAAUGAGGACCCGCUUCUCUUUCUUCAAUACUCGACGUAGUCGAUUUGCUCUGUCGAAUAUAUUCUCAUUCAACUCAAACUUUAUGCCUAAAUCUGAAGCGAGUUUGUUUUGAAUUUGCUGAUUAUCUGAUUCAUGUGUUAGCUCAGCCAUAACGACCUUAUCGAACAACUUAUCUUCCAUCACUUGCUUUCUAACUUGCCUGACUAGCGUGGUUUUACCCACGCCGCCCAUGCCGUAGACCCCAAUUAUGUUGAGCUUAUCAUCCUUCAACGCCUCCAUAACAUCCUGUAAUACUUUCUUUCUUGAAUCAAAGGCCUCGUUAUCUUUCCCGCCCCUAGGUGAUUCGCUCUCUGGAGGAGGAUCGUAGGAAACAUCACUCUUCAGUUUGUCGCCUUUUUCCAUGAGAUUAGCAGCAUCUUUUGCGGCCUUUGCUGCUCGUUUACUGAGUUUGUAACGAGACAACAAAUUUGGACACAAUCCUUUGAAGCAGGACUUCUUGGCUCCAUCUUCUUCGUCAAUGAUAGAUUUUGCAACCCCCUCCGUAGAUUCAACCCUACUUCGCCAGUCUUUGACACGCUGAUAAAUCUCUUCCCCUUGUCGGGUAGCAUGAUAAACAUGUUGUUGCACCAUUUCGUUUAUACCUCCCAACUCCUUCACUUGAUCUUUCAGCUCUUCUAUGUAGCUCUGGUACUUGAACACAUAAGAGAUCUGCCGCAUAAUCGGUUCGAACAAUGCCUUUGUGCCUUCUGAUAUAAUGCUUGAAAAAACACCUUGACAGAAUUCUACAGCCAUUGCCUGCUGCUUAACGAUAUAUAUGUAGUUUUUGGCUGUUAAAAAAAAAAAAAUUGGAUUCAAAUAAAUUAAAUGAACUAGAGGGGAAGAAAAAGAAAGAAACGACAACAAACAACUUUUUAGAGAAAGGUUUGACAGGCCUAAAUGGAAAACCAACAACUUUUUGAAGAAAGAAAACUUUGGAAGAUAGAUGCAAAUUAACCGUUGAUAAUAAUACUACAUUAAGAACACAGAAGUUAACAAUAAACAGUAACUUAAAACUCAAGAAAAUUAAAUGACGAGAUUAAGACAAACAAGGGAUAGUUUUUGUUGGACAUUAAGAAACAACUGCUAUCAAGAUCAAGGAUUAGAAAUUAUGCUAUUAAAAGAAGUUAUUAAAGGAUAGUGCUCGUGACUGCAGGAAAAUUUCUAAUGGAAACAACUCAAUUUCAGAAGAAUUUAUCCAAUUGACUCUGUACUUGAACUCGUUGGAUUGGUUGAUUUAUGAUUGACUGAAUUUCAAUUCGGCCCAAAAGAUCUUUAACCAAAGUUUAAUAGCUAUCAUCUACUCCUUAAAAGCAAAUGUGUAUCUUUUUUAGAUUUGACUGAAUUUGAUCUUGUUGGAUUGGUUUUUUUUUAGACAAAGUUGUUUUCCUACUGAUUUUUAUUCUUCAAGUAAACUUAGAUACAAAGUAAAUCUAAAAAAAUGACAAACAAACAAUGAAAUAAACGACAACAAACUGGCAAUUUUGAUACAAAGCCAACAAAUAUUAAAAUUUAGAACAUUUUGUUUUCUUGCUUUCUUUUGUUGGAGGAUUAGAGAUUUUGGUAUUACCCGAAAGGUUUCAAGGGUCUGAGUAGAAACCUAUAAUCUUUUUAAAAACUUUUUUUUAAAAAAUUUUUUUUGGGGAAAAGGAUGCAAAUUAACCAAAGGAAAUAAUAAGAGCACAGGCUUUAUCAAUGAACAAAAACUUAAAACUCAUGCAAAAUAAUUCAAUAUUAAAACAAAUCACUGAGGAAUAUUUAAGAACAACUUGAAAGAGCAAAAAGAUCACUGAGGAAUGUGUGAGAAAAGAGUUGACGAGAGAAAUAACAAUGACUUGCAGAAGAAAAACCAUUAAUAAUUAUGUGCAUUUUUAUUUUAUUUUUAUCCGCAUGCACUUUAAUGAUUAGUGCUCCUUUCAUAAAGCAGCUACCGGAAACACACAAAUAUCAUUUGAGAGAGAAACUAAACAGCAAAUCAUCAAAGUAAGAUCAAUAAUAUAUUAUUUGGUUAAUGCAUAUUCAAGAACAAAAACAAAAAUAAAUAAAUAAAUAAAGAAGGUUUGAUUUUGUAUUGCCAACGCUGCUUUUUUGUUAUUUCAUUUGUUCUUUCCACAAAUGAUGCUUGGUUAUAAUUAAGUUUCACAUGGCCAUUACUUACAAACUGUGUUUGUGUUAACAGAAACAUGAAAUUCACAUCACACAAAAUUGCACUAUCAAUUCUUAAUAGAACAUAAUAAUAAUUACUCAACGCAUAAGGGUAAAUUUAGAAUUACAUUUUCUCAAUGCAGAAGGGUAAAUUUAGAAUUACAUUUUCUGAUUCUUUUUUAUUUAAUAAAACCCCAAUGGAAAAUCAUAAAAAUUUAGAUAUAUAAAUUUUCUCCACCAAACAAGAAAAAAAAAGGGGGAAUGAAAACACAGGAUUUAUUUUACCUCUCUUUCAUCUUAACUCUUUUUCAGGCAAACCAAAACAAAAAAAUUUCAAUAAAGAGCUAGUUGUUGAAAUUGAUUUAUCUUGUUUUUCAGGCUAUCUUGUGACGUGACGAUAGAUAAUGCUCGUGAAUGCUAGAAAAUUUCUAAUGCAAACAACUCAAUUUGGGAUGAUAAGCUUAAUUUUGCAAAUGACGAAUGUAAAUAACUUGUUUUGAUUAAUUGAAUUUGUAAUACUCUUACCCUAUUCUAAAAUUUGGAGGUUGCUUGAGAAAAAAGGGUAUUUCUCACUCAUCUUCAAUCCUCAAGUAAAAUUAGGUAAAAAUCAAAUCUAAAAAAUCACAAACAAAUUAACAAAAAAAAAAAAAAAAACAACAACAUUGAUCUUGAGACAAGUGAUAUUUAAACAGAGAAUUCUUUAUUCUUUUUUACUUCCCCCUCCCCCCCCGGGGGGCUCGAGGAUUAAAGUCUUGCUAUUAACAGAGAGGUUUUAAGAGUCUGGAUAAAACCCGUGCUUUUUUAAAAAACCACUUUUUUUUUUCUUUUCUCUUUUUUUUGGGAAGAUAGAUUCAAAUUAACCAAAGCUAGUAAUAAGAGCACAUACCUUACAAAUGAACAAUAACUUACAACUCAAGCAACAUAAAUGAUAAGAUUAAAACAAACCGGAGAAAUUUUUCUUGGAAAAUAGACGGAAAUUAAAUAAGAACUGCUGUUAAAAGAAAUUAUUAGAGGAUUUAGGAGCAUGUGUACCUCUUUAAUUAUUUGGGAUCAGAGAGUUGAUGAGCUCUCUAUUCGCCUUUAAUAUUGAGUAAGAACUGGUAUUAAAAGAAAUUAUUAAGAACAAUAUUUCAGUGAGCAAAAGAUCACUGUUAACUGCAGAGGAAUUUGCGAGUAAAAAUUAAGCUGAAAAGAGCAGUAACAAUGAAUUGCAAAAGAAGGAGACUUAAUCAAGCACCCCUUUUAUACCCGAUUUUUAAGAUUUAAUUUUGAAGUUCCCAAUCAAGAACAAAGACGAAGCUUUAAUGAAGCAUGCAGUGAGAUACAAGAAAUGGAUCGGGCAAAAUACCUUACGAAGCGUUUCAUAUUUUCUAAUGAAAUAAUUAAGUUGAAGUUUUCGACGAAUAAAUACUUGUUGUGCUUGAAUAAUUUUGGCAUAUACAUUACUUGUAUCCGGCGAAAUUGAAAAGCACAUUCAUUUACAGAGCUUGUUAGUAGGGAAAAGCUUCGUAAGAUGCCUGAUAAAAGAUAAAGCAAAAGCUUGAAUGAAGAAUGACAUUUUAGAAAGAAACUAAAGUGCAAUCAUCAAAGUAGGAUCAAUAGUGACUUGAUCAGUUAUGCUUUUUGUUAUUUCAAUUGUUCUGUCCACAAAUGAUGCUUCGUUAUUACUAAUUCCACAUGGACAUUAUUUAGAAACUGAUCUUAUGUUUAACAGAAAAAUAAAAACUCGUCAUCAUAAGCAUUCUUGGUUGUCCUAAACCAGAAGUAGGUGUUUUGCCUGAAAGUACCACUUUGCUAGCAAAUCUAGUGGGUAUACUGAAUAAAUUUUUACAUUAUUCUAUUUGAUCUCUCUGUCUUUAUCCUAAGCAUUCUUGGUUGGGAUCGCUGCAUUGUCCUGUAAUCUGUGUGACUUAGUGAAAAGAGGAAUGGGUAACUGUGGUUAUGGGUACGUGAGAGGUAACGAUGAGGGUAGAUUGUUAAUUUUGAGGAGCGAUUUGCUUGCAUAAUUCAAUGCAUGGACAGAAAUGUCCCUGACCAAAAAAAGGGACCAUCCAUAUCUGAAUCUGAGCAUCAGAGCUUGACUUAUUUGAUAAAUAGAUAUACUUGAACUGUUUUUGCAUAAUAACUAAAAUAUUUAUUUUUAUAUAUUCGAUAAACGAGCUCACUAUUGAUAGAACUUAUUAGAUACUACAACUCAAAUAACUUCUUGUGCUUGAUUGAGGUUUUUAUAUAUUCGUAUGUUUGAGUUUUUUUUUUUUUUUUACUUUCUAAGAAUUAACUUCUACCUUGAUUCUAAAAAAAAAUAUAUAAUUUUACAAAUAAUUUAGUUCGGCAUUUGGUAAAUGAUAACUAUUUGAGAAUAAGUUUUAAAAUGGUUUACUGUACAAAUCUGGUAAAUGAAAAUUAAAAGUGUAAAAUGUUCACAUAAUGAAAAUUAAAAGUGUAAAAUGUUCACUUGCAAUGACAACAAAUACUUAUUUACUUAUUUGUAAUUUAUUUUGAAUAUUAUUGUUUAAAUCAUUUUUUUUACUUACCAGAUUUUUUAAGAGCAUUCUAUUUUCUUUAUUACAUAGUUAAAUAAUUUUUUAUUAGCUAUUUUAUUUUGCAAUAAAAUUAACUUCAAUAUUUUUUUAACUAAAAAUUUUGUUAUGUAGUUCGUGAUAUAACAAAUACUAACAUAUCAUUAAAUUGAUUAAUAAAUUAAGUGCAAAAAAGAAAAUGCAGAAAUUUAAUCUUUAUAUAAACUUUUAUGUACAUAAAAUCAUUGUAAUCAAACUAGUUCAUAGAAAUAUAAUAUUAUAUACAUGUGUGUAAAAAAAACAUAUGACCAUAAUAUUAUCCACUCAUUAAACUUGCUGCACUAUUAUUUCUCAAUCUCUCCAUCUCUCGACCUUCAAGAACAUUACUACCAUAAUCUUCUUCUUGAAUUCAACCUCCAUUUCCUCAUCAUCAACAAUGCGACCAAUUUGCCUUGAUAGCCUUUCAACUCCUCCCACUUUCCUCCCUUUUUGCAGACACUCUUUUUCUUUUUCUUUUUCUUCUUUAAUAGCUUCAAUGGGAACAACCUCAUCUAACGACAAGUCCAUUCUUCAACUAGAAUAGAGUUGGUAGUAGAUAUUUUAGUACUCUCAAACUAUGCCCAAACAGGGUCACCAAUGAUUGUCGUAUUAAAAGACAUUCUAUUUAAUUUUCCUCUAACUCUGGGUCGAUACCUUUUAUGCAAAAUCUAUUUACUUCAGGAAUUUUCUACACAUGUCGAUAGCAUAUUAAAGUGAAUUCAGAUCCUAUAUUAUUGACAUUAAAAUUUAGCCGAAUAGUAAAAAAUUUCCCUUUUUGUUUGUCACACAGCCAUAUAGUCCCAUUUUUGGUUAUAAGCUCACAAUAUGCAAGGGAAAUGAAGAUCUAUUAAAACUUCCCCAUAAUGUUCAUUUUGUUGCUCGGAGGAAUAUAACUACCUAUUAAUUAAUUAGCAAGAAUUGCGUUGCGAGUCCAUGUUUUUGUCGUUUGGAUGGAGGAUGUGCUAUCUUUUUGUUGUAGAUGCUUUGUAAGGCUUUUGAUUUAAUGAUUUAAUGCAGUCAAUUAACAAAAGCUUACAUAUAGUAUUAUGUAGUUGCUGAGAUGUCUGUUCUUGAUAAAGUCGAUUUAUUUACACCCAAGCCAACGGAAUCAAAGCCUUUUCGUUAAUAAUAUACACGGUAAUUGUUUUUGUUAAAUUGAUUUCUAGCUAACAAGAUCUUUGAAAGCAUUUAGGUAGCGUUUACAUUUUAUGUUGGAGUGAGAAUCAUGAGGAGUGAGAAUCCUGGGAUUAGAAGUGUGGAGUGGGAGUCGAAGUAUGUUGUUUACUUACACUGGAAUGGAAGUAUGGAAUUGAAAUCAGAAUCCAAUUUAUUUGUUUACAUUGUCUUGGAUUGGGAGUAAAUGAUUUUAAAUUACAACUUUACUCUUAAAAAAUUAUAGUUAUUACUUACAAAAUUAAUAAAAAUUAUAUUUAAAAAAUAAAAUAUUUAUUUUAUUAUAUUUUUAAAAUAAUAAUAAUAAUUAAUAUUCUUAACUAUGUAAAUCAAAAUUAUUUUAUUAAUUUAAAUUUAAAUUAUAUAAAUAAAAAAUUAUUAAUAACAACAACACAAAUGAAACAUUAUUAUUGUACAAAAUUGAUUUUUAGAAUAAAAUAUUUAUUAUUAUUAAUCACUAAUAUUAAAUAAAUAUAAUAGUAUUAUUUUUAAAUAAGUAUAAUAAUAUUAUAUUUUCAAAUAAAAAUAGAAUAUAGUAAUAUUAUUAAUUCUUUAUGAAUAUAAUAAUAUAAUUUUUAAGUAAUUUUAAAUUAGAAUCAAUAUAAAUUAUUAUUUUUAACCAAAAAAUUAAUAUUAUUUUCAAUAUGUUUAAUAUUAUUAUUUUUAAUAAAUGUAAUUUAUAAAAUAAUAUAAUAAUUUAAUUUAAAUAAAUAUGAUAUUAUUUAUUUUAUUUUAUUAAAUAUAAAGGUAAAAAAUGAAGAGAGGCGAGUGAAUUCCCACUCCCACCUUGCCCCAUGAGAGUGGGAAUCCCAUUCAGUCACUCCAAAGUUAGGUGGGAUCCACAGAGUGGAAUUCUCACUCUCCCUUUGAAAAUUGUAAGUAAACACUAGAGUAAAAGAAAUCCACACUCCUCACUCUCACUCCAAAAAGUACACACUACAUUGAAGAAGCCAUUGACUCAUAAGAAAGCCAUGAUUAAAUACAAGGCGAAGCAUGUGAGCUCGUUUUUCAAUCUCUUUGAUCACUCAUAAGUUUUUCUAUACCACUCACUAUAUCAUCCUUUUAAGUCAAUUUUGACUGAUCAUCAGAGAUCAUGCACCCCACCUUGAGAUGAUUGAUCACCAAUUUGGCAUUGUAACAUUGAUCACCUCUAAUUGGCCAAGCUAAAAUUGGGACCCCAAAACCAAUUGCUUCUACAGUUGAAUUUUAUCCACAGUGAGAUAAAAAUCCACCUGUUAAUUGAUAACUCAGUAUCAAUAAUUGUGGUGCCAUUCCAUCUAUUAUCAAACCCUUUUUACUGGCUCUACUAUCUAAACCACUACGAAAAUAAGCUGGUUAAAUGACGUAGAGGAUCCAAUCUAUUUACAUAAGUUUGAAUUACCUAAAUAAUCGGUGGAUUUGAUGCUUAUAAAUCAGAGGGAAUUGCAGCAGAUACACCUUCAUACUUUAAAAAUUACCUCAAUACCUUAAAAUUUGAUUUUUCCAAAAUUUUCAUCAAUAUCCUUUAAAAGCUGAUAGGAAAUGACUAAGUUAUCCUCGUUUUAAAACACUUCAACUCAACUGGCAGCACCUCUCCCUCCCUCUACUCAAACAAACAAACACUCAUAUAUGCUACAAUUCCCUCCACUACCUUUACUCAAACAAACAAACAUUCAUUCUCCAUACAUGCUAAAUCGAACUUCAACACGAGCAAAUUGAGCUGAGAAAGGGAAGCUGCUACAACUGAGAAAGAGAAGCCUAGUUCGUCGCUACAUAAUCGCCAGCGAGAGUUGAUCCUUUAUUGCAAAAUGGUCAGAAUGUAACUAGUUGAGGUAAGUAAUUCCCUAUAAUUUGUUUUCUUGUUGAUAUUCAAGGGAAAAAACAAAAAGUUAGGGUUUUAUAUUGAAAAAAUAAUUAAUUAGUUGCGGGUCUCUCAUAACAUGUUCGAAAACACAUUUCUAGUUGUUUUGUUGCAUGCAAAUUGUGAAAAAUUAAUGGAUUGUGCCGAUUAUAAUUUUUUCAUGUAACACACGAUUUGGUCAUGUAAGGUUAUGUAAGAUUCAAGGUUGUGUAUUACACGACCUUCAUGUAUUGCACGAUUACAUGACCUUCAUAUAUUGCACGAUUACACGAGCUUUAUGUAUUACACAAUUACAUGACCUUCAAUUCCAGAUUGAGGAGUAAAAAGUUUAUCAUCUCUCCAGGUGUGUUCUGUAAUUUAAUUUUUUGUUUCUUGUCGAUAGAAUAUACACAUUACAUUUAGUUUAAUUAGGCUCACAAUUGGGGACAAUAAAUUGGAAUGGUACAUAUGCCUUUACCUUGUGGAAUGUCAUUACUUAGAGAGAUCCUUAAUUUGCAAUUAUAAGCCAUGGUAAGUCAUGGUAUGUCUAGUUAUGAGUGGAAACACUUUGAUCAUUGCGAAUGGUGUUCUUAUGUGUAUAACAUUACAUUAAUUUCCUAUAGUUAAUUUUUUUUCCUAAUUGAUUUCAUGGAUUAAUUAUAUGCAGGCAUUCCUCAUGUAUGCAUGUAUGUUUGGGCAGAGGAAGAAAGCACUUUGAAGAUUAAAAAAGCUUUUUAAAUGGUUGUACUAUGUUUAAUAGCGAUGUUCAUUAGUGUAUCAUAUCCAAAUAUUGAAAAAUUUGUACACUGAUAACUUUGUUUAUUUAUACUAAUUAAUCUAAUCAUUUCUCAAACUGUCGGAUGUUCAAAUUUAGUUUUUUUUUUCUGCAAUUUAUGAACACACGAUUUGGUCGUUUAAGGUCAUGUAACAUAGGAUUCAAGGUCGUGUAAUAUACUCAUGUAUACAUGACCCUCAGUCGUCUAUGACAUGACUUUGUAUAUUAUUACGCGAUCUUGAAUCAUGUGUUACGAGUCUUUCAUGACCUUCAGUUAUAUAUUACACGACUUUCAUGUACUACACGACUUUAUGUAUUACAUGACUUUAUAUAUUGCGCGAUUAUACAGCCUCCAUGUAUUACACGACCUUAAAAUUACACGAAAUUUUCCAUUAAUCAUUAGAUUAAUUUAGUUCAUUAAAGACUUAAUUUGUGCUAAGAAUUUAUAUUUGCUGCUAUGCAGAAAAUGUCAACGAAAAUUAUUAAAAAAAAGAAGUGAAAUUAAAUUGGAAUCUAAAAAAAUUCCACAUCAUCAUUGGUUUGAAUUGUAAGUGGUGGCAUAGGAUCAGAUGUCUUAAGCUUGAACUUCAUUGUGAUUUCGAAUUCCGAAGUAUCUAUAUCAAUAAAUUGAGCUAAUCUUCACCAAUCCGGCAUAUGUUGUCGAUCGUGGUAUCAUUAUCCCUUUAGCCUUGGAACCUUUGAACUUAUACUCAUCAUUUUGGUCAAUCCAUUCACCAUUGAAGAGAAUAGGUACACGUACCAAAACCAUAUCUGAUGAUACAAUAAAAACAAUAAUAUCAAAUUUCAUAUACAAGUAACUACACGACCUACAUGACUACAUUACUUACAUGACUUACACGACCUACAUGACUAUAUUACUUACAUGACCCACAUGACUUACACGACUAUAUUACUUACACGACCUACAUGACUAACUACAUGACGUGCACGGUAUCAAAAGGAAUGCACGACGCAAAACAUUUUCACCAUAAAUAAAUUAUAUUGCUGAAAAAAAUAAUUAAACAACCUACAUUGCAUAUAAUUCUACAUAUAAGAAAAAAUGGUGAAAAUACAACAUUAUAGAGUGAGGAAAUUUUCUAAAUUUUCCUAAAAAUUAAAAAAAAAUUAAAACCCAACAACAUUAACAUAUCUUAUUGGGUUGUUUAAUGAGCAAUGCACCUAAUUUCAGUUAAAGAAAGAGUGGGUGUUAAAGAAAUGAAUAUAUAAUUGUAUUUGUGUAAGAAGUUAUGAGAGAUUUUGAGAGAUUCUAGGAGAUUUUGAGAAAAUUUCGGCAGCAAGAAAAGAUUUGGGUGAAAGAAAUAUGAAGACAAUGAAGUUGAGUGAAUUUGAUGCAUUCAUUAAGGACAUUUCAAACUUUACUUACAUUUAUUAGGGUAUCCAUGAAAACAAAAAAGGGAGGGGAUAUUUAAAUAAUUUUGAAACUAUUAAAGGGUAUUUAAUUAAAAAACCCUCUAAAUCAUUGGCUAAUGUUGAAUAAUUAUUUAAGGUAGGACCCAACAUGUAUAACACAGAUCCAUAUGAUUUCAAAUCUAAUCAUUUAAUGAUCUCAUCUUCGGUCAUGUUAGAACUCCGCCGGUUGGUUCUCAUCUCACAAUCACGAAGCACUGAACCGGCCGAUUUGUAAAAUUGUUUAGGUAACAAUGGGCCCACUCCCCACACUGGCAUCAACACCAUCGAUCCCUCCACUUGCUUCAUCCAGUGUGGUUGAUCACUCGGUUCUGAUGGACCUAUUUUCUCUGAACCGGGUGCACCUCACAAAGGUUGUGGACCACCAGGAAGGGACCCGUGAGGCCUGCGUUUAAGAUCCGAUUCGAAUAAAGCAAUAUCCUUGGGUAACCCAAGAAGUAAACGGGCCUCUCCCGGUUUGACAUCCUGGAUGCGAGCCUGCCACAUGGCACACUCUACAGCUGCUGAGCAAGCAUCAGAAGUGAAGAACCCAACAAUGGGAACUUCAAAAUUCUUGAAAACAUCAGCCGUCCAGCCCAUCAUAACGCCGAUGACUACGCAAACAGGUCGGCUUUCGGGUUCCCGGGUUGAAAGGAGGUUUCGAAGGCCUUGAAGCAUAUGGCUGUGCAUGACAACAUGGUGGUGAGAAGGAGGUGAUGGUAGUGGUUGAGAUGGGAGGGUAUUUCGGUAAUUUCACAUAGAGGGUAUUGGUGAAGAGAGGAAGGGGUGAUGCUGGUGGUGGAAACGUGAGAGGGAAUAAUGAGGGUAGAUUUGUAAUUACGAGAAGCAAUUUGCUUGCAUAAUUCAAUGCAUGGAAACAGAUGUCCCUGACCGAAGAACGGGACAAUCCAAAUCUCAGCCUCAGCAGCAUUCGCAACAGAGCUUGACAUCUUUUAUGAAUUAUUUGAGACUUAAUUGUUAUUGACUGCUUUUGCCAUCUUUCAUAAAACAUUCUUUGUUAUAUAUUCAAGUAAAUAAAUUUAUCGUUUAAAAUUAAUUUUUCAUGUGGUAAAAGCAAUACUAAAUAUGGGGUGGAGAGAAUAAUUUGUAGGGCAUACCCCCACCAUUUAUUUAAUUUCAUUAAAAAAGAAAGAAAAGAAAUAAAGGCUUGUUCAACAUUCAAUUAAAAUUAACAAUUCCAUGAUAAAAUUACUUGAGAAUAAAAAUUUUUAAAAAAAAAGUAACUCAAAAACGAGGAAUUUUUGAGUAACUGAAGAACCAUAGAUGUUUUUUGGUCAUGAGCAAUUUUUGAGUUGAGACAGAACUUGUAUAAAAAAAUAGUUUUGAAAACUUCUUUUCUUUUUUCGUAAAUAUAGAUAUAAAAUUUUAAAAUCACCAAACACAAAACCAGGAAAAUGGAAGGAGAGCCCCUGUUUCUCCUCUGUUGCAAGAACAAAUUCGGUUUCUACAGUUGUACCUUCUAAAUGCACCAUUUGUAUUGCUUUGUCUCCACUUGAGCUAACGGAAUUUGAUGAAAACAAAAUAGAUAUGAGUGGUGCUAUUCACAGCCCUCAAUAAUUCUCUCAAAACCCCUUUUCUAAUUAUACCCCGUUGAAUAAGUUCAAGACCAACUUUUCCUCUUAUAACACCACCUUCAAUUCCGUUAAUACCCUUGUUCGCUAUGAAAAUGAGGAAAAUGCCUACAUAAAAAGCUGGCUCUGAUAAUCUACCUGAAUUUACAUUAGAAAAGAGUGGACUUUGAGAAAUAAGAAGACAAUAUAGGGAAUUUUACCAAAAUAAUCCAUUUUUAUAUACAGGGAAUGGUAUUUUCUGAUAUAGGGAGGAGUGGAGAAAUUAAAUUCAGCAAAAUAAAGAACCUCCAUCGAGAAGUAAAAAUGAUGAUAUCUUUGUCGUGAAGAGAUUUCUGCCUCAUACAAAUUUUUUAUUCUAGAAUGCUUGAAACCGAAAAGUUCUGUAGUUGUUUCAAUUCAAUUGCAUACAUUGACGAAACAUUAAAUACGGAAAAAAACAAAAAAGAAAUAAUAGGACAGGGGGAUUUCGAGAAGUUCUAAAGAGAGAAAUCUAUUUAUAAGCAUUGAAAAUUAGCUCAUUAAAUUUGACAGAAUAAUAUACAAUCUCACUGUUGGCCAGAAAAUAAUAGUAAGAACUUGUGAACAUAUAUAAUCAAUUGUUUAUUACUUAAGCUCUUUUUCUUCGUUAUUUUGAAUGGGUGCAAAGAAGAGAAGUUUUGUACCCAAAUUCCAACUCGAAUUGUGUAGGCUGCUUGCAAGAGCUUCAUUAGAUUUUUAUUUGUCUUUUAAUAGUGCUUCUCGACAAAUACAGCUAGCUAUCUGUCCUUUUUGUUACUGGACUAUAGAUCAAUUGACAGUUGAAGUUAUAUUAAUUUGUUGUGCUGGAAUUGAAGCUUGUAUCUUAGCCAUUUGGUGAAGUGUCAAAUAUAUUUUUAAUUUCCUUAAAAUUGUUCAAAAUAUGUUUACACUUUUAAAGUCACUAUUAUACAUGAGUGCCCUAAAAUUGGAGAAGGCGAUUUGCCUGACAUUACCUGUAUUCGCUUGUAUAGAGAGGACGAUUUAGAUAAGUCGGAACGGAACAACCUUCAUCACAUGCUUCCUCACGUGGUUACUUAAACUGAUAUGUAAAACGUGCUCCAUCCAUGUCGUUUCCACUAAAUCGUUUUCUGUUAAGAAUCAGCUGAGCAGCACGUGAGCUAAUGAAGCUUUUACGGCUUCAAAACGCAGCCGUUUCUGGGAACCAAACUUGAUUCAUCACCUCACAACUACAGAUGAAUUAUCGAAGUGGCUGAUUGGUGCUAUACGUGUUUUUCGUAUUGAACUCAACUCUGCUAUUUUCCCAAAAGCUGGAAAACAGAAACAUCAUCCCUGUGGUUUUAUUUCACCUCAACCUUUUUCUGAUCCCAUUUUCAUUGUAAUUUCUCAUUUACUUUGAGUGAAAGUCAUUGUUGCUUUCGAACGAGGUUUUGCAACUAAAAAGGAAAAGGGGGCGGCUAUAAUACAUGCGUGCAUCUGAUACAUGCACAAAAACUGACCAUUGGAUUAAAUGGAGUGGAUCUAAUGGCUGAGAUUUGUUUUAUUAUUAAGCAAUAAAAAAAUUUGAAACAACCAGAAACCUGUAAAACCGGUCAUUUGGUUUAAGUUAAAAAUAUAUAAAUGAAAAUAACAAAAAAACCCACCACUCCCCCGCCUCACACGCGCCUCACCGCUCCCCGCUCCCUCGCCUCACCUCUCUUCUUGUUCCACGGCCAUCAACGGCGGCACGAGUCGGCGACGAUCGACUGCGGCUGUAAAUUGACCACGAUCAUCUCUCUCUCUCGGCUUGCUCAAAUUUGGCCGAUCUGUGCGCUUGCUUAAGCUUGGCCGAUCUAUGCUUGCUCGAUUACUCUUCCUAUCUUCAGUCAGAGUCAACUGUUUGACAAGAGUCGAAGUCCAAGGUUCUUUUUUACAGGAUUUGAGCUAUUCCUUUUAUUCUUCUUGCAUGUUCACUGAUAUGAAGCUUUGAUGUGGUGUUCUGAUAGCGGGUGGAAUUUGAGAUUCUCCUUUCUUCUCUAUAUGAAGGUGCUUGUCAUGUGUCAAGAAAAAUAAAAUUAUUUACCAAAGAUUAUUUUAAGGAGAUUUAUUAUUAUUCGUGGAUCGGGAAGUUUAUUUUGUUUUUUGGUCUCUUAUUUAUUUAUUGUUUUCACGAGGAAAUUGCUGUGCUUUUGGAAAUUAAUAUGCUGUGUUGUCAAUGUUGUGUGAAAUCCUUUUAUUGGUGUCUAUGUAAAGUGUUUCAGAUUUCAGACCUGAGAGUUAAUCUUCGCGUACCAGUUGGCUUUUGGGUUUAGUAUUGCUACUUUUAACAUAAUUGACCUAUGGCCCAAAUCAUUUCUAUAGGGCGAAGCAUAUGAAUGAUACAUAUUAUCUUUUUUUGGCCUUAUGUAUUGUUAUUUGCAGUGUGAUUUGGUCUAGCUUAAGAGCUUAAGCUUGCAGGUUGGAUUUGUCUGACAGGGAACAAUUUAAUUUGCUCAUCGUGAUGUUUAUAUCCAUUUUGUACUACUAUCAAUUUCAAUCAUGCCUAAUUUUUAUAUGUAUUUCUCGUGGACUCUCAGGUUCAGUGCACAAGAGGAUGAAGACGAUGGACACCCAAAUUUGAUGUGGAGAACAACUAUUGCAAAUGGUCCUUGAUUUACUUCUCCAAUUGACUUGAAUUGGUUUGACGCAAUUUAUAGUGUAUUUUUGUCAUCUUUGUACGACUAGCAGGUCGUCCUGAUUUGGUACAUGACUGGACACAGGAAUUGGACUCAUAUUUUUCAAACCAGAAUGCCAACAAUCAAGCAUUUUCUUUUGAAAGCACUGGCGUCUUCUUCAAUGCCAAAAAGGUUAGAGAUUUUCUGUAUCUUGUUUUGUAUUUAAUCAGUUUAGCAUGUGGGUGGCAAUCAAGAAAAGUUAUUAUAACAUUUUUGUGUUCCCGAAAAACUGCUGAUGAUGUGUAGUGCAGGAAAUGAAUUGUUUUUGACUUCUUUUUAUUUGUAUUCUUUCUUUUUUCUUUUCUCCCCAACAGGAUUAUGCAUUUCUGAAGAGCUUCUUGAAGUUGAUUACCAUGUAUGCCACUUUCUUUACUCUAUGCUCAGGAUGUGAUUUUGCCAAGCAUUAAAAUGGUUUAGGUCAGAACCAUCAUCUAAAGUUUACUUAAUGCAGCCGAGAAGCUGUAGUAGAGCAAGGAAGGCUGUUGGUGUUAUGAAGGCCAGCUGUGAAGAAAUAUUUGAACUUGUAAUGAGCAUGGAUGGGACACGAUACGAGUAUGCUUCUUUUCUAUUUUUUAUUUUUAGUUACUUUAACAUAAUCAAGACUAUAUUGGCUGUCUCUGUAAGCUGAGUAUUAUAUUUCCUCUUGCAUGCUGUGAAAUUCACAUUGUCUCCAGUCCCGAUUCUGUAUGUGCCUUUUUGAAUAUAUUUAAUUAAUCUGCAUGGUGCUUUCUAAAGAUUAUUACAAACUUUUGUUGCUUAAGUAUAUGAAGAAUGUAGAAAUGAAAACAGCUUUUGAAGUUUGAUGGAUUGCUUCAUUAAUAAAGAAAGACUAGGACUCAUUUUUAUAACUUUUCUCCACUUAGCUAAUGGUAUUUGAUGAAGACAAAAUAGAUGUAGCUAUCUAUAUUUUUUGUUGCUGAACUAUAGAUCAAUUGACGGUUGAAGUUAGUUAUAUUAAUUUGUUGUACUAGAAUUAAAGCUUGUAUCUUAGCCAUUUCAUGAAGUGUCAAAUACGUUCUUUCCUUUUUUUUUUUUUUUUUCAAAACAUGUUACACUUUUGAAGUCACUAUUACAUAAAAGAGUGUUCUAAAACAGGAGAAGGCGUGCUGCCUGAAAUUACCUGUUUCCUAGCAAAUCUAGCUGGUUUGCGAAUUAGAUUUUAACAAGUCUCUUGGCAAGGUUUGCUAGUAAUGUGUUCAAAUUAUUCUAUUUAAUUUUACUGUCUGUACCCUAAUAAUUCUUGGUUUGCACCAUUGCAUUGUUCCAUAAUCUCUGUGCGUUGGCUUAUAAAGGCCAGCAAGGCUGAUCAUUUGUCGAAUAGUUAUUUCCAUGAAAUUCCUAUCAAUUUGACUCAGUAUUUAGAGGUCUUGAAGAGGGCAGUGUACUAGACAUGGAUUUCUACCUCUUUUGGUUGUACAAUUGUUGUAUUUCUUGGCCAUCAGAUCUUUUUAAUGUACCUUUCUCAAAGUUCAUGCCGCACGUACACCGUUUUUCAUGUUUUGUGCAUGUGGGAUUGUAGUCUUCUGUAUCGCAGCUUAGUUGAAGAGGUAGAUGGUCAUACGGCUAUUCUCUAUCAUAGGCUUCAGCUGGACUGGUUUCCAAUGUAAUAGUCUCUUGAUUCAAUCAUCUCAUUUAUGCUUUGGUCAGAAUAGAACAUUUAUUGUUUCCUUCUUUCCCCUUUCCUCUCUUCUGAUGUAAUAUGUGAGGAAAUUACCUAAAAUUUCUGUAUCCCAAUGUAAUUGUUGGAAUUCAGAAAUAAAAUAAAUACACCGUCUUGUUUUUCCCUCGGUUCAGUCCCAAGUUCUCUUUGGGCCUUCUGCAAGUUUUUAAACAUACUGUGACAGUAAAAAAUCUAGUGAUUGAGAUCAUUUUGAUGAAUUUAAUUUUAAUUCUUAGCUGAUACUUUUUCUGGAAUUUUUUUCUUAUGUUUCCUCAAUAUGACUUAAAUAUAGGGCUUAGUUUGGUUUAGAAGUUCAUCUAAAACCUUCUCCUUGAUUCCAAAAAAAUUCUCUAGAAAGGUCUCAGAUGGAUUUUAGGGGAGUUUUGUGGCAAAUUUGAAAAGUUCAGGGGAAGGGUCUAAUGAAUUUUAAAACCACAUGGGUUAUCUGUUUUAUUCAGAGGAUAGUGGAAUUCCCUGAAAUUUAUCAUUUUUAUUUAAAUAAUCUUCCUACUUUCCUCUGCAGAAUUUAUUUAUAUAUAUGAAUUCAUUUGGUUGCAGGUUUGUUUGGCCCCGCGGCCUUUGUUAAGUGCGUUAUUGGCGUUGAAAUGACGCUGCGAGUUAUGGUAAGGUUCUUGCUUCCCCACUUCUUGAAAUUAAAUCUAUCUUUUCUGGCACUAGAAGUUUCCAUAAGCUGUGUUUUGUUAUCGCGCAGUUGUGUUAUUUCAUUCUAGGGAGCAUAUGAACUGUGGUCCACAACCCGGAUAUGUACGAGCUCACAUGGAGAGUUAGUUUUCUGUCCUUUACUUUGGUUGAUGUAGAGAAUUAACAAGUGACUAAGUCAUGCCAAGUUGCACCACUUGCUUCCUGUAUUCUGAUUUCUCAGGUGGUGGAUUCAACAUUUCCCCACUAAAACCUCAAAAUGGUAGGCCCAGAACACAAGUACAGCAUCUUAUGCAGAUUGAUCUAAAAGGGUGGGGUGUUGGUUAUGUGUCAAUGUUUAGCAACACUGUCUUCUGCAGAUGUUAAAUAGCAUUGCUGGUAAGUUUCUUGCUUUCACAUUUUAUUUUGCGCUGUUAUGGGUUAAUAUGUUUCUGUUGGGUGGCCAUUUUAAGUCAUAUUUUUACGUGUUACUGUAUUUUCUUCAGUCCUUUUAUAGGGAACACACACAUACACGUAUGUAGAGUCACCUUUUAAUGAGGGAUCUACCAUUUUAAUGAAAUGAGGAAUGAGCUAAAAGAUAAAAAAUUCACGAACUCCAAUGCAAUAUGUGUGUGUGCGCGUGUACACCUUUUCUAACUCUUGUUCUUAGUUAGAUAUUUUUUGGGAUUUCAGGCAAAUGAAAAAAGAGAUUAAGAGAAUGAUUUCAAGAGAACAGGUGGAUAAUAACUUAAAUAUUCAUUUUUAUACAUUUUGUUAAUGUCCUCUUUAAUGGAUUUCUAUGGAAUUAACCUUGUAAUUGGUGUAAUUACGGCAUUGGUGGUUGACAUGGCUUUCCUUGUGCAGGUAUGUAUGAUUGUACUGCAAUUUGCAAAUUUGCAUACUUGAAUGUUCUCAGAAUGGUAUAAUGCUUCGUGUAUGCAGGCAAAUACUACAGAUGAAUUACCGGAGCGGCUGAUUGGAGCUGUACGUGUUUCUUAUAUAGAACUCAAGUCUGCUAUUGUUCCAAAGUUGGAACCAGAGACAUCAUGACUCUGGUUUCAUUUCACCUCAACUGUUUUUUUUUUUAAUUGAAAAAAAAAAAUCAUUUGUUUUAGGUAUACAUACAUGUAUUUUGAUCCCGUUUUCAUUGUAAUUUCUCAUUUACUUUGAAAGAAAGUCAUUGGUGUUUUCGAGUGGGAAUUUUGCAUUAAAAAAUAAAGAAUACUUAAUAGGAAAUUUCAUAAUUCUUUAGUUACUAUUUUUGGAAUGUGUGUAAUAGUAUUAAAGUUGGUUUCUACUCGCAAACAAGUGAACUACUCGAUCCCCAACUGCGACCACGCUAGUUGUCAUUUAAAACUCAACAACUAACAAAAAUACUAAUAAAAAAAUGAUUUUCUUAUAUUGCUGUGAAAACAUUUAUGGGUUCAUUUAUUUCCACAAGAUCUAUAAUUUGGUCUUGACUUUACGAAAUUCUUUUAAUUUAAAGGGUUUUGGUCUGAGAAAGUCAGUUUGACGGAUUAAUUCUUUUUAAUAAUGGUCGAGUUAAUUUUACUAUACUCAUAAAACUAUUUUUAUUCUGAUAAUGCCACAAAUGUUAUGAUGUUUUCUUCAGCUAAUGAUCUUCUAUCAGGACUAGUUAGAAAUCAAAUGCUUAAAACACCGAUUGAAUGUAUAAUGCAGAAGUUUAAACAGUACCUAAUUGAAAAUUGCAUGAAACAUGAAACAUCAAUUCAAGUCCUUCCUUAAACAGAGAAUGCAUCAAACAAAUCCAAAGUGUCUUGCAAGUCUGUAGCAUGACAAAAAAGUUGUAAAUGCGUUUGGAACCAAAUUCUUCAAGUACAGGAGAACGAGCAAGUUGAAUUAUGUACAAGAGAUUGGCCUGGUUCGAGAUAGCUUCUUCACUGUACCUGAAGGAUUGGCUCAAUCUUUUCUUUAGAAUUCUGCACAUUUUGUAAUUACUCGUGUAAGCAAGCAUACAUUACAACCAUAAUAAUAAUAAAGCAAGAGUAAUGAUACGACCACCACCUUUUGUACACAAACAAUAUUGUAUAAACUAAUGCGACAUAAUAUGAUUGGUUAAACAAAAACAUUACAUGGCCCUCAUAAUUUAUUUAUUUAUUUAUUUAUUAUUAUUAUUAUUAUUAUUAUUAUAUAUUUUCAGUCAACCAAUCAUAUUAUAUCACAUUAGUUUCUAUAAAAUAAUUUGCUAAAUAGCACCAAAACUUAAUUGAUACUCACCAUUUCAUUGAACAAUUUUUUUAUGGUGUCAUUGAGGUUGCCUUCCCAACAUCCUUCAUCAUCAUCAUCUUCUUCAUCAUCAUCUUUUUCUUCUUCGGUGACGUUCACUUUGUUUAGCAUUGGUGUGUCUAAGACUCCUUGAGAGAAGAUCUUCAUUUUUGGACACAGUCUCACAACUACUUGUUUCAAGGACGGGAAUUCAAGAGCGUAAUUACCUAAACAAAAGCUUGUUAGGCUUGGCAAACAGUCAAGUUCCAAGUACCUCAAUUUCCCAAAAACAAUGCAAUCUUCCGUUUCUUCUCCAACCUGCGACUGUAUAAUUUCUUCCAUCAUUUUGCAAUCAACUAUCUUCAUUCUUCCGAGAUUCACUAGAUUUUUAGAUGCUGAGAGCGUCAACACAUUUAUCAACCCGUGACACUUCGAUACUUGUAGUCCCCACAGAUUUUCCAAAUGCCACGAAGGUGGUACUAAUUUUUGCAACUUACUACAUUCCGAUAUUUCUAGCCUUUCCAAGUUUGCAAACACUUUGUUGGAUUCGUCAUUUUCCUUCCAGAGAUGCUGCACUUUGUGUAAUCCAGAC
rnacentral:lncRNA from 1 species